GUACAUCAUUAAAAUAAAACUCAUUUUUUUCAUUAGGAUUCAAUUAACCCAAUGGAUCAUAAUCAAAAUUAGCUGCAUAUGAACAAAAGCAAUAAGAUUAUCAUUUUGUACAUCUUUACUUUCAUUUGAGUUCUUAGCCCUACAAUCAUCAAACAUGGAAUUACUCCAAGUCACCUACAUAGCCUUCAUACCUAAUGUUUUUAAGGCAAGGACAAUCAACAACCAUGUGUCCCAUUCCCCCAAUGGUUCACUACAAACAAGGUACAUAUGUUAUGCUUUCUUUGUUUCAUAGAGAUUAGAGAGGAUAAAUAUUGUAUAAAAAAAAAAAGUUGUCAUAGUUAAUGUAAGCUAAAACUAAAAAACUUGUUUUUUCAAUUGUGUAAGCAUGUUUUGUUCUUGAUUAAUAUUUACAACAUUCAGAGUUACUAAUGUUUAUAAUUCACAGAGACCUCAUUAACAAGAAGUAACAACUAAUUGCAAGUAACCAUGAAAAAAAAUAAGGAGAAAAAUAAAGGAAAAUCAAGGAAAGUGGCAAAUUUUUUCAUCCCCAUAAAAAAUGCUAAGGAAGAAAAAGGUGAAGAAAGUUUAAAGAAAGUAUAUUUUUCAAAAAUUGAAUUUUCUUUCCCUUAAAGUUGGUAUGGAUAACCAAACAAGAAAAUGAUUUUGAAAUUCUUUUUUGACCUUUUUUUAACAUUCUUUUUUUUUCCCUACUCUAUUUCCUUUCCCUCAAACUUUCUAGGUAGUAAACAUUACCUAAGAUAAAUAGGGAAGAAAAUAUUUUAUCAUUUAUUUAUUUAGUAUUUUUCUUACCUUUUUUGUAUGUUAUCCAAAUAUAAGAAAACUAUUUUUCUUUAUUUUUUCUUUUCCUUGUUGCUUUUCAAGAAUCAAGCAUACUUUAAACUCUAAUUAAGAGUUACAUAGAUUUACGAAGAAACAAUGCAACUAGUAACAAAAAAUUAAGGAAAUUUAAUUUUUUGAGAGUAAGGUGGUGUUUGUUUUUUUACUUAAUUCUAAAUAGAACCUUAAUACUUAAUAGUAUUAAAUAUUAGGUUGUUUGUUUUUGUAGUAUUUUAUUUCUAUUAAGUAUUAAAAAGUAAAAAAAACCAUUGUGUUAUUUUUUUCUAUUUAGAAAAAGCCACAUAUUUUGGCUUUUUCUAUUUAGUAAAAAGUUUAUAAUAAGUCAUGAAAAAGUAAAAAACAAACAACCUAAAUUCUAAAACUAAAUGGCUUUCAGCAAAAAGACAAAAAAAACAAACACCACCUAAGUAUAAUGAGAUUGGUUUGUUUGAUACAAAAUUUGAAUAAAAAUUCUUUCAAUGAAAAUUCAAGGAAAGGAAAAAAAAAACAACUUUAUCUCUAGACUAUAAUACUAAAUCACUUAAAAAAAUAUCCUAACAUCGUUUAUGUUCAUCUUUCUUUUUAUGGAUUUGAAAAACCCAAUAAUUUGGAGAAAACUGAUUCAAGGAAGAAUAAUUUUUAGAAUAAAAUAUUAUUAUUUAAGAAGAUCAUAAAUAUUAUAGUCAUUGUUGAAUAUGAUAAAUGAUUAAAAAAAAAAAAGGUAGUUGGAAAUUUAGAUACUUUUAUAAGACAAAUGCAUUUUUCUAGUAUGGUAUGAAAAAAGGUAAAAUGAUAGGCUUUGAUCAUUUUUUAAGGUAGUUUGUUUAAAUCAUUUUAAUUUAUUUUGAUUUAAUAACAAUAACUUUUAUUACACUAGUUAUUUUGAUUUUCUUUUGAUAGAUUUUGCAAGCUUAAGCAAUUUGGAGGUAUUGGAUUUGAGUGAUAAUUCAUUUAGUGGGAUCGUUCCAUCGUCUAUAAGAUUGUUGUCUUCUCUCAAGUCUUUAUCCCUGGCUAGAAAUUACCUCAAUGGUUCCUUACCAAAUCAAGGUACAUAUAUUGUGAUUACAGGUUUUUCUGUUAUCUUUUUUAAUAUCUUGUUUGUUCUUUAUACCAACUAAGUCAUGCAUGUCUAUUAAUUUUUGGUAUUUAAUGAAAAACAUUAUUCUUAAUUCAUAAAGACAUCAUCAACUGUAAGUAACAACUAGUUGUAAGUUUGGGGGCAUUGACAAGACGAGGAGAUGAUUGGUUACAUGCCUUAUUCUCUUUUGUAGGCUUCUGCCAAUUGAAUAAGCUUCAAGAAUUAGAUCUUUCUUACAACUUAUUCCAAGGGAUCCUUCCUCCAUGUUUGAAUAAUUUGACAUCUUUGAGGUUAUUGGAUCUUUCUUCCAACCUAUUCUCCGGAAAUCUUUCUUCCCCUCUGUUACCUAAUCUCGCAUCCCAGGAGUACAUCGAUCUCAGUUACAAUCAGUUUGAGGGUUCAUUCUCUUUCAGCUCUUUUGCUAAUCACUCCAACCUUCAAGUGGUCAAACUUGGAAGGAAUAACAACAAAUUUGAGGUAGAAACUGAAUAUCCAGUUGGUUGGGUUCCCCUGUUUCAGUUGGAAGCUCUUAUGCUAUCCAACUUAGUGGUGGUUGAUCUAUCCCAUAAUAACUUGACGAGAAGGUUCGCCAAUUGGUUGCUUGAAAACAACACAAGACUAGAAUUUCUAGCCCUGAUGAAUAACUCUUUAAUGGGUCAACUACUUCCCCUGAGACCUAAUACUCGUAUCAGUUCAUUGGAUAUCUCACACAAUCAGUUGGAUGGACAACUUCAAGAAAAUGUGGUCCAUAUGAUUCAAAAUAUUAUGUUUCUAAAUUUAUCCAACAAUGGUUUUAAAGGUAUUAUCCCAUCCUCAAUAGCUUAAAUGAGUUCCUUAGGGUCGUUGGAUUUGUCUGCUAAUAGUUUCUCAAGGAAAGUACCAAAGCAAUUGCUUGCGGUAAAAUAUUUGUGGCUUCUGAAAUUAUCAAAUAAUAAAUUUCAUAGUGAAAUAUUUUCAAGGGACUUUAACUUGACUCAGUUAGGGUUUUUGCAUUUGGACAAUAAUCAGUUCAGGGGAACACUGUCAAAUGUAAUCUCCAGAAUCUCUAGGUUGUGGGUGUUAGAUGUGAGUAACAACAACAUGUUAGGUGAAAUUCCAAGCUGGAUAGGUAACAUGACCGAUUUGACUACACUGGUGUUGGGCAACAAUAGUUUUAAAGGCAAAUUACCACCUGAGAUUUCUCAAUUGUCGGGGAUGAUAUUUCUUGACGUUUCUCAAAACGCUUAAGAGCAUGAAGUAUUUAGAGCAUUUACAUUUGCAAGGGAACAUGUUUACAAGAUUGAUACCCAAAGAUUUUCUCAAUUCCUCAUAUCUAUUGACUUUGGAUAUCAGAGACAACAGGUUAUUUGGAAGUAUUUCCAAUUCAAUCUCUAGACUUUUAGAGCUAAGAGGAAACCUUUUAAGUGGUUUCAUUCCAUAUCAGCUUUGUCAUUUGACUAAAAUAAGUUUCAUGGAUCUUUCAAACAAUUUUUCUGGGUCAAUUUCCGGAUGCUUUGGUCAUAUCGGAUUUGGAGAUUUCAAAACUGAGCACAAUGUGUAUAUACCGACGUUGGAUUCGUAUUCAGAAAGCAAUCCUUCUAUAUAUACGGGUUACUUAAUAAAAUAUUUAUUUUUCUCUAGUGAACUCCCUGAUGAAGUAGAUGAAGUUGAGUUUGUUACCAAGAAUAGGUAUAGCUCCCACAGAGUAGAUAAAAAUAUUUGUUGGGAAUUUAGAUAUUUUUAUAGGAAAGUAGGCAAGUAUUCUAAUUUAUAAAAACAAUGCAUUUCUUUAGUUUGGUAUAAAAAAAAAAUGAAACGAUAGGUAUUGGUAAUUUUUUUUAAAGUAACAAACGUUUUAUUUUAUUUGUAUUUAAGAAAGAUGUCUUUUCUUAUACUAGUUAUUUUAAUUUUCUUUUGACAGUUUUUGCAAGCUUAAGCAAUUUGGAGAUACUAGAUUUGAGUUCUAAUUCCUUAAGUGGGAUUAUUCCAUCAUCUAUAAGAUUGAUGCCUCAUCUCAAGUCUUUAUCCCCGGCCGGAAAUUAUCUCAAUGGUUCUUUACAAAAUCAAGGUACAUAUGUUAUGAUUUGUUUGUUUCAUAUAGAUUAGAGAAGAUAAAUAUUGUAAAAAAAAAAAAGUUGUAGUUAAUGUAAGCUAGAAAUAAGUAUCUUGCCUUAUAAAUUAUAUAAGCAUGUGUUUGUUCUUAAUGAAUCUUUACAACAUUUAGAGUUACCAAUGUUUAUAAUUCAUAAAGACCUCAUUAACAGUGAAUAACAACUAAUUGUAAGUAAUUGUGGAAAAAGUAAGGAAAACAAAAUGAGGGAAAAGCAAGGAAUUAGGAAAUUAUUUUGUUCCCAUUAAAAAAUGUUAAGGAAGAAAAAGGUAAAAGAAAGUUUAAAAAAAGUAUAUUUUUCAAAAAUUUAUUUCUCUUUCCUUUAAUUUUGCUAUGGACAACCAAACAAGAAAAUUAUUUUAUAAUUCCUUUUUUAUUUUUUUCAUUCUCUCUCUCUUUUUUUCCCUACUCUAUUUCUUUUCCCUCAAACUUUCUUGGUAGUAAACACAACCUAAGAUAAAUGGGGAAGAAAAUUUUCAGUUUUAUUUUUUUAUUUUUUUAGAAUGUUUUCUUACUUUUUAGUAUUUUAUGCAAAUAUAGGAAAAUUAUUUUUUUUUUCUUGCUCCUUUUCAUACAUGAAUCACACUUUAAAAGAAAAUUAAUUUUUAAUUAGGAGUUAAGAUAAAUUUAAGGAGAAACAAUGAAUCACGAAUAACAAAAAAUUAAGGAAAUUGAAUUUUUGAAAGUAAGUAUAAUCAAAUUGCUUCAUUUGAUACAAAAUUUGAAUAAAAAUUCUUUCAAUGAAAAUUCAAGGAAAGGAAUAAACAUUUUUGUCUCUAGAUUAUAAUACUAAAUCAUGUAAAAAAUCUCUUAACAUCAUUUAUAUUCAUAUUUCUUUUUAUAGAUUUGAAAAAUUCAACAAUUUGGAAUAAACUUAUUCAAUGAAGAAUAAUUUUUAGAUUUAAAGAUUAUUAUUUAAGAUCAUAAAUAUUACCAUCAUUGUUGAUGUCUAAGAAGAUCAUAUUCAACAAUUUUUUUAAUAUGUUGUUUUUUAUGGUAAUUAAUUGAUGUCUUGUAAUUUUUAAUAUUUAAUGAAAAACAUUAAUUUAAUUCAUCUAGAGCUCUUAAUUCAUGAAGACCUCAUUAAUGUAAUGGUGAGUAAUAGUUGGCUGUAAGUUUGGAGUCAAAGACAAGUUAAGGAGAUGAUUAGUUACAUGUCUUAUUCUCUUUUGUAGGUUUCUGCCAAUUGAAUAAGCUUCAAGAGUUAGAUCUUUCUUACAACUUAUUCCAAGGGAUCCUUCCUCCAUGUUUGAAUAAUUUCACAUCUCUGAGGUUAUUGGAUAUCUCUGCCAACCUAUUCUCCGGAAAUCUUUCUUCCCCUUUAUUACCUAAUCUCACAUCCCUGGAGUACAUCGAUCUCAGUUAUAAUCAGUUUGAGGGUUCAUUCUCUUUCAGCUCUUUUGCUAAUCACUCCAAGCUUCAAGUGGUCAUACUUGGAAGGGAUAACAUCAAAUUUAAGGAAUUUGGAAGGGAUAACAAAAAAUUUGAGGUAGAAACUGAAUAUCCAGUUGGUUGGGUUCCCCUGUUUCAGUUGAAGGUUCUCUCUCUAUCCAGCUGUAAGCUCACCGGUGACCUUCCUGGUUUUCUUCAAUACCAAUUCAGGUUAGUGGGGGUUGAUCUCUCCCAUAAUAACUUGACAGGAAGUUUCCCCAAUUGGCUGCUUGAAAACAAUACGAGACUGGAAAUUCUACUCCUGAGGAAUAACUCUUUAAUGGGUCAACUACUUCCCUUGGGACCUAAUACCCGUAUCAAUUCAUUGGAUAUCUCACACAAUCAGUUGGAUGGACAACUUCAAGAAAAUGUGGCCCAUAUGAUUCCAAAUAUUACGUCUCUAAAUUUAUCCAACAAUGGUUUUGAAGGUAUUAUCCCAUCCUCAAUAGCUGAACUAAGAGCCUUACAGAUUUUGGAUUUGUCUACCAAUAAUUUCUCUGGAGAAGUACCAAAGCAAUUGCUUGCAGCAAAAGAUUUGGAGAUUCUGAAAUUAUCAAAUAAUAAAUUUCAUGGUGAAAUAUUUUCAAGGGACUUUAACUUGACUGGGUUAUUGUGUUUGUAUUUGGGCAAUAAUCAGUUCACGGGAACUCUGUCAAAUGUAAUCUCCAGAAUCUCUUGGUUGUGGGUGUUGGAUGUGAGCAACAACUACAUGUCAGGUGAAAUUCCAAGCUGGAUAGGUAACAUGACAUUAUUGAGAACAUUGGUCAUGGGCAACAAUAAUUUUAAAGGCAAAUUACCACCUGAGAUUUCUCAAUUGCAACGGAUGGAGUUUCUUGACGUUUCUCAAAAUGCUCUUUCAGGAUCUCUUCCUUCUUUGAAGAGCAUGGAGUAUUUAGAGCAUCUACAUUUGCAAGGGAACAUGUUUACAGGAUUAAUACCCAGAGAUUUUCUCAAUUCCUCAAAUCUAUUGACUUUGGAUAUUAGAGAAAACAGGUUAUUUGGAAGUAUUCCCAAUUCAAUCUCUGCACUUUUGAAGCUAAGGAUUCUUUUGCUGAGAGGGAACCUUUUAAGUGGUUUUAUUCCAAAUCAUCUUUGUCAUUUGACUGAAAUAAGCUUGAUGGAUCUUUCAAACAACUCUUUUUCAGGGCCAAUUCCUAGAUGCUUUGGCCAUAUCCGAUUUGGGGAGACGAAAAAGGAGGACAACGUGUUUGGACAGUUCAUGUAUUGGUAUGAACUGAAUUCUGAUCUUGUAUAUGCAGGUUACUUGGUGAAACAUUGGGAGUUCUUAAGUCCAACAUAUAAUGAAAAAGAUGAAGUUGAGUUUGUCACCAAGAACAGGCAUGACUUCUACAGAGGUGGCAUCCUUGAAUUCAUGUCUGGAUUGGACUUAUCAUGUAACAACUUGACAGGUGAAAUUCCUCAUGAACUUGGAAUGCUAAGUUGGAUUCGUGCAUUGAACUUGUCUCACAAUCAAUUGAAUGGCUCCAUUCCAAAGAGUUUCUCCAAUCUUUCUCAAAUAGAGAGCUUAGACCUUUCUUAUAAUAAACUGGGUGGAGAAAUUCCUCUAGAGCUAGUUGAACUCAAUUUUUUAGAGGUGUUUAGUGUGGCUUACAACAACUUCUCUGGUAGAGUUCCAGAUACCAAAGCACAAUUUGGGACAUUUGAUGAAAGAAGCUAUGAAGGUAAUCCUUUCCUUUGUGGGGAACUAUUAAAGAGGAAAUGCAACACAAGUAUUGAGUCACCAUGCGCACCAUCACAGUCUUUUGAAAGUGAGGCAAAAUGGUAUGAUAUCAAUCAUGUUGUUUUCUUUGCAAGUUUUACUACUUCAUAUAUCAUGAUCUUGUUAGGAUUUGUUAUCAUCCUUUACAUCAAUCCUUAUUGGCGUCAUAGAUGGUUCAAUUUUAUCGAGGAAUGUAUAUAUUCCUGCUAUUAUUUUGUUUUUGAUAGUCUUUCCAAGUUAUCGGCAUAUUUGUAUAAUUAGAUACUUUUAAUUGGAUGAUAUUUGCAUAAUUAACUACUAUUUGUUUCCCUGGGAUAGAAAGAAAUGGGAUGUAUAAUGCUAUGAGCUGAAACUUACAUACUUUGCUCAAAUUCUAACAUCUUUUGAUUUUAUUUUCAAGUUCCGUUAUUUAUUAUGUAUUGUUAAAUUCAAGAUUUAACCAUAUUACGUUACUCUUAUAAAAGAAAAUUCAAAUUUUUAGGAACUUUUAGCAUUAAAAUAAUUUCAUAGUCAGAUUUUAAAAAAUAAAGAAGAAAGAAAAUAAUAAAUAAUUGGAAAAACAAUUCAAGGAAGUAUUAAAUUAUUAUCUUAGAAUUGUUUGGCGUAGUAUGGGAAUUCAAAAAUAAUCUUUCAAUUUGUUAGAAAUGUUUAUUUAUUUAUUAUAGCAAUGAUUGAAAUAUCAAUCACAAAGUAAUGUUUUCUUUUCUUUUGUAGGGCACUAACACUUUUUCUUUGAUUGUAAUAAUUGAUAAAUAUAUUACACAAUUAUUUGUUUUAAAAAGGGGAGGGAUGACAAACAUAAUAACAUGUAAAAUAUUUCUAAAACUGUGAUGGGAAAUAAACCAUCUAAUUAGGGUGCAAUAUUAUUCAUUUUAAUUUAUAUGAAUUUACUUAUUUUUAUUUGCAUCAUAUUCUGAACUAUUUUAUGAAAUUAAGAGAGAUUAAAACAUCAUGAAUUUCUUAGUUUAAUUUAUAUUUUUAAUAAUAAAGCAUGAAAUAUUUAAAAAAAGAAAAACAAAAUCAUGAAUUUCUUUAAUUCAUUAGGAAACCAAUAUAUAAAAAAAGUUGAAUAUAUUAUUAUUUUAUGUUCUAAAUUUCUAAAUUUGUUCAUCACGUAUUUAUUUUUAUAUUAAAUUUAUUAUCAAUAAUUAUUUAUUAUAUAUUAUUAUUUUAUGUUUAAAAAUGUUCAUAAAUAAUUAAAAUUAAUAAAUAUAAAAAAUGAAAUAUUAAAAAAAUAAAUUAAAAAGAUUUCAUCAAGCUAACAAAUUUUUAUAAAAAAAAAAAAGAGUAAAAAAGAAGAUGGGGAUAUUAUAGAGGUGGGGAAAAAGAUAAAAGAAAAAUCAUGUGGUAUAAUAAUUGCCACGUGUUAAAGUUAUUUUCUUUAAAAAUUAAUUAUAGUAAUGAUGAACUCAUUUGUCUUAUCAAAGUAAAUAAAAAUAAAUAAAUAAAAGAAAAAAAGAAAAAGAAAAAAGGUGGUAGUUGGCUGGAGGUUAGAGAGGAGGGUUUGAAGGUAAAUUUGGAAUAUUGAUUAUUUUCACUAAGUAGAUAUUUUGAAAGUUAUUUUGCCUGAAACCCAUAUUGUUUGAAAAUAAAAAAUCAAAGUUUAAAAAAAAUACAAUUUUUUUGAAAUGAUGCAUGAUUACAUCAUUCCCCUGAUAGAUUAUUUAUUCCUUUAAACUUUACUUCAAAUAAAAUAAUUUUAAUUAUUUUCUUUUUGGAAUUAUAUUUAACAUAUUAUUAAAAAUAUAAAAAAACAUUUUAAUAAUAUUGUUAAUGAGUUUUUUUUAUAUAUAUUUUGUAAAAUAAUUAAAUUUAAAAAUAUUUAAAUUUAGUUAUGGGCUGCCCAUUUCAAAAUAAUAAGAAUCUAGUAACCUAAUUUUUCCAAAUUCCAGGUAAAUAUGCUAAUCUAAAAAUAAAUAAAAAAAUAAAAAUUAGUUUUUAUGUGCUGAUUGGGUUUUUUUUCCUUUAAUUAAAAAAAAAGGAAAAAAACAAAAGUGUGUGAUCCUCUUUCUCGAGUCUUCACAUUUAGAGACACUGAACCCAAAUCAAAAUUAAUCCUUCAAAUUAAUUUUCACCUCCAAACAUAGCUAUCCGAAAAACCCUAACCUCUGCCUCCUCUUCCUCUUAUCCCGGAAACCUAAAUUCCGUGACCCUAACCCCUUCUCUUUCCGAAAACCCUCCGGAAUCGGAAAAUUCAUAAUUCUUCAGAAUUAAUUUUCACCUCGAAGCCAAACCCUAACUGCCUCAUCUUCCUCUCAUUCAUAUCCCAAAAGUAGCUUCAACAGUCAGGCCUGUAGCCAUGAAAGCCGUAGUGAUCACUACUUCCGGUGAUCCCCAAGUUCUCCAAGUGCAAGAAGUCGAAAACCCUGAAAUUGGAGAUGAUGAAGUUCUAAGUAGAGUGGACGCCGCUGCCAUUAACCGAACAGAUACGCUUCAGAGGAAGGGCUUGCACCCUUCCUCAAAGGCGGCAGUCCCUACCCGGGUCUCGAAUGUUCUGGAAUCAUCGAAGCUGUUGGAAAAGCCGUCGUUCGAUGGAAGGUUGGCGAUCAGGUAUUUCAAUUGCCUAAUAUUUUGAUUUCGUUUCUGUUCCUCUGUUUUUCUCGGCUAUCAAACACUAGGAACGUGUAAAUAAGGAGGUUAGUUGAUUGCGAAAACGGGAAUUUUUUGUUCGUGUCUGUGUUAAGGAGUCUUUGUUGAGAAUUUUGGGGAAAUUUAUGAUAAGUUUGUGAUUUUAUGAUUAAUUUUGUGUAUCAAUAUAGGUUAAAUUAUUGAGCUUAUUGGUUUUCAAAUUUAUGGUUGUAAGAAAAUUGGUCAGUGUAAGGUUAUGGGAUCAUUACCAAUUUGCUUACUGAAAAUUUUUCCAGAUAUUGUGGACCGGUUUGGUAGCAGAAAUAAGAACUGUGUUUUGUUUUUCAAAACGGAAAUGGAUGCAGAAAACAUGUUUUUCUUUCAGAACUUGUUUCCGAAAAUAUUUCCUGAAAAUGAAUUAUUUCAGAACUUGUUUUAAAAAAAUUCAAACACUUUAUCAAUUUAAAAGGUUCUGAAAUGGACAUGUUCAUGGUCUUCAUUUUUUAAAAUUAAAGCUUUUAUGAAAAAACCAUUUUCCCUUCUACUAAACAAACAGGCUCUAUAUUGUAACAGAUCGAUUGGCCAUUUCCUUUGUCAUGUUUUGUGAAUCAUGGCAACACUGGAAUCCACUCCAUUACCAUCUGUUAGUGAUUAGAAGACAAAGCACCAAUUUUAAUGAUAUCCUUUAUGUGAUUUUGCUUCCUCCUGAGUACAAGUUCAUAGUAUACAUGGUACAUGGUGAAUCUGUAUGACAGUUCAUGGUAUACAGGUGUGUGCUCUUCUUUCUGGUGGAGGGCAUGCUGAAAAAGUGGCUGUUCCAGCUGGGCAAGUUCUCCCUGUCCUAUCUGGUGUUUCUCUGAAGGAUGCUGCUGGAAUUCCUGAGGUUGCAUGUACUGUUUGGUCAACUGUUUUAAUGAUGAGCCGACUGUCUGCAGGAGAAACAUUCCUGGUGAAUUUUUUGUCUUUUUUAUUUUCUGAUGCCUGAUAUAUUUACCAGCACAAAUUUACCCUGUUGCUGUUUAAUGUGUGUGCAUCAAUAUUGGAUUAGGGAGGUAGAAGAGCCAUGGUUCUAAUUAAAUCAUUACAUCAUCAUAUUCUUAUUUAGAUACAUUGUAUCCCACAAUUUCAUUGCAUCCAAGGCUAUGUUGUUUUUUAUUGCACGGUUUGUGUCAUGGUAAUUUCUCAACCCUUCUCUGGAAAAUUAUGUUGGAUGGCUGCUAUUAAUUACCCCAAAAGAAGAAAUUUUAUGUUGAAGUAAGAUGAGUAGCACAAAGAGUUACUUGUGGUUGAUCCUAUCAUCAAAUGGGCGAUUGAUGCACAAUCCAAAUGGUAAAUUUUUUUCCCCCUUUAUCCAGAUGGAAUUUUUAUGCAUGGUUGAAUAGUGAAAUGAGGACUGAUAAUAUUUCAGGUUCAUGGGGGUUCAAUUGGAAUUGGUACCAUCUAUUCAAAUAGUGAAAUACUGAGGAGCAAGGGUAUUUGUUACAGCAGGUUUGCCAUCACUGUUCUACCUCAUCUCACAGAAUGCUUAUCUCAUGGCACCAAUUCCUUUUCUUCACAUGUUUUCAACCAUUUUUUCCACCCAGGAACGAGGAAAAAUUAGCUGUUUGUAAGGAUCAUUGAGCAGAUGUGUGCAUCAAUUACAAGACUGAAAACUUUGUUGCAUGGGUGAAGGAGGAAACAGGAGGGAAAGGUAUAAUCUAUUGUAUCUUAACGAUAAUUUCAAUUGAAGGUGGAAUUGCUUUUUAAUUUUUAGUGCACCAAAUCCACUAGUCUGGAAUGUUUGAAAAGAUAAAUAGUCAUCUUCCACUUGAUACCGAUUGUGAAGAUCUAACCCCAAAAAUGUUGAAUGACAGGUGUUGAUGUUAUACUGGAUAAUAUUGGAGGGGCCUACUUUUGGGGAGACAUCAAUGGUUUAAAUGUUGAUGGAAGGCUUUUUAUUAUUGGUUUUCAGGGUGGAACAGUGGUACAAGUAAAUCUUUCAGGUUUACUUGCAAGGCGCCUUACAGUGCAAGGUACCGCUUUCUCUGUAGUUUUGGAGUUGAAUCAAUUUGAUUAAUCUCAUCCAAGUUCAGAACUGAGGUGGAUUCUGGCAAGCCAAGGAAAAACCAAAUUACCAUAAAUUCUUUUUUUCUUGGAAAUCCUGUUUCUCAAUCUGGUCAGUAUAUGGAAAUUCCAAGGAAAAUAUGUUUUACAUUUUCCAUAAGGCUCAAUGGGUUUUAACUCCACUCAGCUACUUUAUGUCUUGUAUUUAAUAUUGCAAACCAAAAUAAUAAUACGUAGAGAUUGAGCUUGGAGGCCAAUCUAGCAAAUGUGGAGAUUAGAAAUAGUUUACCAUCUAGAUAGUCAAGCAUAGCAAUUUACCAAACCCUUACCAACCAUCCAUACUAACCAAUUGUGGUUAAAUGUUUACAAAAAUGUACAUUAAAUCAAAGAGAAAAAAGAUUAAAAACGAACAAGAGAGAAGAAGUACGUCACCUAAUUUUGGUAAUAAAUGAAAUUAAAAUAAAUUCAUAAAUUUUUUAAAUUAAAAUGAAUUUGAACUCUAGAGAUUUGUGUAGAUAUCUUAUUAAAAAACCAAAAAGUUUGUUGCAUAUAUAAUUUCAACAAUGCAUAAAUAAUUACAACAUACGCAAUACAAUAAUAUUACACAACUAUAUUUUCAAAUAUAGUAUAAGAUCAUUAAAGUGAUAAAUUGUAGUUGUAUAAAAUAUUUAUACAAGUAAAGAAGAAAUUAUGAGAUUGAAAUGCUUGUUGGAUUCUAAGUAAAAAGGAAAUGAGAUAUAGAGAUUGUCCCAUCAGACAUAGAAUUUCAUAUACAUAAUUUUCCCUUCAAGAAAAUUUAGGGUCAAAUUGAAAAAUUUUCAUUCAUAGAUUUUGGUAAAACCUCUAUCUAGUCCUCCAAAUCUUGUAUACAAAAGGAAAUAACAUUGGUAUGAGGGGUUUGAAUGCUUAAUUUUAGAUUGAAAAUGCUUGAGAUAAUUUUUGAUCGACUUCACAUGUGUUUUUGAUAAACUUGGAACAUUCAAACUUGUAUUUGAAGAAUCUUCAAAUCUUCAAUUUGAUCUUAAAUAAUGUUGAAACCUUCGAAAUUUGAAUAGAAGAAUCUUUAAGCAUUUGAAUUUUGGUUUAAAGAAUUUUGAAAUUUGAGAUUGAAGAAUCUUCAAAUUUGGGCCUGAAGAUCAAAGGCUAAGCUUGAAGAGUUCUUGAAGCUUGAGUGGUAUCUCCGAUUUUGUUUUGUAUUUCAUAAAAACUUUUAAGUAUACUAUAUUUAUAGGUUUGAAGAGACAUUGAGAUUUUGUAUACAUGUUUGGAGUUUUAAACCUUGAAAUAUUACUCUUUUAUGAAAUUAACAUUUAUAAAAUUUGGAAGAACAUAAUUAGAUAAUAUUCUAAGUUAUUUUUAAUGAAAAUUGAUAAUUACCUUUUAAUUAUCAAAUUCACUAUUUCUAUUUAUUUUUGUAAUAUAUAUUAAUUACUAAAAUCAUUUAUUUCCUUUAUUUAGUUUGAAAGCAAUUAUAUAUCUUUUGUUUGUGUAGAGCUCAUGUGACACGACAAAUUUUAUUUUGUAACUUGCUCUGGAUGAAUGGCCAUUAUAAACUUCAUUUUAUCCUCAUCUGAUUUUGAGGUGGGAAUAGGAGAGAUGAGGAUUUGACAUUUGGACCUAAGCCUCAGAGGGUUUUAACUCCACUCAACUACUUUAUGCCUUGUAUUUAAUAUUGCAAACCAAAAUAAUAACAGACAUGAUCCUUUUCAAAAUUUUUAUAAUAAUAGAAGUGUAAAUAAUAUAAGUAAAAAUAAUAUAAUAUUUUUUAAAAUGAUAAAAUAAUAGGUUAUAUAAAUUUUAAUAUAUAGGUAAAAUUAAUUAAAUUUUAACAAAUACCUUCACACUUAAACAUUACAUAUCUUUUAUUUAAUAAAAUGUUAAAAUAUUAAUAUAUUUAAAAUUGUAUAAUUAUUUUUUAUUUUAAUACUAUAUAAAUUAUAUAUUUAUGAUAUUACUGGUUCAACUAUAAUUCAAUCACUGAUCCAACCAUUGAACCAUGAAUUAGUAAAUUUUUUUAUUCAAUGAUAGGUUUGAUUCUAAAAAUAUUAUGACUAUGUUUGGUUCCAGAAAUUUUUUUUUGAUGGAUUACAUCAAUCUAGAUAAUGACAAAGAUAUUACCAAUUUGAUAUCACCAAUUGAUAACACAAUUAAAAAAUAAUAUGCAUUUUAACAUAUUUGAAUUCAUUGUACUCAUAUCCAUGACCUAAUUUUACACAUCCUUAAAUCAUGGUUGAUUUAUGAAACAAAUCUAUACCAUCAAUAGAAAAUAAAUAAAUAAAAUAAUACAAAAAAAUAUAUAGAUAGUCAAGCAUAGCAAUUUACCAAACCCUUAGCCACCAUCCAUACUAACCAAUUGUUGUUAAAUGUUUACAAAAAUAUACAUUAAAUCAAAGAGUAAAAAGAUUAAAAACGAACAAGAGAGAAGAAAUACAUCACCUAAUUUUUGUAAUAAAUGAAAUUAUAAUAAAUUCAUAAUUUUUUUAAAUUAAAAUAGAAAUUCAAAUACAUGUAACUAUUGUUUUUGUCUUGUAAAUCAUCCAAUUUUUCAAUGAAUUUAAACUCCACAUAUUUGUGUAGAUAUCUUAUUAAAAAAAACAAAAAGUUUUCACUAAAAUCAUAAAAUUUAGAUUAGAAAUGAUUUACUAUAUUAGUUCAAAAUUCAUCUCCACAAAAAUUGAAAUAAAUUAAUUAUCUUGAUCAAUUCAAAUAAAAUUUCUCCAAUUAAAUUUCCAAAUAUGUGCCUUAAUACCUAUAAUGGAAUUAGUAAUUUUAAUUAAAAAAUAAAUAAAAAUAAGGAUUUGAUCUUUUUCUUACCAUUUGAUGAAAAUUAUAAAAUAUACUAAAAUGACAAGUGAUCAGACAUUUGAAAUUUGCAUCAUUUCUACCAUUGCAAACACCACCAACUCCAUAUUUCCCAUUUUUCUACCUACUGCCAAUUCACUCAUCUCUCUGGGAAGAUUUUUGAGGUUAUCGCCAUGCUUGAGAUAAUCCAGAAAGUUGAGCGGCAUCACUCUCUGAAAGGUGCCUUACAGCAUGGGUAAUGUAUGGGAUACAUCUGAUAGCUUGCCAUAUCCAUAAACCACUAUAUUAAACCAUGGUUCAUAUCCCCAACGCCACACGAGAAUCUGUACUCAUCCCAAGCAGCUUGGAGAUCAUAAAAUUAGGUUUUGAGGGCCUCCCGAGACAUGCACAGCUUCACCUUUGUGCAUUCCUUUGAUUUGGAAAAUUUCUUCUGUAAAAUCCCCCAUUAUCAUGCCCUGAACCAAGACAAUUUCACAAUAUCCAAUAGCAUAUCAUUUACUUCCAUUUUGUCAAUGGGAAUUACCAUUUUGCAUGGGAAGCACCAACGGAGAUAGGGGUUUUCAAAUUGGAUCACUAGCAAAGAAACCCACCGCAACGAUCUGAAUAAUUGAGCACAACAUCCACUUUAGAGAACCCCUCCUGAAGGCGAAAUCGUCAUCUUGGCUAAACGUAGUCAUAGUUGGGUUGUGAGAAAUGGAGAUGAAUCACAGAAGGCUUUCAGUUUGAUAGCAACGAAAAGGUAAAUGUACUCUAGAGAAGUUUUGACCUUGGGAGAAGCGCUUUUGAAUCCAAGUCAAGGUCUGUUCUGGAUCCCUUUUCGACUCUCUCUAUUAAAGGAAGAUAAUCUGCCCAGGAUUUGGAUGCAAGCCUACAAGGCCAUGUUUAGGAGACUUAUGCAAAAUAUUUAUCCAUAGCUCCCCGCCUGAAACAUCUACAUAAAGCGUCUUCCAAGUGUGAACCAUCGUCUUGGGUCCUUGAGAUGAACAAAAACUGAGACAUGUCGUGAGUUAGAUGCAUUGCCUGAAAAUGCCGAGCAGUAGUAUGGCCUUCUUUCUGAUCAACUGUUUUGUCAAAUUCUAGAGCUCUCAUUCCAAAUCCAUCAGUUUUCUCAAAUGAUUGGCCAGUGGAGAUCCAUGGAUAUAACAUAUGAAAUGUGCACAAUAAAAGUAAUCAAACGGUUGGUUGGUUUGGCUGAAUCCCACAAUCGCAAAGACUUAUCAUAUGAAACUGUUACCAACUGAGUUGAAUUUGGCCUAAAAAGGAUAUCCGUUACUACAAACUAGCGUUCUUUCGUGGUGCUCUCUCUUUGCAGGCUAUCCAUGUUCCAAAGAAAAACUCUCUUGUCAUGUCUGGCACUGGGCACUGAUUAGAGUGUGGGACGUUCAUUCUCCAUUAUCACCAAACACAUGCAGGAUAUAUAUAUAUCAAUUCAUUCAAAAUAUGCCUUUAUUUUAUGGAACAUACCCGAAUCCAUUUUGUUUGUGUUGAAGAGGUAUAGAUCUUCUAAGGCUAUGGAGGGCACCACCUUUUCUCAGAAUUCUCUCUGACGAUGGGAAGCCGAAGAGAACGGGUUUUGUUUUUAUUUUGAAAACGUUGUUAUCCUUAAAGAACAAACACUAUUCUUUGGAUUUAUACCCUCCUACCUUAGGGACCAUACCGUUUGGCUACUGGGCCUCACGAGUCUUAGGCCCAUCAUCUAAGGCCCGUGAUGGCACUGGGCUCUACACAUAAGGUGGCCCAUACUCUAGAACGAAUAGAAAUCAUAUGUAUAUAUAUGGAUAGCUAAAUCCUGAAUAAUGGUUAAUAUGAUGUCGGUCCACAUUUAUUCUAUCAAUCUCCCACUUGGACCACAUAUAUUACAAAACAAUGUUCAUGAUAGUACUUUAUUGAGCUCAUCUUUGCUAUCCUAUCUUAAUAUCCUUAAACAAUCUGGUCUACUAGUUAUGCUAACAUAGGAUCAAAGUGGCCUUCAUUAAUCAUAAUUAUAACUAGACCCAUCAAUGAUCACAACAUUAACAAAAUUAGCAACAUAGAUCAAGUAUGGAUGUGUAGCAUGAAAAUUACAUAAAAUGUGAUCUUUAUUAUGUCUAUUUCCAAUUGGUCCUACUUUAUGACUAAAAAAUAGUCAAAUUCCACUUUCAACACUUGAUGCUAAACUGCUUCUGAAAGUCAUCAUUUCAAUUCAGAGAAUUCAAAUACAAUAGUCUUUAAAAUCAAGGUUUGUUGCGUACAUUAUUGGAAUGUUCAGCAAAUAUUUGAGUAACCCAAGUAUGGAUUACUGGAAAAAGGCAAAAUAGGUUAUGCGGUAUUUACAAAGAACUAAAGAUUAUAUGCUCACAUACCGUAGAUCCAGUCAUUUAGAGAUCAUGGGAUAUUCGGACUCCGAUUUCGCGGGAUGUCUUGACAACAAGAGAUCCACUUCAAGCUUCAUCUUCAUGUUGGCUAGAUGAACAGUUUCAUGGAAAAGUGUUAAACAAAUACUUAUUGCUUCUUUCACCAUGGAGGCAGAAUUCAUAGCCUACUACAAAGCAUCAAACCAUGGGAUAUGACUGCGGAAUUUUGUCACUCAGUUGCGAAUCGUUGAUGAGAUUGAGAAAUCAUUAAGAAUAAAUUGUGAUAAUAAAGCCAUAGAAUUGUAAUUCUAAGAACAACCGAAGUUCGUCAAAGUCCAAACACAUUGACAUCAAGUUCUUGGUUGUGAAAGAAAGAGUUUAGAGUCUUCAAGUAUCAAUUGAACAUACAAGCACAAACUCCAUGAUUGCGGAUCCGCUCACUAAGGGUUUGCCACCCAAAGUAUAUCAUGAGCAUGUCACACAUAUGGGUGUUGUACAUAUUGAUGAUGUUCCAGUAUAGUGGGAGUUUGUAUUUAGAUUUUGUGUUUGUUUUCUUGAUAUGAUGUUAUAUUGUGUUAUCGUGUACAAACUUGUGCAUACAUGAGACUUCCUAUUGUUGAGGCAUAGGGAAACCUCUUCAUAUCCUUCUUUUUAAGUUCAUUUUUCGGACAUUGGUGCAAACUAAAUUUAUCGCCUUUUGCUACAGGCAUGUCUCCUGGUGUACAAUUGCUCAUGCCAAAUCUACUCAACACCUUAUCGAUGUAGGCCUUUUGUGAUAACCCAAGUAUACCUCUUAAACGAUCCCUAUAGAUCUGUAUACCUAGCAAAAAAGAUGCAUUACCAAGAUCCUUCAUGUCAAAUUUACUAGACAAAAAUAGCUUAGUUUCAUGCAAAAGUCCCACAUCACUACUUGCAAGUAGAAUAUCAUCAACAUAUAGCACCAAGAUAAUGAAUUUGCUCCCACUAAACUUGAGAUAUAUGCAUUGAUCAAUGGUGUUUUCCUUAAAACCAAAUGAAGUAAUCACCUGAUUAAACUUUUGGUACCAUUGUCAAGAUGCUUGCUUUAAACCAUAUAUGGACCUUUUUAAUCUGCAUACAAGUUGCUUUAAAUCAUUAGACUCAAAGUUCUCCGGUUGCAUCAUGAAUAUUGUUUCAUCAAUGUUACCAUUAAGAAACGCAGUUUUAACGUCCAUUUGAUGCAACUCUAAAUCAUAAUGAGCCACAAGUGCCAUGAUGAUUCUAAAGGAGUCAUUUGACAAAACCGAUGAAAAAAUCUCCUUAUAAUCAAUGUCUUCCUUUUGAGUGAAACCUUUUGCGACUAGACGUGCCUUAUACCUAACAAUGUUGCCUUUUGAAUCCCACUUGGUCUUAAAAAUCCAUUUACAACCAAUCGAUUUUACACUUUCAGGCAACUUUACUAGGUCCCAAACACCAUUAUCUUUCAUUGAUUUCAUCUCAUCUUUUAUGGCUUCUAUCCACUUUUCAGAGUCAGAACUUUGUUUGACUUGACUAACUGAAAUUGGAUCAUCUUCCAAACCCAUGUCAAACUCUUGUUCCUGGAGAUGUACAACAUAAUCAUCUGAAAUUGUACUUCUCAUUUCUCUAGUGGAUCUCCUUAGUGGCACUUGUAUUUGAGGUUCUUGAGGCUGUUGAGUUACCUCUUCAUAAACUUGAACCGGUUCCAUAACUUGAGCAGGAGGAAUCUCAAGUGUGUUUUGAAUCUCUGUUAUUGAUUGUACAAUCUGGAUAGUGUCAUCAAACAUAAUAUGACCAUGUCCAGUCGUAAUAAUAGGAAUACUAACAGAUUCCUCUUCAAAUACCACAUUUCUUAACGGUUCUCUCCCAUUUAACUCAACAUCCUCAAUAAAUUUAGCUUUGCCCGUUUCAAAAAAGGAUCUAGUUGAGGGGUCAUAAAACUUGAAACCUCUCAACCUUUUAGAAUAUCCUACAAAGUAGCAGCUCACUAUUCUAGAGUCCAAUUUCUUUUCAUUUGGUUUUUAAGGCCUAUCUUCAGCUGGACAACCCUAGACAUGCAAGUGCCUAAUACUAGGUUUCUUGCUAGUUCAUAACUCAUAUGAGGUUUUGGCUACUGCUUUGCUUGAGACUCUAUUCAAAAUAUAAAUUGUUGUUUUGAUGGCUUCGCCCUAAAGUGAUUCUGGUAAGGUGGAAUGACUGAUCAUACUUCUUACCAUAUCCUUAAGAGUACGAUUUCGCCUAUCUGCUACACCAUUUUGGAUUGGAGUCCCCAGCAUGGUGUAUUGAGGAACGAUACCACACUCCAUCAAAUAUUUGGCGAACAGCCCUGGACGUUGUUCACUAGAUCCGUCAUAUCUACCAUAAUAUUCACCUCCACGGUCAGAUCUGACGACCUUUAUUUUCUUGCUUAGUUGGUUCUCAACUUUAGCUUUGAAAUUCUUGAACACAUCUAAUGAUUGAGACUUCUCAUGAAUCAAAUAAAGAUAGCCAUAGCGCGAGUAAUCGUCAAUGAAAGUGAUAAAAUAUUAUUGUCCAUUCCAAGAAGGGGUAGGAGAUGGACCACAAAUGUCCGUAUGUAUCAAUUCAAAGACGUCACUGCACUUGUUAACAUCAUUUUUUUUCUCAUAUUUGUUUGUUUACCCUUAAUAUACUCUAUACAGACUCGAAAGUAUAAGAAAUUAAGUGGAUCAAGAAUUCAUUCUGACACAAGCCUUUGAAUACGUUGAUUUGAAAUAUGACCCAAAUGCCUGUGCCAUAACAUCGAUGAAUUCUCAUUUGUUAAUUUCCGUUUAAUGUCAUAAUUACUUGAAUUCAAGGUUUCAUUUUCAUUAGUGGUCUUUAUGUUUAAUUUGUAUAAUUUGUCUGUUAGAUUACCUGUACCAAUAACAUUUGAAUUUAGAUAAAGACUAACCAUUCCAUUUCUAAAUGAACAAUAAUAUCCAAAGUACAUCCAGAGUCUAACUGUAAUCUAAAAAGACCAAUAGUCUUGACUGCAACCUUGUUGCCAUUUCCCGCAUAGAUGUAUCUUUCACCAUCAAUUGGCAUUCGGCUCCUUAGGCAACCCUACAUCGUGACACUUAUGUGAGUAGUUGCACCCGUAUCUAUCCACCAAGUGUCAGUAGGCACUACGACUAAAUUAAUUUAUGAACAAACAAAGUUGAGAAGUGUACCUUUCUUUUCACGCCAAGCAGCGUAUUUGGUACAUGUCUCUUCAUAUGACCAACCUUCUUGCAAAAGAAACAAGUCAUCUCCUUAUCUUGUUUCUUCUACACCUUUUGCAUUGAUGUCCCAAAAAUUGCAGUUUGUUUUUCUUUAUUGUCCCUUUUUCUUUUCUUGUUGGUACCAAAUCCCUGAGAUGUGGAAGCCAAGUGAGCACUUUCUAUCUUUUCUUGUUUCAAUCUCUCAUCCUUUUGUGCACAUUGAGCAAUAAGCUCAUUCAAAGUCCAUUUUUCUUUUUGUGUGUUGUAACUGAUUUGGAAUGGACUGAAUUGUGUAGGCAGAGAGAUCAAGACCAAGUGCACGAGUAUGUCUUCUGAAAACUCUAAUUUUAGUACCUUUAGUCUAGUCACAAGAUUAGACAUUUCCAUAAUAUACUCCCUUAUAUUCUCUUUCCCUUUGUACCGCAUAGAGACAAGCUUACUAAGAAUAGUGCUUGUCUCAACCUUUUCAUUUGUAGUGAAUCGGUUUGCUAUCUGGUCUAAGAAUGCCUUGGCUCGAGUUUUCUCAGGUAUUGCACUUCUUACAGCUUUUGGAAUUGAGUGCUUUGUUAUCAUUAGAGUCAUGCGAUUGGAUCGCUCCCAUUUUUCCAUAGUAGAACUUUGCUCAGCAGUGCUGGCACUAGUAAGAUCUGGAGGGCGAUCCUCUCUUAAUGCAUAGUCUAAAUCCAUGCACCCGAGCACAAUUAUAGCGUGUUUCUUCCAUUUCUUGAAGUUUGUGCCAUUAAGUGCAGGAAUGUUAUUAACAUUUGCAGAUAUAGAAUAUGUUGAAUUCAUAAUAAUAAAGCUCACAAUCAGUCACAUAAAUAUCAUACAUACAUGAAAAAUAACAUCAUACAAGAUACUUAGCACAAACAUUAAUAUUCUGUCUUUGGACAAUAAAUAUUAACUUGUAAUUGGUAUCCUUAUUCAAAAUUAUUCAUAAAUAUUGACAAUAAAACCAAAAACAAUAUGCUUGUCUUUAGACUAACAUAUCGAAUGCAAGAUAAACUUUAUAUGUCACAUAUUUAUGACUACUUUAUUUAUUAUUAUAUUAAAAUAAUCUUCCUUUGGGCCAAUUAUUUUAAAUAAUAAUAAUAACAUGUUUAGAUAUUAUAAAAUAAAUAAAUUAUAUAAUAUAAGUUACUUUGACAACUAACAUACAUAAUUCAUUUAUUUUAAAAUAUUAAACACAAACAUAACAAGAAAUAAUAAAUUCAAUUAAAAUUAUUUAUUUAUUUAUGCAUAAACCCAUGUAUAUAUAUAUAUAUAUAUAUUAAUUGAAGCAUAAAAAACCAUCUACAUGUGUAUAUAUAUCAAUUGAAGCAUAUAUACAAGCUUUAGUCUAAUGGUUUAAGCAAAAAAUAGGCCAUGGUAAAGGGUUUAAGCCAACCCGCCCCUUUAGUUUGGUUUUUGUUUUUUUUUUUUUGUUUUAAUUUCUUUUGGGCUACUGACCAUGCAUUCUCUCAUGGCCCAACGACCACUUAUGGUCACUUACAAGCCAAGCCCCUUCCAUAUAUAUAUAUAUAUAUAUAUGUUUUUAUUUAUUUAUUUAAAUUUUGUCCAUUGCAGCCCAAAGCGACCAUCCCUUGUAAUGGCAUCAUCAACGGUGCCAGAGCUGUCCUCGAACGACACCGAUAGUGAAACGCUGCCACCAUCACCGGAACGGUGAUUUCCCAUCGCCAAACGACGGUGUCACUACCGGAAUGAUGCUGUAACAGCAUCGCUGGGAAGCAACCUAACUUGUGGCGUGACACCAUGACAAGCAAUGCCACUAGCAGUGAAACGCUGUCGCCAUCACCGAAACGGUGAUUUUCCAUUGCCAAACAAUGGCGCCACCACCGGAACAACGUUGAAACAACAUCACUGGGAAGCAGCCCUACCCGUGGCACCAAAAUGGCGCUUGGAUGGCAUUUGGAACACUUGCAACAACGUUCAAAUCAGCGCUUCUCACUGGCAAAUGACGCUUGAACGACAUCUGGAAAUAAUGCCUACAACGCCUAAAAAUUGUGCUAUUUUGAACUCUUAAAACAACGUUGAAAUGACGUCUACCAAAGUCUGGAAUUGCACCGCUGUCUAGAACGAUGCCAUGAUGGUGUCUCACUCGCCUUAAAUGGCACCAACCACCAUGACUUGCAACCUAAAAAAUGGCACUUGAACAGCGCCUGAAGCGUGCCUGGAACGACGCUACAAACGAUGCCUGAAAUGGUGCCUUUUGUAUGCCUGAAAACGACAUAGGAAUGACGCUUAAACUACGUCCAUUUUGAACGCCUGAACGGUGUCCUAACGGCGCCUGAAACGAUGCCUGAAUGACGCCUGGAAUUGGCCCAGAUUUAUUUUAUGUUGUUUCCUUCCUCUUGGAUCUUUUGUUUGUGUUUUAAAAAAAAAAAUGUUUUGGUGAAAAUGGGAAAUGCAACCAGGCUCUGAUACCAUUUUGUGGGACGUUCAUUCUCCAUUAUCAUCGAACACAUGCAAGAUAUAUUUAUAUAUAUCUAUCAAUUCAUUCAAAAUAUGCCUUCAUUUUAUGGAACAUACCCGAAUCCAUUUUGUUUGUGUUGAAGAGGUACAGAUCUUCUAAGGCUAUGGGGGGUACCACCUUUUCUUAGAAUUCUCUAUGACGAUGGGAAGCCAGAGAGAACAAGUUCUAUUUUUAUUUUGAAAACGUUGUUAUCCUUAAAGAACAAACACUAUUAUUUGGAUUUAUACUCUCCUACCUUAGGGACCAUACCCUUUGGCUAUUGGGCCUCACGAGUCUUAGGCCCAUCAUCUAAGGCUCGUUAUAGCACUAGGCUCUACACAUAAGGUGGCCCAUACUCUGGAAAGAAUAGAAAUCAUAUGUAUAUAUAUGGAUAGCUAAAUCAUGAACAAUGGUUAAUAUGAUGUCGGUUCACAUUUAUUAUAUCAUAGAGACUUCCCAUAUGAAGAAAAUCGACAGCAGGUAGCUUUGCCAUUCUUAGUCUGUAUACAACCAACCUUAGCAAGGAUUGAACCCUUUUAUGCUUAGUUGUGCCAUAAAGAUCCUUACCACUGCCUAUAACAUGUAAUCAAAAUGAUUCGAUAAUAUCAUCUAGUGAACCAAUACCUCCAAAUGAGAGACCAUUGCCUUGGUAACUAGGGCUCAUGACUGAGAAUUGCUUGAACCCCUUUGCUUGGGUUGGAGCUUGACUGAUGCACAAAAUAUUCAUAGGCCUCUUCCCAUAACUGGCACCUUGUGUUUGCAACAUAAUUGAACAUGUAUUGAAGUGAGUUUUUUUGCAUCUUUUUGUAAGAAAAUUCUAAACAACAGAGAUUGCUUAGUGUGCCCGGCUCCUCGGGGAAUCAAGGUUCAUUCCUGUAGGGCCAAUUUUUUCACAGUCGAACUAGAUAACAUGGAGAGUAUGUUGCAAUGCUUCAACGGGGUAUUUCUUAGGAAAAUCCACCUGAAGCUAGUACAAUUCGUUGGCGUACUGAGUUCCUGGAGCUCUAUUGACUUCAAUCACCCAUCUUUGUAGAUUAUCGGUGACUUAUGCUCGGAUCCUGUAGGAGGAUUGACCUGACAUUCCACUAGCUCUUUCUGGAAGGCGAUCUUGUUUAACACCUUGUGAGAAGAGGCAAGGGAACUGGUCAUUGUUUCUUCGAGAAGAUCAGUGGCCGAGGAUGGGUUUGGAUCAGAAUUGCUAUAUGGGUUUUCUUUGGGUGAACCAAUUAGUGAAGUGGGUGGCUAUAUAGCAACUGAAGGGUAGUCAUACUAACGAGGAACUAUUAUUUCAUGCAUGUGGAGAGGAAAUGAGUAGAUUCUUCAGGGAUAUAUGAUUAUUCAUCUCUAGCUUACGUUGAAUAUCUCCUAACAAAUUUAUGCUUUGAAGCUCCCUUAGUUUCAUUACAGCUAACUUGGCCAACUUGGUUUCAUCAUGUUUCCUACAACCUCUAAGCAAAGCACGCCAGAUCACCAAAUCAGGUUCUAUUCGCAUUUUGUCCAUAAACUCCUUUGCCUAUUGACAAUAGACUGCCCCUCAAAAUUUGAUGAGAUAACAUCAACGCUGACAGGUUGGCCAUCCCCAUAAGCAUCUUUAUAGAGAUUGAUUCUAUGUUUAGAUAUUUCUCUCUCCUCAAGUGAGUUCAAUUUUUUUGUAACAUCCUUCUCCUUCUCUACUAAUAGUCUUAGCUGAACAUCCAACCUAUGUUCCUAAAGUGCCAGCAUCUCAUAUCUGAUGACAAGCCAACAACCUUGCCCUUGCUGAGACCAAUGUUUUUAAGGCGUUUGUGGGGCGCGCCUUGAGGCGAGGCGCAGCGAAAACGUGUUGAGGCGUUAAAAAUAAAAUGAAACACCUGAAAGGCGUACGCUUUUCCGAUGAGGCGUGAUUGAGGCGUGCUUUGAUCGCGCCUUUCACACUCCAAGAAGAAGGUGUAUGCUUCCUCGGAUCUGAUGUGGCAAUGAACAGAGAUUUAAAAAAAAACCCUAAGUAAUCCCUAAAACCCUAGUCCCGACUGAAAACAAACCCAAAACGAAACCCUACCUCCAACGACUCAAGUGGCGACGGAGUGCUCACCCUCGGCUGCGACCAAUCGCAAUGCAUCUUCUCCGGCGACGAUCCCUCUCAUUCAUCUCCAGGUAUGUUGCGAACUCCUUCUUCCAUGGUUUCUCCCUCUUCGUUUCUCUUUCUGCAAUCCACACGGGCUUCGUCGACUCUUCAUCCAAAUUUUUUUUUUAUCAAAUCAGUUAUGUAUAUCUAUUUAAAUUUUAAACCCUUUUUUCUCUCUCUUACAGUAUAUCUAUUUAAAUUCUUUCUCGGCAAUCCACAGCCCACACUUCCAGUCCACACUUUUCUCUCUCUCCCAAUAGGCUUUUCAUUUUCCUUUUUUUUUUUUUUUUUUUUUUAAAUUAUCAAAUCAAAUGUGCCUUUUGUUAAUAAGAUUUUUUUUGAAGUUUUUUAUAUGUUUGCUUAUAGUAUCAACAAAAAAAUAUAAUUAAAAUUAUAUAAAAGACAAUUAUUUGUGAAUUUUGAAUUUUUUAUUUCUGGUUUAAUUUUAAUUUUCACCUCAAUUUUCUUUAUUUCAUUAUUAAAUUCCAAUUAAAAUUUAUGUGUAUAAUUUUUAAACUCUUUUAAAAAAAAUUGGUUUUUUUUUAAUUUAAACCAAUUAAAUUUUGUAUUUCAUUUUUAAAUUUCUUUCAAUUGUGCUUUGUUAUUAUUUUUUUAGUCAAUUAUAUUGUUAUAUGGAAAUUUGAAUAUUAUUAUUGGUGAUUUUUUUUAGAAUGAGUUCCUCUGAUUCAAAAAAUUCAAGAAAGGAUUUUGUGUGGAAGUAUGUGAUGGAAGUUUCUAGAGAGCAAUAUUUAAUAUGUAAAUUUUGCAAUCAAAGAUGUACGGGAAGGGUGAAUAGACUAAAACAUCACUUAGCCGGAACUCAUCAUGGUAUGAAACCAUGCAACAAAGUUAGUGAAGAUGCUAGAUUGGAAUGUAAAGAGGUAUUGGCUAAUUUUAAGGAUCAAAAAACGAAGAGAAAUGAAUUGCUCCAAGAAAUUGGUAUGGGUCCAACUUCAAUGCAUGAAAGUGCCUUGUCUAAAAUAAUAGGGACAUUAGGGAGUGGGAGUGGGAGUGUAAGUGGGAGUGGGGAACCUAUUCCUAGGGGACCCAUGGAUAAAUUUACCACUUCACAACCUAGACAAAGUACUUUGAAUUCAUAGUGGAAGCAAGAAGAAAGGAAGGAAGUGUGUAGAAAAAUUGGUAGGUUUAUGUAUUCAAAAGGUCUCCCAUUCAACACUGUGAAUGAUCCUUAUUGGUUUCCUAUGAUAGAUGUUGUUGCAAACUUUGGGCCCGGGUUUAAGCCUCCAUCUAUGCAUGAAUUGAGGACAUGGAUUCUUAAAGAAGAGGUGAAUGACCUAAGUAUCAUUAUGGAAGAUCACAAAAAAGCUUGGAAACAAUAUGGAUGUUUAAUUAUGUCAGAUGGUUGGACAGAUGGAAAAAGUAGGUGUCUUAUCAAUUUUUUGGUGAAUAGUCCUGCUGGAACUUGGUUUAUGAAAUCAAUUGAUGCUUCUGAUACAAUAAAAAAUGGGGAAUUGAUGUUCAAAUAUCUUGAUGAGGUGGUUGAAGAAAUUGGAGAGGAGAAUGUUGUGCAAGUCAUCACUGAUAAUGCCUCUAAUUAUGUGAAUGCUGGAAUGAGGCUUAUGGAAAAAAAGAGUAGAUUGUGGUGGACUCCUUGUGCUGCUCAUUGCAUUGAUUUGAUGUUAGAGGAUAUUGGAAAGCUAAAUGUUCAUGCUACUACACUUUCUCGAGCUAGGCAAGUUGUGAAGUUUAUAUAUGGGCAUACUUGGGUUCUUAGCUUGAUGAGAACAUUUACAAAAAAUCAUGAACUUAUUCGUCCAGCAAUUACACGGUUUGCUACUGCAUUUCUUACUCUCCAAAGUCUUUAUAAGCAAAAGCAAGCUCUUAUAGCAAUGUUCUCCUCAGAAAAAUGGUGUUCAAGCACAUGGGCUAAAAAGGUAGAAGGUGUGAAAACUCGAAGUACAGUGUUGUUUGAUCCAAAUUUUUGGCUUCAUGUUGCUUUUUGCAUAAAGACCACUGUUCCAUUAGUUAGUGUCUUGAGAGAGGUUGAUUCAGAGGAAAGACCAGCCAUGUGUUAUAUUUAUGAGUUGAUGGAUUUAGUUAAGAAGAAGAUUGCAUUUAAUUGUCGGGGCAUGGAGAGAAAAUAUGACCCAAUUUGGAGAAAAAUUGAUGCAAGAUGGACUCCGCAACUUCAUCGACCUUUACAUGCAGCAGACUAUUAUCUUAAUCCUCAAUUGCGGUAUGGAGAUAAGUUCUCUAAUGUUGAUGAGGUGAGGAAGGGAUUAUUUGAAUGCAUGGAUAGAAUGUUGGAUUAUCAAGAACGUUUAAAAGCUGACAUUCAGUUGGACUCAUAUGACCAAGCAAUGGGUGAAUUUGGGAGUCGUAUUGCAAUUGAUUCUCGAACAUUAAGAAGUCCUACAAGUUGGUGGAUGCGUUUUGGGGGUUCAACACCGGAGUUGCAAAAGUUUGCUAUUCGAGUCCUUAGCCUUACUUGUAGUGCUUCGGGAUGUGAAAGAAAUUGGAGCACAUUUGAAUCGGUAAUACUUCUAUUUUUGUAAAUUUUUAUACAUAUAUUUCUAUUUCAAUGUUAGAGAACUUUAUUUCAUUUUAACACAUAAAAUUGUUUCUUUUAUUAUUUGUAGAUCCAUACAAAAAAAAGAAAUAGACUUGAACAUCAAAAGUUGAAUGCUCUAGUGUAUGUAAGGUACAACACUAGAUUGAGAGAGUGAAGUCUACAAAGGAAACAAAAUGUUGAUCCAACCUUGGUAGAGGAGAUUGAUUCUGAUGAUGAAUGGAUUGCGGAGAAAGAAGAUCUCCUCCUCCCCCUUGAUCUUUGUUGGCUUCAAGAUAAUGAAUUAUUCAAUGUUGAUGCCAUUAGAGUUGUGUCAUCCAACUCCCAAGAGACGCAAGCAUCAUCGGAUCAUAUGGUUUCUUCACAUUCCUACAAAAGGAAACAUAAUGAAGUACCAAGUAAGUACUCAAAAAUUGAAAUCAUAAAUUUGAUUAAAUUUAAUAAAAAAAACUUUUAAUAUUUAAACAUAAUUAAUACUUUAUGCUAGGUACAAGUGGAGGCAAAGGCAAAGAGAAGGAAUUGAAUUUGACACCAAUUGAUGAAGAUGAAGAUUUAGAUGAAAUGGGGAUACAUGAUAGUGGACAUUUUCCUACUAUUGAUACAUUGGAUGAGGAUGAUGAUGACCUUGGAGAGGAGGAUUUAAGUUGAAACAAUUUACUCUAGUUGUUAUUUCAUGACUUAGUUAUGGAUUUUUUGUAAAAGUUUAGAACUAUUAUUAUGGUUGACUCUAUUUUCUAUUUCAUGACUUAGUUAUGGCUUUUUGUUAAAGUUUGAAACUAUUAGUAUAGUUGAAUCUAUAAUCUAUUUUAUGAAUUUGUUAUGGUUUUUUGUGAAAGUAAGGAACUAGUAUGUUUUUUUUUAUGAUUCUAAUGAAUUGUUUUCAUGUUUUUAUUUAUGCUAUUUUAUUUUAUAUAUUUUAAAAUAUUAAUUAAUUAUAUAAUGUGAGGCUCAAAAAGCUUACGCCUCAAUGCCUCGAGGCUUACGCCUCGCCUCACGAACACAAAAACGCCUCGCCUUACGCUUUCGCCUUUAAAAACUUUGGCUGAGACCCAAAUAAGUAUCCAGAACCAUCAUCAUCAACCCUUUCACAAGCCUUUGUAUUUGAAGGUCAGAUUGGGAUUGCUUUGAAUGCACUGACACUGACACUGCAAUACACAAUUGUUUCUUCUCCAAUAAAAACACCACAAAGAGGUGAGGGGACUGGUAUUAGCAAAGAAGUGUUGUUAUCUAUAUUGUUCUGAGCCCGAGUACCAAAAACAAAAUCCUCAUCCUCAUCUAUACUCUUCCAUUACAUCCCUAGGCUUUUCAAUGUGAUCCACAUGGCUUACAGGAAUCCAGAAAUAUCGGUCUGUAUAAAAGUUGCUCUUAUGUGGCUCUCCUAGAAAACAUCCCAAUCAAGAUGAUCAACCUAGCUUAGAUGCUCAACACCCCAAACUUACGAGAAAUAGAGGAAUAAAAAGCAAGGAUAGGAGCCAAAGUAAAAACUGAGGGAAGAGCAAAUAGGAAAUCAAGCAAAACAUGAAUGUACAGAGCCUCAUUUCAGGUGACAUCUUUGGGCUAAUAAUAGGUGGAAUUAACAAAGUAGAUAAGCAUGAUUGUUAUAAAUAUCAAGUUCAAGGAUGAAGUCGUGCAUCAGCUACUUAUAGGGGGAGUCAAGGAAACCAAGAUAAGAUCAAAGAGAGCAUGUAUGCAAAUAAACAGAUUUGACAAAAUAGACCAAACAGCUUGUGAAUAUCCUCCUACAAAAAACUACUACACGUGGCAAAAAGUGAUGAAGCAAAAAGAGUCGGGUCCGCAUAUACAUAUCCUAUGCUAUCCUAUUCCUUCAAAUCCAAAGCAACCUGUAUUUUCAAUGGGAUUUGUUGUGAUGAAUUUUACUGGAUUGUAACAUGUAAAUAUGUUAAAAAAGGCUUGGGACAUUCCUAUAUAGUAACGCAUAAAGGUACUUCCAUUGUGAAGUUGUCAAAAUUGCAAAUUUAAAUUACAAAAUUUGAAAACAUAGAGAUGAAAGAUGAUGAAACCUUCUUUGAAAUUUUAUAUUGAACUCAUUAAUAUUAUUAAUUUUCAUUUCAGUCUAAGGGAAAGAAUUCUUUACUCUAAAGUGGUCACAAAAAUAUUAAAAUUCCUUGUCGAGAGAUUUAGAUCUAAAGUGAUCAAUAUAGAAGAAAGUAAAAAUAUUCUAAGUGUAGGUAAACUUGUAGACUCAAAUGACUCUACCUUCUCAUAAAAAAUCCUCAAUUUUAUAAAUUAUAUAGAUUUCUUCAUUUGAUACAAAAUUUGAAUAAAGAUUUUUCAAAUGACAACACAAGGAAAGGGAAAAAAAAAAUCUAUCCAGAUCAUAUUAUUUAAUCACUUAAAUUAUUUAAAAAUAAAAAUGUUUACUGCUAACAUUAUUUAGGUUCAUCUUUCUUUUGAUGGAGGUUAAAAUUCAUAAUUUUGAGGAAAAAGAUGAGGAUUCUCAUUUUUUUUUUCCAUGUAUGAAUGGGAUUCUCAUUGUGUAUAUGUGGGUUACUAAAUGGCAAAUUUGGGGGCCAAUAUGAGGGAAAAAAUGAAGUUGAGUUUGUCACCAAGAAUAGACAUGGUUCCUACAAAGGUGGCAUCUUUAAUUUCAUGUUUGGAUUGGACUUGUCAUGUAACAACUUAACAAGUGAAAUCCCUCAUGAACUUGGAAUGUUAAGUUUGAUUCAUGCAUUGAACUUGUCUCGUAAUCAACUAAAAGGCUCCAUUUCAAAGAGUUUUUGCAAUCUUUCUCAAAUAGAGAGCUUAGACCUUUUUAAUAAUAAACUAAGUGGAAAAAUUCCUCCAAAAUUGGUUAGACUAAACUUUUUAGCAGUGUUCAAUGUUAGCAUAUUCGGAAGAGUUUUAGAUAUGAAUGCAUAAUUUGCAAAAUUUGAUGAAAGUAACUAUGAAGCUAAUCCUUUCCUUUGUGGACCACCAUUAAACAGAAAAUGUAGCAUAAAUGUUGUUGAACCACCUUACCAACCAUUAGAGUCUUCAGAAGAAAGUGAUGCAAAAUGGUAUAAUAUCAAUCUUGUUAUUUUCUUUGCAAAUUUUACUACAUCAUAUAUCAUGAUAUUAUUAGGAAUUUCAACCAUUCUUUACAUUAACCCUUAUUGGUGUCAAAUAUGGUUCAAUUUUAUCGAGAAAUAUAUAUACUUUUGCUAUUAUUUUGUUUCCUAUACUCUUUCCAAGUUAUUAACAUAUUUUGAAUAAUUAGAGAUUUUUGUUUUCAAUAAUAUUUACAUAAUUAACUACUAUUGGUUUCCAUGACAUGGAAAGAAAUGCGGUGAAGGCAACAACCACUUUUUUUUCUCCUCUACUAGUGCAUGAUUGAUAUGAGUUAAAACUUGCACCCUUAUCUUUACUUAAAUUUUCUCAGCUUUUGUUUCAAUUCUUAAUUAUCAUUUCUUUUAUGUAUUGUUUAAUACAAUAUCCUAAACACAUUGCUUUGAAGGUUACUUAUUUAUUAAGCAUGAUAUUUAUUUUCAUAAAGACAAAUUCAAGUUUUUUAGGAAUUUUUAGAAUUAUUAUAAUUUGGAGUUCACAUUAGAGGAAAAAAAGGAAAGAAAAGAAUAGAUAAUUAAAAAAACAAUUUUAGUAAGUAUAAUUUGUCAUCUUCGGUAUAACAAAUGGGAAUUCCAAAAUAAUAUUUCAAUUUGUUAGUCUAUUCCUUAUAAUAUUAAUUGAAAUAUCAAAUAAGGAGUCACGUUUUGAUUUUUUUAUUAGCUUGAAUUGCAUGUCACAUAUAUUUUAAAAUCAAGCAUACCUCAGCAGGGAAGUUCUUGUAACAUGCAUGAACAUGAUAUGAUGAAUUAAAUAAUUUUCUUAAUUGUGUGAGACACAAACCCUCUUUGUUUAAUAAUAAUAAUAAUAAUAAUAAUAUACUACACAUUAUUAAAUCAUAUAUGUAUAUUUAUAGUCGUAUAAUAUAUUUAUAUAAGUAACAAUAAAUUAUAUUGUAUAAGGUAUCGGUAGGAGUUUUCAAUUCCCUCAUAUAAUAAUAUCUAUCAAUAAUUGGAUUGGACACCUUGCUGGCCAUGAGAAUGGACUUGACAUUAACACAUAGCCUUGAGUGGUGUUGAUAUUAUUACUUUGAACCAGAACUGCAGUCAUCUCAAAAACUAUAUUAUAUAGAAAAGCAAAAUAAAAACAUUAGUUAAAAAAAAUGUCAAGAUCCUUGAAAUCACGUUUCAAUAUGUUAAAUUACCAUUUUUUUAAAUAAAUUUUUGAUAGGUUGUGUGAAUAAAUAUAAUUGCUAUGAAGGGUUUCAAUUUAAUUUUACUAGCAAAUCCAUAAUAGGUGAAAAGACAAAACUACCAUUUUUGUUUUUUUUCUUUAUUUACCUUUUUUCUCUCGUAACCUUACUCCUUUCUCCUUUUUGUUUUUUCCUUUUUUAUUAUUAAUUUGUCUUUUUCCUUUUUCUCAACUAACUAUUUUUUUUCUUGUAAUUGUUAUUAUCAUUCUUAUUAUAAAUAUUAUAACCUUAUAUUAUAAAUUUUUAGUUUAGAUUAUAUUUAAACUAACUAAUGUUGUGGUUUUAAUUGACAUGGAAAAGAAUGUGGUUAUACAUGUGAUUGUCGCCUUUUUUUUUUUCAAUUAGUUAACUAUUGAUACAAGUUAAAAGUAAAAAUUGCAAUAUUAUCUUUACGUCAAUUUCACCGAUCUUUUGUUUUUAUUUUCAUGUAUCAUUCCUUUUUUGGUUAUUUAAUUAAAAGGAUUAAAAAAAAAUCACAUAUUCACAAUAAUAACCUUCAUAUUUUAAAAACAUAAAAUAAACAUUUUUUUUUUUUUAUAAAAAUACCCUCCAACUAUAUUUUUUAUAUCCCUAUUUCAAAUCCAAACACUUCUUUUAAAAAUAAUAAUAAUAAAUAAGGGCAAAAAUGUCAAACUGGGAUUAUAUUUAUAAUUUUCAAUAAUUAGAGGUUGUUUUUCCAAUGUAAAAAUUAUUUUGUUCCUUUGGCACAAAUAUUUCUUUCUUUUAUGUAUUUUUUUUAUUCAAAAUAUUAAACACAUUACCCUCAAGGUUACUAUUUAUUAUGAAUGGUGUUUACUUUACAUAACGAGAUAUUCAAAUUUUUUAGAAUUUUUUAAUGUUAAAAUAAUUUGGAGCUUAAUAGGGAAAAAAAAGAAGAAAGAAUAGAUAAUUAGAAAAGCAAUUCAAAAAAAUAAAAUUUAUCCUCUUAAAUUGGUUUUGUGUAAUACUAUAGAAGCCAUUUCUUGAGUUUGAUAUGGUAGAAUUUGGAUUCAUAUUUAUUUUAAAAUCAAGAAAUUCAAGUGUUGGUAGCAUCAAUAGAAUCUUAACAAAUUUGAAAAAAAAUAUUUAGGUAGAUCACAUUUAAAUAUAGCUAAUAGAAUAAAAAAUUAGUAUUAUUAGAAAGACAUGAUCAAUUAAAUCUUUUUUCUUAUCUAUGACACCGACUUUAUUUUUUUACAUAGUCAAUACAAUUUAUUACAACUUAUAUGUCAUUAAAUUAUAUACGUUUAUAUUAAAUAUAAUAUAAGACCAUUAAUGGAAUAAUUAUGCAAGUAAUAUAAAUUGUAUAUAAUAUAAAAAAUUUAAACUCCAUCAAACUAAUGGAAUCUAUUAUAAUAAGUAGACUAGACACCAUGUUGGCCCGAGUUGCAGGCCUGGGCCAGAUUUUAAAGGCUGGGCUUUGAGUUGCCCGUGGGCCUGAGCCAAGGCCUUCUCUUGGUAUCAUCAUUUUGAAGAAAUAAAUUGCUGAUACAGAGAAAAAAACUAUACUAAAUAGAAAAAUAAAUAAAAGCAUUGACUAAAAUGAAGGUCAAGGUCCUUGAAAAAUAAUCUUUAAAUUGUUGCAUAUAUAAUUUCAAUAAUGCAUAAAUAAUUGCAAUAUAUAUGAUAUGAUAAAGAAUUUGGAAUUAAAAGAAGAUUGAUCUAUUUUAAAUGUGGUUGGAAUAUUUCUAAAUUUGUGAUGGGAAGUUAGACAGCCAAUUAGGGAUCCAUAUUAUUUAUUUUCAAUGAUAUGAAUUUAUUUACUUUUAUUAAUAUUCUUAAUGCAACAAUAUAAAAUAUGUCAAUUUUCUAAAAUUUAAAAAGUAAUUGUAAAAGAAUUUUUUUUAAUUAUUUUUCUGAAAUUGAGUUUAUUAUAACAUUUUUCUUUACAUAAAUUUCUUUUUUAUUUUUAUUUUUUUUAAAAUGAGAUAUGAAAAAAAGAGAUCAAUAUUAGUACAAGUAAAACCCAAUAUAUAUAUAAAAAAAAUGAAUAAAUGUUUAUGAAAUAUUUUUUCUCUUUUAAUUCCUAUUCAAUUCAUUACACAAAAUAUUUUUGGUUUUUAUGCUAAAAUUUAUUGUUUAUUCAAAAAUUCUAGUAUACCUAGCUAUCAUAGAAGAGCCCCAAAAUUUUAUUGUUUAAGAGAAUAUGUGUUGCCACUUUAAAAGAUUUAUAUGCAAAAGGGAUUGAUAUUUUUUUCCUUUGGAUAUAUUUAGUUCCCGGAAAAUUUGAGGGAAAAUGUGAGGGAAGAAAAAUAGAGAAGAAAAGUAUAACGAAAUAAAAAGUGAAGGAAAAUGAAAAAUAGAUUUAAAGUUAAUAAAUUAUUUUCAUUGGUUUUUUCAAACUUAUUUUACUUAUUUUAUUCUAUUAAAUAAAGAUUAGCUAAUUUUAAUUAUAUUUGGUUUGAUUUUUAUUAUUUUUCAAAGCAAAACCAAAUAUGAAAAAAAAAACAUUUUUUUUGUUCAUUUUUUCUUUCCUUAUUACUUUUCAAAACUCAAACAUAGCUUUUAGAUUUGGAGCAUGGAAAGAUAAGAGUAUUGAAUAAAGGUUCUAUAUAUGCCCAUGCCCAUGAUACCAUUGAAAAAAAUGGAGAAAGGGUGAAACUUUUUCUCUUCAAUGGAAAUCAAAUAUAAUUAUUUUUAUCUUGUAGUAAUUGAAUGUUAUACUCCAUAAACUCAAAAUUAAAAUAAAUAAAAAAUUUAAAAACUAGGACAAUCCCAUUUUUUUUUUCAAUUUCUUAAAAAGAAAUUAAAUUACAUUUAUUUAUAUCUAUUUUCAUCCCUACCCAAAAAAAUAAAAAAAAAAUUAACAAGGUGGGACAUGUAUGAGAAAUUCUCACACUAACUCUCUCUAGUUUAUUUUUUAUUUUUUAAAAAAAAUCAAUUUCUUUUAAAAAAAUUAAACUAUAUAAAAAAUAAAUAUAAUUUAAAAUAAAAUAAUUUAACAAUUUUUUUUUUAAGAAAAGUAAAUUUCUUAUUUUAUAUAUGUUAAAAAUAAAUAUAAUCUUUUAUUUUUUUAUAUAUAUAAUCGGGUAAGGUAGAGUGGGACAAAGAAAUAAUCCCCUUCGAUUCCAAUAUGAAUUUUUAAAAUAUAAAAUAAAAAUCUUAAACUCAUCCCUAAUCCAUUUAUUUUUAAUCCUAAACUCGUCUUAUUAAGAAUAAGGCAAAGUGAGUACAUGAAAACACUUCUUUUAUCAUCAUCUCUACAAGUUCUAAUGUUUAGACUGCAAUCCAUAUCAAAGAUUUAUAAAGAAAGGACAACGAUGAAUUUCAUAAACAUUUGAAAGCAUAUACGUACAAAGUUUUAAAUAAUAUUGCUUGAGGUGCAAAUAUUAUUUGGCGCACAUAUUGAGGGACUUCAACUUGUUUUUUACAUUAGUAAGUAAUCUUGAAUAUCUAGAGUAACUUGACCAAAAUCUCUUUAAUUUUAUUUUCUUUGAUGGUUGUAUGAUGAAUUAGAAUGCUUAUAUAACAUGAUUAAAAAUUUUAAGAAAAAAAAAACUAAGAAGAAAGAAAGAAGCACCGAUCUUCCAAAUAUUGCUUCCACUUUAAUAUCUAGAAGGCUCUAAGAAAAGAACUUUUUUCAUGAAUCAUAACCCAAGUCGAAAAUAAAUUGAACCCAUUUUCUAAGUUAAAUUUUGAAUUUUUUACUAGUGAAUGCAAAUUGGGAAAAUGUAUAUAAAUAUAAUUAAACUAGAAUAGUAGGUUAGGUUUGUAGGUGGAGUUUGUUUGAAUUGUUGGAACUUCCAAGUCGUUGUGGGUCUAGUGGUCCCAUAGCUCUCUAUUAAUUUCCACCAUCAAUUUUCUGCAAUAAAGUCAAGUCAUUCCUAACCCCUAUAUUAAGUUGGCCUUAAAAGUCAAGUCAUUGAUCAUAGUUACAUUCAUGAAUCACAACCUAAGUCGAAAAUAAAUUGAACCCAUUUUUCAAGUUCAACUUUGAAUUUUUUACUAGUGAAUGCAAAUUGGGAAAACAUAUAUAAAUAUAAUUAAACUAAAAUAGUAGAUUAGGUUUGUAGGUGGAGUCUGCUUAAAUUGUUGAAACUUCCAAGUCAUCGUGGGCCCAGUGGUCCCAUAGCUCUCUAUUAAUUUCCACCAUCAAUUUUUUGCAAUAAAGUCAAGUCAUUCCUAACCCCUAUAUUAAUUUGGCCUUAAAAGUUCAGUCAUUGAUAGCUAAAUCCCAACCCAAGUCAAAAAUAAAUUGAACCCAUUUUCUACGUUCAACUUUGAAUUUUUUUUAAUUGGAAAAAUGUAUAUAAAUACAAUUAAACUAGAAUAGUAGAUUAGGUUUGUAGGUGGAGUCUGCUUGAAUUUGUGAAACUUCCAAGUCAUCGUGGGUCUAGUGGUCCUAUAGCUCUCUAUUAAUUUCCACCAUCAAUUUUCUACAAUAAAGUCAAGUCAUUCCUAACCCCUAUAUUAAUUUGGCCUUAAAAGUCUAGUCAUUGAUAGCUACGUUCAUGAAUCCCAACCCAAGUCAAAAAUAAAUUGAACCCAUUUUCUAAGUUCAACUUUGAAUUCUUUUAAUUGGGAAAAUGUAUAUAAAUACAAUUAAACUAGAAUAGUAUAUUAGGUUUGUAGGUGGAGUCUGCUUGAAUUUGUGAAACUUUCAAGUCGUCAUGGGUCUAGUGGUCCCAUAGCUCUUUAUUAAUUUUCACCAUCAAUUUUUUGCAAUAAAGUCAAGCCAUUCCUAAACCAUAUAUUAAUUUGGCCUUAAAAGUCAAGUCAUUGAUAGUUACGUUCAUGAAUCACAACCCAAGUCUAAAAUAAAUUGAACCCAUUUUCCAAGUUCAACUUUGAUUUUUUUACUAGUGAAUGCAAAUUGGGAAAACGUAUAUAAAUAUAAUUAAACUAGAAUAGUAUAUUAGGUUUGUAGGUGGAGUAAGCUUGAAUUGUUGAAACUUCCAAGUCAUCACGGGUCUAAGGGUUCCAUAGCUCUCUAUUAAUUUUCAUGGUCAAUUUUUAUGAAUUAAGAUUUAAAAGUGAGAAGGGAAUAAAUUUUUUCUUUUUCAAUUCAUUACAAAAAAUAUUUUUGGUUUUUAUGCUAAAAUUUAUUGUUUAUUCAAAAAAUUAAAGUAUAAAUAUAUAUAUAUAUAUCUUGCUAUUAUAGAAGAGCUCCAAAAUUUUUGUGUUUAAGAGAAUAUGUGUUGCCACUUUAGAAGAUUUAUAUACAAAAAGGAUUGAUGUUUCUCCUUUGACUAUGUUUGGUUCCCAAAAUUUGAGGGAAAUAAAAAAAAAAUAGUAAAAAAGAAAAAAUGAAAGAAAAUAAAAAAUAGUUUUAAAGUUAAUAAUUAUUUUUAUAUGUUUUUUCAAACUUAUUUUACUUUUUUUUUCAUUAUAUAAAGAUUAAAUAAUUUUAAAAUGCAUAAAUUUCUAACUAAUUUUAAUUAUAUUUAAUUUUUCUUUUAUAUUUUUUAGAUAGGAUCCGACACAUGAAAAAUCCUUUUUUUUAGCAUUUUUUUUUCUUUUCUUAUUACUUUCCAAUAACCAAAUAUAACCUUUAGAUUUAGCCUUUAAACUUGGAGUAUGGAACGAUACUGAGUAUUGAAAGAAGGUUUUGUAUAUGGCCAUGAUACCAUAGAAAAAAUGGGCGAGAGAGAAAAAACCUUUAUUAAAUGAUAAAUUAUUUUUUUCAAUGGAAAUCAAAUAUAAUUAUUUUUAUAAUAAUUACUUUAUUUUUUUUAAAAAUAAUAAUUUGUUGUUGCAUUAAGUAUUCUUGCAUUUGGAGAAGCAUGUUACUACUUACUACAUAAAUAGAUAUUCAUGGAGUGCAUUCUCUAAAAAGCUCCAGUCUCAUGAAAAUGGAAAGAUGGACCGGCCGGUGAACCGGUUCGAGUUUGGAUUUAUUGGCUGCCUCAGCCUUACACGCAUGAUAGGCUGUUGCAGGUGAAGAACUAAUUAAUUUAAAGCCUUCUUCUAUCCUCUCCUAUUCCUCUAUCACUCCAAAUGUUCCACAUGAUAAUGACAAUUCUUUUGUUAAAUGGUAAAAAAAAAAUUUAAAUAUUAUUUAAAAUUUUUUUUAAUUCUAAAUCCAAUGGAAAUUCGACUCUAAGGUGUGUAGAAGGCCCUAGUGCCCAUGUUGCUAAUUUGAUGAUAGUUAAAUUGUCAUUUUGGGAGAUUCCACACACUAGUAUUCUCAUUUAUAAAAUCAUGAACUUUGGCAUCCUAAUUAAUGCAAUUUAAACUUUUUUUGUUUACAAAUGAAAUAAGAGGCAACAUAUAAACCCAAAAGUUAAUUUUCCUACCAUCUCUAUGCACCAUUUUAGCUUUACUCCAAUAUAUUUUCUAUGAUUAAUUAUUUUCAUUCAAACAAUAAUAUCAAAAUAUUUUAAAAUUAGACAUAUCAUAAUCAAAUACCAUUAUAUUAUUACCGAAUAAUAUUUAAUGUAAUUUAAUUAUCAACGUAUACUUAUAAAAUUUAUAUUUUUUAUUAAUGCAUAUAAUAUUAUUAUCAAAUAUGAUAAAUUAUAUAUAUAUAUAUAUAUAUAUAUAUAUAUUUCUUCAACAAAACAACUUUAAAAUAUCUAUUAUAUUUCUAAUUUCAUUUCUAAGAAGUUUUUUUUUUUUUUUUACAUUUUUAUAAGUUUUGAUCAAUUGUAGGCUAACUGAUAUUUUUUAUAUCAAAAUAUCCACCAAUAUAUCUCUGAUAUAUUAGAUAUAUCCGUAAAAUCGAAAUACCAAUAUAUCCGUGAUUAUCGAUAUUUUUAUCCUUGAGGGAUAAUAACUAAUCUAGUUUUUGCACUUAUUGAUAUUUCUCAACAUUUAGAUUGAUUUGACCAAAAUCUUUUUAAUUUUAUUUUCUUUGAUGGUUAUAUGAUGAAUUAGAAUAGUCAUAUAAACAAAUUUAAGAAAAAACGAUAAAAAAGCUCACAUUUUUCAAAUAUUGGUUUCAACUUUGAAUAUUUUUAUUGGUAAAUGAAAAUUGUGAAAAACCUACUAAUGCUAAUACUUUUCACCACAUAAUUAAAUAUAAUAAACUAGAAUAGUGAUUCAUUGAUGUCUUAUAAAGCUACAUGCCUACUUUGACUUGUUAGUUGAUUUUUGUAGGCAGAGUCCAUUUCCAUAUGAAUUGUUGAAACUUCCAAGUCCUUGUGGGUCUAGUGGUCUCUCUAAUAAUUCCCACCAUUAAUUUUUUGUGAUGAAGUGACGUCAUUGAUAGCUACUAUAUCAAUUUGCUAUUAAAAGUCAAGUCAUUGAUAAUUACUAUUCAAUCUUUUUCAAUAUGGAAAUUGGAAUCUCUACUCUUCUCAUUGUUCAUUUUUAGGUAAUGUGAGAAUGUGAGAAUGUGUGAACAUAAAUGUCUUCUAAUCAACCAAUUUUUUUUGAAAAAAACAUGUACAAAAUUGCAAACUUGCAAAAUCAAACUUUCUUGUUGAAUAACCAUAGCUUGAUGGUUUUGAAGAAUCAAAGGAUGAAUCAUAAAAGGGUAUUUGAUAAAAAAUAAAAAUUAAAAAAAUUAAAAGACAACUACUCCCUUAGGUGUAAUAAGUGUAUUUGGUAGCACAAAUUUCCUACCACUUAUUAUUUUUUCCUUUCUUAAAAAAUUAUUUACUCUAUUAAAUAAACUAACCUUGGCUUAUCACUUAUAGCAAAAUAGGUUAAGUACUUUUUAAAAUUUUAUAAUAUUAGAUUUACAUUUUUAUCCUUCAAAAUUUCAUUAAUGUUAGAUUCUUCUAUAUGCUUAACUAAUAAAUAAUUUUUAGCAUUUUUCUUUUCUUAUAAACAUAAAAAAAUAAAAAUAUUAUUAACUUAUUGGUAUAUUUUAAAAUUUUAAUUAGAUUUAAGCUUUUAUUUAUUUGGAUUACCAAUUAUACAUAUAAAUCCUUUAUUAUUAUUGUUAUUAUUGAAAGAAAGGGGUUGAAUAGGUAGUCCCUCAAUCCCCAAAUUAAAUUCUUUAUUGCCUACUUUUGGUUUAUUCCUUUACAUGAAUUCCUUGGUGAGAGUAAACAUUUCAUUAAUAGAUAAAUAAAAUUGAUUCCAUAUCAUAGGGUAUAAUGUGGAAAAAUCACCAGUCUCAUGUGUUCCUUAGUGGAUCCUUUGGAGCCCUUAUCAAAGUUUCAUGAUGAAACCAUUGACUUUUGUUUAACCCAAAUGUGCUUUCAAGACAAAUCUUGAAAUAUUUGAGAGAUGGAGGUUCAAGUCUUUUAUGAACGACCAUGUUCUCUUAGGGUUCAUGAAAAUUCACACCUUUUGAUAAAUAAAACUUAUCUAUUUAUACGUCUAAAACCCAGUAUUUAUUUAUUUAAUUAUAGAAAGUUUCUUAGUUUUAAAAACAUUUCAAAAAUCAUUUUUAGAAUCAAAUAAUAAUUUUAGAGAUAAACACAAUAUUAAAAUUUAACAAAAACAAAAUUUCGAAUUAAAAACACAAUAUAAACUAAAUUACAAAAUAUAAAGGAAUUUUUAUCCUAAUUUCUUGUUUCAAAACCAAAUGGAACACCUAGAAGGGGAGUGAAUGGGUGAUUUUAAAAUUUUUCAAUAAUGAUUUAUAAGUUAUACCCAAUUCUUUUACCCUGCGAGUUGUUAGGGACUAUCAAUUCUUUCCUUUUGGCAAUUCAAACAAUAUAUCAAAUAAUAAAAAGAUAUAAAUAAUGAGACAUAAAGAUUUUUACAUGGAAAACCCCCCACACUAACCAUGGAGAUAAAAAGCCAUGGAGUCUAAGACCUAUUAAUCUAAAUUCACUGUACGAAAUCAAGUUACACAAAUUUAUUUGAUAGCUUUAACUUAAAGACUUACUCUCCGGUACUGACAACUUGAUUCACAUCCACAACGUAGCAACCCUCAAUUACUCCAAUGGAUCACUUCAAGCUUACUAAAAGGAUGAAGGCCUUCAAACCAAGAUUCAAAAAUCAAUUCCUUGAAUGAAAGAUCAGGGAUGGUGUGCCACUUUAGGCUUUCUCUCUAAGAACUCUAAAAUGAUCUCCUCAAUGAAAACCUCUUAAACAAAAUGAGAUAUUUCCCCACAAUCUCUAAUCCUCAAGGGGUUAUAAUGAGAUAUUUAUAAGCAACUAAGUUGAAGAGUUUCAGUUUUGGAACAUGACCGCUCGAGCCAACACACUUCCUACUUGAGCGUUUCGGGCACUUGAGCGGUAAGGCUCGCUUGAGUUGUCCUAAGCGCUUGAGCAUUCCAAGCUACUUGAGCAAUCUUGCUCUAUUUCAAAAGUUAAUUUUAAAUCAUUUUAAGUUCAAAACAAAAUUGAUUCCCUUUAUACCUCAAAGUAGCCUAACUUACAAACCAAACUUUUUUAGAUAUACUUGUGACUUCCUGGUUGGACGAACAACUCUUAAUCUUCAAUGGAAAGCAAGUCAUUAUCUAAAAAGAUUUAUAUGGUCAAACAUAAAAAAACAAAAACAAAAAAAUUGCCAACAUAACAACAAGACUCAAUGUCCUAACAAUCUCCCCCUUUGGCAAUUUUAUGACAAAAACAACAUUACAUAUACCCACUUGAACUCUCAUAAUGGAGUUUAAUAAUACACAUUAAUGUUCAAUUAAAAAUAAACUAAGGGAAUACUUUGUAUCACUUUGUAGUAUUUGUCUUCCAACUUUGUAACCUACACACAUAUAGAAAACUAUACCAAAGGUAAAGCAAUGUGUAGGAUAAGAUAUGAUCAAGAAAGCAAAAUAGGAUAAUUGAAAAUUUUGCUUGAUGCCUUGUGAAAGCAUGAAAAGGGAACAAAUUCAUAUAGUAAUACCAAGGGACAAAGCAAAACUAGAGAAGAAUAUAUAUGUAUGCAAAUCAACCAAACAUAAUAAAAGCUACAUAAGAUGCAAUAGAUCAAUAAUAAUGCCUAGGGGUCUAUCUCCAACCAGAAAAUAGGGAGUGAAAAUCAUAGGAAGAACCUUCUGUGACUUAGAAAGGUUCUAGAGAGAUAGUCAAUUCAAACAUAAAUAUCUUGCUAGAAACAUCUAUGUUAUGUAUCUCUCUAAACCUUCUAAGUUAUGCUUUCAUUAGUUGAUUUGGUUUUUCUCCAAUGUCUCAGGUUUAAUUUCCUCUAAUAUUUCAAUUAGAGAGAAAUUGGUAGUCGAUUGACUUAGUGGGUGUUUGGUAAAACUUAAUACUUAUUAUUUAAUGAUUAACUUUAAGUUAAAUUGUUCUUAAGUUAUUAAUUUAAAAUUUAUUACUUAUUUUGUAUUUAAGUACUAGGGUUAUUUGAAAAAAUCGACUUAAAAUUUAUUCUAAAUCAUCAAAAUGACACAUUUACCCUUAUUAAUUUUAACUUAUAUUUAUUUUCAUUAAUUUUAAACAAUAAAUUUAUUCAUAAAACAUCUAUAUUUUUGUAGAUACAUAACCAUAAAAUAUUUACUAUAAAAAAUGAGUCAUGGAUGUAGAAUUAUAAUUCUAAAAUAUACACUUAUGAGUGUGGGUAAAUAAGGCAAAAAUGAUUUGAGAUUAAGAGUAAAGUUAAUUAUUUUGACUUAAGACUUCAAGUUAAAAAUAACUUUAAGUUGCAAUAUUAAGUUAUUUUAUCAAACAUGCUUAAUUUACUUAACAACUUAAAUUAAGUUAUUAAGUUGAAUUAUCAAACACCCCACUAGUAGUAUGUUGAAAAUUCACACCUUUUGAUAAAUAAAACUUAUCUAUUUAUACGUCUAAAACCCAGUAUUUAUUUAUUUAAUUAGAGAAAGUUUCUUAGUUUUAAAAACAUUUCAAAAAUCAUUUUUAGAAUCAAAUAACAAUUUUAGAGAUAAACACAAUAUUAAAAUUUAACAAAAACAAAAUUUCGAAUUAAAAACACAAUAUAAACUAAAUUACAAAAUAUAAAGUAAUUUUUAUCCUAAUUUCUUGUUUCAAAACCAAAUGGAACACUUAGAAGGGGAGUGAAUGGGUGAUUUUAAAUUUUUUCAAUAAUGAUUUAUAAGUUAUACCCAAUUCUUUUACCCUACGAGUUGUUAGGGACUAUCAAUUCUUUCCUUUUGGCAAUUCAAACAAUAUAUCAAAUAAUAAAAAGAUAUAAAUAAUGAGACAUAAAUAUUUUUACGUGGAAAACCCCCCACACUAACCAUGGAGAUAAAAAGCUAUGGAGUGUAAGACCUAUUAAUCUAAAUUCACUGUACGAAAUCAAGUUACACAAAUUUAUUUGACAGCUUUACCUUAAAGACUUACUCUCCGGUACUGACAACUUGAUUCACAUCCACGACGUAGCAACCCUUGAUUACUCCAAUGGAUCACUUCAAGCUUACUAAAAGGAUGAAGGCCUUCACACCAAGAUUCAAAAAUCAAUUCCUUGAAUGAAAUAUCAGGGAUGGUGUGCCACUUUAGGCUUUCUCUCUAAGAACUCUAAAAUGAUCUCCUCAAUGAAAACCUCUUAAACAAAAUGAGAUAUUUUCCCACAAUCUCUAAUCCUCAAGGGGUUAUAAUGAGAUAUUUAUAAGCAACUAAGUUGAAGAGUUUCGGUUUUGGAAGGUUUCUUAAUUGAAUUUGUGUGAAAAACUCAACAGAAUCAACAUGACCGCUCGAGCCAGCACACUUCCCACUUGAGCAUUUCGGGCACUUGAGCGGUAAGGCUCGCUUGAGUUGUCCUAAGCGCUUGAGCAUUCCAGGCUACUUGAGCAAUCUUGCUCUAUUUCAAAAGUUAAUUUUAAAUCAUUUUAAGUUCAAAACAAAAUUGAUUCCUUUUAUACCUCAAAGGAACCUAACUUGCCACAAACCAAACCUUUUUAGAUAUACUUGUGACUUCUUGGUUGGACGAACAACAACUCUUAAUCUUCAAUGGAGAGCAAGUCACUAUCUAAAAAGAUUUAUAUGAUCAAACAUAAAAAAACAAAAAAAUUGCCAACAUCACAACAAGACUCAAUGUCCAUGCAUGGUCACCUGAAAGUUGACUCCAACCACAAUAUAAUGCAUGUUCUCAUAGAACAUGUGAACAAGAUGGAGAUAGAAAGUCCCUUAGAGAGAAAACAGAGUCUUCUAACCCUACUCUUGAAUGAUGAUAGGGAAGACAGUGUCCUGAAAAGCUUAGAGGUUAAUGGCAUGUUGAGGCUCGACACACCGAUAUGUGAAAGAAGCGUAAUAAUGGUCCCAUGCCACCUGGCAGUGAAAGCGCUCAAUCGAAAGUGCAUCUAGGUUAAAAAGACCCUAGAGUGGGAUGCCCUAGACGGUUUUCAGUGACCUAGGAAAGGUCACCUCCCUCUGAAAUCUAUGACUAGCCAUAUCUAAGGUAUAUAAUAUGAAAAAAAAAAAGCUAAAGAAAAACUAAAGAAAAUCCAAAGAAAAGCUAAACCACUAAAAAUGUUAAACUCAAUGCGUCGAACAAUACUAUACAAAUGGAAAUGAAAAAUAUGAAGCGAACUGACCUCAGAAGACAAAAGGACAGUUACCCAGAGGGCUCGAAGAGGAAUAGGAAAGUUUGAAAUGAAUAUUGUGUGAUGGAUGACCUUUAUAUAGCUUAUAGGAGUGCUUGAUGCAGAUUAGCACUUGAGCGUCAUGACUAACUUAAAUCAAAUUAUUUAUUAAUAUGGAAAUAUUUUAUAAGUUUCAAAGGAAGUAUUCAAUUUAGAACCUUUUUAGAAUUUUUUUGAAAGAAACAAAAAUAAAGCGUGAAAUAUUAUGUGUUAAAGGUGUUAGAAGACAAUAUUGUCUAAUCAAAAGCCUUACACAUUCCCAAAAAAAAAAAAAAAAAAGGAAAAAAAAAGAUACUAUAUAAGAUUUUGAUCACAUCUAAUAGAAACUAAUAUUUAGCAACAUAUCACCAAGCACUAUCUUAUCAGAAAGCUCUAACAUGUUGGAAAUUUAUGUAAGGUUCCAUAACAACUAACAACUUUUUAUGACGACUCGGUAAUGGACCAUUUGCACUUCAACUACAUUAUUAAAUUUAAAUCAUAUUAGAAUAUAAUUGACUUCUCUUUUGUGAGGUUACAUAUCUUGUAGGAUGGGAUAGGUGAUUCAUUUCAUAUAUGAAAUUUUCUUAAUUUAGUAAUGCUUCCAAGUUCAUUAUGAAUCUAAUGGUAUCACAACUCCUUGAAUAUUUGUAAUCUGUAAUCUUUGCUUCAACUUCUCAAGUCUAGUCAUUUUAUCGGCAUAACUAGUUUGCUUCAAUUAUCUCUCAACUUUAUUAUAAAACUAAGGGAAAGGAUUGUCACUCAUUUUAUAUUAACUUAACCAAACAUCUUUAUAUAUAUAUAUAUAUAUAUAUAUUGUAAAUUUAGGAAAAAUUCAUCCAUUAGCCAUAGUAAGUAAGAAUCAAAUAAGGGAUAUGUAAGCCAAUGGUGAUAUUGAUGGCGUUAAAUCAAUGACAUAGUAGAAAAGUGGAUUGUCUAUUUUCAAACCUUUAUAUUUUCAUGCAAUAGUAAAAAGGUUAAGGCAUCACUUGAAAAGUAGUUCGUUUUUUACCUUGGACUAUGAUUUAUGAAUAAAGUUCUUCUGUUGUAUACCUUUUGUGAUGCCCCAACCUAAUUUAGGGGUAAAAAAAUAAUUUAGAAAAAAAUAAAUAAAAAGUUAAAUAAAUUUAAUUAAGGUAAAAAUGUAUUUUUGUAUUUAAAAUUCCUAGGUAUCAAUUAUAUAUUUCUUGUCUUCUCUAUUCAAAAAACCAUAUUACACAAAAAUCAAAUAUCAGAGAACAUAGGACAACGCAGGGUUGAAGAUUUGGAGGUUUAGGGUUGAAGAUUAGUUUUCCAGGUAAGAUUCUAACCCUUAAAUUAGUAUUUUAGAUUCGUUAAUUAGUUUGAACACUUUAGAUAUUCUUUGAAAAAUCUGAAUAUACAUUAGGGUUUGUUAAUUUAAUUUUUAAAUAAAAAAGAUUGAAAAUUUAUGAACAUAAGUAGAGUUAUUAUUAAAGAUUGAAAAUUUUUGAAUAUUUGAAUUAAAAAUCUAGAAAAAAAAGAAGAAAAUAAAUUAUAGCUUUGGACGUGGAAAAAAAUUAAUAUUAAUUAAUAAAUAAAACCUAUGAGUAUGGAAGUAGAAAAAUAUGAGAGUUGAAAGCAAAGAAAAAAAAAGAGAAUAAGGUUUUGUGGUUGUACAUGCCUCCUUAGUGGAAAAAAAAAAUACAAGGUUGCUUGCAAUAGGAUAUGACAAAGAGAGAGAGAUAAAUGCUUAGAUGUUGAUUUUUGUGGGGAAAAAAAGAUUGGGUAAUGUAGGAGAGAAAUAGGUAGCACUUUUAGAGUCGGUGGAGUUGUUGUAAAAGCUCGUAGGGGUAAUUGUUAGGUAGUAGUAGGGUAUGAGAUUAAUUGUUAGGAAACAUUAGGACUUGAAAUAAUAAUAAUUGCUUCUAGUAAAAGUUUUAAUUUAGUUUAAGUAUAUAAAAGAAAUAGAUGAUUAGAAUAAGAUUUGGAAGGAAUAUGAAUUCAUAAAAAUUUCAAAAUUUACUAAUUUAGAUUAUUAUUGUUUUGGAAGUUGAAUAUAAUAUAGGUGAUAAUAUUAUUAAUAUAGGAAAUGAUUAAGAUUCUCAAACCUACAAUUUUAGAUAAAUAGUUAAUAGUAAUAGUUGAUUUUUUAUUUUUUUUUUAUUUUUUAUUUUUUAUGUUAUGUUAAGUGAAUAAUGGAUUCUUUGAUUAAUUCUCUAAGGUUUCUAAGUGCUUCUUUAAGGUAAGGGAUAUUAAUACUGAUUUUGUAAAUGAAAAUAUUUCUUUUUAUAAGUUAUUUUAAAUUAUGAAAAUUUUUAUUUUUAUUUAUGCAUGGAUCAAAUAUAUAUUUUUUCAUGAGAAACAUGUUUGGGCAAUUUCUUUGUUUAUAAAUAAAUAAAUGAAAACUUUGGAAAUAUAAUGUUUUGUUUUGUAAGUUUAAAAUAAUGAAAUAAAGUUUUUGACUCUGGUUUAUAUGACCUUAGUUAAUAGGUUAUAAUUGUUGACAUUUUCAGCUCCAGUCAACGAUUAUAAUUGUUGACAUUUUCGGCUCUCCAAUCAAUGAUUAUAAUUGUUGAGAUUUUCAACCCUAGCCAACGGGUUAUAAUAGUUGACCUUAUAGCCCUAGUCAACAGAUAUAAUUGUUAACCUUUGGCUUUUCCCAUCUUAAAAAGAACAAAUUUAAGGCUAGCCAUUUAUUUGUAAAGUCCCACCUAACUAAGUACCAUUUGUUAUUUAAUAACCAGAGUAAAGAUAUUUUGAAUGUAUUUGAUGUGAAAUUGUUGUGAUAUUAAUAUGAAAAUGUUUGGUUGAAAAGUUCAAAUGUUUAAUGCAUGUUGAAUUCAAAAGUUUUUAUGAAAAUGAUUAUAUGUUAUAUCUCUUAUUUGUAAGUUUGAUCCAUGAAACUGUAUUAAUAUUCCUUAUUGGACUUUGAGCUCAUUCCCCUUUAUUGAGAAUUUUUUUUCGUAUUCUCAGUUUGGGCAAGGAGUGAUGACUGGGUUGGGGAAUUUUCUUUACUAUGGUUUUGCUUCAAUCUUAUUUUGGACAUUGUUUAGAUGUUAAAAUUUAAUUCCCAUUUAAAUUAUUUGGGUUUGGAGUUAUUUGGACGAUAAAACUUUGAUUGAUGUGUUAGUUUUAAAGUUGAGAAUUGAAAAUUAUAGAAUUUAUUUAUCUUACUACUUUGAACAGAAAUUUAGUAAUUGGAGAUCAUCCAGUUACAAGAUGAAUAUUUGAGUCGUUUCAAGUCGUUUCCACUUUGAGUGUUCAGGCUUAGGGUGUGAAAUGAUCGUUAUGCCCUUGGAGUGGGUAUAUUGUUUAUUUGAAUUUAAUGGUCCCCGAACUCCUUAAUUACUCAUAACUUUAUAUCAGCUUCUCAAAGUUAAGUUGUUUUACAACUACUAUCUAGCUACUUUUCUCUACUAUGACAACUUUAUUACAUAGUGAUUAAUUGAAAGAAUCUACAUGUCUUAUUUCAUAGGAUAGUUGAUUUUUUUACUCAAUGAAUUUUGCUUUUAUUAUUGAAAAUUUCAAAUCAUUGUAGUCCAACAAUUUCCUAUCCAUUGGUAAUUUCAUAUUACAUUUCCAAAGUCUAAUCAUUUAAAAACACUUGUAGUUAAUAUAUUGGCAAUUGCAUUGUGGGAAGUUGUUCACUUGAUUUUAAUGUUGAAACUUUCAAAUUUUUGUAGUCCAACAAUUCCCUAUCCAUUGGUAAUUUCAUAUCACAUUUUCAAAGUAUAAUACUUGUAUAUAGUAUAUUUGGUGAUUGUAGAGUGGAAAGUUGAUCAUUUUCAUGAAGACCUCUAAAAUAGAAUUUUUUUUCAUUCCAUUUAUUAAAGAAUUUCAUUAAUUGAACAUAUAUGUUUUUUUAACCGAAAAGUAGAGGCCACAUUAUACGAGGCCUUAGGUGACAAUACUAGGUGAGGGCUUUUUUUUUUAAUUUAUUUAUUACGAAAUAUAAAUAAUAUUAUUUAUUGUAUAAUAAAGAUUAUUAUAAUAUAUUUUUUAUAGAUGAAAAAAAAUAUUAAUUGAGUUUUAUUUUUUUAAAUAAUUGUUUUCAAUAAAUAACGUAUUUGUAAAAAGAAAACUAUAAAAUAUAUGCAUUUGAAAAAUAUUUAAUUUUUAUUUGAUUUAGUAUCAAUUAAUAUUUGUAAUAUUUUUUAAUAUUAUAGAAGUUAACAUACUCAAUUAAGAUAUUCAAGAUCAAGAGAAUAUUUGAGAUUGAAUUAAUUUCUUUAUUGUUUAUGUUUUAGUAAAUUUUUAUAUCCAUUAAAAUUUUUUUAUUGUUUAUUUUUCAUUCAAUGUUUGCAUUUUGUAAUAGAUAUUAAAACAAAUUUUUUUCUUGUAUGUUAAAAAAAUAUUUCAAUGUCUUUAAAAAUAAAAUAUUGUAGUAAAAUCAAAAUUACAUUGUGAAACUUUAAGCGAAUGUUUUAUACUAAAGAAGUGCCAAUUAAAGUAAGCAUGCAUCUACAAUUGUAAUUUAGAUGUCAUAUUGAAACAAUAGUUCUCUUUGACUAUAUCAUAAAAUUUGGUUCGAAUUACUUUAAGUCAUCUUGUAGAUUUUCAAGUUCCAAUGAUAUGCAUCAAGUAUGUGCAACAUACUUGAUAUGACUAAUAUUUUCUUAAGUAAUUGGACACUUUUUUCUAUAAAUUUACUUGAUUAUCAAUGAAUACUUUUAUGUAAGGUAUUGAUAUAAUUCGAUAAAUAUUUUAAAAUAGUAUUAGAAUAGCUUUGCUCUUUCCUAAUUAACAAAUUUACUAAAUUAACUUAUAUAUAUUUGUUUAUUUUAAUUUACUGGUAUUUGACUCAAUUUGUUAUUAUUUUUAAAAUUAUAGGAAAACCAUUAUUUAUAGAGUUUAAUUAUAUUUGGUAAAUUAUCUUUUUAAGUUUGACUAGGAUUAGGAAACUAUUAAUUUAAGAUUAAUCCAUAAGGCUCUAUAAAUUUGCAGUUUUAUAUAACAUUUAAAAAAAGAAAGAAAAAGUAAGAAAAAGUGAAGAGAGAUAGGCAAAGAGUGCAUUGGGUUUUAGAUAGAGAAAGGUCGAGAGAGUUUUGAUUACUACUCAAAAAGAACAUAUUUUAGAUAGUAAUUCUCAUGGGUUUCACAUCUUUUGAGUAUUAAUUAUGCCUAAAAAUGCUCAAUUAACAUGUUGUUGCCCUUGCAAGAGUUACUAAUAAGUUUUAUAAAGUUUUGGAGUCAUUUCAAGUUAUGAUUUUAAUAAAUUGGUGAUGAAAGAGAUGAAUUGAUUUGAAGAAGGAAAAUAAUAUUGAUGAUGAUCCAAAUGCAUAAUGAAAGAAGCAAUAUAAUUAGUUUGAUCGGGAUUUGCUGCUAAUUUGGAGGUAGUUAAGGUGGAGUCAAAAGAAGAAAAUGGAAGAAAUGACAAAGAGGAACUUAAAAACCAAAUGUUGCAGAUUUGUAUGAUCAUUCAAAAAUUACAUGACUAUGCCAAAUGGAUUAGAGAAGGAAAAUUGACUAUAGUAUAAGGAGGAUGCUUAAGUUGAUUUAGCAUGAACAUGAGAAAAUUUCGCAUGAACAUGCGAAAAUUUUGCACAAUCAUGCGAAAUGGUCCAGAAAGCUCUCUAAUGUUGUUGUUGCUCCACUAAUUUCGCACCACCAUGCGAAAUCGAUCUUUUCAUGCAAAAUGGCUGAAGCUCAUGUGAAAUCAUGAUUUUGAUGCUAAACUCCAGAUUUGUGAAUUUGGAAGGUUUUAGAAGACCAAUGAGAGGUUGCCAAGUGUCCACUUGACCUUGGUCUAUAAAUAGAAACUUGAAUUUCCCAUGUAAAGAGCUUUGUGAUACUUUUGAUUUUAGAUUUUUCUAGAAACUCUUUCUCUAAAUAGAAUUCUAUAUUUUCUUUAAUUUUCCCUCAUUUUCUCAUUAGCCAAACAUGCCUAGUGAGACCAAAUUUCCAAGUAUGAGUGACUAAAUCUCGUUUUUCUCAGAGGAAUGAGGAUCUAGAGGCAAGAUCUAUGGUGAAUUAUAGAAAUGAGUUUUAAUUGCAAAUGUAAUUUGAUUCAAUUGAUUGAUUAAUUGAAAUUCGAGGAUUUUUCUCUUCAAAUUGUCCUGAAUGACAAUUACAUUGCAAACUAGGCAGAUUAAUUAAAUUCUUAAAGUUAGAUUUAAUGAGACUGAAUAGUUGCAUUGUAUGAAUCAUUGGAAGAUGAUUUAAGAUGAAUUGAAUAUAUAAUUUAAAUUCAUAUCUUGGAUUAAAUAACCUAAUUUGAAGAGAAAUUAGGUUUAGACUUAAAGGGAAAUCUAAAAUCGGUUUAGAUAAGAAUUUAGGUUUUCAAUCUAACUUGAUGAAAAAUAAAUCUCAACAUUUAUUCACCAUGGAAAUUGUUUUCUAAAAAAUAUUAACUCUGAGAAUUCCUUUUCCUUAUCAGUUUUCUUAUAUUCUACAUUAUAUUAUUCUUUUCGAUUAGAAAUCAUUGUUAUUUUGAUUUUUCGUGAAUUGUCAAAUCAAUUUCACUUGACCAUAAUCAUUUCUUUUCCUCUCAUUUAAACCUUAAUUAUCGAGAAUAAUCCAUCCCAAUAGAAGACACCUAAGACCACUAUACUACUGUAGCUUUUGCUAAAAAACCUUUUUGAUCGGGCAAGAGUUACCUUAGCAUAGUUGAAUUAGGUUAUAAAUUUUUUAUCCAAUAAACAACAAAAAAAUCAAUUGAUCAAGUUUACAUUGUGUAUUCUUGAAUUUUAUUAAUAAAUUUGAUCCCCUUUUUUGAAGCGAUUACACCAAACCAAGUAAAUAUUUUAUCUACUUCAUUUGCUUUAUUUUUUCUAUUAAGUUUAGGUGUUGCAAUUUUUAAGAGUCAUGGUGAGAAGAUUGUGGGAAAAAUUAUUUUAAGGAUGGAGUCGAACAUAAAAUAUGAAAUUGAGUCCUUUGAUGGAAAUAAUAAUUUUAAUAUUUGAUAGAGUAUUAUUAAAGAUGUUUUGAUACAACAAAGACUUCUCAAAGCAUUACAAGGCAAAAAAAACUAGAGAGCAUGACAAAUAAAGAAAUGAAAGAAUUACAAGCAAGAGUUGUAAGUACUAUUUGUUUAAGUCUUAAAAAUGAAAUACAUUGUUUUGAAUGAAAAAAAUAUUCUUUUAGGGGUGUCAAUUGCUCUUUUAGAGACCAAAAAUAUUAAGCAAUCAAGUAGUUCAUCUCAUAUUGGACAAACUGUUAUGAUGAAUUCUAAACCAUAUCAUCAUAGGAGUAAAUCGAAAGAAAAGUAUCUGAUAGGAGGAUGAUCAUUCCAUUCACACUUAUAGAGGAAUAUGAAGUAUUAUUNNNNNNNNNNNNNNNNNNNNNNNNNNNNNNNNNNNNNNNNNNNNNNNNNNNNNNNNNNNNNNNNNNUAGUGAUUGUUUUAUGUUGAAGAAAGGCUAAUUAAAGUAAACAUGCAUCUAAAAUUAUAAUUUAGAUGUUGUACUCAAAUAGUUGCUCUCCUCGAUUAUAUCAUAAAAUUUGGUUUGAAGUCUAAGUCAUCUAAUAAUUUUCUAGUUCCAAUUACAUGCAUCAAACAUGUGUGUUAGGAAGUGUUGCAAAUUACUAAUUAGUAUAUAUUCUUUUUUUUUUAAGAAUAUUGUAUUAAAUAUUUCUAGGUUGAUAUAUUAUUGUAAUAUUAGACUUCUUUAUAGAAUAAGGAAGGUUGUUGAAAAUAUCCCUAUAAAUAUUCUAGUUCAUAAGGGGAAAAAGUUUUGAGAUGAAGAUGGACCCAUAAAGACUAUACAAGGUGGAUAGAGAUGUGAGGAAGAACGAGAGGUACCCGAUGGAGCGAGAGGGCUCGUGGUAGGGUAUAGGUACGAAGAGUGAGGAAACAUGGGAUGUUUUGGGAACUCAAUAUUUGUAUCUAGUUAUGUCCUCUAUAAGUUCUAGUUCUGUCAUCUGCAUUGUUCUCUAUUUUAUAGUGGAAUGAUUCUCUCUUAUCUGUGGACGUAGGCAUGGUUUUCGAACCACGUUAAAACCUUGUGUACCGUUUGUGUUGAUUUUUUUUAUCUUUAUUUUCUUGAUUAAUGAAGUUUGCAUCAAAGCUUCUGUCAACGUAACAAACUUGUAUCAAAGUUUGGGAUAAAGAUUUCUAGAAGAGUAAAAGAUCAUAGAGCACACAAGAUGAAAACAAAAGGAAUUUUUAGUGAAAAAGGAGUCAAUUGCUCUCUCGUGGUGAUAUGAUAUAAAAAGUUUAUGUCAUGGAAAGUUUGAAGAUUUACUUCAUGGAAUCUGGUCCAAAAUGGAGAUUGUUAAUAAGUGUCCCAAAUUCCUAAUUAGUAUAGAUUUUUUUUUUUGUAAAGAAUAUUGUAUAGAAUAUUUCUAGGUUGAUAUAUUAUUGUAAUAUUAGACUUCCUUAUAGAAUAAGGAAGGUUGUUGAAAAUAUCUUUAUAAAUAUUCUAGGUCAUGAGGGAAAAAAGUAUGAGAUGAAGAUGGGCCCUAUAAAAACUAUAUGAGGUGGAUAAAGAUGUGAGGAAGAAUGAGAGGUACUCAAUGGAAUGAGAGGGCUCGUGGUAGGGUAUGGAUACAAAGAGUGGGGAAAUAUGGGAUGUUUUGGGAACCUAUUAGUUGUAUCUAGUUCUGUCAUCUAUAAUGUUCUAGUUACGUCCUCUAUAAUGUUCUCUAUUGUAUAGUGGAAUGAUUCUCUUUCAUCCGUGGAUGUAGGCAUGGUUGUCGAACCACAUUAAAACCUCGUGUACUAUUUGUUUUAUUUUUAAAUUUUUUUUAAUCUUUGUUUCUUGAUUAAUGAUGUGUGCAUCAAAGCUUCCAUCUACGUAACAAACUGGUAUCAGAGCUUGGGUUGAAGAUUUUUGGAAUAGUAAAAGAUCACAAAGCACACAAGAUGAAAACAAAAGGAAUUUUUAGUGAAUGUGGAGUCAAUUGUUCUCUCGUGGUGAUAUGAUACAAAAAGUUUGUGUCAUGGAGGGUUUAAUGAUUGACUCCGUGGAAUUUGGUCCAAGGUAGAGAUUGUUAGGAAGUGUCCCAAAUUCCUAAUUAGUAUAGAUUUUUUUUUUUUAAAGAAUAUUGUAUAGAAUAUUUCUAGGUUGACAUAUUAUUGUAAUAUUAGACUUCCUUAUAGAAUAAGGAAUGUUGUUGGAAAUAUUUUUAUAAAUAUUUUAAGUCAUGAGGGGAAAAAUUUAUGAGAUGAAGAUGGGCCUAUAAAGACCAUAUGAGAUGGAUAGAGAUGUGAGGAAGAAUCGGAGGUACCCAGUGGAGCGAGAGAGUUCGUGGUAGGGUGUGAAUAUGAAGAGUGGGGAAACAUGGGAUGUUUUGGGAACCCAAUAGUUGUAUCUAGUUCUGACAUCUAUAAUGUUCUGGUUCUGUCAUCUAUAAUGUUCUGGUUUUGUCCUCUGUAAUGUUCUUUAUUGUAUAGUGGAAUUAUUCUCUCUCAUCUAUAUAGGCAAGUUGCUAAACCACGUUAAAACCUCGAAUACCUUUUGUGUUGAUUUUUUUUAUCUUUGUGUUCUUGAUUAACGAUGCUUGCAUCAAAGCUUCUACCAACGUAACAAUGUGCAACAUAUUUGAUAUAACUUAUAUUUUCUUAAGUAAUUGAACACUUUUUUCUAUAAAUUUACUUGAUGAUCAAUGAGUACCUACAUAUACGGUAUUGACAUAGUUUGAUAAACAUUUUAAAAUAGUAUUAGAAUGGCUUUUCUUUUUCCCAAUUAACAAAUUUAUCAAAUACACACACACACACACACACACAAAAUACUCAUUAGUAUGUCUUUUAUGAAAAAACUAUGUUUGUUUAUUUGAAUUUAGUAGCCAUUCAAUUCCUUAGUUACUCAUAAACUUUUUAUCACCUUCUUAAAGUCAAGUCAUUUACAAUUAUUUUCAAGUCAUUUACAAUUAUUUUAGCCUUCUCCAUUAUGACAACUUUAUAAGAUAGUGAUUGAUUGGAAGAAUCUACAUGCCUUUGUUGAUAGUAUAAUUGUUUUUCUUUUUUUUCGUAUUCAAAGAAUCUUGCUUCUGUUAUUGAAACUUUCAAAUCCUUUAUGUCUAGUGGUCUUAUAAUUCCCUAUUCAUUGGUCUUUCAUAUUACCAAUCAUUUUGCAAAUGAGUUAAUUUCAUUCACAUCCUCUGAGAUUUGAUGUAAAUUCGCUUAGUUACCAAUGAUUUCAAAUUUCAUUAAUUAGUACCCCUACAGAUAUAAUUCGUGUACAAAAUUUAUUUUUUAAAAGAGUUUAGGUAAAAAUAUUUUAGGUAUAUGUCUUUAACAAUUCUCUAAAAUAAAUUUUACUUGCUAAAAAAUAACUUAUAUAGAUAGAAUACAUCUACAGGAGUUCUAACUAACGAAAUUUAAAACUAAUGGUGGUUUAGUGUAUUUAAACUAAACAUUAGGAAGGGUGACUGAAAUUAACCCUCUAGGUAUAUAUGUUUAACAAAAUUUUUAUUGUUUAUUUUUCAUUUAAUGUUUGCAUUUUUCAAUAAACAUUGAAAAGGAAUUGUUUUUCCAUAUGUUAACAAAAAGAAAUUUGAAUACCUAUAAAAAUGAAAUCUUGUAGUAAAAUUGGAGUUACAUUAUCAGACUUUUAACGAGUGUUUAUGUUUAGAAAGGCCAAUUAAAGCAAGCAUGCAUCUAGAAAUUGUAACUUAGAUGCAUCAAACAUGAGCAACAUAUUUGAUAUAACUAAUAGUUUCUUAAGUAACUAAACACUUCUUUUUCUAUAAAUUUACUUGAUUGUCGAUGAAUACUUACAUACAUUUACAUAGUUUGAUAAAUAUUUUAAAAUAAUAUUAGAAUAACUUUGUUUUUUCUCAAUUAUAUUAGAAAAUAAUAUAAAGUUACUUAUAAACUUUAUAUCAUUUUCUCAAAGUCAAGUCAUUUACAAUUAUUUCUAUCUAGUCUUCUCCAUUAUGACAACUUUUAUAUGAUAGUCGUUGAUUGGAAGAAUCUACAUGUCUUUUUUGAUAAGAUAGUUGUUUUUAUUAUUUUUAUUUUUUUUAUUCCAAAAAUUUGCUUCUAUCAUUGAAACUUUCAAAUCUUUUAUGUAUAUUACCAAUCAUUUUACAAGUGAGUUAAUUUCACUUAGGGUAGAUAUACUUAGCCACACCCCUAUAGAUGUAAUUUGUGUUUAAAUUUUAUUUUUUAUUUAGGUAAAAAUAUCUUAGGUAUAUGUGUUCUACAAUUCUCUAAAAAAUAAAUUUUCUUAUCUAAAAGUUUAUAUAGACAAAAUACAUCUAUAGAAGUCCUAACUAAUGAAAUUUAAAAUCAAUGGUUGUUUAGUGUAUUUACAUUAAACCUUAUGGGGUAUGAUUGAAAUUAAGUCUUUUACAAGCACUUGUAGCUAAUAUGUUUGUAGUUGUAGUCUUGGAAAUUGAUCAUUUUCUUGAAGGCCUCUAGGAUAUUGAAAAUAUUGCCAUAGUUUUAGACUUUUUUUUUAUUACACCUAAUAAAAAAUAUUAUUAAUUUAACAUAUAUAUUCUUGACUUAAAAGUAAAGUCUCUCCAUAUUGUAUAAGCCCUUAGGUGGCAAUAUUAGGUGAAGUUUUUCUUUCGUUUAUUACAAAAUAUAAAUAAUUUAUUAUUGUAUGAUAAAAUUUUAUGUAAUAUAUUUUUAUAGAUGUAAAAUUAUUAAUUGGGUUUUGUUUUUUUUUACUAAAUUGUCAUUUCAAUAUAUAAAACUUAUUUGUAAAAAGACAAUUAUAAACUAUAUGAAAUUGAAAAACAUUUAGUUUUUUUAUUUAAUUUAGAAUUUUAUUUGGAUUAAUAAUUGAUAUUUGUAAGAUUUUUGAAUAUUAAAAAAAGUUAGCAUACUUAAGAAAGAUAUUCAAGAUCGGGAGUGUUUGAUAUCGGAUUAAUUUCCUUAUUUUCUCUAUUUUAAUAAAUUUUCACGUCCAUUACAAAAUUUUUGUUGUUUAUUUUUUACUUCAAUAUUUUUAUUUUGUAAUAGAAAUUUGAAAAGAUUUUUUCCUACAUGUUAAAAAAAAAAAAGAUUUGAACACUCCUAAAAAAGAAAUAUUGCAAUAAAAUUAAAGUUUACACUGUAGGACUAUUAGCAAAUGCUGCAUACUUAAAAUAGACCAAUUAAAGUAGAAAUACUUCUAAAAUUGUAAUUUAGGUAACAAUAAUAUAAAAAGACAAUAUUUUUGAAACAAUAGUUCUCUUGGAGUUUUGGGUACAAUGGACUAGACUUUAUGUAACAAUAGAUAUACAAACUUUCCAUUAACAUCUUGAGAGACAUGAUGAGGAGCAAAGUCAUCCAAGAAGGUACCAUAGAGGUACCUUAGCUCAAUUCAUCUAGACUACAUAAUGUUUAAAGAUCAAAUUCAAUGACUAGAUUUCAAAAAUCAAUAUAAGCUUUCUCAUAUUCUACUCUAUAUAAGACAAUGGUAUGAUACCUCUCUUGUGUCGUAGAAUGCACCAUGAAAACCUUAUCAUUUUAACAUCAGUUUGAAACUUAAAAGUCACUUAGCACAUUCUAGUUAUUAAUUUAAGAGCAUUAAAAGAAAUAUAUAAAAAAAAAGUUACUUUAUCCUUGUGAUUUUGAUCUAGGACUUUUAAUGAUAUUAAAAAAAAAAACAGAAAAAUAAAUGGAAAUAAAAUCAAUAAAUUAAACAAUUGAAUUAAGUUAGUUUAAUUUUUGAAUCGUUAAAUGGGUAAAUAAAGAUCUUAGAUUUGAUAUUAAUAUGAACAUCAUGACUUCAGUGAAUCUUACAAGAAAAUUUUAGUUUGAAAGACUUCAUUCAUUAAACGUGUGGCACAUAUUAAAGUAAAACUAAGUCUUCUCUAUAAUUUGUACCUAUCAUAGUUUCUUUCCUCAUAAAUAGCCUUUUUUGAAUAUAAUAUAGACUUCAACAUGCAUGGUGGGGCCAAUCAAACUACUAGUCAAGACAACUCAUGGGCAACAACGAUGUACCAACUACAUUUAAAUACUCUUCAUAUAUUUGCAUAUCAAGAGUAAUUUAGUAGUGUCUUUCUUAUGUACCUCAUAUCUAGACUUUCAAUGGAGAGUUCUUCAUCUAAAAAUUUGACUUGGGUUUUCAUACUAGUUUUGGUUUAGACAUGUGGAUGCAAAGGUUGCAUCAAAGAAGAGAAGUAGGCUAAAUCAUCUUACAAAUUUUCAAGUUCAAAUUAGAUGCACCAAACAUAUGCAACAUAUUUGAUAUAACUAAUAUUUUCUUAAGUAAUUGAAUACAAUUUUUUUUUAUAAAUUCACUUGAUUAUUAAUGGAUAACUAACUACAUGUAUGGUAUUGACACAACUUGAUAAAUUUUUUAAAAUAGUAUUAGAAUAACUUUGCUAAAAAAAAGUAAAAAUAAAAAUAAAAAUACAUCUAUAUAUAUAUAUAAUUAAAUAAAAUUAAAAAUUAAUAUAUAUAUAUAUAUAUAUAUAUUCUGUGUGUGUAUGUGUGCAUGGUCUCACAAGUCAUUAGCUACUCAUAAGCUUUAUAUCACUUUCUCAAAGUCAAGUCAUUUUGUAAUUAUUUCUAUCUAGCCUUCUCCAUUACGACAACUGUAUAGGAUAUUGAUUGAUUGUAAAAAUCUUCAUGUCUUUUUUUAUAAGAUAGUUUUUUAUUAUUAUUAUUAUUCAAAGAAUUUUCUUUUAUUAUUGAAACUUUCAAAUCCUUUAUGUCUAGUGGUCCUACAAUUCCCUAUUCAUUGGUAUUUCAUAUUACCAAUCAUUUUACAAAUAAGUUUAUUUCACCCGGUAAAUAUACUUAACUACCAAUGGUUUCAAAUUUAAUUGAUUAACACACUUAUAGAUGUAAUUUGUUUUUAAAUUUUAUUUCUUUUAGAAGAAUUGUAGGUAAAAAUGUUCUAGGAAUAUGUGUUCAAUAAUUCUCUAAAAACAAUUUAUAUAGAUGGAAUACAUUCAUGGAAGUUCCAACUAAUGAAAUUUAAAACCAAUGACGAUUUAAUGUAUUUGCACUAAAUCUUAGGGGAGGUGUACUAAAACUAGCCCUUUUACAAAUAUUUGUAGCUAGUAUAUUUGUAGUUAUGGUGUUGGAAGUUGAUCAUUUUCUUAAAGGCCUCUAAGAUAUUGGAAAUAUCGCCAAAGUUUUGAACUUUUUGUUUCACCUAAAUAAAAUAUCAUUAAUUUAAUAUAUAUACUCUUCGCUUGAAAGUAUAGUUUCUUCAUAUUGUAUGAAGUUGUAACUAGGUGACAAUAUUAGGUGAAAUUUUUUUUUGUUUACUACAAAAUAUAAAUAAUAUAUUUAUUAUAUGAUAAAAUUUUGUAAAAUAUAUUAUUAUAGAUGCAAAAUUAUUAAUGGAGUUUUAUUUUUUACUAAAUUAUCAUUUCAAUAAAUAAGAACUUAUUUGUUAAAAGAAAAUUAUAAAAUAUAUGCAAUUGAAAAAAAUUUAAUUUUUUUAUUUAAUUUGGUAUUUUAUUUGAAUUAAUAAUUGAUAUUUGUAAAAUCUUUUAAUAUUAAAAGAAGUUAACAUACUUAAAAAAGACAUUCAAAAUCAAGAGAGUAUUUGAUAUGAAAUUAAUUAAUUAUUUUUUUUCUAUUUAAAUAAAUUUUUACAUCCAUUAAAAAAAUUUUCUUGUUUAUUUUUCACUUCAAUAUUUUUAUUUUGUAAAAUAAAUAGAAAUAAAAUCAACAAAUUAAACAAUUGAAUUAAGUUAGUUUAAUUUUGCCACCGUUAAAUUGGUAAAUGAAGACUCUUAUAUUUGAUAUUAACAUGAACAUCAUGACUUCAUUGAAUAUUCUCACAAGAAAAUUUUAGUUUGAAAGAUUUUAUCCUUUAAACAUGUGGCACAUAUUAAAGUGAGACCAAGUCUUCCCUAUAAUUUGUAUCUAUCACAAUUUCUUUCCUAAUGAAUAACCUUUUUGAAUAGAAUAUAGACUUUAGCAUAUUACCAACCAUUUUACAAAUAAGUUAAUUUCACUCAGUAAAUAUACUUAACCACCAAUGGUUUCCAAUUUGUAGCACUCUUAUAGAUGUAGUUUUUUUUUUAAAUUUUAUUUUUUAGAAGAAUUGUAGGUAAAAAUAUUUUAGAUAUAUAUGUUCAACAAUUCUCUAAAAACAAUUUAUAUAGAUGGAAUACGUUCAUGGAAGUUCCAACUAAUGAAAUUUAAAACCAAUGAUGAUUUAAUGUAUUUGUACUAAAUCUUAGGGAGUGUGGACUAAAAUUAGCCCUUUUACAAAUAUUUAUAACUAGUAUAUUUGUAGUUGUGGUAUUGAAAGUUGAUCAUUUUCUUAAAAGGUUUACCAUUGAAGUUAGUUGAAUAUAAAGUUAGGUGAACUUUACCAUUGUUUAAUUGGUAAAUGAAGACUCUUAGAUUUGAUACUAACAUGUACAUCAUGACUUCAUUGAAUCUCUCACAAGGAAAUUUUAGUUUGAAAGACUUCAUCUUUUAAACAUGUGGCACAUAUUAAAGUGGACCAAGUCUUCCCUAUAAUUUGUAUCUAUCACAAUUUCUUUCCUCAUAAAUAGCCUUUUUUAAUAGAAUUAAUAUAGACUUUAGCAUGCAUGGUGGGCCCUGUCAAACUAUUAGUCAAGAUAAUUUGUAGGUAAGAACGAUGGACCAACUAUAUUAAAUAUUCUUCAUCUAUUUGCAUAUCAAGAGCAACUUAAUAUUGUCUUUCUUUUGUACUUCAUGUUUGAACUUUCAAUGGAGAGUGUGUCAUCUAAAUAUUUGAUGUGGGUUUUUAUACUAUUCUUGGUUCAAAUAUGUGGAUGCAAAGGUUGCAUCGAAGAAGAGAAGAUGGGUUUGCUUGAAUUCAAGGCUUUUCUUAAAUUGAAUAAUGAGCAUGCAGAUUUUCUUCUCCCUUCAUGGAUAGAUAACAACACUAGUGAAUGUUGUAAUUGGGAGCGGGUUAUUUGCAAUCCCACCACAGGUCGAGUUAAGAAGCUUUUCCUCAAUGAUAUUACGCAACAACAAAGUUUCUUGGAAGACAAUUGGUACCAAUAUGAAAAUGUCAAAUUCUGGUUACUAAAUGUCUCCCUAUUCCUUCCUUUUGAAGAACUUCACCAUCUAAACUUGUCUGCAAACUCAUUUGAUGGGUUUAUUGAGAAUGAAGGUAUGUUACCUCUCACCUUUAAAAUUUCAUUUCACUUAUACUCCAAACAUUCUAAAGGAACUACUAGCAUAUGUUCUUAAAAGUGUUCAGGUGGAGACCAAAUGGUCACUAGUAACUAUUGAAUUUAAUAUAAGAACAAUUACUAAUUAUUAAAAUUUAUAAUGUAAAUUAACAUUUAAACAGAACAAUAAAAAAAUUAUUAUUUUAGAAAACUAUAGAUUACAUUAGCCUUAUAUAUAUAAGCAUACUUGUUAUUUAUGCCAUCAUUUCACACUCAACCCAAUAAGUGGGAUUCAACUAAGAGUGAGCAAUUUCACAAUUAUUAAUUAACAGGAACACUUAGUCUCCCAUAUCCUUAUCCUUUUUGUUGAAUUGUCUUUCCUUAUCUUCCAUUCCUAAAAAGCUUGAUUUCUAUAUUCUAAAUUGAUAAAGAUUGGUUAAAGAAAGGUGAUCACAAAAUUUGACUAUUGCUGUCAAAUAAGGAAUCACCAUCUUCAAAGUUUCACAUUUACAAAAAAAAAAAAAAAAAAAAAAAAAAAAAAAAAAAACCCUAGCCUUGGGUAAGGUCCAAGCCUUAUUGUUUUAAGCUGAUGUCGGGUUGGUUUAAUAAUAAACAAAAAAAAUCCUAACCCAUGACCAUCUACGCAUUUCCAAAUUCCACCCAUCCACAACCCAUUAAUAUGACAUUUUCAAGGACAAAAUUUAAUCAAUUAAACCUAUUAGAUGGAUUCUCCAUACAAUGUUAAAAUGAAUAUAAAAACUUUAAUUCAAAAAAUAAUUUCCUUUAUUUAGUUAGGAUUCAAAUUAUAGGGGCACAAAACAUGAAAAUUUUCAUGUUUAAAAUUCACAAAGAUCACAAAAGCUCUUUGAAGCUCUAUGGACUUUUUUAUUUCUAACAUUUAAACACAAAAAUCACCAUAUUUAAUUAGAGAUUUGGAUACAUAUUCUUAUAUUAAAGACAUGUAAGCUUACAUAUUUAAAUAUGAAGAUCUCAACUUGUAAUUACAUGCUUCUAAUUAAAGUUAUAUUACUCUAUUUUAUAGGAUUUAAAGGGUUAUCAAGUUUAAAGAAAUUGGAGAUCUUAGACAUAAGUGGUAAUGAGUUUGAAAAAAGUGUCUUAAAAUCUUUGGACACAAUAACAUCACUCAAGACAUUGGCUAUUUGCAGCAUGGGACUGAAUGAAUCUUUUUCCAUUCGAGGCAUGUUAUAUGUCCACAUUGUUUCUUUGAAAUUAAGUAAAAUAUAUUUCUAACUUUUAAUGUUCCUUAGUUAAUCUCUCUUUUGAUUCAUGUUUGUUGCAGAAUUAGCUAGUUUGAGAAAUUUGGAAGUGUUGGAUCUAAGCUAUAAUGAUUUGGAAAGCUUUCAACUAUUGCAAGGUACUUCAUUAACUUGCUAAAAAAACUUAUGAUAUUUUGUUAUUAAAUUAAAGGUAAGAUUAACAAACAAUUUCUUCUCAUUAGUUACUUUUCUUUGUAAUAUCAUUAAAUUUGAUAUAAAGUAGUCUAAAUCAUCCUUUCAAUUUAUAAGUUUUAAUUAAAACGCAUCAAGCAUGCACAAGAUGUUUAAUAUAACUAAUAUUUUCAUAAGUAAUUGAAUUUUUUUAUAUGAAUUAAUUAACUUGAUUAUCAAUAAAUACUUACAUGUAUAAGAUUAAUAUAGUUUCAUAAGUAUUUUAAAAUUGUCUUACAACACACACACACACACACACAAGGAAAAUGAAAGGUAUGUGAUAUCUUUAUGCUAUGUUUGGUUCCCAAAAAAAUUGAGGGAAAAUGAAAGGAGAAAAAAGUAGAGACGAAAAGUAAAAGAAAAGAAAAAAAGUAAAGAAAAAUAUAAAAUUGAUUAAAGUAAAUACAUUAUUUUUAUAUGUUACUUUAACUUGUUUCACUUAUUUUAAUUCUUCAAUGUAAAGAUGAAAGAUUUGAAAAUGCAUAAGUUUCUAAUUAUUUUUUAUUUUAUUUUAUAGUUUUUACAAUACAACCAAACAUAAUAAAAUCAUUUUCUUUAAUUUUUUUUCUUUUCUUAAUACUUUUCACGAACCCUUUAAGUUAUGUUUGUUUGCAGAAAAUAUGAGGAAUAGAAAAUAGAAAAGAAAAUUAGAAGGAAAGAAAAAGUGAAGUAAAAUAAAAAUAAAUUUAAAUUUAAUAAAUUAUUUGUAUAUGCUACUUUAAACUUAUUUCACUUAUUUUAAAUUAUUUAAACUCAUUUCUAAUAAAUAAUAAUGGAAAUUGUAGAGAAGUUUGUGUUAUUCAAGCUUUGCAAUGACUUUACAAGGUGAAGGAAAAUAUUCUUGCUGAAAUUGAAAAAAGAAAUACCUUCUUAAAUAGCCUAUUGACCGAAAACACAUUACCCUAACAUAUACACACACCUUUAUUAUUUAUACAAUCAUUUAAUACUUAAUCCAGUUAGUGGGAUUCUAGUGGUUGUUUUUAUCUUGGUUUCCAAUAUUUCUGAUUGAUAGUGUUCGAUUAAUGAAAUAUCAUAAAUUUUGACCCUAAUAAGGACCAAUCCCUAUUAAAUGUAAUUGGGUUGACCUAAGACUAAAUGUUAGAUCCAACUAAUAAAAACCCAUCUAUUUGUUGGAGUGUAAAUAACCCGGCCUUAGGUAGGGCCCAUGCCUUAUUAUUUUAAGAUGUAGUCCAACUGGUUUGACACUAGAUUGAGUAAAGCCCAACUUAUGAGCAUCUAUGCAUUUCCAUCCAUCCACAACCUACUGGCAUGGACAAACUUUGGUCAAUUAAACCUAUUAUAACUGCAUACAAAAUUUUAAGUUCAAAAGAUAAUUUUCCUUAUUUAGUUAGGAUUCAUAUUAAAAAGGCACAAAGCACGAAUUUUCAUGUUUAAAUUCACAAAUAUCACAAAAGCUCCUUCAAGCUCUAUGGACCAUUUUAUUUGUAACAUUAUAUUACUCUUAAUUAUCAAAUUAACCAACAAAUUCUUCUCAUUAGUUAUUUUUCUUUAGUAAUGUCAUAAAAUUUGAUAUAAAGUAGUAUUGGUCAUCAUUUCAAAUUUUAGGUUCCAAUUAGAUGUAUCAAGCAUGUGUACCAUAUUUGAUAUAACUAAUAUUUUUAUAAGUAAUUGAAUUUUUUUUUCUAUAAAUCAAUUAAUUUGAUUAUCAAUGAAUACUUUCAUACAUGAUAUUGAUGUAGUUUCAUAAAUAUUUUAAAAUAGUCAUAGAAGUCUUUUAUCUGAUUCACUAGAAAGAAAAAUAAACUAUUCUAAUGAAAAGACUUGAUGAUUUGAAGUGAUUGCUUUUGAUUUUAUUUGAUUGCUACCAUUAUUAAUUGUUAGAAAUUGGCAACAAAUACCCAUUUUGCAUCACUUCUAUAUGCAUCGGGGGAAUGAAUUAUAUUUCAUAGAGCUAAUAGGGCAAAACUCAAACUUUUGGAAUUAUGGAAAAGGUUGCUAGAAAGCUAAUUAACCAUUUAUAUUAUGAUUAAGACUAGUUGGGUUAGAAAUAAUUCAUAUGGAGAUUAAAAAAAACUAUGUAAUUUAGUUUAGUAGCUUGGGUGCUAUUGUAAUGAUUAAUGAUCUGCAACUUGAACACAUCUACUAGUGCUUUCUACUUGUAUAGCUAAAUUUAUGUUACCACUUUGAACUACAGUACUUACAUGAGAAGAAAGUUUUUCCUUAGUGAUAAUGCAAAAGAAAUUAAGUAUCAAUUUUUGUUAAACUAACAAGUGAUAGUUUAGAUAUGGUUUGAAUACACUUCCUUUCUUCUAUAUUUUUAUUUUGAAAAAAAAAAACUCUUUAAUGAAAUAUAAGAAAUCUUAUAUGUAUAAAAAUUAAAGACUUAAACAAAAAAAUUCUUCAAAUUUGAAAAUUUUCGAGAAGUAUUUUUAAGAAUUUGUAUUUUCAAUAUAAUAAUUCAUAUAUUUUGUAUAAAAGUUUUUGUUUAAAAAAAUAGAAGUGUGUCCAAAUUACAAAUUAAUUGUUAAAUUAAGAAUGUUUCUCAGAUCAAGAGAUGAUGAAAGUUGUAGAGAGUUUGCAUUACUCAACCUUUGCAAUUACUUUUUGAAGGUAAAAGAAAAUACCUUCCUACAUAACAUACAAUGGCAGGUUCUGGUUUGUAAGAAACUAAUAAAUGAUUAAGAAUAUGAAUAAGACUUCCUUUAUAAUGGAUAUGUAGAGAAGAAUAGUGGAUGAUAGGAGGUGAAAAUCUUGUAAUAAAAUAUCAAUAUCAGUUAUAAGAUAAUCAACAUUUUCUCUAUUUCUUGUACCUAUGUGAUUAAGAAUCUUGUAGCUCCCUUAUUGAAAUAUAAUAUAAAAAUAUAAAUAAACUAUUUAGAAGUGCAUGUAGUUUUCAACAUGAGGAAGUUCAAAAGCAAGUUAAUUAUGAUAAUUUUCUAUAGUCUAUAUUGAACACAAAUUAUUUUUACUAAAGGUUCAAUCGUUCUAUGAAGGUUAAAAGUUUGAAUUGUUUACAUAUGCAAAUGGACAACCAAACAAGAAAAUGAUUUUGAAAUCCUUUUUGGACCUUUUUUUAUCAUUCAUUUUUUCCCCUACUCUAUUUCCUUUCCCUCAAACUCUCUAGGUAGUAAACAUUACCUAAGAUAAAUAGGGAAGAAAAUAUUUUAUCAUUUAUUUAUUUAGUAUUUUUCUUACAUUUUUUGUAUGUUAUCCAAAUAUAAGAAAACUAUUUUUCUUUAUUUUUUCUUUUCCUUGUUGCUUUUCAAGAAUCAAGCAUACUUUAAACUCUAAUUAAGAGUUACAUAGAUUUACGAAGAAACAAUGCAACUGGUAACAAAAAAUUAAGGAAAUUUAAUUUUUGAGAGUAGGUAUAAUGAGAUUGGUUUGUUUGAUACAAAAUUUGAAUAAAAAUUCUUUCAAUGAAAAUUCAAGGAAAGGAAAAAAAAAACAACUUUCUCUCUAGACUAUAAUACUAAAUCACUUAAAAAAUAUCCUAACAUCGUUUAUGUUCAUCUUUCUUUUUAUGGAUUUGAAAAACCCAAUAAUUUGGAGAAAACUGAUUCAAGGAAGAAUAAUUUUUAGAAUAAAAUAUUAUUAUUUAAGAAGAUCAUAAAUAUUAUAGUCAUUGUUGAAUAUGAUAAAUGAUUUAAAAAAAAUGGUAGUUGGAAAUUUAGAUACUUUUAUAAGACAAAUGAAUUUUUCUAGUAUGGUAUGAAAAAAGGUAAAAUGAUAGGCUUUGAUCAUUUUUUAAGGUAGUUUGUUUAAAUCAUUUUAAUUUAUUUUCAUUUAAGAACAAUAACUUUUAUUACACUAGUUAUUUUGAUUUUCUUUUGAUAGAUUUUGCAAGCUUAAGCAAUUUGGAGCUAUUGGAUUUGAGUAAUAAUUCAUUUAGUGGGAGCGUUCCAUCAUCUAUAAGAUUGAUGUCUUCUCUCAAGUCUUUAUCCCUGGCUGGAAAUUACCUCAAUGGUUCCUUACCAAAUCAAGGUAUAUAUAUAUUGUGAUUACAGGUUUUUCUGUUUUCUUUUUUAAUAUCUUGUUUGUUCUUUAUGCCAAUGAAGUCAUGCAUGUCUAUUAAUUUUUGGUAUUUAAUAAAAAACUUUAUUCUUAAUUCAUAAAGACCUCAUCAACGGUAAGUAACAGCUAGUUGUAAGUUUGGGGGCAUUGACAAGACGAGGAGAUGAUUGGUUACAUGUCUUAUUCUCUUUUGUAGGCUUUUGCCAAUUGAAUAAGCUUCAAGAAUUAGAUCUUUCUUACAACUUGUUCCAAGGAAUCCUUCCUCCAUGUUUGAAUAAUUUGACAUCUUUGAGGUUAUUGGAUCUCUCUUCCAACCUAUUCUCCGGAAAUCUUUCUUCCCCUCUGUUACCUAAUCUCACAUCCCUGGAGUACAUCGAUCUCAGUUACAAUCAUUUUGAGGGUUCAUUCUCUUUCAGCUCUUUUGCUAAUCACUCCAACCUUCAAGUGGUCAAACUUGGAAGGAAUAACAACAAAUUUGAGGUAGAAACUGAAUAUCCAGUUGGUUGGGUUCCCCUGUUUCAGUUGAAAGCUCUUGUGCUAUCCAACUGUAAGCUCAUCGGUGACCUUCCUAGUUUCCUUCGACACCAAUUAAGAUUAACCGUGGUUGAUCUCUCCCAUAAUAACUUGACUGGAAGUUUCUCCAUUUGGCUGCUUGAAAACAAUACAAGACUAGGAUCUCUAGUUCUGAGGAAUAACUCUUUAAUGGGUCAACUACUUCCCCUGAGACCUAAUAGUCGUAUCACUUUAUUGGAUAUCUCAGACAACCGACUUGAUGGGGAACUUCAACAAAAUGUGGCCAAUAUGAUUCCAAAUAUUGAGUUUCUAAAUUUAUCCAACAAUGGUUUUGAAGAUAUUCUCCUAUCCUCAAUAGCCGAAAUGAGUUCCUUACAGUCAUUGGAUUUGUCUGCUAAUAGUUUCUCAGGGGAAGUACCAAAACAAUUGCUUGUGGCAAAAUAUUUGUGGCUUCUGAAAUUAUCAAAUAAUAAAUUUCAUGGUGAAAUAUUUUCAAGGGAGUUUAACUUGACUCAGUUAGGGUUUUUACAUUUGGACAAUAAUCAGUUCAAGGGAACACUGUCAAAUGUAAUCUCCAGAAUCUCUAGGUUAUGGGUGUUGGAUAGGUAACAUGACCGAUUUGACUACCCUAGUGUUGGGCAACAAUAGUUUUAAAGGCAAAUUACCACCUGAGAUUUCUCAAUUGUUGGGGAUGAUAUUUCUUGACCUUUCUUAAAACGCUCUUUCAGGAUCUUUUCUUUCUUUGAAGAGCCUGGAGUAUUUAGAGCAUCUACAUUUGCAAGGGAACAUGUUUAUAGGAUUGAUACCUAGAGAUUUUCUCAAUUCCUCAUAUCUAUUGACUUUGGAUAUCAGAGACAACAGGUUAUUUGGAAGUAUUCCCAAUUCAAUCUCUAGACUUUUAGAGCUAAGAGGAAACCUUUUAAGUGGUUUCAUUCCAUAUCAGCUCUGUCAUUUGACUAAAAUAAGCUUCAUGGAUCUUUCAAACAACAAUUUUUCUAGGUCAAUUCCUGGAUGCUUUGGUCAUAUCAGAUUUGGAGAUUUCAAAACUGAGCACAAUGUGUAUAUACCGAUGUUGGAUUCGUAUUCAGAAAGCAAUCCUUCUAUAUAUGCGGGUUACUUAAUAAAAUUUUAUUUUUCUCUAGUGAACUCCCUAAUGAAGUAGAUGAAGUUGAGUUUGUUACCAAGAAUAGGUAUAGCUCCCACAGAGUAGAUAAAUAUAUUUGUUGGGAAUUUAGAUAUUUUUAUAGAAAAGUAGACAAGUAUUCUAAUUUAUAAAAAUAAUGCAUUUCUUUAGUUUGGUAUAAAAAAAAUGAAAUGAUAUGUAUUGGUAAUUUUUUUUAAAGUAACAAACGUUUUAUUUUAUUUGUAUUUAAGAACAAUUUUUUUUCUUAUACUAGUUAUUUUAAUUUUCUUUUGACAGAUUUUGCAAGCUUAAGCAAUUUGGAGAUGCUAGAUUUGAGUUAUAAUUCCUUAAGUGGGAUUAUUCCAUUAUCUAUAAGAUUGAUGCCUCAUCUCAAGUCUUUAUCCUUGGCCAGAAAUCACUUCAAUGGUUCUUUACAAAAUCAAGGUACAUAUGUUAUGAUUUGUUUGUUUCAUAUAGAUUAGAGAAGAUGAAUAUUGUUAAAAAAAAAAAGUUGUUGUUAAUGUAAGCUAGAAAUAAGUAUUUUGCCUUAUAAAUUAUAUAAGCAUGUGUUUGUUCUGAAUGAAUCUUUACAACAUUUAGAGUUACCAAUGUUUAUAAUUCAUAAAGACCUCAUUAACAGUGAGUAACAACUAAUUGUAAGUAAUUGUGGAAAAAGUAAGGAAAACAAAAUGAGGGAAAAGCAAGGAAUUAGGAAAUUAUUUUGUUCCCAUAAAAAAAUGCUAAGGAAGAAAAAGGUAAAAGAAAGUUUAAAAAAAGUGUAUUUUUCAAAAAUUUAUUUCUCUUUCCUUUAAUUUUGCUAUGGACAACCAAACAAGAAAAUAAUUUUAUAAUUCCUUUUUUUUUUCAUUCUCUCUCUCUCUCUCUCUUUUUCCCUACUCUAUUUCUUUUCCCUCAAACUUUCUUGAUAGUAAACACAACCUAAGGUAAAUGAGGAAGAAAAUUUUUAGUUUUUUUUAUUUUUUAUUUUUUUAGAAUGUUUUCUUACUUUUUAGUAUUUUAUGCAAAUAUAGGAAAAUUUUCAUCUUUCUUUUUAUGGAUUUGAAAAACCCAAUAAUUUGGAGAAAACUGAUUCAAGGAAGAAUAAUUUUUAGAAUAAAAUAUUAUUAUUUAAGAAGAUCAUAAAUAUUAUAGUCAUUGUUGAAUAUGAUAAAUGAUUUAAAAAAAUGGUAGUUGGAAAUUUAGAUACUUUUAUAAGACAAAUGAAUUUUUCUAGUAUGGUAUGAAAAAAGGUAAAAUGAUAGGCUUUGAUCAUUUUUUAAGGUAGUUUGUUUAAAUCAUUUUAAUUUAUUUUCAUUUAAGAACAAUAACUUUUAUUACACUAGUUAUUUUGAUUUUCUUUUGAUAGAUUUUGCAAGCUUAAGCAAUUUGGAGCUAUUGGAUUUGAGUAAUAAUUCAUUUAGUGGGAGCGUUCCAUCAUCUAUAAGAUUGAUGUCUUCUCUCAAGUCUUUAUCCCUGGCUGGAAAUUACCUCAAUGGUUCCUUACCAAAUCAAGGUAUAUAUAUAUUGUGAUUACAAGUUUUUAUGUUUUCUUUUUUAAUAUCUUGUUUGUUCUUUAUGCCAAUGAAGUCAUGCAUGUCUAUUAAUUUUUGGUAUUUAAUAAAAAACUUUAUUCUUAAUUCAUAAAGACCUCAUCAACUGUAAGUAACAGCUAGUUGUAAGUUUGGGGGCAUUGACAAGACGAGGAGAUGAUUGGUUACAUGUCUUAUUCUCUUUUGUAGGCUUUUGCCAAUUGAAUAAGCUUCAAGAAUUAGAUCUUUCUUACAACUUAUUCCAAGGAAUCCUUCCUCCAUGUUUGAAUAAUUUGACAUCUUUGAGGUUAUUGGAUCUCUCUUCCAACCUAUUCUCCGGAAAUCUUUCUUCCCCUCUGUUACCUAAUCUCACAUCCCUGGAGUACAUCGAUCUCAGUUACAAUCAUUUUGAGGGUUCAUUCUCUUUCAGCUCUUUUGCUAAUCACUCCAACCUUCAAGUGGUCAAACUUGGAAGGAAUAACAACAAAUUUGAGGUAGAAACUGAAUAUCCAGCUGGUUGGGUUCCCCUGUUUCAGUUGAAAGCUCUUGUGCUAUCCAACUGUAAGCUCAUCGGUGACCUUCCUGGUUUCCUUCGACACCAAUUAAGAUUAACUGUGGUUGAUCUCUCCCAUAAUAACUUGACUGGAAGUUUCCCCAUUUGGCUGCUUGAAAACAAUACAAGACUAGGAUCUCUAGUCGUAUCACUUUAUUGGAUAUCUCAAACAACCGACUUGUUGGGGAACUUCAACAAAAUGUGGCCAAUAUGAUUCCAAAUAUUGAGUUUUUAAAUUUAUCCAACAAUGGUUUUGAAGGUAUUCUCCCAUCCUCAAUAGCUUAAAUGAGUUCCUUACAGUCGUUAGAUUUGUCUGCUAAUAGUUUCUUAGGGGAAGUACCAAAACAAUUGCUUGCGGCAAAAUAUUUGUGGCUUCUGAAAUUAUCAAAUAAUAAAUUUCAUGGUGAAAUAUUUUCAAGGGACUUUAACUUGACUCAGUUAGGGUUUUUACAUUUGGACAAUAAUCAGUUUAGGGGAUAUUUCUCCAGAAUCUCUAGGUUAUGGGUGUUGGAUGGGAGAUAGUUUUAAAGGCAAAUUACCACCUGAGAUUUCUCAAUUGUCGGGGAUGAUAUUUCUUGACAUUUUUCAAAACGCUCUUUCAGGAUCUCUUCCUUCUUUGAAGAGCCUGGAGUAUUUAGAGCAUCUACAUUUGCAAGGGAACAUGUUUAUAGGAUUGAUACCCAGAGAUUUUCUCAAUUCCUCAUAUCUAUUGACUUUGGAUAUCAGAGACAACAGGUUAUUUGGAAGUAUUCCCAAUUCAAUCUCUAGACUUUUAGAGCUAAGAGGAAACCUUUUAAGUGGUUUCAUUCCAUAUCGGCUUUGUCAUUUGACUAAAACAAGCUUCAUGGAUCUUUCAAACAACAAUUUUUCUGGGUUAAUUCCCGGAUGCUUUGGUCAUAUCGGAUUUGGAGAUUUCAAAACUAAGCACAAUGUGUAUAUACCGAUGUUAGAUUCGUAUUCAGAAAGCAAUCCUUCUAUAUAUACGGGUUACUUAAUAAAAUAUUUAUUUUUCUCUACUGAACUCCUUGAUGAAGUAGAUGAAGUUGAGUUUGUUACCAAGAAUAGGUAUAGCUCCCACAGAGUAGAUAAAAAUAUUUGUUGGGAAUUUAGAUAUUUUAUAGGACAAUAUACAAGUAUUCUAAUUUAUAAAAACAAUGCAUUUCUUUAGUUUGGUAUAAAAAAAAUAAAAUGAUAGGUAUUGGUAAUUUUUUUUCAAAGUAACAAACGUUUUAUUGUAUUUGUAUUUAAGAACAAUGUCUUUUCUUAUACUAGUUAUUUUAAUUUUCUUUUGACAGAUUUUGCAAGCUUAAGCAAUUUGGAGAUACUAGAUUUGAGUUAUAAUUCCUUAAGUGGGAUUAUUCCAUCAUCUAUAAGAUUGAUGUCUUGUCUCAAGUCUUUAUCGUUGGCCGGAAAUCACCUCAAUGGUUCUUUACAAAAUCAAGGUACAUAUGUUAUGAUUUGUUUGUUUCAUAUAGAUUAGAGAAGAUAAAUAUUGUAAAAAAAAAAAAAGUUGUAGUUAAUGUAAGCUAGAAAUAAGUAUCUUGCCUUAUAAAUUAUAUAAGCAUGUGUUUGUUCUUAAUGAAUCUUUACAACAUUUAGAGUUACCAAUGUUUAUAAUUCAUAAAGACCUCAUUAACGGUGAAUAACAACUAAUUGUAAGUAAUUGUGGAAAAAGUAAGGAAAACAAAAUGAGGGAAAAGCAAGGAAUUAGGAAAUUAUUUUUUUCCCAUAAAAAAAUGCUAAGGAAGAAAAAGGUAAAAGAAAGUUUAAAAAAAGUGUAUUUUUAAAAAAAUUAUUUCUCUUUCCUUUAAUUUUGCUAUGGACAACCAAACAAGAAAAUCAUUUUAUAAUUCCUUUUUAUUUUUUUCAUUCUCUCUCUCUUUUUUUCCCUACUCUAUUUCUUUUCCCUCAAACUUCCUUGGUAGUAAACACAACCUAAGAUAAAUGGGGAAGAAAAUUUUCAGUUUUUAUUUUUAUUUUUUUAGAAUGUUUUCUUACUUUUUAGUAUUUUAUGCAAAUAUAGGAAAAUUAUUUUUUUUUCUUGCUCCUUUUCAGACAUGAAUCACACUUUAAAAGAAAAUUAAUUUUUAAUUAGGAGUUAAGAUAAAUUUAAGGAGAAACAAUGAAUCACGAAUAACAAAAAAUUAAGGAAAUUGAAUUUUUGAAAGUAAGUAUAAUCAAAUUGCUUCAUUUGAUACAAAAUUUGAAUAAAAAUUCUUUCAAUGAAAAAUCAAGGAAAGGAAAAAACAUUUUUGUCUCUAGAUUAUAAUACUUAAUCAUGUAAAAAAUCUCUUAACAUCAUUUAUAUUCAUAUUUCUUUUUGUAGAUUUGAAAAAUUCAACAAUUUGGAAUAAACUUAUUCAAUGAAGAAUAAUUUUUAGAUUUAAAGAUUAUUAUUUAAGAUCAUAAAUAUUACCAUCAUUGUUGAUGUCCAAGAAGAUCAUAUUCAACAAUUUUUUUAAUAUGUUGUUUUUUAUGGUAAUUAAUUGAUGUCUUGUAAUUUUUAAUAUUUAAUGAAAAACAUUAAUUUAAUUCAUCUAAAGCUCUUAAUUCAUGAAGACCUCGUUAAUGUAAUGGUGAGUAAUAGUUGGCUGUAAGUUUGGAGUCAAAGACAUGUUAAGGAGAUGAUUAGUUACAUGUCUUAUUCUCUUUUGUAGGUUUCUGCCAAUUGAAUAAGCUUCAAGAGUUAGAUCUUUCUUACAACUUAUUCCAAGGGAUCCUUCCUCCAUGUUUGAAUAAUUUCACAUCUCUGAGGUUAUUGGAUCUCUCUUCCAACCUCUUUUCCGGAAAUUUUUCUUCCCCUCUGUUACGUAAUCUCACAUCCCUAGAGUACAUAGAUCUCAGUUCCAAUCAGUUUGAGGGUUCAUUCUCUUUCAGCUCUUUUGCUAAUCAUUCCAAGCUUCAAGUGGUCAUACUUGGAAGGGAUAACAACAAAUUUGAGGUAGAAACUGAAUAUCCAGUUGGUUGGGUUCCCCUGUUUCAGUUGAAGAUUCUCUCUCUAUCCAGCUGUAAGCUCACCGGUGACCUUCCUGGUUUUCUUCAAUACCAAUUCAGGUUAGUGGGGGUUGAUAUCUCACAUAAUAACUUGACAGGAAGUUUCCCCUAUUGGUUGCUUGAAAACAAUACGAGACUAGAAUCUCUAGUCUUGAGGAAUAACUCUUUAAUGGGUCAACUACUUCCCUUGGGACCUAAUACUCGUAUCAAUUCAUUGGAUAUCUCACACAAUCAGUUGGAUGGACAACUUCAAGAAAAUGUGGCCCAUAUGAUUCCAAAUAUUAUGUUUCUAAAUUUAUCCAACAAUGGUUUUGAAGGUAUUCUCCCAUCCUCAAUAGCUGAACUAAGAGCCUUAUGGAUUUUGGAUUUGUCUACCAAUAAUUUCUCUGGAGAAGUACCAAAGCAAUUGCUUGCAACAAAAGAUUUGGGGAUUCUGAAAUUAUCAAAUAAUAAAUUUCAUGGUGAAAUAUUUUCAAGGGACUUUAACUUGACUGGGUUAUUGUGUUUGUAUUUGGGCAAUAAUCAGUUCACAGGAACUCUGUCAAAUGUAAUCUCCAGAAGCUCUUGGUUGGAGGUGUUGGAUGUGAGCAACAACUACAUGUCAGGUGAAAUUCCAAGCCAGAUAGGUAACAUGACCGAUUUGACUACACUGGUGUUGGGCAACAAUAAUUUUAAAGGCAAAUUACCACUUGAGAUUUCUCAAUUGCAACGGAUGGAGUUUCUUGACGUUUCUCAAAAUGCUUUUUCAGGAUCUCUUCCUUCUUUGAAGAGCAUGGAGUAUUUAGAGCAUCUACAUUUGCAAGGGAACAUGUUUACAGGAUUAAUACCCAGAGAUUUUCUCAAUUCCUCAAAUCUAUUGACUUUGGAUAUUAGAGAAAACAGGUUAUUUGGAAGUAUUCCCAACUCAAUCUCUGCACUUUUGAAGCUAAGGAUUCUUUUGCUAGGAGGAAACCUUUUAAGUGGUUUUAUUCCAAAUCAUCUUUGUCAUUUGACUGAAAUAAGCUUGAUGGAUCUUUCAAACAACUCUUUUUCAGGGCCAAUUCCCAAAUGCUUUGGCCAUAUCCGAUUUGGGGAAAUGAAAAAGGAGGACAACGUGUUUGGACAGUUCAUUGAAUUUGGGUUUGGAAUGGUUUCUCAUCUUGUAUAUGCAGGUUACUUGGUGAAAUAUUACGGUUCCCCAACUUUAGUAUAUAAUGAAAAAGAUGAAGUUGAGUUUGUCACCAAGAACAGGAGUGACUUCUACAAAGGUGGCAUCCUUGAAUUCAUGUCUGGAUUGGACUUAUCAUGUAACAACUUGACAGGCGAAAUACCUCAUGAACUUGGAAUGCUAAGUUGGAUUCGUGCAUUGAACUUGUCUCACAAUCAAUUGAAUGGCUCCAUUCCAAAGAGUUUCUCUAAUCUUUCUCAAAUAGAGAGCUUAGACCUUUCUUAUAAUAAACUGGGUGGAGAAAUUCCUCUAGAGCUAGUUGAACUCAAUUUUUUAGAGGUGUUUAGUGUGGCUUACAACAACUUCUCUGGUAGAGUUCCAGAUACCAAAGCACAAUUUGGGACAUUUGAUGAAAGGAGCUAUGAAGGUAAUCCUUUCCUUUGUGGGGAACUAUUAAAGAGGAAAUGCAACACAAGUAUUGAGUCACCAUGCACACCAUCACAGUCUUUUGAAAGUGAGGCAAAAUGGUAUGAUGUCAAUCAUGUUGUUUUCUUUGCAAGUUUUACUACUUCAUAUAUCAUGAUCUUGUUAGGAUUUGCUAUCAUCCUUUACAUCAAUCCUUAUUGGCGUCAUAGAUGGUUCAAUUUUAUCGAGGAAUGUAUAUAUUCCUGCUAUUAUUUUGUUUUUGAUAGUCUUUCCAAGUUAUCAGCAUAUUUGUAUAAUUAGAUACUUUUAAUUGGAUGAUAUUUGCAUAAUUAACUACUAUUUGUUUCCCUGGGAUAGAAAGAAAUGGGAUGUAUAAUGCUAUGAGCUGAAACUUACAUACUUUGCUCAAAUUCUAACAUCUUUUGAUUUUAUUUUCAAGUUCCGUUAUUUAUUAUGUAUUGCUUAAUUCAAGAUUUAACCAUAUUACGUUACUCUUAUAAAAGCAAAUUCAAAUUUUUAGGAACUUUUAGCAUUAAAAUAAUUUCAUAGUCAGAUUUUAAAAAAUAAAGAAGAAAGAAAAUAAUAAAUAAUUGGAAAAACAAUUCAAGGAAGUAUUAAAUUAUUAUCUUAGAAUUAUUUGGCGUAGUAUGGGAAUUCAAAAAUAAUCUUUCAAUUUGUUAGAAAUGUUUAUUUAUUUAUUAUAGCAAUGAUUGAAAUAUCAAUCACAAAGUAAUGUUUUCUUUUCUUUUGUAGGGCACUAACACUUUUUCUUUGAUAGUAAUAAUUGAUAAAUAUAUUACACAAUUAUUUGUUUUAAAAAAGGGAGGGAUGACAAACAUAAUAACAUGUGAAAUAUUUCUAAAACUGUAAUGGGAAAUAAGCCAUCUAAUUAGGGUGCAAUAUUAUUCAUUUUAAUUUACAUGAAUUUACUUAUUUUUAUUUGCAUCAUAUUUUGAACUAUUUUAUGAAAUUAAGGGAGAUUAAAACAUCACGAGUUUCUUAUUUUAGUUUAUAUUCUUAAUAAUAAAGCAUGAAAUAUUAUAAAAAAAAAAAUCAUGAAUUUCUUUAAUUCCUUAGGAAACCAAUAUAUAAAAAAUUGAACAUAUUAUUAUUUUAUAUCCUAAAUCUCUAAAUUUGUUCAUUACCUAUUUAUUUUUAUAUUAAAUUUAUUAUUAAUUAUUUAUUUAUAUUAUUAUUUUAUGUUUAAAAUGUUCAUAAAUAAUUAAAAUUAAUAAAUAUAAAAAUAAAAUAUUAAAAAAUUAAAUUAUAAAGAUUUCAUCAAACUGACAUAUUUAAAAAAAAAAAAAAGCUAAAAAAGAUGAGGAUAUUAUAGAGGAGGGGAAAAGGAUAAAAGAAAAUUCAUGUGGUAUGAUAAUAUCACGUGUCAAAGUUAUUUUCUUUAAAAAAUAAUAAUAGUAAUGAUGAACUCAUUUGUCUUAUCAAAGUAAGUUAAAAAAAAAAAAAAAAAAAAAAAAGAAAAGAAAAAGAUGGUAGUUGGCUUAUUUGUUCUUUGAAAAUAAAAAAUCAAAGUUUUAGAAAAAUACAAUUUUCUUUUAAAUGAUGAAUGGUUACAUCAUUUCCCCUUAGCUUAUCUGUUCCUUUAAACUUUAGUUUGAAUAAAAUUAGUUUUAAUUAUUUUCUUUUUGGAAUUAUAUUUAAUCGUAUUAUUAAAAAUAUAAAAAACAUCGUAAUAAUAUUGUCAAUAAGUUUUUUUAUAUAUAUUGAAAAAUAUUUAUAUUUAAAAAUAUUUAAAUUUUGUCAUGGGCUGCCCAUUUCAAAAUGAUAAGAAUAUAAUAACCUAAUUUUUCCAAAUUCCAGGUAAAUAUGCUAAUCUAAAAAAAAAAAAUUAUUAGGUUUUUAUGUGCUGAUUGGGUUUUUUUUAUACCCAGUAUGCUCUCCAAUCUACCACUUAAGCAUCCGACAUGGCUAAAAAUAAAUUUUUAAAAAAAAGAAUAAAAAAGGAAAAAAACGAAAGUGUGUGAUCUCUUUCUUGAGUCUUCACAAUCUGAGACACUGAACCCAAAUCAAAAUUAAUCCUCCAAAUUAAUUUUCACCUCCAACCCAAACCCUAACGACUGCCUCACUUUCUUCUCAAACAUAGCUAUACGAAAAACCCUAGCCUCUGCCUCGUCUUCCUCUUAUCCCGGAAACCCAAAUCCCGUGACCCUAACCCCUUCUCUUUCCGAAAACCCUCCAGAAUCGGAAGAUUCAAGUGAUCGAAUUAAUUCUUCAGAAUUAAUUUUCACCUCGAAGCCGAACCCUAACUGCCUCAUCUUCCUCUCAUUCAUAUCCCAAAAGUAGCUUCAACAGUCAGGCCUGCGGCCAUGAAAGCCGUAGUGAUCGCCACUUCCGGCGAUCCCCAAGUUCUCCAAGUGCAAGAAGUCGAAAACCCUGAAAUUGGAGAUGAUGAAGUUCUAAUUAGAGUGGACGCCGCUGCCAUUAAUCGAGCGGAUACGCUUCAGAGGAAGGGCUUGCACCCUCCCUCAAAGGCGGCAGUCCCUACCCCGCUGGAAUCAUCGAAGCUGUUGGAAAGGUCGUCGUUCGAUGGAAGGUUGGCGAUCAGGUAUUUCAAUUGCCUAAUAUUUUGAUUCCGUUUCUGUUCCUGUAUUUUUCUCGGCUAUCCUUUAUGUGAUUUUGCUUCCUCCUGAGUACAAGUUCAUAAUAUACAUGGUACAUGGUGAAUCUGUAUGACAUUUCAUGGUAUACAGGUGUGUGCUCUUCUUUCUGGUGGAGGGCAUGCUGAAAAAGUGGCUGUUCCAGCUGGGCAAGUUCUCCCUGUCCUAUCUGGUGUUUCUCUGAAGGAUGCUGCUGAGGUUGCAUGUACUGUUUGGUCAACUGUUUUAAUGAUGAGCCGACUGUCUGCAGGAGAAACAUUCCUGGUGAAUUUUUUGUCUUUUUUAUUUUCUGAUGCCUGAUAUAUUUACCAGCACAAAUUUUCCCUGUUGCUGUUUAAUGUGUGUGCAUCAAUAUUGGAUUAGGGAGGUAGAAGAGCCAUGGUUCUAUUACAUCAUCAUAUUCUUAUUUAGAUACAUUGUAUCCCACAAUUUCAUUGCAUCCAAGGCUAUGUUGUUUUUUAUUGCACGGUUUGUCAUGGUAAUUUCUCAACCCUUCUCUGGAAAAUUAUGUUGGAUGGCUGCUAUUAAUUACCCCAAAAGAAGAAAUUUUAUGUUGAAGUAAGAUGAGUAGCACAAAGAGUUACUUGUGGUUGAUCCUAUCAUCAAAUGGGCGAUUGAUGCACAAUCCAAAUGGUAAAUUUUUUUCCCCCUUUAUCCAGAUGGAAUUUUUAUGCAUGGUUGAAUAGUGAAAUGAGGACUGAUAAUAUUUCAGGUUCAUGGGGGUUCAAUUGGAAUUGGUACCAUCUAUUCAAAUAGUGAAAUAUUGAGGAGCAAGGGUAUUUGUUACAGCAGGUUUGCCAUCACUGUUCUACCUCAUCCCACAGAAUGCUUAUCUCAUGGCACCAAUUCCUUUUCUUCACAUGUUUUCAACCAUUUUUUCCACCCAGGAACGAGGAAAAAUUAGCUGUUUGUAAGGAUCAUUGAGCAGAUGUGUGCAUCAAUUACAAGACUGAAAACUUUGUUGCAUGGGUGAAGGAGGAAACAGGAGGGAAAGGUACAUUCUAUUGUAUCUUAACGAUAAUUUCAAUUGAAGGUGGAAUUGCUUUUUAUUUUUUAGUGCACCAAAUCCACUAGUCUGGAAUGUUUGAAAAGAUAAAUAGUCAUCUUCCACUUGAUUCCGAUUGUGAAGAUCUAACCCCAAAAAUGUUGAAUGACAGGUGUUGAUGUUAUACUGGAUAAUAUUGGAGGGGCCUACUUUUGGGGAGACAUCAAUGGUUUAAAUGUUGAUGGAAGGCUUUUUAUUAUUGGUUUUCAGGGUGGAACAGUGGUACAAGUAAAUCUUUCAGGUUUACUUGCAAGGCGCCUUACAGUGCAAGGUACCACUUUCUCUGUAGAAGAUUUUUCUGUAGUUUUGGAGUUGAAUCAAUUUGAUUAAUCUCAUCCAAGUUCAGAACUGAGGUGGAUUCUGGCAAGCCAAGGAAAAACCAAAUUACCAUAAAUUCUUUUUUUUUUUCUGGAUCGUUUUACUUCUUGGAAAUCCUGUUUCUCGAUCUGGUCAGGUAUAUGGAAAUUCCAAGGAAAAUAUGUUUUACAUUUUCCAUAAUUGGAAACACUCAGGAAUUUAAUAUUUUCCUCUGAAAUAGCAAUGGUUUUCUAAUUACGACAUUUGUUUUUCUUGUAUCAUCCCAAAAUAUUUUUUAGGUGUUUGUUCUCUCUUGACACAGCUUUUAAUUGGGUCUGUCUUGCUUUUUGAUAGAUCUCUUGACAAGUUGCUUGUAUAUCAUACUUUCUUUAUUGUUUUCGGAUCAUGAACCUUGCUUCUGUCAGCCCUGUUAUCACUACCCAAACUAGUAAAUUUAUGCACAAAACUCCAUGUGUCAGUAACAGUGGUUAUUUGAUUGUAUUAAAUAAUUUGUAAAUACAGUGGAUAAGUUUGUGCAUAGAUUGAAGGCGAAUGAAAAACGUGCAUAGAUUGAAGGUGUGCUGCUUGAGUUGAUUGUAGUUUGAGCAUGAAAAUUUGAAGAUCCAGAACAGCAAAUGAGGAAUGCCUAUCAAUUUGAAACCAGCAUGGGUGGAUGAAUGGAGAGGUUCUUCACUGAAUUUGUCCAUGAAGCUUUUUAGCACUCUAGGGCAAGGGUCUCCAAGCCUAGCUGUUGAUUGCACAUCCCUCCUGCGCAAUACUAAGAACAGAGUGAAAUGCAAAUGCAGGAAAGGGUGUUUCUUAGCUGUUCAACAACUGACAAUACAUUGGCAUGACAAUUCCCUGGAUCGAAUGCCACAAUGCCCUCUUGGAGUUCCAAAGCUUGUUCACAGGUCAAACGAACUUGAGGGUUUUGGGACAUGAACUCCAAGUUUGGUUGCCAAGAAUCUCCAGGUGGAGGAUCAGCUUCUGACACGUGCACACACCUCUUGGCCAGUUUGUGUUAUUGCAAUUUUUAUUAAAUUGCUAAAAAAUUUAUCGCGAACAAUUUUUUCUUUUUUCUUUUUUCUUUUUUUCUUUUUAAACAAACUGCAAAAAUCCCUUUUUUUUUUAUAUAAAAAAAAAAAAAAUUCUCCAACAAAGUGAUUUUUUUUUGUGGCAUGACUCGGUUUGACCACUAACUCGGUGAACUGGUCUAUCGGCUCAAGUUUGGAUCCCUUAAUUUUGUGGCAAAUUGGGCAUCAAGCCCAACAACCUAACUUCCAUGCGGGCUAUCUACUGGAUCUCACCCAUUGUAACUUGCUCUGGGUGAAUGGCCAUUAUAAACUUCAUUUUAUCCUCAUGUGAUUUUGAUGUGGGAAUGGGAGAGAUGAGGAUUUGACAUUUGGACCUAAGGCUCAAUGGGUUUUAACUCCACUCAGCUACUUUAUGUCUUGUAUUUAAUAUUGCAAACCAAAAUAAUAAUAGACAUGAUUCUUUUCAAAAAAUUUAUAAUGUAAUAUUUUUUAAAAUUAUAAAAUAAUAGGUUAUAUAAAUUUUAAUAUAUAGGUAAAAUUAAUUAAAUUUUAACAAAUAUCUUCACAUUUAGACAUUACAUAUUUUUUAUUUAAUAAAAUUUUAAAAUAUUAAUAUAUCUAAAUAUAAUAUUAAAAAUGAAAAAUAAAAUAGUAAUAAUUUUUAUUUUCUUUAUAUAUUUAAAAUUAUAUAAUUAUUUUUUAUUUUAAUAACAUAUAAAUUGUAUAUUUAUAAUAUUAUUGGUUCAACUGUGAUUCAACCAUCACUCCGAUUAUUCAAUUAUGAAUUAAUAAAUUUUUUAAUUCAAUGAUAGGUUUGAUUAUAAAAAUAUUAUGUUUUUUUUUAUGAAAAGUACUCAAGAAAUAUCAUUAAUCACUAAGAUCACGUGGUUGGAUUAGGUGUAUCCGAAACAUAGGUAUUACUCUCUUCCUUAGUUAGGGCUUAGCUUUUGAAAAUGUAGAUAGGUAAAGUGGAUGGAAAGUCUAUAACUACGUAGAGAUUGAGCUUGGAGGCCAAUCUAGCAAAUGUGGAGAUUAGAAAUAGUUUACCAUCUAGAUAGUCAAGCAUAGCAAUUUACCAAACCCUUACCAACCAUCCAUACUAACCAAUUGUGGUUAAAUGUUUACAAAAAUGUACAUUAAAUCAAAGAGAAAAAAGAUUAAAAACGAACAAGAGAGAAGAAGCACAUCACCUAAUUUUGGUAAUAAAUGAAAUUAAAAUAAAUUCAUAAAUUUUUUAAAUUAAAAUGAAUUUGAACUCUAGAGAUUUGUGUAGAUAUCUUAUUAAAAAACCAAAAAGUUUGUUGCAUAUAUAAUUUCAACAAUGCAUAAAUAAUUACAACAUACGCAAUACAAUAAUAUUACACAACUAUAUUUUCAAAUAUAAUAUAAGAUCAUUAAAGUGAUAAAUUGUAGUUGUAUAAAGUAUUUAUACAAGUAAAGAAGAAAUUAUGAGAUUAAAAUGCUUGUUGGAUUCUAAGUAAAAAAGAAAUGAGAUAUAGAGAUUGUCCCAUCAGACAUAUAGAAUUUCAUAUACAUAAUUUUCCCUUCAAGAAAAUUUAGGGUCAAAUUGAAAAAAUUUCAUUCAUAGAUUUUGGUAAAACCUCUAUCUAGUCCCCGAAGUCUUGUAUACAAAAGGAAAUAACAUUGGUAUGAGGGGUUUGAAUGCUUAAUUUUAGAUUGAAAAUGCUUGAGAUAAUUUUUGAUCGACUUCACAUGUGUUUUUAAUAAACUUGGAACAUUCAAACUUGUAUUUGAAGAAUCUUCAAUUUGAUCUUAAAUAAUGUUGAAACCUUCAAAAUUUGAAUAGAAGAAUCUUUAAGCAUUUGAAUUUUGGUUUAAAGAAUUUUGAAAUUUGAGACUGAAGAAUCUUCAAAUUUGGGCCUGAAGAUCAAAGGCUAAGCUUGAAGAGUUCUUGAAGCUUGAGUGGUAUGUCCGAUUUUGUUUUGUAUUUUAUAAAAACUUUUAGGCUAUGUUUGGUUCCCAGAAAAUUUGAGGGAAAAUGCGAGGGAAAGAAAAUACAAAGGAAAAGUAGAAGGAAAGAAAAAGUGAAGGAAAAUAAAAAAAUAGAUUAAAAGUUGAUAAAUUAUUUUUUUUGUUACUUCAAACUCAUUUUAUUUAUUUUAACUCAUCAAUAUAAAGAUUAAAUAAUUUAAAAAUAUAAAAGUUUUUAAUUAGUUUUAAUUAUAUUUAAUUUUCUUUGAUAUUUUUUAUAAGACAACCAAACAUGAGAAAAUCAUUUUCCUUAGCAUUUUUUUUCUUUCCUUUGUACUUUCCGGGAACCAAACAUAGCCUUAAGUAUACUAUAUUUAUAGGUUUGAAGAGACAUUGAGAUUUUGUAUACAUGUUUGGAGUUUUAAACCUUGAAAUAUUACUCUUUUAUGAAAUUAACAUUUAUAAAAUUUGGAAGAACAUAAUUAGAUAAUAUUCUAAGUUAUUUUUAAUGAAAAUUGAUAAUUACCUUUUAAUUAUCAAAUUCACUAUUUCUAUUUAUUUUUGUAAUAUAUAUUAAUUACUAAAAUCAUUUAUUUCCUUUAUUUAGUUUGAAAGCAAUUAUAUAUCUUUUGUUUGUGUAGAGCUCAUGUGACACGACAAAUUUUAUUUUGUAACUUGCUCUGGAUGAAUGGCCAUUAUAAACUUCAUUUUAUCCUCAUCUGAUUUUGACGUGGGAAUAGGAGAGAUGAGGAUUUGACAUUUGGACCUAAGCCUCAGAGGGUUUUAACUCCACUCAACUACUUUAUGCCUUGUAUUUAAUAUUGCAAACCAAAAUAAUAACAGACAUGAUCCUUUUCAAAAUUUUUAUAUUAAUAGAAGUGUAAAUAAUAUAAGUAAAAAUAAUGUAAUAUUUUUUAAAAUGAUAAAAUAAUAGGUUACAUAAAUUUUAAUAUAUAGGUAAAAUUAAUUAAAUUUUAACAAAUACCUUCACACUUAAACAUUACAUAUCUUUUAUUUAAUAAAAUGUUAAAAUAUUAAUAUAUUUAAAAUUGUAUAAUUAUUUUUAUUUUAAUACUAUAUAAAUUAUAUAUUUAUGAUAUUACUGGUUCAACUAUAAUUCAAUCACUGGUCCAACCAUUGAACCAUGAAUUAGUAAAUUUUUUUAUUCAAUGAUAGGUUUGAUUCUAAAAACAUUAUGGCUAUGUUUGGUCCCAGAAAUUUUUUUUUGAUGGAUAAUGACAAAGAUAUUACCAAUUUGAUAUCACCAAUUGAUAACACAAUUAAAAAAUAAUAUGAAUUUUAACAUAUUUGAAUUCAUUGUAAUCAUAUCCAUGACCUAAUUUUACACAUCCUUAAAUCAUGGUUGAUUUAUGAAACAAAUCUAUACCAUCAAUAGAAAAUAAAUAAAUAAAAUAAUACAAAAAAAAUAUAUAGAUAGUCAAGCAUAGCAAUUUACCAAACCCUUAGCCACCAUCCAUACUAACCUGUUGUUGUUAAAUGUUUACAAAAAUAUACAUUAAAUCAAAGAGUAAAAAGAUUAAAAACGAACAAGAGAGAAGAAAUACAUCACCUAAUUUUUGUAAUAAAUGAAAUUAUAAUAAAUUCAUAAUUUUUUUAAAUUAAAAUAGGAAUUCAAAUACAUGUAACUAUUGUUUUUGUCUUGUAAAUCAUCCAAUUUUUCAAUGAAUUUAAACUCCACAGAUUUGUGUAGAUAUCUUAUUAAAAAAAGCAAAAAGUUUUCACUAAAAUCAUAAAAUUUAGAUUAGAAAUGAUUUACUAUAUUAGUUCAAAAUUCACCUCCACAAAAAUUGAAAUAAAUUAAUUAUCUUCAAUUCAAAUAAAAUUUCUCCAAUUAAAUUUCCAAAUAUGUGCCUUAAUACCUAUAAUGGAAUUAGUAAUUUUAAUUAAAAUAAAAAUAAAAAUAAGGAUUUGAUCUUUUUCUUACCAUUUGAUGAAAAUUAUAAAAUAUAUUAAAAUGACAAGUGAUCAGACAUUUGAAAUUUGCAUCAUUUCUACCAUUGCAAACACCACCAACCCCAUAUUUCCCAUUUUUCUACCUACUGCCAAUUCACUCAUCUCUCUGGGAAGAUUUUUGAGGUUAUCGUCAUGCUUGAGAUAAUCCAGAAAGUUGAGCGGCAUCACUCUCUGAAAGGUGCCUUACAGCAUGGGUAAUGUAUGGGAUACAUCUGAUAACUUGCCAUAUCCAUAAACCACUAUAUUAAACCAUGGUUCAUAUCCCCAACGUUACACGAGAAUCUGUACUCAUCCCAAGCAGCUUGGAGAUCAUAAAAUUAGGUUUUGAGGGCCUCCCGAGACAUGCACAGCUUCACCCUUUGUGCAUUCCUUUGAUUUGGAAAAUUUCUUCUUUAGAAUUCCCCAUUAUCAUGCCCUGAACCAAGACAUAUCAUGAUUGGAUGGGCCCCUUCACCAAUUUCACAAUAUCCAAUAGCAUAUCAUUUACUUCCCUUUUGUCAAUGGGAAUUACCAUUUUGCAUGGGAAGCACCAACGGAGAUGGAGGUUUUCAAAUUGGAUCACUAGCAAAGAAACCCACCGCAACUAUCUGAAUAAUUGAGCACAACAUCGGCUUUAGAGAACUCCUCCUGAAGGCGAAAUCGUCAUCUUGGCUAAACGUAGUCAUAGUUGGGUUGUGAGAAAUGGAGAUGAAUCAUAGAAGGCUUUCAGUUUCAUAGCAACGAAAAGGUAAAUGUACUCUAGAGAAGUUUUGACCUUGGGAGAAGCGCUUUUGAAUCCAAGUCAAGGUCUGUUCUGGAUCCCUUUUCGACUCUCUCUAUUAAAGGAAGAUAAUCUGCCUAGGAUUUGGAUGCAAGCUUGCAAGGCCAUGUUUAGGAGACUUAUGCAAAAUAUUUAUCCAUAGCUCCCCGCCUGAAACAUCUACAUAAAGCGUCUUCCAAGUGUGAACCAUUGUCUUGGGUCCUUGAGAUGAACAAAAACUGAGACAUAUCGUGAGUUAGAUGCAUUGCCUGAAAAUGCCGAGCAGUAGUAUGGCCUUCUUUCUGAUCAACUGUUUUGUCAAAUUCUAGAGCUCUCAUUCCAAAUCCAUCAGUUUUCUCAAAUGAUUGGCUAGUGGAGAUCCAUGGAUAUAACAUAUGAAAUGUGCACAAUAAAAGUAAUCAAACGGUUGGUUGGUUUGGCUGAAUCCCACAAUCGCAAAGACUAAUCAUAUGAAACUGUUACCAGCUGAGUUGAAUUUGGCCUAAAAAGGAUAUCCGUUACUACAAACUAGCGUUCUUUCAUGGUGCUCUCUCUUUGCAGGCUAUCCAUGUUCCAAAGAAAAACUCUCUUGUCAUGUCUGGCACUAGGCACUGAUUAGAGUGUGGGACGUUCAUUCUCCAUUAUCACCAAACACAUGCAGGAUAUAUAUAUAUCAAUUCAUUCAAAAUAUGCCUUUAUUUUAUGGAACAUAACCGAAUCCAUUUUGUUUGUGUUGAAGAGGUAUAGAUCUUCUAAGGCUGUGGAGGGCACCACCUUUUCUCAGAAUUCUCUCUGACGAUGGGAAGCCGAAGAGAACGGGUUUUGUUUUUAUUUUGAAAACGUUGUUAUCAUUAAAGAACAAACACUAUUCUUUGGAUUUAUACCCUCUUGCCUUAGGGACCAUACUGUUUGGCUAUUGGGCCUCACGAGUCUUAGGCCCAUCAUCUAAGGCCCAUGAUGGCACUGGGCUCUACACAUAAGGUGACCCAUACUCUGGAACGAAUAGAAAUCAUAUGUAUAUAUAUGGAUAGCUAAAUCCUGAACAAUGGUUAAUAUGAUGUCGGUCCACAUUUAUUCUAUCAAUCUCCCACUUGGACCACAUAUAUUACAAAACAAUGUUCAUGAUAGUACUUUAUUGAGCUCAUCUUUGCUAUCCUAUCUUAAUAUCCUUAAACAAUCCGGUCUACUAGUUAUGCUAACAUAGGAUCAAAGUGGCCUUCAUUAAUCAUAAUUAUAACUAGACCCAUCAAUGAUCACAACAUUAACAAAAUUAGCAACAUAGAUCAAGUAUGGAUGUGUAGCAUGGAAAUUACAUAAAAUGUGAUCUUUAUUAUGUCUAUUUCCAAUUGGUCCUACUUUAUGACUAAAAAAUAGUCAAAUUCCACUUUCAACACUUGAUGCUAAACUGCUUUUAAAAGUCAUCAUUUCAAUUCAGAGAAUUCAAAUACAAUAGUCUUUAAAAUCAAGGUUUGUACAGAUAACACAAUAUAACAUCAUAUCAAGAAAACAAACACAAAAUCUAAAUACAAACUCCCACUAUACUGGAACAUCAUCAAUAUGUACAACACCCAUAUGUGUGACAUGAUCAUGAUAUACUUUGGGUGGCAAACCCUUAGUGAGCGGAUCCGCAAUCAUGAAGUUUGUGCUUGUAUGUUCAAUCGAUACUUGAAGACUCUAAACUCUUUCUUUCACAACCAAGAACUUGAUGUUAAUGUGUUUGGACUUUGACGAACUUCGGUUGUUCUUAGAAUUACAAUUCUGUGGCUUUAUUAUCACAAUUUAUUCUUAAUGGUUUCUCAAUCUCAUCAACGAUUCGCAACUGAGUGACAAAAUUCCGUAGCCAUAUCCCAUGGUUUGAUGCUUUGUAGUAGGCUAUGAAUUCUGCCUCCAUGGUGAAAGAAGCAAUAAGUAUUUGUUUAACACUUUUCCAUGAAACUGUUCAUCCAACCAACAUGAAGAUGUAGCUUGAAGUGGAUCUCUUGCUGUCAAGACAUCCCACGAAAUCGGAGUCCGAAUAUCCCAUGAUCUCUAAAUGACUGGAUCUACGGUAUGUGAGCAUAUAAUCUUUAGUUCUUUGUAAAUACUGCAUAACCUAUUUUGCCUUUUUCCAGUGAUCCAUACCUGGGUUACUCAAAUAUUUGCCUAACAUUCCAAUAAUGUACGUAAUAUCUGGAUGCGUACAAACUUGUGCAUACAUGAGACUUCCUAUUGUUGAGGCAUAGGGAAACCUCUUCAUAUCCUUCUUUUUAAGUUCAUUUUUCGGACAUUGGUGCAAACUAAAUUUAUCGCCUUUUGCUACAGGCAUGUCUCCUGGUGUACAAUUGCUCAUGCCAAAUCUACUUAACACCUUAUCGAUGUAGGCCUUUUGUGAUAACCCAAGUAUACCUCUUGAACGAUCCUUAUAGAUCUGUAUACCCAGCAAAAAAGAUGCAUUACCUAGAUCCUUCAUGUCAAAUUUACUAGACAAAAAUCGCUUUGUUUCAUGCAAAAGUCCCACAUCACUACUUGCAAGUAGAAUAUCAUCAACAUAUAGCACCAAGAUAAUGAAUUUGCUCUCACUAAACUUGAGAUAUAUGCAUUGAUCAAUGGUGUUUUCCUUAAAACCAAAUGAAGUAAUCACCUGAUCAAACUUUUGGUACCAUUGUCAAGAUGCUUGCUUUAAACCAUAUAUGGACCUUUUUAAUCUGCAUACAAGUUGCUUUGAAUCAUUAGACUCAAAGUUCUCCGGUUGCAUCAUGAAUAUUGUUUCAUCAAUGUUACUAUUAAGAAACGUAGUUUUAACGUCCAUUUGAUGCAGCUCUAAAUCAUAAUGAGCCACAAGUGCCAUGAUGAUUCUAAAGGAGUCAUUUGACGAAACCGGUGAAAAGGUCUCCUUAUAAUCAAUGCCUUCCUUUUGAGUGAAACCUUUUGCGACUAGACGUGCCUUAUACCUAACAAUGUUGCCUUUUGAAUCCCACUUGGUCUUAAAAAUCCAUUUACAACCAAUCGGUUUUACACUUUCAGGCAACUUUACUAGGUCCCAAACACCAUUGUCUUUCAUUGAUUUCAUCUCAUCCUUUAUGACUUCUAUCCACUUUUCAGAGUCAGAACUUUGUUUGAAUUGACUAACUGAAAUUGGAUCGUCUUCCAAACCCAUGUCAAACUCUUGUUCCUGGAGAUGUACAACAUAAUCAUCUGAAAUUGUACUUCUCAUUUCUCUAGUGGAUCUCCUUAGUGGCACUUGUAUUUGAGGUUCUUGAGGCUGUUGAGUUACCUCUUCAUAAACUUGAAUCGGUUCCAUAACUUGAGCAGGAGGAAUCUCAGGUGUGUUUUGAAUCUCUGUUAUUGACUGCACAUUCUGGAUAGUGUCAUCAAACAUAAUAUGACCAUGUCCAGUUGUAAUAAUAGGAACACUAACAGAUUACUCUUCAAAUACCACAUUUCUUAACGGUUCUCUCCCAUUUAACUCAACAUCCUCAAUAAAUUUAGCUUUGCCCGUUUCAAAAAAGGAUCUAGUUGAGGGGUCAUAAAACUUGAAACCUCUCAACCUUUUAGAAUAUCCUACAAAGUAGCAGCUCACUGUUCUGGAGUCCAAUUUCUUUUCAUUUGGUUUUUAAGGCCUAGCUUUAGUUGGACAACCCCAGACAUGCAAGUGCCUAAUACUAGGUUUCUUGCUAGUUCAUAACUCAUAUGAGGUUUUGGCUACUGCUUUGCUUGAGACUCUAUUCAAAAUAUAAAUUGUUGUUUUGAUGGCUUCGCCCCAAAGUGAUUCUGGUAAGGUGGAAUGACUGAUCAUACUUCUUACCAUAUCCUUAAGAGUACGGUUUCGCCUAUCUGCUACACCAUUUUGGCUUGGAGUCCCCAGCAUAGUGUAUUGAGGAACGAUACCACACUCCAUCAAAUAUUUGGCGAACGACCCUAGACGUUGUUCAUUGGAUCCGUCAUAUCUGCCAUAAUAUUCACCUCCACGGUCAGAUCUGACGACCUUUAUUUUCUUGCUUAGUUGGUUCUCAACUUUAGCUUUGAAAUUCUUGAACACAUCUAAUGAUUGAGACUUCUCAUGAAUCAAAUAAAGAUAGCCAUAGCGCGAGUAAUCGUCAAUGAAAGUGAUAAAAUAUUGUUGUCCAUUCCAAGAAGGGGUAGGAAAUGGACCACAAAUGUCCGUAUGUAUCAAUUCAAAGACGUCACUGCACUUGUUAGCAUCAUUUUUUUCUCAUAUUUGUUUGUUUACCCUUAAUACACUCUAUACAGACUCGAAAGUCUAUGAAAUUAAGUGGAUCAAGAAUUCAUUCUGACACAAGCCUUUGAAUACGUUGAUUUGAAAUAUGACCCAAACGCCUGUGCCAUAACAUCGAUGAAUUCUCAUUUGUUAAUUUCCGUUUAAUGUCAUAAUUACUUGAAUUCAAGGUUUCAUUUCCAUUAGUGGUCUUUAUAUUUAAUUUGUAUAAUUUGUCUAUUAGACUACCUGUACCAAUAACAUUUGAAUUUAGAUAAAGACUAACCAUUCCAUUUCUAAAUGAACAAUAAUAUCCAAAUUUGUCUAGACAUAAAACAGAAAUUAAAUUCCGUCUAAACGACGAUACUACAAAAGUCUCUUCCAAAUCCAAAGUACAUCCAGAGUCUAACUGUAAUCUAAAAAGACCAAUAGUCUUGACUGCAACCUUGUUGCCAUUUCCCACAUAGAUGUAUUUUUCACCAUCAGUUGGCAUUCGACUCCUUAGGCAACCCUACAUCGUGACACUUAUGUGAGUAGUUGCACCCGUAUCUAUCCACCAAGUGUCAGUAGGCACUACGACUAAAUUAAUUUAUGAACAAACAAAGUUGAGAAGUGUACCUUUCUUUUCACGCCAAGCGGCGUAUUUGGUACAUGUCUUCUUCAUAUGACCAACCUUCUUGCAAAAGAAACAAGUCAUCUCCUUAUCUUGUUUCUUCUGCACCUUUUGCAUUGAUGUCCUAAAAAUUGCAUUUUGUUUUUCUUUAUUGUCCUUCUUUCUUUUCUUUUUGGUACCAAAUCCCUGAGAUGUGGAAGCCAAGUGAGAACUUUCUAUCUUUUCUUGUUUCAAUCUCUCAUCCUCUUGUGCACAUUGAGCAAUAAGCUCAUUCAAAGUCCAUUUUUCCUUUUGUGUUGUAACUAAUUUUGAAUGGACUGAAUUGUGUAGGCAGAGAGAUUAAGACCAAGUGCACAAGUAUGUCUUCCGAAAACUCUAACUUUAGUGCCUUUAGUCUAGUCACAAGAUUAGACAUUUCCAUAAUAUACUCCCUUAUAUUCUCUUUCCCUUUGUAUCGCAUAGAGACAAGCUUACUAAGAAUAGUGCUUGUCUCAACCUUUUCAUUUGAAGCGAAUCGGUUUGCUAUCUGGUCUAAGAAUGCCUUGGCUUGAGUUUUCUCAGGUAUUGGACUCCUUAUAGCUUUUGGAAUUGAGUACUUCGUUAUCAUUAGACUCAUGCGAUUGGAUCGCUCCCAUUUUUCCAUAGUAGACCUUUGCUCAGUAGUGCUGGCACUAGUAAGAUCUGGAGGGCGAUCCUCUCUUAAUGCAUAGUCUAAAUCCAUGCACCCGAGCACAAUUAUAACGUGCUCCUUCCAUUUCUUGAAGUUUGUGUCAUUAAGCGCAGGAAUGUUAUUAACAUUUGUAGAUAUAGAAUAUGUUAAAUUCAUAAUAAUAAAGCUCACAAUCAAUCACAUAAACAUCAUACAUACAUGAAAAAUAACAUCAUACAAGAUACUUAGCACAAAUAUUAAUAUUUUGUCUUUGGACAAUAAAUAUUAACUUGUAAUUGGUAUCCUUAUACAAAAUUAAUUCAUAAAUAUUGACAAUAAAACCAAAAACAAUAUGUUUGUCUUUAGACUAAUAUGUCGAAUGCAAGAUAAACUUUAUAUGUCACAUAUUUAUGACUACUUUAUUUAUUAUUAUAUUAAAAUAAUCUUCCUUUGGGCCGAUUAUUUUAAAUAAUAAUAAUAACAUGUUUAGAUAUUAUAAAAUAAAUAAAUUAUAUAAUAUAAGUUACUUUGGCAACUAACAUACAUAAUUCAUUUAUUUUAAAAUAUUAAACACAAACAUAACAAGAAAUAAUAAAUUCAAUUAAAAUUAUUUAUUUAUUUAUGCAUAAUAUAUAUAUAUAUAUAUAUAUAUAUAUAUAUAUAUAUUAAUUGAAGCAUAAAAAACCAUCUACAUGUGUAUAUAUAUCAAUUGAAGCAUAUAUACAAGCAUUAGUCUAAUGGUUUAAGCAAAAAAUAGGCCAUGGUAAAGGGUUUAAGCCAACCCGCCCCUUUAGUUUGGUUUUUGUUUUUUUUUUUUUUUUUUUUAAUUUCUUUUGGGCUACUGACCAUGCAUUCUCUCAUGGCCCAACGAAUAUAUAUAUAUAUUUGUUUUAAAAAAAUUUUGUCCAUUGCAGCCCAAAGCGACCAUCCCUUGUAAUGGCAUCAUCAACGGUGCCAGAGCUGUCCUCGAACGACACCGACAGUGAAACGCCGCCACCAUCACCGGAACGGUGAUUUCCCAUCGCCAAACGACGGUGUCACUACCAGAAUGACGUUGUAACGGCAUCGCUGGGAAGCAGCCUAACCUGUGGCGUGACACCAUGACAAGCAAUGCCGCUAGCAGUGAAACGUUGUCGCCAUCACCAGAAUGGUGAUUUUCCAUCGCCAAACGAUGGCGCCACCAUCGAAACAACGCUGAAACGACGUCACUGGGAAGCAACCCUACCCGCGGCACCAAAAUGGCACUUGGAUGACAUUUGGAACUCUUGCAACAACGCUCAAAUCAGCGAUUCUCACUGGCAAAUGACGCUUGAACGACGUCUGGAAAUAAUGCCUACAACGCCUAAAAAUUGUGCUCUUUUGAACGCCUGAAACAACGUUGAAAUGACGUCUACCGGCGUCUGGAAUUGCACCGCUGUCUAGAACGAUGCCAUGAUGGUGUCUCACUCACCUUAAAUGGCACCAACCACCGUGACUUGCAUCCCCAAAAAUGGCACUUGAACAGCGCCUGAAGCGUGCCUGGAACGACGCUGCAAACGAUGCUUGAAAUGGUGCAUUUUGUAUGCUUGAAAAUGGCACAGGAAUGACGCCUACACUACGUCCAUUUUGAAUGCCUGAACGGUGUCCUAACGGCGCCUGAAUGACGCCUGGAAUUGGCCCAGAUUUAUUUUAUGUUGUUUCCUUCCUCUUGGAUCUUUUGUUUGUGUUUUAAAAAAAAAGUGUUUUGGUGAAAAUGGGAAAUGCAACCAGGCUCUGAUACCAUUUUGUGGGACGUUCAUUCUCCAUUAUCAUCGAACACAUGCAGGAUAUAUUUAUAUAUAUAUAUAUAUAUCAAUUCAUUCAAAAUAUGCCUUCAUUUUAUGGAACAUACCCGAAUCCAUUUUGUUUGUGUUGAAGAGGUAUAAAUCUUCUAAGGCUAUGGGGGGUACCACAUUUUCUUAGAAUUCUCUAUGACGAUGGGAAGCCAGAGAGAACAAGUUCUAUUUUUAUUUUGAAAACGUUGUUAUCCUUAAAUAACAAACACUAUUAUUUGGAUUUAUACUCUCCUACCUUAGGGACCAUACCCUUUGGCUAUUGGGCCUUACGAGUCUUAGGCCCAUCAUCUAAGGCUCGUGAUGGCACUAGGCUCUACACAUAAGGUGGCCCAUACUCUGGAACGAAUAGAAAUCAUAUGUGUAUAUAUGGAUAGCUAAAUCUUGAACAAUGGUUAAUAUGAUGUCAGUUCACAUUUAUUAUAUCAUAGAGACUUCCCAUAUGAAGAAAAUUGACAGUAGGUAGCUUUGCCAUUCUUGUCCGUAUACAACCAACCUUAGCAAGGGUUGAACCCUUUUAUGCUUAGUUGUGCCAUACAAAUCCUUACCACCGCCUACAACAUGUAAUCGAAAUGAUUCGAUAAUAUCAUCUAGUGAACCAAUACCUCCAAAUGAGAGACCAUUGCCUUGGUAACUAGGGCUCAUGACUGAGAAUUGCGUGAACCCCUUUGCUUGGGUUGGAGCUUAACUGAUGCACAAAAUAUUCAUAGGCCUCUUCCCAUAACUGGCACCUUGUGUUUGCAACAUAAUUGAACAUGUAUUGAAGUGAGUUUUUUUGCAUCUUUUUGUAAGAAAAUUCUAAACAACAGAGACUGCUUAGUGUGCCCGGCUCCUCGGGAAAUCAAGGUUCAUUCCUGUAGGGCCAGUUUUUUCACAGUCGAACUAGAUAACAUGGAGAGUAUGUUGCAAUGCUUCAACAGGGUAUUUCUUAGGAAAAUCCACCUGAAGUUGGUACAAUUCGUUGGCGUACUGAGUUCCUGGAGCUCUAUUGACUUCAAUCACCCAUCUCUGUAGAUUAUCGAUGACUUAUGCUCGGAUCCUGUAGGAGGAUUGACCUGACAUUCCACUAGCUCUUUCUGGAAGACGAUCUUGUUUAACACCUUGUGAGAAGAGGCAAGGGAACUGGUCAUUGUUUCUUCGAGAAGAUCAGUGGCCGAGGAUGGGUUUGGACCAUAAUUGCUAUAUGGGUUUUCUUUGGGUGAACCAAUUAGUGGAGUGGGUGGCUAUAUAGCAACUGAAGGGUGGUCAUACUAAUGAGGAGCUAUUAUUUCAUGCAUGUGGAGAGGAAAUGAGUAGCUUCUUCAAGGAUAUAUGAUUAUUCAUCUCUAGCUUACGUUGAAUAUCUCCUAACAAAUUUCUGCUUUGAAGCUCCCUUAGUUUCACUACAGCUAACUUGGCCAACUUGGUUUCAUCAUGUUUCCUACAACCUCUAAGCAAAGCACGCCAGAUCACUGAAUCAGGUUCUAUUUGCAUUUUGUCCAUAAACUCCUUUGCCUAUUGACAAUAAACUGCCCCUCAAAAUUUGAUGAGAUAACAUCAAUGCUGACAUGUUGGUCAUCCCCAUAAGCAUCUUUAUAGAGAUUGAUUCUAUGUUUAGAUAUUUCUCUCUCCUCAAGUGAGUUCAACUUUUUUGUAACAUCCUUCUCCUUCUCUACUAAUAGUCUUAGUUGAACAUCCAACCUAUGUUCCCAAAGUGCCAGCAUCUCAUAUCUGAUGACAAGCCAACAACCUUGCCCUUGCUGAGACCCAAAUAAGUAUCCAGAACCAUCAGCAUCAACCCUUUCAUAGGCCUUUGUAUUUGAAGGUCGGAUUGGGAUUGCUUUGAAUGCACUGGCACUACAAUACACAAUUGUAUCUUCUCCAAUAAAAACACCACACAGAGGUGAGGGGACUGGUAUUAGCAAAGAAGUGUUGUUAUCUAUAUUGUUCUGAGCCCGAGUACCCUCAACAAAAUCCUCAUCCUCAUCUGUACUCUUCCAUUACAUCCCUAGGCUUUUCAAUGUGAUCCACAUGGCUUACAGGAAUCCAGAAAUACCAGUCUGUAUAAAUGUUGCUCUUAUGGGGCUCUCCUAGAAAACAUCCCUAUCAAGAUGAUCAACCUAGCUUAGAUGCUCAGCACCCCAAACUUACUAGAAAUAGAGGAAUUAAAAGCAAGGAUAGGAGCCAAAGUAAAAAUUUAGGGAAGAGCAAAUAGGAAAUCAAGCAAAACAUGAAUGUACAGAGCCUCAUUUCAGGUGACAUCUUUGGGCUAAUAAUAGGUGGAAUUAACAAAGUAGACAAGCAUGAUUGUUAUAAAUAUCAAGUUCAAGGAUGAAGCCGUGCAUCAGCUACUUAUAGGGGGAGUCAAGGAAACCAAGAUAAGAUCAAAGAGAGCAUGUAUGCAAAUAAACAGAUUCGAAAAAAUAGACCAAACAACUCGUGAAUAUCCUCCUACAAAAAACUACUACACGUGGCAAAAAGUGAUGAAACAAAAAGAGUCGGGUCCGCAUAUACAUAUCCUAUUCUAUCCUAUUCCUUCAAAUCCAAAGCAACCUGUAUUUUCAAUGGGAUUUGUUGUGAUGAAUUUUACUGGAUUGUAACAUGUAAAUAUGUUAAAAGAGGCUUGGGACAUUCCUAUAUAGUAACGCAUAAAGGUACUUCCAUUGUGAAGUUGUCAAAAUUGCAAAUUUAAAUUACAAAAUUUGAAAACAUAGAGAUGAAAGAUGAUGAAACCUUCUUUGAAAUUUUAUAUUGAACUCAUUAAUAUUAUUAAUUUUCAUUUCAGUGUAGGGGAAAGAAUUCUUUACUCUAAAGUGGUCACAAAAAUAUUAAAAUUCCUUGUUGAGAGAUUUAGACCUAAAGUGAUCAAUAUAGAAGAAAGUAAAAAUAUUCUAAGUGUAGGUAAACUUGUAGACUCAAAUGACUCUACCUUCUCAUAAAAAAUCCUCAAUUUUAUAAAUUAUAUAGAUUUCUUCAUUUGAUACAAAAUUUGAAUAAAGAUUUUUCAAAUGACAACACAAGGAAAGGGAAAAAAAAAAUUCUCUCCAGUUCAUUUCAUUUAAUCACUUAAAUUAUUUAAAAAUAAAAAUGUUUACUGCUAACAUUAUUUAGAUUCAUCUUUCUUUUGAUGGAGGUUAAAAUUCAUAAUUUUGAGGAAAAAGAUGAGGAUUCUCAUUUUUUUUUCCAUGUAUGAAUGGGAUUCUCAUUGUGUAUAUGUGGGUUACUAAAUGGCAAAUUUAGGGGCCAAUAUGAGGAAAAAUAUGAAGUUGAGUUUGUCACCAAGAACAAACAUGACUCCUAUAAAGGUGGCAUCCUUAAUUUCAUGUCUGGAUUAGACUUCUCAUGUAACAACUUAACAGGUGAAAUCUCUCAUGAACUUGGAAUGUUAAGUUUGAUUCAUGCAUUGAACUUGUCUCGCAAUCAACUAAAGGGCUCCAUUUCAAACAGUUUUUGCAAUCUUUCUCAAACAGAGAGCUUAGAUCUUCUUAAUAAUAAACUAAGUGGAGAAAUUCCUCCAAAAUUGGUUAGACUAACUUUUUUAGUGGUGUUCAAUGUGACUCAUAGUAGCAUCUUUGGAAGAGUUUCAGAUAUGAAUGCAUAAUUUGCAAUAUUUGAUGAAAGUAACUAUGAAGAUAAUCCUUUCCUUUGUGGACCACCAUUAAAGAGAAAAUGUAGCAUAAAUGUUAAGCCACCUUACCCACCAUUAGAGUCUUCGGAAAAAAGUGAUGCAAAAUGGUAUAAUAUCGAUCUUGUGGUUUUCUUUGCAAGUUUUACUAUAUCAUAUAUCAUGAUAUCAUUAGGAAUUUCAACCAUUCUUUACAUUAACCCUUAUUGGUGUCAAAGAUGGUUCAAUUUUAUCGAGAAAUAUAUAUACUUUUGCUAUUAUUUUGUUUCCUAUACUCUUUCCAAGUUAUUAACAUAUUUUGAAUAAUUAGAGAUUUUUGUUUUCAAUAAUAUUUACAUAAUUAACUACUAUUGGCUUCCAUGACAUGGAAAGAAAUGCGGUGAAGGCAACAACCACUUUUUUUUCUCCUCUACUAGUGCAUGAUUGAUAUGAGUUAAAACUUGCACCCUUAUCUUUGCUUAAAUUUUCUCAGCUUUUGUUUCAAUUCUUAAUUAUCAUUUCUUUUAUGUGUUGUUUAAUACAAUAUCCUAAACACAUUGCUUUGAAGGUUACUUAUUUAUUAAGCAUGAUAUUUAUUUUUCAUAAAGACAAAUUCAAGUUUUUUAGGAAUUUUUAGAAUUAUUAUAAUUUGGAGUUCACAUUAGAGGAAAAAAGGAAAGAAAAGAAUAGAUGAUUAAAAAAACAAUUUUAGUAAGUAUAAUUUGUCAUCUUCGGUAUAACAAAUGGGAAUUCCAAAAUAAUAUUUCAAUUUGUUAGUCUAUUCCUUAUAGUAUUAAUUGAUAUAUCAAAUAGGAAGUCACGUUUUGAUUUUUUAUUAGCUUCAAUUGCAUGUCACAUAUAUUUUAAAAUCAAGCAUACCUCAGCCGGGAAGUUCUUGUAACAUGCAUGAACAUGAUAUGAUGAAUUGAAUAAUUUUCUUAAUUGUGUGAGACACAAACCCUCUUUGUUUAAUAAUAAUAAUAAUAUACUACACAUUAUUAAAUCAUAUAUGUAUAUUUAUAGUCGUAUAAUAUAUUCAAAAUAUUAAACACAUUACCCUCUUAAAUUUUUAUGAAUGGUGUUUACUUUACAUAACGACAGAUUCAAAUUUUUUUAGAAUUUUUUAAUGUUAAAAUAAUUUGGAGCUUAAUAGGGAAAAAAAAGAAUAAAUAAUUAGAAAAGCAAUUCAAAAAAAAUAAAAUUUAUCCUCUUAAAUUGGUUUUGUGUAAUACUAUAGAAGCCAUUUCUUGAGUUUGAUAUGGUAGAAUUCGGAUUCAUAUUUAUUUUAAAAUAAAGAAUUUCAAGGGUUGGUAGCAUCAAUAGAAUCUUAACAAAUUUGCAAAAAAGUAUUUGGGUAGAUCACAUUUAAAUAUAGCUAACAGAAUAAAAAAUUAAUAUUAUUAGGAAGACAUGAUCAAUUAAAUCUUUUUUCUUAUCUAUGACACCGAUUUUAUAUUUUUACAUAGUCAAUAUAAUUUAUUACAACUUAUAUGUCAUUAAAUUAUACAUGCUUAUAUUAAAUAUAAUAUAAGAUCAUUAAUGGAAUAAUUAUGCAAGUAAUAUAAAUUGUAUAUAAUAUAAAAAAUUUAAACUCCGUCAAACUAAUGGAAUCUAUUAUAAUAAGUAGACUAGACACCAUAUUGGCCCGAGUUGGAGGCCUGGGCCAGAUUUUAAAGGCUGGGCUUUGAGUUGCCCGUGGGCCUGAGCCAAGGCCUUCUCUUGGUAUCAUCAUUUUGAAGAAAUAAAUUGCUGAUACAGAGAAAAAAACUAUACUAAAUAGAAAAAUAAAUAAAAGCAUUGACUAAAAUGAAGGUCAAGGUCCUUGAAAAAUAAUCUUUAAAUUGUUGCAUAUAUAAUUUCAAUAAUGCAUAAAUAAUUGCAAUAUAUAUGAUAUGAUAAAGAAUUUGGAAUUAAAAGAAGAUUGAUCUAUUUUAAAUGUGGUUGGAAUAUUUUUAAAUUUGUGAUGGGAAGUUAGACAGCCAAUUAGGGAUCCAUAUUAUUUAUUUUCAAUUAUAUGAAUUUAUUUACUUUUAUUAAUAUUCUGAAUGCAACAAUAUAAAAUAUGUCAAUUUUCUAAAAUUAAAAAAGUAAUUGCAAAAGAAAAUUUUUAAUUAUUUUUCUGAAAUUGAGUUUAUCAUAACAUUUUUCUUUACAUAAAUUUCUUUUUUAUGUUUAUUUUUUUAAAAAUGAGAUAUGAAAAAAAAAGAUCAAUAUUAGUAAAAGUAAAACCCAAUAUAUAUAAAAAAAAUGAAUAAAUGUUUAUGAAAUAAGAUUUAAAAGUGAGAAGGUAAUAAAUUUUUUCUCUUUUAAUUCCUAUUCAAUACAUUACAAAAAAUAUUUUUGGUUUUUAUGCUAAAAUUUAUUGUUUAUUAAAAAAUUCUAGUAUAUCUAGCUAUCAUAGAAGAGCUCCAAAAUUUUAUUGUUUAAGAGAAUGUGUUGCCACUUUAAAAGAUUUAUAUGCAUACCUUUGGAUAUGUUUAGUUCCCGGUAAAUUUGAAGGAAAAUGUGAAGGAAGAAAAAUAGAGAAGAAAAGUAUAACAAAAUAAAAAGUGAAGGAAAAUGAAAAAUAGAUUUAAAAUUAAUAAAUUAUUUUCAUUGGUUUUUUCAAAUUUAUUUUACUUAUUUUAUUCUAUUAAAUAAAGAUUAACUAAUUUUAAUUAUAUUUGGUUUGAUUUUUAUUAUUUUUCAAAGCAAAACCAAAUAUGAAAAAAAAAACAUUUUUUUUGGUUAUUUUUUUCUUUCCUUAUUACUCUUCGGGACUCAAACAUAGCUUUUAGAUUUGGGGCAUGGAAAAAUAAGAGUAUUGAAUAAGGGUUCUAUAUAUGCCCAUGCCCAUGCCCAUGAUACCAUUGAAAAAAAUGGAGAGAGGGUGAAACCUUUACUAGAUGAUAAAUUAUUCUCUUCAAUGGAAAUCAAAUAUAAUUAUUUUUAUCUUGUAUUAAUUGAAUGUUAUACUCCAUAAACUCAAAAUUAAAAUAAAUAAAAAAUUUAAAAACUAGGACAAUCCCAUUUUUUUUCAAUUUCUUAAAAAGAAAUUAAAUUAUAUUUAUUUAUAUCUAUUUUCAUCCCUACCCAACAAAAUAAAAAAAAUUAACAUUGUGGAACAUGUAUGAGAAAUUCUCACAAUUUUUUUUAAGAAAAAUAAAUUUCUUAUUUUAUAUAUGUUAAAAAUAAAUAUAAUCUUUUAUUUUUUAUAUAUAUAAUCGGGUAAGGUAGAGUGGGACAAAGAAAUAAUCCCCUUCGAUUCCAAUCCGAAAUUUUAAAAUAUAAAAUAAAAAUCUUAAACUCAUCCCUAAUCCAUUUAUUUUUAAUCCUAAACUUGUCUUAUAAGGAAUAAGGCAAAGUAAGUACAUGAAAACACUUUUUUUUAUCAUCAUCUCUACAAGUUCUAAUGUUUAGAUUGCAAUCCAUAUCAAAGAUUUAUAAAGAAAGAACAACGAUGAAUUUCAUAAACAUUUGAAAGCAUAUACAAAGUUUUAAAUAAUAUUGCUUGAGGUGCAAAUAUUAUUUGGCGCACACGUUGAGGGACUUCAACUGGUGUUGUCUAGGUUUUUUACACUAGUAAGUAAUCUUGAAUAUCUAGAGUAACUUGAUCAAAAUCUCUUUAAUUUUAUUUUCUUUGAUGAAUUAGAAUGCUUAUAUAACAUGAUUAAAAAUUUUAAGAAAAAAAAACUAAGAAGAAAGAAAGAAGUACCGAUCUUCCAAAUAUUGCUUCCACUUUAAUAUUUAGAAGGCUCUAAGAAAAGAAUUUUAUUCAUGAAUCACAACCCAAGUCGAAAAUAAAUUGAACCCAUUUUCUAAGUUAAAUUUUGAAUUUUUUACUAGUGAAUGCAAAUUGGGAAAAUGUAUAUAAAUAUAAUUAAACUAGAAUAGUAGGUUAGGUUUGUGUGGUCCCACGAUGACUUGGAAGUUUCAACAAUUCAAGCAGACUCCACCUAUAAACCUAAUAUACUAUUUUAGUUUAAUUAUAUUUAUAUAUGUUUUCCCAAUUUGCAUUCACUAGUAAAAAAUUCAAAGUUGAACUUGAAAAAUGGGUUCAAUUUAUUUUCGAUUUGGGUUGUGAUUCAUGAAUGAAACAAUGAUCAAUGACUUGACUUUUAAGGCCAACUUAGUUAAGUCAUUCCUAACCCCUAUAUUAAUUUGGCCUUAAAAGUCCAGUAAUUGAUAGCUAAAUCCCAACCCAAGUCAAAAAUAAAUUGAACCCAUUUUCUAAGUUCAACUUUGAAAUUUUUUUUAAUUGGAAAAAUGUAUAUAAAUACAAUUAAACUAGAAUAGUAGAUUAGGUUUGUAGGUGGAGUCUGCUUGAAUUUGUGAAACUUCCAAGUCGUCGUGGGUCUAGUGGUCCCAUAGCUCUCUAUUAAUUUCCACCAUCAAUUUUCUGCAAUAAAGUCAAGUCAUUCCUAACCCCUAUAUUAAUUUGGCCUUCAAAGUCCAGUCAUUGAUAGCUACGUUCAUGAAUCCCAACCCAAGUCAAAAAUAAAUUGAAUCCAUUUUCUAAGUUCAACUUUGAAUUUUUUUUAAUUGGAAAAAUGUAUAUAAAUACAAUUAAACUAGAAUAGUAGAUUAGGUUUGUAGGUGGAGUCUGGUUGAAUUUGUGAAACUUCCAAGUCGUCGUGGGUCUGGUGGUCUUAUAGCUCUCUAUUAAUUUCCACCAUCAAUUUUCUGCAAUAAAGUCAAGUCAUUCCUAACCCCUAUAUUAAUUUGGCCUUAAAAGUCCAGUCAUUGAUAGCUACGUUCAUGAAUCCCAACCUAAGUCAAAAAUAAAUUGAACCCAUUUUCCAAGUUCAACUUUGAAUUUUUUUUAAUUGGAAAAAUGUAUAUAAAUACAAUUAAACUAGAAUAGUAGAUUAGGUUUAUAGGUGGAGUCUGCUUGAAUUUGUGAAACUUCCAAGUCGUCGUGGGUCUAGUGGUCCCAUAGCUCUCUAUUAAUUUUCACCAUCAAUUUUCUGCAAUAAAGUCAAGCCAUUCCUAAACCAUAUAUUAAUUUGGCCUUAAAAGUCAAGUCAUUGAUAGUUACGUUCAUGAAUCACAACCCAAGUCUAAAAUAAAUUGAACCCAUUUUCCAAGUUCAACUUUGAUUUUUUUUACUAGUGAAUGCAAAUUGGGAAAACGUAUAUAAAUAUAAUUAUACUAGAAUAGUAUAUUAGGUUUGUAGGUGGAGUAAGCUUGAAUUGUUGAAACUUCCAAGUCAUCAUGGGUCUAAGGGUCCCAUAGCUCUCUAUUAAUUUCCAUCAUCAAUUUUUAUGAAUUCAGAUUUAAAAGUGAGAAGGGAAUAAAUUUUUUCUUUUUCAAUUCAUUACAAAAAAUAUUUUUGGUUUUUAUGCUAAAAUUUAUUGUUUAUUCAAAAAAUUAAAGUAUAAAAAUAUAAAAUAUAUAUCUUGCUAUUAUAGAAGAGCUCCAAAAUUUUCGUGUUUAAGAGAAUAUGUGUUGCCACUUUAGAAGAUUUAUAUACAAAAAGGAUUGAUGUUUCUCCUUUGACUAUGUUUGGUUCCCAAAAAUUUGAGGGAAAGAAAAUAAAAAAAAGGUAGUAAAAAAGAAAAAAUGAAGGAAAAUAAAAAAUAGUUUUAAAGUUAAUAAAUUAUUUUUAUAUGCUAUUUCAAACUUAUUUUACUUAUUUUUUUUCAUUAUAUAAAGAUUAAAUAAUUUUAAAAUGCAUAACUAAUUUUAAUUAUAUUUAAUUUUUCUUUUAUAUUUUUUAGACGGGAUCCAACACAUGUAAAAAUCCUUUUUUUUAGCAUCUUUUUUUCUUUUCUUAUUACUUUCCAAUAACCAAAUAUAACCUUUAGAUUUAGCCUUUAGACUUGGAGUAUGGAAGGAUACUGAGUAUUGAAAGAAGGUUUUGUAUAUGGCCAUGAUACCAUAGAAAAAAUGGGCGACAGAGAAAAAACCUUUAUUAAAUGAUAAAUUAUUUUUUUCAAUGGAAAUCAAAUAUAAUUAUUUUUAAAAAUAAAAAUAAAAAAUAAUAAUUUGUUGUUGCAUUAAGUAUUCUUGCAUUUGGAGAAGCAUGUACUACUUACUACAUAAAUGGAUAUUCAUGGAGUGCAUUCUCUAGAAAGCUCCAGUCUCAUGAAAAUGGAAAGAUGGACCGGCCGGUGAACCGGUUCGAGUUUGGAUUUAUGGGCUGCCUCAGCCUAACACGCAUGAUAGGUUGUUGUAGGUGAAGAACUAACUAAUUAAUUUAAAGCCUUCUUCUAUCCUCUCCUAUUCCUCUAUCACUCCAAAUGUUCCACAUGAUAAUGACAAUUCUUUUGUUAAAUGGUAAAAAAAAAAUUUAACAAUUAAUUUAAAAAAUUUUUAAAAUCUAAAUCCAAUGGAAAUUUGACUGUAAGGUGCGUAGAAGGCCCUAGUGCCCAUGUUGCUAAUUUGAUGAUAGUUAAAUUACCAUUUCGAGAGAUUCCACUCACUAGUAUUCUCAUUUAUAAAAUCAUGAACUUUGGCAUCCUAAUUAAUGUAAUUUAACUUUUUUUUGUUUACAAAUGAAAUAAGAGGCAACAUAUAAACCCAAAAGUUAAUUUUCCUACCAUCUCUAUGCACCAUUUUAGCUUUACUCCAAUAUAUUUUCUAUGAUUAAUUAUUUUCAUUCAAACAAUAAUAUCAAAAUAUUUUAAAAUUAGACAUAUCCACUAAUAUAUCUUCGAUAUAUUAUAUAUAUCUGUAAAAUCGAAACACCAAUAUAUCCGUGAUUAUCGAUAUUUUUAUCGUUGAGGGAUAACAACUAAUCUAGUUUUUGUACCUAUUGAUAUUCCUCAACAUUUAGAUUGAUUUGACCAUUUUUUUUUUAAUUUUAUUUUCUUUGAUGGUUAUAUGAUGAAUUAGAAUAGUCAUAUAACAUUAACAGAUUUAAGCAAAAAUGAUAAAAAAGCUCGCAUUUUUCAAAUAUUGGUUUCAACUUUGAAUAUUUUUAUUGGUAAAUGAAAAUUGUGAAAAACCUACUAAUGCUAAUACUUUUCACCACAUAAUUAAAUAUAAUAAACUAGAAUAGUGAUUCAUUGAUGUCUUAUAAAGCUACAUGCCUUCUUUGACUUGUUAGUUGAUUUUUGUAGGUGGAGUCUGUAGGGACCCCUCCCCCUGAUGACACGUGGCACGCAUUUCUAUCCGGAUUAGCUCCAUCCGGAUUUCCUCCAAGGAGACACGUGGCGCGCUUCCCCUAUCCGGACUCCCUCAGGGAGAAGCACACGACACUCGCAAACAUCACAUCCGGACGACCGCCAUAUCGCAUCCGGACGAUCGACAUAUCCUAUCCGGAUAUGUUUGUCCGGAUCGUUGACUAAAGUAAGCAAGUCUUACUACGUCAUUCCGACAGCCUGCCAUGGCCCACGUUCCACCACCUGCAAAGUGAAAAGACAGGAAUGAUGGCAAGUCACUUCCUACGAUCUCUGACAGCUGUGGCGCCUCUCACGAUCUCUGUCAGCCGCCCGUAGGGUGAUGAUGGCCCUGUCACCACCUAGAGUCAUCAUGACAAGCCAAAAUAUCUCUCUAUCAUUAAAGAGGGAGACAGAGCUUCUGGUACUAUAUAUAUGGACCUUCACACAAAGAGGAAGGUAAGCUUGCUAUACCUAGUAAAAGGCCAACUGAUUUAUCUCUUUAACCAUGGCUGACAAAACCAUCGGAGGGUGUGUCCGGACACCCUGUCCGGACGCCUUUUGCAGGAACGAUUGAACCAGGAAUCUAUAUUGGUUGAGAUCGUGCGUCCAUCCAUUUGGCAACUACGUGGAUCACCAGGGACGCGAGGCCUCAACAUUGGCGCCGUCUGUGGGAAAAUCACUGAUUCAGUCACCGACAAAGAUAGCCACACCUUCCCAAAGCCGCUCGUCCGCUAGGGAAAAGGAAGAUAAUUCUGAAUGGCGCCGAGCCAUUGAAAGAAGACAGUUGGCAAGCUCGUGACAACUGCAAGCUCUCCUCCAGGAGACAGAAUGACUAAGAGAAGAAAACGCGGUACUACGCAUCCAAGCUUCAUCGACGGGGCCUCCCCGUCGUCAGCAUUCAAAAGGCCAGGUAGCAAACUCAAGGCCUGACCCAGAGUCAAUAUACCCUGGGGCAGCAGGAGCAAUACUUGAAACAUGCAACGUUAGGCCACAUGAGCCACACACGCCCAUGCACCGAGCUCCCCAUGAGGAAAGCUCAGACUCUACUCAUUUUUCAGCAAAAAGACAACGCGACAAAAAAUCCCAAUUGUCAAACUCAAUGCGUGCGAGACUAGGCCCACAGGAGCCUGGGAGGCCAAAGCCGCCAGUAGCCAUAACCUGGGCAGUGCACCUUGACCCUAUGGUCACCCCCAUGGUGCAGAGCGUUCUCCCGCACCGUGACCCUAUGGUCACCCCUAUGGUGCAGAACGUUCACCCGCACCUAGCGGUACGACAAGCUGGGAGAAACCUCCCAAAUGAGCCACCCAUUGGCUCCAUUAGCAAAAGGCUGGACGACAUGCUCUCCACGCCUUUUUGCUCUCAUAUCAUUCAUUACGAGCCCCCAAGGGGAUUCCUCGUGCCCAAAUUCUCCACAUACGAUGGGUCCAGCGACCCCUUCGACCAUAUCAUGCAUUAUCGACAGCUCAUGACUCUCGAUAUAGGCAAUGACGCGCAGCUAUGCAAAGUAUUCCCCGCCAACCUACAAGGGCAGGCCCUCUCAUGGUUUCACCGCCUACCUCCCAACUAUGUUGAUAAUUUCAGAGACCUAUCAGAGGCCUUCGUGGGACAAUACUUAUGCUCUGCUCGACAUAAGCAGAACAUCAGCACUCUGCAAAACAUAAAAAUGCAGGAUAACGAAUCCUUAAGGGAGUUCGUGAAGUGGUUUGGUCAUGCCGUACUACAGGUAAAGGCUUACAGCAUGGAUGCUGUCCUGCAGAUCUUCAAGCGAAGUAUUUGUCCAGGCACCCCAUUUUUUGAAUCACUCGCUAAAAAGCCUCCUACGACGAUGGACGACUUGUUCCAGCGUGCGAGCAAAUACUCAAUGCUCGAAGAUGACGUGCGAGCAGCCACCCAGCAAGUCUUGGUUGCCGGACAGGCAUCUAGAAGUGGCACGGAAAGAAGUGCCAAACUUCCGGACAGGCCAAGACAGUCCCAUCAAAGGCAGGAAGGGCCAAGUCGCCCGGAAAGGCCGCCCCUCACACCCCUUUCCAUAUCCUAUGAGAAGCUUCUCCCUAUGAUCUAAGACAUGUCCGACUUCAGGUGGCCUAGACCCAUCGGAACGGACCCAUCCAAAAGGGAUCAUAGUAAAAAAUGUGCCUUCCAUAAAGAGCAUGGUCACACAACGGAGACAUGCAGGUGCCUUCAUUAUUUGGUCGAAAGGCUCAUAAGGGCGGGACAUUUAAAGCAAUACCUCCACUCAGAUACCGGAGGUAGAGAUGCUUCCCGAAAUCACAACUCUGGAGCCCCUAGGGCCCUAGCCGUCCCCAAAGCCGUUAUAAACUAUAUUAACAGAGGCCCAUCUGACGAGGAGUACGACUCCAAACGAAAGAAACAAAAGUUGUUGCGGGCAGCAUCGGUGCGCGAACGUGUCAACUCCAUCCGGCCUGGGAUAACUGGGGGGGCCCUCGCCCCAUAGAUGGGAUAAUCAUUUUCCCACCAGUAGACCCCACCCGGAUAUUGAAGCCGCACCGCGACGCCCUCAUCCUGUCCUUAAAGAUAGGAGACUUCGACGUGAGACGCAUCCUGGUUGACCCAGGUAGCUCGGCCGAUCUUGUGCAAGCAUCGGUCAUUAGCCACAUGGGGCACAAUCUCACAGGCCUCGAAAACCCUGGGCGAAUCUUGUCCGGAUUCAACGGGGCGUCAACUACUUCAUUGGGAGACAUUGUACUGUCGGUCCAAGCUGGCCCAGUCACUCUCAACGUACAAUUUUCGGUGGUACAAGAUUUAUCACCCUUCAAUGUCAUCUUGGGGCGCACAUGGCUGCACUACAUGAAAGUCAUCCCCUCUACAUAUCAUCAAAUGGUAAGCUUCCUUACCAAGGAUGGGCAAAUUGACCUAUACGGCAGCCAGUUAGCCGCUCGCCAAUGCUACCAGAUAGCACGAGAAGCAGGGACCAACCAGGAGGAUGCAUCCCUCCCUGAGUCCAGCCAUGCACGUGACCAAUAGCAAUUAUUGAGUCCGGGGGACAAAGAUCCCCCGGCAGCGGAUCCCUUGCAAGCAAUCCAAAUUUCGGAAGAAGGUACUCACCUUACGAAUAUCAGUUAGAAGAGACCCGGAACAUGCAGAACGCCCUCAGACAAAACCAUGACGUCUUCGCAUGGACACAUUCUGAUAUGAAGGGAAUUCAUCCCUCCAUUACCUCUCAUAGGCUUAACGUCUUGCCAACAGCCAGACCCAUCCGGCAGAGGGUUAGACGUUUUCACCCGGACAGACAAAAAAUUAUCCGGAAUGAGAUUGACAAGUUGCUAGAAGUCGGAUUCAUCAGAGAAGUGCAUUACCCGGACUGGUUGGCAAAUGUAGUGGUGGUACCCAAAAAAGAAGGCAAAUGGCGGGUGUGAGUCGACUAUACCAACCUCAAUAAUGCAUGCCCAAAAGACAGUUUCCCUUUGCCACGGAUGGAUCAAAUUGUGGACUCCACUGCUGGGUAAGGGAUGCUCUCCUUCUUGGACGCCUUCUCUGGAUACCACCAAAUCCCCAUGUCCCCGGCUGAUGAAGAAAAGACAGCCUUCAUAACACCACAUGGUCUCUAUUGCUACAAAGUCAUGCCAUUCAGACUCAAAAACGCUGGUGCCACUUACUAGAGACUGAUGACGAAGAUCUUCAAACCUCUGGUCGGCCGCACAAUAGAGGUAUAUAUUGACGAUAUCGUGGUUAAAAGUAAAACCCGAGAGGAACAUGUCCUCCACUUGCAAGAAGUCUUCCACCUCUUGAGGAAGUAUGGCAUGAAGUUGAAUCCCUCUAAAUGUGCCUUUGGCAUAAGUGGUGACAAAUUCUUGGGAUUUAUGGUUAGCCAAAUGGGGAUAGAGGUCAGCCCGGACCAAGUCAAGGCAGUCAUGGAAACACCACCCCCUAGGAGCAAAAAGGAAUUACAACGCCUCACAGGCAAGCUCGUCGCGCUAGGGCGUUUUAUAGCCCGCUUCACUAAUGAACUGCGACCCUUCUUCUUGGCAAUACGAAAAGAAGGAGCAAACGGAUGGACGAACAACUGUCAAAGCGCUUUUGAAAAAAUUAAACAUUGCCUCAUGCAAUCGCCCAUCCUGAGCAGUCCCCUCCUUGAAGAAAAACUGUAUAUGUAUCUGGCUGUAUCGGAGUGGGCAAUUAGUGAUGUUCUAUUCCGCUGCCCCUUACCCAAGGAGCAGAAACCUAUCUACUACGUCAGCAGAGCAUUGGCAGACGUAGAAACCAGGUAUUCAAAGAUGGAGCUAAUGGCCUUAGCUCUUCGAAGUGCUGCCCAGAAGCUCUGCCCCUACUUCCAAGCCCACCCGGUGGUCAUGCUAACUGACCAGCCCCUUCGCAACAUUCUGCACAAGCCAGACUUAACCGGAAGAAUGCUUCAAUGGGCCAUAGAGUUAAGCGAAUAUGGAAUCGAGUUCCAACCCAGGCUGUCCAUGAAAGGCCAAGUUAUGGCUGACUUCGUGUUGGAAUACUCCCGAAGGCCUAUCCAGCGCAAGGAACCAAGUGAAAAAGAGUGGUGGACUUUGCGGGUCGAUGGAGCCUCACGAUCAUCAGGAUCCGGAGUAGGGCUCCUGCUGCAAUCACCAACAGGAGAACAUCUGGAGCAAGCCAUCUGGAUGGGGUUCCCCGCCUCUAACAAUGAAGCGGAAUAUGAGGCCAUCCUAUCCGGAUUGGACCUCGCCCUGGCUCAUCCGUCUCCAAGCUCCGGGUCUAUAGUGACUCCCAACUCAUGGUAAGACACGUUAAGAAGGAAUACGAAGCUAAGGAUGCGCGCAUGACGUGAUAUCUGACUAAAGUAAGGGACACCUUACAACGGUUCACCGAAUGGACGAUCGAAAAAAUCAAACGAUCUAAAAAUGGACGUGCCGACGCCUUAGCAGGCAUAGUUGCCUCCCUCCCCAUCAAAGAAGCCAUAUUGUUGCCUAUACAUGUGUAAGUCAACCAUUCCGUCGCGGAAACCUCCACUUGCAAUACCAUUGAGGCAAAUCAAGCAGACGACCAAGAGUGGACGGAAGACAUUAUAAGGUACCUCUAGACAGGCACUCUGCCUGAAGAGCCCAAGCAGGUACACAAGCUCCGGGUGCAAGCCGCCCGUUUCACCCUAAUUGGGGGGUACUUGUACAAGCGAUCCUUCACAGGUUCCUAUCUUCGGUGCCUAAACCACUCAGAGGCCCUGUAUGUAUUAGCUGAAUUGCACGAGGGAGUAUGUGGAAUUAUUCUGGAGGUCGAUUUCUGGCACACAGGGCCCAUUCGCAAGGAUAUUACUGGCCCACGAUGAAGAAGGAUGCGGCAGCCUAUGUCAAAAAAUGUGACAAAUGCCAAAGGCAUGCCCCCAUACCACAUGUGCCGUCGGAGACAUUGAAGCCAAUAUCAGGCCCCUGGCCCUUCACGCAGUGGGGCAUGGACAUAGUAGGACCCCUACCACCCCCACCCGCUCAAAAGAAAUUCCUGCUCGUCGCCACGAAUUACUUCAGUAAAUGGGUGGAAGCUGAGGCAUACGCUAGCAUCAAAGACAAAGAUGUCACCAAGUUCAUGUGGAAGAACAUCAUCUGCCGCUUCGGAAUCCCCCAAACCAUUAUAGCCGACAACGGUCCAUAGUUUGAUAGCAUCGCUUUCCAGAAUUUCUGUUCGAAACUAAACAUCCGGAAUUCAUACUCCACACCGCGUUAUCCUCAAAGUAAUGGGCAAGCAGAGGCCACAAACAAGACUCUAAUCACUACCUUAAAGAAAAGGCUCGAGCAAGCCAAAGGAAAGUGGGUGGAAGAGCUACCCGGCGUCUUGUGGGCUUAUCGAACCAUACCCAGAUGUCCGACAGGAAACACUCCCUUCGCCCUCGCAUACGGUAUGGACGCAAUCAUUUCUAUUGAAAUAGGGCUACCCACUAUCCCGGACCGAGGCAGGAAAGCAGGAUGAUGCAAAUGUGGAGUUAAGAAGAAACUUGGACUGGGCAAACGAAGUAAGGGAAACUGCAUCCAUUCGGAUGGCAGAUUAUCAACAAAGGGCAUCCGCUCACUACAAUCGCAAAGCAAGGCCCAGAAGCUUUAAAAAUGAUACGCUGGUCCUUAGAAAGGUUUUCGAAAAUACUGCUGAGAUAGGAGCGGGAAAAUUUCAAGCCAAUUGGGAAAACCCCUAUAUAGUAUCUAAGACAAGUGAAAGUGGAGCCUAUCAUCUGCAGAAGCUAGAUGGAACCCCAUUGCUCCGACCAUGGAAUGUAUCUAAUCUAAAGUAGUAUUACCAAUGAAAGAAAAAUAGAGGUACAAAUAUGAAUAAGUAUGUUUUAUUAAUACUUGUGAAAAAUUGUAUACAAAAGUUCUCCGGACUACAAAAUACAGAGAGAAGAUAGCAGUAAAAAUUACAAAAAGAAAAGCUCUCAUUGGGAAGGCUUGCCACGCAGCUUCUCCUCCUCACCCGGGGGAAUCGAAGGGACGUCCCGUUUGAUACCAAGUUUCUUCAUACAGCAACGGUAGCCGAAGAAGUACAUUUCGUCUACCUACUUCUGGUAGUCUGCUUCAAGUUCCUCCCUUUCCGCAGCAAACUCAGCCUCCAACUCUUCUUUUUGCGCUAAUAAACGCAACUGCAAAUCCUCUCUCUGCUUUUUCUCAAUUGACACCUCUGUUUGGAGUUGCCUCACUUCUCCCGCAGUUGGGCCAUUUCGUCCUCCGCCUCAUGUAGACGGGCGUCUGUAGAUUCCUCCCGACUCUUUGCCUCAGCUAGCUCUACCCGGAGAGCCUCGUUGUCAUCUCGAGCAGCGGAUAAACUGGCUUCGGCCUGCUCUAAUCUCAAGCGCAGUUCCUCUUCACUGUUUAUGCGUUGAGAGACGAAGGCCUUCAUAUAAUCAGCAGUUCGUAGUAGGUCAGAAAAAAGAUCACGUUGUUGAGCCAUGCCGCGGAUACCGCUCACCAGCUGCAGAAAAACCCACAAACAAGAAGUGCAAAAAUUACAACCCAUGUGACAAACACAUCAGAAUGGCAAGAAAAAUCAAGAAGUAAACUAUACCAUUUCCGCUGCUUCAAACAUUUUUGCUGAAGGCACAGCAACAUCUGAGCUGGAUGGAAUCCGUUUCAGCAUCUCUCCCAACUGCGCAUAGCUGAAAGGACUAGCGGAGAUGCAAGCUGCAUCAUCAACGGGACUUCCUCCUGACGAGGCAUUAGGGAGUGACUCCUUUCCCGAGUCCGGGGCCUCAUCAUUCUCGACCGGCUGGGUCUCUCCGAGUGAACCCCCAUCUGGGACCAGCACCGGGGCGGUUGGAUUCUCUUCUGCCAUCUCUGUCUCACUCCCCUCCGGAUGAUCCUCCUGGACGGACGAGCAGCUGACUUCGAUGGUUUCCAAAAAACGAUCUUGAAGCCGCCUGAUGAGGCUAGACUUUAAGUCACGGGCCGGACGAGACCUCCUUGCAGUUGGCCCCUUCACCGGUAUAAAGGCAAGGGAGCUUGGCUCGCAAGGAGGCACACCCUGACUUUCUGCCCUCGUUUCUUCCGUUGGGGGUGCCGUAGGAGGCAAUGCUUCAGUACAAGAGGCCUCGGCUGCAUCCGCGUCCGAAUGGGGAGAGCCGAGCUGAUUUACUGAAGUCGCUUCCUCAGCCAGAAGAGCCAGCCGUCCAGCCGCUGGCACUGAAGGCCCCGAAUGGUUUAGACCCGCGAGACGUCCGGAGCCUCUUGAAACAGAAGGCAAGACGGGGGAAGGGGGGAGAGGGGGGGGGGGGGGGGUGGUCUGGCUCUCUUAUUAUUAUUUCCUUUACGAAAGUUGGAGGUGGUAUUACCACUUCCUUUGGUGGAGUUGGAAGUUUUAUUUAUUUCCCCUUAUUGAGAGCCUUCUUCUUCUUUUUCUUCGCCGGGGCGCCAGCAGGAAGAGAGGGCGCGAAGCGUUUUAUAUCGGGGGCCCUCCGCAAAGUUCCCUCUUGCCUCAUUCCCUCCCGUUCGUCGAGACGUGCUCGGCGUGCCUGGGCAUCUGCCUUGCGCACCUCCUUGUAGAAAGGAAGGUCUUUUAGAACAAAAUGCUCCCCAGGCAUUACCUUCUUUGGCAACUUCCUGGGGAGAAUAUUGAUGACAUACGCCUGGGGCUCUUGGACAACGGCUAGCAAGUUUCGCGUAGUAAGCAGCGUCUCAUGAUGCCUCUCAGCGGCAGUAAUCUCAAAUAACUUGUUCAGUCGAACGAAAGACGUUUUUUCUACCCACUCGACUACGCGACCCCUCUUGUCCGGACCUGCAUUAUCAGCAACCAAAGAUAUUAAGCCAUCUGAUAACCCCAAAGCAAGAAAAGCAACAAGACGAAUGCCGAACAAACCCCGCAAGCUGUCUUACCCGGAAGCACCAACGAAAGGUUUGGGGAGAAUGGCCUCUCCGGAUGCUCCAGUAGCCCAGCCCAGAUACCCCGGACCAACACAUGUCCCUUGGCUCCUCCCUUCGUCGAAUCCGAAAGCUUAGUCACUAGUUGGAGAGAAGGCAGGUGGGAAACCAUGCUAAAAAUGUCAUUUUUCUCCUUCUUAAGGGAGUAGAUGAAAAGAACCUCCAGCAGCGAGAGGUCCAGGUUGAACAACAUGCUCAGAAUGCUGCAUCCCAUCAGCACCCGGACCAUGUUGGGAUGGAUGUAGGCCGGGGGGAUCUGGGUGAAGUGGAGAAAUUCUUUGAAAAGUGAUGGGAGAGGGAACCGGAGCCCAACAUUGAGUUGCUUCUUGGUAAAGCAGAUAGUGUUCUCCUCAGUUUUCUCAGUCGACAUGGCCUCUCCGUCCAUAAGUUCAACGGACACGCCAUUUGGGAUGCAGAAGCGUUCGCGAAACUCCCUCACAUUCAACUUAUCCACGGAUUUCUCAGCAUGAGCAUCUCCGGGUGAGCUGGAUGAAGUAGCUUCCUUGUUCGCAGACAUUUUGUAGGCUGGGGCUGAAAUGGAAUCUGCAUGGAGGAAUGCCAACAGUCAAACACAGCAAUCCGACCCCACAACCUUAACUCUACCCCAAAGAAGAAUCGGUGACCCACAAAAGGCACAAGGGUGCAACAGAAACCCUAAACACACCCAAAACACGAUCAAAACCCCCCGAAAAAAGCCCUAGAAACCAAUACCGAUUCCUAGUCGCAAAGCAACUUGCCCAGCAAGCCAGAAACAACCAACAAAACAAACACAACAAGGAGAAAAAAAAAAUAGAAAACGUACCGAGUGUAAAACUGGAAAAAUGGGAUGAAAUCCGCAGUGCAGUCACCGUCACGAUACGAGUAUUACCGGCAGAAAACCCUAGAGCUUCACUAGAAAGUGAAAAUACGCGGAAGGUAGAAGAGAAAGCACUACCAGAAAAAGCGCAGAAGGAAAAAUGCAAGAGAAAGGCACAGUUUGCUAUUUAUAGAGAGACAGCUCCUCGGUAUCCCAAAUGCUUAGCCGCACCAUCAUUGAAAGGACACGCUGCCUGGGAAAUCCCAGAAUCGGCGGCUCAUCAUAAAUGAUCUUCUUCCUUUUUCGCCCCCGCUCGCCACGUGGCCCAAUAAAGCGAAAAAAGUCAACCUCAGUUUCAAAAAACAAUCAUUUUUUAACCCACCCAUUUUGCCCUGGCAAAAUGGGCAGGUUAAAAGGGGGGCAUUGUAGGGACCUCUCCCCCUGAUGACAUGUGACACACAUUUCUAUCCGAAUUAGCUCCAUCCGGAUUUCCCCCAAGGAGACACGUGGCGCGCUUCCCCUAUCCGGACUCCCUCAGGGAGAAGCACACGACACUUGCAAACCUCACAUCCGGACGACCGCCAUAUCGCAUCCGGACGACCGACAUAUCCUAUCCGAAUAUGUUUGUCCAGAUCGUUGACUAAAGUAAGCAAGUCUUACUACGUCAUUCCGACAGCCUGCCACGGCUCACGUUCCGCCACCUGCAGAGUGAAAAGACAGGAAUGAUGGCAAGUCACUUCCUACGAUCUCUGACAGUUGCGACGCCUCCCACGAUCUCUGUCAGCCGCUCGUAUGGUGAUGAUGGCCCUGUCACCACCUAGAGUCAUCAUGACAAGCCAAAAUAUCUCCCUAUCAUUAAAGAGGGAGAUAGAGCUUCUGGUACUAUAUAUAUGGACCUUCACACAAAGAGGAAGGUAAGCUUGCUAUACCUAGUAAAAGGCCAACUGAUUUAUCUCUCUAACCAUGGUUGACAAAACCAUCGGAGGGUGUGUCCGGACGCCUUUUGCAGGAAUGACUAAACUAGGAAUCUAUAUUGGUUGAGAUUGUGCGUCCAUCUAUUUGGCAACUACGUGGAUCACCAGGGACGCGAGGCCUCAACAUAGUCCAUUUCCAUUUGAAUUGUUGAAACUUCCUAGUCCUUGUGGGUCUAGUGGUCUCUCUAAUAAUUCCCACCAUUAAUUUUUUGUGAUGAAGUGCAGUCAUUGAUAGCUACUAUAUCAAUUUGCUAUUAAAAGUCAAGUCAUUGAUAACUACUAUUCAAUCUUUUUCAAUAUGGAAAUUGGAAUCUCUAGCGCUACUCUUCUCAUCGUUCAUUUUUAGGUAAUGUGAGAAUGUGUGAACAUAAAUGUCUUCUAAUCAACCAAUUUUUUUUUGAAAAAAACAUGUACAAAAUUGCAAAACUUGCAAAAUCAAACUGACUGUAAUCAACCAUCAUAAUUUUGAUGGUUUUGAAGAAUCAAAGGAUGAAUCCUAAAAGGGUAUUUGAUAAAAAAUAAAAAUUAAAAAAAUUAAAAGACAACUACUCCCUUAAGUAUAAUAAGUGUAUUUGGUAGCACAAAUUUCCUACCACUUAUUAUUUUUUUUCUUAAAAAAUCAUUUACUCUAUUAAAUAAACUAACCUUGGCUUAUCACUUAUAGCAAAAUAGGUUAAGUAGUUUUUAAAAUUUUAUAAUAUUAGAUUUACAUUUUUAUCCUUCAAAAUUUCAUUAAUGCUAGAUUCUUCUAUAUGCUUAACUAAUAAAUAAUUUUUAGCAUUUUUCUUUUCUUAUAAACAUAAAAAAAUAAAAAUAUUAUUAACUUAUUGGUAUAUUUUAAAAUUUUAAUUAGAUUUAAGCUUUUAUUUUUUUGGAUUACCAAUUAUACAUAUAAAUCCUUUAUUAUUAUUGUUAUUAUUGAAAGAAAGGGGUUGAAUAGGUAGUCCCUCAAUCCCCAAAUUAAAUUCUUUAUUGCGUACUUUUGGUUUAUUCCUUUACAUGAAUUCCUUGGUGAGAGUAAACAUUUCAUUAAUGGAUAAAUAAAAUUGAUUCCAUAUCACAGGGUAUAAUGUGGAAAAAUCAUCGGUCUCAUGUGUUCCUUAGUGGAUCCUUUGGAGCCCUUAUCAAAGUUUCAUGAUGAAACCAUUGACUUUUGUUUAACCCAAAUGUGCUUUCAAGACAAAUCUUGAAAGAUUUGAGAGAUGGAGGUUCAAGUCUUUUAUGAACGACCAUGUUCUCUUAGGGUUCAUGAAAUUUCACACCUUUUGAUAAAUAAAACUUAUUUAUUUAUACGUCUAAAACCUAGUAUUUAUUUAUUUAAUUAUAGAAAGUUUCUUAGUUUUAAAAACAUUUCAAAAAUCAUUUUUAGAAUCAAAUAACAAUUUUAGAGAUAAACACAAUAUUAAAAUUUAACAAAAACAAAUUUUUGAAUUAAAAACACAAUAUAAACUAAAUUACAAAAUAUAAAGUAAUUUUUAUCCUAAUUUCUUCUUGCAAAACCAAAUAGAACACCUAGAAGGGGAGUGAAUAGGUGAUUUUAAAUUUUUUCAAUAAUGAUUUAUAAGUUAUACCCAAUUCUUUUACCCUGCGAGUUGUUAGGGACUAUCAAUUCUUUCCUUUUGGCAAUUCAAACAAUAUAUCAAAUAAUAAAAAGAUAUAAAUAAUGAGACAUAAAGAUUUUUACAUGGAAAACCCCCCACACUAACCAUGGAGAUAAAAAGCCAUGGAGUCUAAGACCUAUUAAUCUAAAUUCACUAUACGAAAUCAAGUUACACAAAUUUAUUUGGUAGCUUUACCUUAAAGACUUACUCUCCGGUACUGACAACUUGAUUCACGUCCAUGACGUAGCAACCCUCGAUUACUCCAAUGUAUCACUUCAAGCUUACUAAAAGGAUGAAGGCCUUCAAACCAAGAUUCAAAAAUCAAUUCCUUGAAUGAGAGAUUAGGAAUGGUGUGCCACUUUAGGCUUUCUCUCUAAGAUCUCUAAAAUGAUCUCCUCAAUGAAAACCUCUUAAACAAAAUGAGAUAUUUCUCCACAAUCUCUAACCCUUAAGGGGUUAUAAUGAGAUAUUUAUAGGCAACUAAGUUGAAAGUUUCAGUUUUGGAAGGUUUCUCAAUUGAAUUUGUGUGAAAAACUCGGCAGAAUCGACAUGAUCGCUCGAGCCAACACACUUCCCACUUGAGCGUUUUGGGCACUUGAGCGGUAAGGCUCGCUUGAGUUGUCUUAAGCACUUGAGCAUUCUAGGCUACUUGAGCAAUCUUGCUCUAUUUCAAAAGUUAAUUUUAAAUCAUUUUAAGUUCAAAACAAAAUUGAUUCCCUUUAUACCUCAAAGAAGCCUAACUUGCCACAAACCAAACCUUUUUAGAUAUACUUGUGACUUCCUGGUUGGACGAACAACAACUCUUAAUCUUCAAUGGAGAGCAAGUCACUAUCUAAAAAGAUUUAUAUGGUCAAACAUAAAAAAACAAAAAAAUUGCCAACAUAACAACAAGACUCAAUGUCCUAACAAUCUUCCCCUUUGGCAAUUUUGUGACAAAAACAACGUUACAUAAACCCACCUGAACUCUCAUAAUGGAGUUUAAUAAUACACAUUAACGUUCAAUUAAAAAUAAACUAAGGGAAUACUUUAUCUCACUUUGUAGUAUUUGUCUUCCAACCUUGUAACCUACACACAUAUAGAAAACUAUACCAAAGGUAAAACAAUGUGCAGGAUAAGAUAUGAUCAAGAAAGCAAAAUAGGAUAAUUGGAAAUUUUGCUUGAUGCCUUGUGAAAGCAUGAAAAAAGAACAAAUUCAUAUAGUAAUAUCAAGGGACAAAGCAAAACUCGAGAAGAAUAUAUAUGUAUGCAAAUCAACCAAACAUAAUAAAAGCUAAAUAAGAUGCAAUAGAUAAAAAAUAAUGCCUAGGGGUCUAUCUCCAACCAGAAAAUAGGGAGUGAAGAUCAUAGAAAGAACCUUCUGUGACUUAGAAAGAUUCUAGAGAGAUAGUAAAUUCAAACAUAAAUAUCUUGCUGGAAACAUCUAUGUUAUGUAUCUCUCUAAACCUUUUAAGUUAUGCUUUCAUCAGUUGAUUUGGUUUUUCUCCAAUGUCUCAGGUUUAAUUUCCUCUAUUAUUUCAAUUAGAGAAAUUAGUAGUCGAUUGACUUAGUGGGUGUUUGGUAAAACUUAAUACUUAUUAUUUAAUGAUUAACUUUAAGUUAAAUUGUUCUUAAGUUAUUAAUUUAAAAUUUAUUACUUAUUUUGUAUUUAAGUAUUAAGGUUAUUUGUAAAAAUCAACUUAAAAUUUAUUCUAAAUCAUCAAAUUAACACAUUUACCCUUAUUAAUUUUAACUUAUAUUUAUUUUCAUUAAUUUUAAACAAUAAAUUUAUUCAUAAAACAUCUAUAUUUUUGUAGAUACAUAAUAACCAUAAAAUAUUUACUAUAAAAAAUGAGUCAUGGAUGUAGAAUUAUAAUUCUAAAAUAUACACCUAUAAGUGUGGGUAAAUAAGACAAAAAUGAUUUGAGAUUAAGAGUAAAGUUAAUUAUUUUGACUUAAGACUUCAAGUUAAAAAUAACUUUAAGUUGCAAUAUUAAGUUAUUUUAUCAAACAUGCUUAAUUUACUUAACAACUUAAAUUAACUUAUUAAGUUGAUUUAUCAAACACCCCACUAGUAAUAUGUUGAAAAUGAAGAGCAUCCAUAGCAGAUAAUGUAUAUGUAUUUGUGUUUAGAGUAGAAGGGCACUACAACAAUGGACUUGCAUGUGAUUUGGUCGCGAUAUGAUUUUGAUGAGAAUAUUUUAUUGUCUUUAAAAUAUUGUUAUAUGAAAUGCCACACUAUGUUAGUAAAUGAUAGUUAUGUUAGUAGAAAUGAAAGUUUGUUUUAUAAUGCAUUGACCAUCCUAACACAUGCACUUAAUUAUCAUUAGUAGUUAGACAUGUAUUCCCUUUUUUCAAUUUUUUUUCUUCUUUUUAAAUACAUUCUAGUGGUACUUUGCCUUAUGACUUAAUUUUUGUUACACUUACUACUUUUGGUUUUAGUCAUAUUUCAUUUUAUUAGUAUUUUCAUUUUGUGUUACAAUUUUAUUUAGUUUCUCUAUAUUCUCUUUUGGAUGGUGAUUUCACUUCAAAUUUUAAUUCAAAUUAGGCUUAUUGUCCUCUUAGUAAGCCUUUUCUAGGCGAGUUGUUAUAGAAAAUUAAACAAACCUCUCCUAAGGUUGGCCUUGUUACAUAGACUUCUUUUCUAUUUUGAAAUAUUAUAUUGACCUCCCUUGUUAGAUAUUGGUUUUUACGAUUACUAAGAAUAAUGCUUCUUAAUCAUUAUUAACGAUAAUGCAAAAUGAUAUAACUACUCUUAGUUAAAUCAAAUCAUAAUGACAAUAUUUUCAUCUUCUUUUUCCAAUUUUCUUCUUCUUCCUCCAUACAUGCUAAUUUGCAAAAAUUUAUACCCAUUAUUUAAAUGAAAUCUUUUGAAAUAAAUUAAAAUCUUCCUUAUUUGAUAUUAUAGAAACCUAAUUUAAAUAAAAUAUUUUGAAAUAAAUUAGAUAAAAAAAAAACUUGUCAUCAUUCUAACCCAAAUCAAAUUUAAAAGAAUAACUAAAUAUUUCAAGUCUCAUUUUGUCUCAAUAUCACCUUUGCUAAUCAACCUAUCCAAUCUUAGAUCAAACUCAAAUUGCAAUCAAAUUUUGACAAGAAAAAAUCUACUUAAGACUGAAUAAGAAAACUUGUGGAAAGAGUCUUAUCAAGAAGGUGCAUGAAACCCUCAGUUCAAAAACUUCUUCUAAAAUAAAAUUAAAAAAAGAAAAGAAAAGAAAGAUAUUCAAUGUUAAAGGACUUUUAAGAUAAAUCAAAAUUUGAAAAUGAAUGUUAAUACUUGCGAUAGAUUCCACAUUCAUGAACAAAUUACCAUUGCACCACUUAUUUUCAAUUCACACUUUAAUUUACUAUCCAUAGAAACUUUCAUUAAAUUUUCCAUAAAACAAACAAAGAGCCUUAACCCCCAAAUAUUUUAAUUCUUAAAAAUACAUCAUUUCAUCAAUUUUUGAAACCCUCAUUUUAACACAAAUUAUUUUUUUUUACAAAUUAUUAAAAGAAUAAAAAGAAAAUUAAGAAGAGGUUGUCAUUAUUAUUCUUGCAAAGUCACCACAAAAUAAAUUAUAACAAAUAUAGAAAAUAAAAUAAUGUGACGAUGAAGAUGAUGCUUAGAAAGUUAGAAUGAAGAAGAUAGUAUCAUUUAGAUGAUUUAGGUUAAGAUGAGGACUAGAUAAGGAAAGUGACAUCAAUUGCCUAAUUAUUUGGGGUUUUAGACAUACAAAAUGAGGGAGAUGACUAAAAUUAUGGUUUAAUUAUUUUUGGUUAAGGAUUAUUAAGUUAUUUUAAGGAAUUAAUUAAUUAAUUUAUAAUAAAUUUAGAAUUAAUUAAAAGUUAAUUAAAAUAAUUAUUGAUUCAUAGUUUAAUUUAAAACUAAUUUGAAUAAAAGAUGAAAAACUGAAAGUCCAUUAGGGUUUCACCUAGAGAGGGGAGAGGAGGUGGAUGAUUUAAAAAAUUUCAAUAAAGAUCUAUAUGUUAUAUCCAAUUUUAUUUUACCCUGUGAGAUGUUAGGGAUAACCUUUUCUAUCAACCUUAGGCAAUUCAAACAAAAUAUCAAAUAUAAAAGAUAAGAACAAUAAGGCAUGCGAUUUUUAUAUGGAAAAUCCUCACACUAACUGUGACGAUAAAAACCACGAGAUCUAAGACCUAUUAAUCUAAAUGCACUAGAUGAAAUCAAGUUACACAGAUUUACUUGACUGCUUUACCUUAAAGAUUUACUCUCUGGUAAGUACAACUUGAUUCAUGUCCACAACAUAGCAACCCUUGAUUGCUCCAGUGGAUCACUUCAGCUUCCUGGAAGGGAUGAAGGUCUCCAAAAUAAUAUUUAAAGAACAAAUCCUUGAAUGAGAAAUUGAGAAUGGUGUGGCAAUCUAGGUUUUGUCUAUAGGAGACCCUUUUUAGAGAAUAAAGUCUCUCAACAAUCUAUCUCCAAUCUCUUCAAUAUCUCUAACCCUCAAGGGGUUAUAAGGGAGGUAUUUAUAGGCAAAAGUUUGAAAAGUUUUGAUUUUGGAAGGUUUCUCAAUUGAAAUUUUGUGAAAAACUUGGUAGAAUCAACAUGAUUGCUCGAGCCAACUCACCCAUCGCUUGAGCGCCUCAAGCACUUGAGUGGUAUGGCUCACUUGAGCGGUCUUAAGCGCUUGAGUAGUCUUUAGUGCUUGAGCGCUCUAGGCCACUUGAGCAGUCUUGCUCUCUUUCAAAAAUCAAUUUUAAAAUCUUUUUAAGUUCAAAACAAAAUUGAUGCUCUUUAAUACCUCAACAUAGCCUAAUUAACAUAAGUCAAGCCUCUUUAAACAUGUGACUUCUCAAUUGGACAAACAACAACCCUUGAUCUUCAAUGAAGAGUAAGUCACUAACUAGAAAGACUUCUAUGACCAAACAUUACAAAGAACAAAAUUGCCAACAUAUAGGAAGGACUUACUGUCUUAACAAUCUCUCCCUUUGACAAUUUUGUGACAAAAAAUUGUUACAUAAACCCACUUGAACUCUGAUAACGGAGUUUACAUAACACACUUUAAUGCUCAAUUAAAACUAAAUUAAGGGAAAGCUUUGUAUUAAUUUAUAGUACUUAUAUUUCAACCCCGUAACCUACACACAUACAAAAAACUAUACUAAAGGUAAAGUAGUGUGAGGAAUAAAGUAAUGUUGAGAAAACAAAACAGGAUAGUUGGAGGUUUUGCUUGAUGACUUAUGAAAACAUGAAAAUGGAACAGAUUUUUGUAGAGACACUGAGGCACAAAGCAAAGCUUGAGAGGAAUAUAGAUACACACAAAUCAGGAAAACACAAUAGAAGCUUGAUAAGACACAAUAGAUCAAUAAUAAUGCUUAGAAGUCUAUCUCCAACCAGAAAAUGGGUAGUGAAAACCAUGGAAAGAAACUGCUAUGACUUAGAAUAGUUCUAGAGUGAUAAUUAGUUUAAACAUAAAUAUCUUAUAAGAAACAUUUGUGUCAAGUAUCUCUUUAAACCAUCUAAGUUAUGUUUUCAUCGGUUGAUAUGGUUUUCUCCAAUUUCUCAAGUUUAAUUUCCUUUAAUAUUUCAAUAAUUUCCCUUAAUGGAUGAAUGAAUGAAUGAAUUGAAUUAAAGAAUUCAAAAUUUUUAACUCAUAGUAACUUCCCUUAAAUUACAAUCAAUACAAUAAUUCAAAUCAAGUAUACAAAAACAUAAAUAAUAGAACAUUUAUGCAUUAGGUGGCGGUAGAGGGAUAGAGCUUGAAGCAUCGUGAGAAUGGGUACAAGAAAAGAUGUAGUUAAGUUAUCCCUAAAUCUCUCGGAGUUGGAGAUCCUAAGAGUCCAUCUUCUGAUGAAGUCGGGCCAUGGAAUUUAGAGCCUCAUGGGCGUUGGGUCUACAAAAGUAAAAGCCUUGUGUGUAGCUCGGGAAGAACUAACACAACCUCAACUUUAGAGUGAGUCCUCGGAGCAGACUCUAAAUAGUCUGCCUCUAGAAUUCCACCAUGCUCCAUAGCUCGAAGCUCAUCCUCCUAGACAACUACCUUUGCAUGCUGGCCUACAUCAUGUGGUUCAUAAGUUGGAAGAGCCAUCAAACUAUAUACAUGAAUGUAGUGCUUGGGCUAGGAACUCCCAUCUAAAAAGGCAUGGGUAGCCUAGACCCCUAGUGUAGGAUCAAUCUUAAAUCCCACAUCCUCGAGUAUCCGCGUCAUGAGGAGGGUAAAAGGGAAAGUGCCUCCUCUAAAGGAUAAACCACGAAGGGGAAUGAUUGUAUCCAGGAUGACUUAGCCAAUGUCAAAUUGUUGGCUUGAGAGAAUGACGUGAAUAAAGUGAGCAGAUGGUCAAUGGAUUUGGGUGCAGUGUGUAAAUGGGUAGAAGGAGUAAGUGAAGAAUGUGGCAAACAACCAUGUUAGCUUGAAGAAGCCAACAAUCAAGAUAUAAGAAGGAAAGGGGCAAAGACCCCCAUAAAGAGAAGUCAGAAUGGUGUCAAGUUUCUCUCGGGUGAGAGCCUGAACCUCUAGGGAAAAUGAAGAAAUGAGAGCCUCAAUUUGCGACAUGCUAAGGACACAUUGAAUGUAAUGGGAGAAAAUAAGGAAAAAUUGACCAUGCAUGGUCAAUUGAAAGGUGACUCCGACCACAAUAUAAUGCAUGUUCUCAUAGAACAUGUGAACAAGAUGGGGAUAGGAAGUCCCCUAGAGAGAAAACAAAGUCUCCUAACUUUACUCUUGAAUGAUGAUAGGGAAGACAGUGUCCUGAAAAGCUUAGAGGUUAAUGGCAUGCUCAGGCUCGACACAUUGAUAUGUGAAAGAAGCGUAAUAAUGGUCUCGUGCCACCUGGCAGUGAAAACGCUCAACCGAAAGUGCAUCUAGGUUAAAAAGACCCUGGAGUGGGAUGCCCUAGACGGUUUCAGUGACCUAGGAAAGGUCACCUCCCUCUGACAUCUAUGACUAGCCAUAUCUAAGGUAUAUAAUAUGAAAAAACAAAAGCUAAAGAAGAACUAAAGAAAAUCCAAAGAAAAGCUAAACCACUAAAAAUGUUAAACUCAAUGCGUCGAACAAUACUAUACAAAUGGAAAUGAAAAAUAUGAAGUGAACUGACCUCAGAAGACAAAAGGACAGUAACCUAGAGGGCUCGAAGAUGAAUAGGAAAGUUUGAAAUGAAUAUGGCGUGCUGGAUGACCUUUAUAUAGCCUAUAGGAGUGCUUGAUGCAGAUUAGCACUCGAGCGUCAUGACUAACUUAAAUCAAAGUAUUUAUUACUAUCAAAAUAUUUUAAAAGUUUCAAAGGAAGUAUUCAAUUUAGAACCUUUUUAGAAAUUUUUUUGAAAGAAACAAAAAUAAAACGUGAAAUAUUAUGUGUUAAAGGUGUUAGAAGACAAUAUUGUCUAAUCCAAAGCCUUACACAUUCCACAAAAAAAAAAAAGGAAAAAGAGAGAUAUUAUAUAAGAUUUUGAUCACAUCUAAUAGAAACUAAUAUUUAGCAACAUAUCACCAAGCACUAUCUUAUCAGAAAGCUCUAACAUGUUGGAAAUUUAUGUAAGGUUCCAUAACAACUAACAACUUUUUCUGACGACUUGGCAAUGGACCAUUUGCACUUUAACUACAUUAUUGAAUUUAAAUCAUAUUAGAAUAGUAAUUGACUUCUCUUUUGUGAGGCUACAUAUCUUGUAGGAUGGGAUAGGUGAUUCAUUUCAUAUAUGAAAUUUACUUAAUUUAGUAAUGCAUCCAAGUUCAUUAUGAAUAUAAUGGUACCACAACUUUUUGAAUAUUUGUAAUCUGUAAUCUUUGUUUCAACUUCUCAAGUCUAGUCAUUUUAUCGGCAUAACUAGUUUGCUUCAAUUAUCUCUCAACUUUAUUAUAAAACUAAGGGAAAUGAUUAUCACGCAUUUUAUAUUAACUUAACCAAACAUCUUUAUAUAUCUUACAUAUAUAUAUAUAUUGUAAAUUUAGGAAAAUUUCAUCCAUUAGCCAUAGUAAGUAAGAAUCAAAUAUGGGAUAUGUAAGCCAAUGGUGAUAUUGAUGGCGUCAAAUCAAUGACAUAGUAGAAACGUGGAUUGUCUAUUUUCAAACCUUUAUAUUUUCAUCCAAUAGUAAAAAGGUUUAGGCAUCACUUGAAAAGUAGUUUGUUUUUUACCUUGGACUAUGAUUUAUGAAUAAAGUUCUUCUGUUGUAUACCUUUUGUGAUGCCCCAAACCUAAUUUAGGGGUAAAAAUAAUAAUUUAGAAACAAAUAAAUAAAAAUUUAAAUAAAUUUAAUUAAGGUAAAAAUGUAUUUUCGUAUUUAAAAUUCCUAGGGAUCAAUUAUAUAUUUCUUGUCUUCUCUAUUCAAAAAACCCUAUUACACAAAAAUCAAAGAUCAGAGAACAUAGGACAACGUAGGGUUGAAGAUUUGGAGGUUUAGGGUUGAAGAUUAGUUUUCCAGGUAAGAUUCUAACCCUUAAAUUAGUAUUUUAGAUUCGUUAAUUAGUUUGAACACUUUAGAUAUUCUUUGAAAAAUCUGAAUCCACGUUAGGGUUUGUUAAUUUAAUUUUUAAAUAAAAAAGAUUGAAAAUUUAUGAACAUAAGUAGAGUUAUUAUUAAAGAUUGAAAAUUUUUGAAUAUUUGAAUUAAAAAUCUAGAAAAAAAAAAAGAAAAUAAAUUAUAGAUUUGGAUGUGGAAAAAAAUUAAUAUUAAUAAAUAAAUAAAACCUAUGAGUAUGGAGGUAGAAAAAUAUGAAAGUUGAAAGCAAAGAAAAAAAAAAGGAAUAAGGUUUUGUGGUUGUAUAUGCCUCCUUAGUGGAAAAAAAAUACAAGGUUGCUUGCAAUAGGAUAUGAUAAAGAGAGAGAGAUAAAUGCUUCGAUAUUGAUUUUUGUGGGGAAAAAAAGAUUGGGUAAUGCAGGAGAGAAAUAGGUAGCAUUUGUAGAGUUGGUGGAGUUGUUGUAAAAGCUCGUAGGGGUAAUUGUUAGGAAACAUUAGGACUUGAAAUAAUAAUAAUUGCUUCUAGUAAAAGUUUUAAUUUAGUUUAAGUAUAUAAAAGAAAUAGAUGAUUAGAAAAAGAUUUGGAAGGAAUAUGAAUUCAUAAAAUUUCGAAAUUUACUAAUUUAGAUUAUUAUUGUUUUGGAAGUUGAAUAUAAUAUAGGUGAUAAUAUUAUUAAUAUAGGAAAUGAUUAAGAUUCUCAAACCUACAAUUUUAGAUAAAUAGUUAAUAGUAAUAGAUGAUUUUUUAUUUUUUUUAUUUUUUAUUUUUUAUGUUAUGUUAAGUGAAUAAUGGAUUCUUUGAUUAAUUCUCUAAGGUUUCUAAGUGCUUCUUUAAGGUAAGGGAUAUUAAUACUGAUUUUGUAAAUGAAAAUAUUUCUUUUUAUAAGUUAUUUUAAAUUAUGAAAAAUUUUAUUAUUAUUUAUGCAUGGAUCAAAUAUAUAUUUUUUCAUGAGAAACAUGUUUAGGCAAUUUCUUUGUUUAUAAAUAAAUAAAUAAAAAAUGAGAACCUUGGAAAUAUAAUGUUUUGUUUUGUAAGUUUAAAAUAAUGAAAUAAAGUUUUUGACUCUGGUUUAUAUGACCUUAGUUAAUGGGUUAUAAUUGUUGACAUUUUUAGCUCCAAUCAACAAUUAUAAUUGUUGACAUUUUCAGCUCCAAUCAACGAUUAUAAUUGUUGAGAUUUUCAACCCUAGCCAAUGGGUUAUAAUAGUUGACCUUAUAGCCCUAGUCAACAGAUAUAAUUGUCAACCUUUGGUUUUGCCCAUCUUAAAAAGAACAAAUUUAAGGCUAGCCAUUUAUUUGUAAAGUCCCACCUAACUAAGUACCAUUUGUUAUUUAAUAACCAGAGUAAAGAUAUUUUGAAUGUAUUUGAUAUGAAAUUGUUUUGAUAUAAAUAUGAAAAUGUUUGGUUGAAAGUUCAAAUGUUUAAUGCAUGUUGAACUCAAAAGUUUUAUUAAAAUGAUUAUAUGUUAUAUAUCCUAUUUGUAAGCUUGAUCCAUGAAACUGUAUUAAUAUUCCUUAUUGGACUUUGAGCUCAUUCCCCUUUGUUGAGAAUUUUUUUGGUAUUCUCAGUUUGGGCAAGGAGUGAUGACUGGGUUGGGGAAUUUUCUUUGCUAUGAUUUUGGUUCAAUCUUUAUUUUGGACAUUGUUUAGAUGUUAAAAUUUAAUUCCCAUUUAAAUUAUUUGAGUUUGGAGUUAUUUGGACGAUAACACUUUGAUUGAUGUGUUAGUUUUAAAGUUGAGAAUUGAAAAUUAUAGAAUUUAUUUAUCUUACUACUUUGAACAGAAAUUUAGUAAUUGGAGAUCAUCCAGUUACAAGAUGAAUAUUUGUGUCAUUUCCACUUUGAGAGUUCAGACUUGGGGUGUGAAAUGACCGUUAUGCCCUUGGAGUGGGUAUAUUGUUUAUUUGAAUUUAAUGGUCCCCGAACUCCUUAAUUACUCAUAACUUUAUAUCACCUUCUCAAAGUUAAGUUGUUUUACAACUAUUAUCUAGCUACUUUUCUCUACUAUGACAACUUUAUUACAUAGUGAUUAAUUGAAAGAAUCUACAUGUUUUAUUUCAUAGGAUAGUUGAUUUUUUUACUCAAUGAAUCUUGCUUUUAUUAUUGAAAUUUCAAAUCAUUGUAGUCCAACAAUUUCCUAUCCAUUGGUAAUUUCAUAUUACAUUUCCAAAGUCUAAUCAUUUAAAAACACUUGUAGUUAAUAUAUUGGCAAUUGCAUUGUGGGAAGUUGUUCACUUGAUUUUAAUGUUGAAACUUUCAAAUUAUUGUAGUCCAACAAUUCCCUAUCCAUUGGUAAUUUCAUAUCACAUUUUCAAAUUAUAAUCAUUUACAAAUACUUGUAUAUAGUAUAUUUGGUGAUUGUAGAGUGGAAAGUUGAUCGUUUUCAUGAAGACCUCUAAAAUAUAAAUUUUUUUCAUUCCAUUUAAUAAAGAAUUUCAUUAAUUGAACAUAUAUGUUUUUUUUAGCUGGAAAGUAGAGGCCACAUUAUACGAGGCCUUAGGUGACAAUACUAGGUGAGGGUUUUUUUUUUAAUUUAUUUAUUAUGAAAUAUAAAUAAUAUUAUUUAUUGUAUAAUAAAGAUUAUUAUAAUAUAUUUUUUAUAGAUGAAAAAAAUAUUAAUUGAGUUUUAUUUAUUUUUUAAUAAUUGUUUUCAAUAAAUAACUUAUUUGUAAAAAGAAAACUAUAAAAUAUAUGCAUUUGAAAAAUAUUUAAUUUUUAUUUGAUUUAGUAUCAAUUAAUAUUUGUAAUAUUUUUUAAUAUUAUAGAAGUUAACAUACUCAAUCAAGAUAUUCAAGAUCAAGAGAACAUUUGAGAUUGAAUUAAUUUCUUUAUUGUUUAUGUUUUAGAAAAUUUUUAUAUCCAUUACAAAUUUUCUAUUGUUUAUUUUUCAUUCAAUUUUUGCAUUUUGUAAUAGAUAUUAAAACGAAUUUUUUUUCCUAUAUGUUAAAAAAAUAUUUCAAUGUCUUUAAAAAUAAAAUAUUGCAGUAAAAUCAAAAUUACAUUGUGAAACUUUAAGCGAAUGUUUUAUACUUAAGAAGUGCCAAUUAAAGUAAGCAUGCAUCUACAAUUGUAAUUUAGAUGUCAUACUGAAACAAUAGUUCUCUUCGACUAUAUCAUAAAAUUUGGUUCGAAUUACUUUAAGUCAUCUUGUAGAUUUUCAAGUUCUAAUGAUAUGCAUCAAGUAUGUGCAACAUACUUGAUAUAACUAAUAUUUUCUUAAGUAAUUGGACACUUUUUUUCUAUAAAUUUACUUGAUUAUCAAUGAAUACUUUUAUGUAGGGUAUUGAUAUAAUUCGAUAAAUAUUUUAAAAUAGUAUUAGAAUAGCUUUGCUCUUUCCCAAUUAACAAAUUUACCAAAUUAACUUAUAUAUAUUUGUUUAUUUGAAUUUACUGGUAUUUGACUCAAAUUGUUAUUAUUUUUAAAAUUAUAGGAAAACCAUUAUUUAUAGAGUUUAAUUAUAUUUUGGUAAAUUAUCUUUUUAAGUUUGACUAGGAUUAGGAAACUAUUAAUUUAAGAUUAAUCCAUAAGGCUCUAUAAAUUUGCAGUUUUAUAUAGGAUUUAAAAAAAGAAAGAAAAAGUAAGAAAAAGUGAAGAGAGAUAGGCAAAGAGUGCAUUGGGUUUUAGAUAGAGAAAGAUUGAGAGAGUUUUGAUUACUACUAAAAAAGAACAUAUUUUAGAUAGUAAUUCUCAUGAGUUUCGCAUCUUUUGAGCAUUAAUUAUGCCUAAAAAUGCUCAAUUAACAUGUUGUUGCCCUUGCAAAAGUUACUAACAAGUUUUAUAAAGUUUUGGAGUCAUUUCAAGUUAUGAUUUUAAUAAAUUGGUGACGAAAGAAAUGAAUUGAUUUGAAGAAGGCAAAUAAUAUUGAUGAUGAUCAAAUGCAUAAUGAAAUAAGAAAUAUAAUUAGUUUGAUCGGGAUUUGCUGCUAAUUUGGAGGUAGUUAAGGUGGAGUCAAAAGAAGAAAAUGGAAGAAAUGACAAAAAGGAGCUUAAAAACCAAAUGUUGCAGAUUUGUAUGAUCAUGCAAAAAUUUUACAUGACUAUGCGAAAUGGAUUAGAGAAGGAAAAUUGACUAUAGUAUAAGGAGGAUGCUUAAGUUGAUUUCGCAUGAACAUGAGAAAAUUUCGCAUGAACAUGCGAAAAUUUUGAACAAUCAUGCGAAAUGGUCCAGAAAGCUCUCUAAUGUUGUUGUUGCUCCACUAAUUUCGCACCACCAUGCGAAAUCGAUAUUUUCAUGCAAAAUGGCUGAAGCUCAUGUGAAAUCAUGAUUUUGAGGCUAAACUCCAGAUUUGUGAAUUUGGAAGGCUUUAUAAGACCAAUGAGAGGUUGCCAAGUGUUCACUUGACCUUGGCCUAUAAAUAGAAACUUGAAUUUCCCAUGUAAAGAGCUUUGUGAUACUUUUAAUUUUAGAUUUUUCUAGAAACUCUUUUUCUAAAUAGAAUUCUAUAUUUUCUUUAAUUUUCCCUCAUUUUCUCAUUAGCCAAACAUGCCUAGUGAGACCAAAUCUCCAAGUAUGAGUGGCUAAAUUUCGUUUUUCUCAAAGGAAGGAGGAUCUAGAGGCAAGAUCUAUGGUGAAUUAUAGAAAUGAGUUUUAAUUGCAAAUGUAAUUUGAUCCAAUUGAUUGAUUAAUUGAAAUUUGAGGAUUUCUCUCUUCAAAUUGUCUUGAAUGACUAUUACAUUGCAAACUAGGUAGAUUCAUUAAAUUCUUAAAGCUAGAUUUAAUGAGACUGAAUAGUUGCAUUGUAUGAAUCAUUGGAAGAUGAUUUAAGAUGAAUUGAAUAUAUAAUUUAAAUUGAUCUCUUGGAUUAAAUAACCUAAUUUGAAGAGAAAUUAGGUUUAGACUUAAAGGUAAAUCCAAAAUCGGUUUAGAUAAGAAUUUAGGUUUUCAAUAUAACUUGAUGAAAAAUAAAUCUCAACAUCUAUUCACUAUGGAAAUUGUUUUCUAAAAAAUAUUAACUCCGAGAAUUCCUUUUCCUUAUCAAUUUUCUUAUAUUCUACAUUAUAUUGUUCUUUUCAAUUAGAAAUCAUUGUUAUUUUGAUUUUUCAUGAAUUGUCAAAUCAAUUUCACUUGACCACAAUCAUUUCUUUUCCUUCCAUUUAAACCUUAAUUAUCGAGAAUAAUCCAUCCCAAUGGAAGACACCUAAGACCACUAUACUACCGUAGCUUUUGCUAAAAAACCUUUUUGAUCGGGCAAGAGUUACCUUAGCAUAGUUGAAUUAUGUUAUAAUUUUUUUUAUCCAAUAAACAACAAAAAAAUCAAUCGAUCAAGUUUGCAUUGUGUAUUCUUGAAUUUUAUUAAUAAAUUUAAUCCCCCUUUUUGAAGCGAUUACACCAAACCAAGUAAAUAUUUUAUAUACUUCAUUUGCUUUAUUUUUUCUAUUAAGUUUAGGUGUUGCAAUUUUCAAGAGUCAUGGUGAGAAGAUUGUGGGAAAAAUUAUUUUAAGGAUGGAGUCGAACAUAAAAUAUGAAAUUGAGUCCUUUGAUGGAAAUAAUAAUUUUAAUAUUUGAUAAAGUAUUAUUAAAGAUGUUUUGAUACAACAAAGACUUCUCAAAGCAUUACAAGGCAAAAAAACUAGAGAGCAUGACAAAUAAAGAAAUGAAAGAAUUAGAAGCAAGAGUUGUAAGUACUAUUUGUUUAAGUCUUAAAAAUGAAAUACAUUGUUUUGAAUGAAAAAUAUUCUUUCAGGGGUGUCAAUUGCUCUUUUAGAGACCAAAAAUAUUAAGCAAUCAAGUAGUUCAUCUCAUAUUGGACAAACUGUUAUGAUGAAUUCUAAACCACAUCAUCAUAGGAGUAAAUCGAAAGAAAAGUAUCUGAUAGGAGGAUGAUCAUUCCAUUCACAUUUAUGGAGGAAUAUGAAGUAUUAUUACUAUGAAAAAAAAAACAUAUCAGGAGAUAUUGUAAAGAAUUGAUGAAGUACCUAGAAGAAAUGAAAAUUUUUAAAUCCCAAGAGACUUCAAAUUCUACUAAUAUUGUUGAUGAAAAUUUUGAAAUAUUGUAGUAAAUUAAAAGUUACAUUAUGGGACUUUUAGUGAGUGUUUUGUGUUGAAGAAAGGCUAAUUAAAGUAAACAUGCAUCUAAAAUUAUAAUUUAGAUGUUGUACUCAAAUAGUUGCUCUCCUCGAUUAUAUCAUAAAAUUUGGUUUGAAGUAGUCUAAGUCAUCUAAUAAUUUUCUAGUUCCAAUUACAUGCAUCAAACAUGUGUGUUAGGAAGUGUUGCAAAUUACUAAUUAGUAUAGAUCCCUUUUUUUUUUUAAAGAAUAUUGUAUUGAAUAUUUCUAGGUUGAUAUAUUAUUGUAAUAUUAGACUUCCUUAUAGAAUAAGGAAUGUUGUUGAAAAUAUCCCUAUAAAUAUUCUAGUUCAUAAGGGGAAAAAGUUAUGAGAUGAAGAUGGACCCAUAAAGACUAUACAAGGUGGAUAGAGAUGUGAGGAAGAACAGGAGGUACCCGGUGGAGCGAGAGGGCUCGUGGUAAGGUAUAGGUACGAAGAGUGAGGAAACAUGGGAUGUUUUGGGAACCCAAUAGUUAUAUCUAGUUAUAUCAUCUAUAAGUUCUAGUUCUGUCCUUUGCAUUGUUCUCUAUUUUAUAGUGGAAUGAUUCUCUCUUAUCUGUGGAUGUAGGCAUGGUUUUCGAACCACGUUAAAACCUUAUGUACCGUUUGUGUCGAAUUUUUUUAUCUUUAUUUUCUUGAUUAAUGAAGUUUGCAUCAAAGCUUCCGUCAACGGAACAAACUUGUAUCAAAGCUUGGGUUAAAGAUUUCUGGAAGAGUAAAAGAUCACAAAGCACACAAGAUGAAACCAAAAGGAUUUUUUAGUGAAAAUGGAGUCGAUUGCUCUCUUGUGGUGAUAUGAUAUAAAAAGUUUGUCUCAUGGAAAGUUUGAAGAUUGACUUCAUGGAAUUUGGUCCAAAAUGGAGAUUGUUAAUAAGUGUCCCAAAUUCCUAAUUAGUAUAGAUUUUUUUUUUUUUUGUAAAGAAUAUUGUAUAGAAUAUUUCUAGGUUGAUAUAUUAUUGUAAUAUUAGACUUUCUUAUAGAAUAAGGAAGGUUGUUGAAAAUAUCUUUAUAAAUAUUCUAGGUCAUGAGGAAAAAAAGUUAUGAGAUGAAGAUGGGCCUGUAAAAACUAUAUGAGGUGGAUAGAGAUGUGAGGAAGAACGGGAGGUACUCAAUGGAAUGAGAGGGCUCGUGGUAGGGUAUGGAUACAAAGAGUGGGGAAAUAUGGGAUGUUUUGGGAACCUAAUAGUUGUAUCUGGUUCUGUCAUCUAUAAUGUUCUAGUUACGUCCUCUAUAAUGCUCUCUAUUGUAUAGUGGAAUGAUUCUCUUUCAUCCAUGGACGUAAGCAUGGUUGUCGAACCACGUUAAAACCUCAUGUACUGUUUGUGUUAUUAUUCUUUAAAUUUUUUAAUAUUUGUUUCUUGAUUAAUGAUGUGUGCAUCAAAGCUUCCACCUACAUAACAAACUGGUAUCAGAGCUUGGGUUGAAGAUUUUUGGAAUAGUAAAAGAUCACAAAGCACACAAGAUGAAAACAAAAGGAAUUUUUAGUGAAUGUGGAGUCAAUUGUUUUCUCGUGGUGAUAUGAUACAAAAAGUUUGUGUCAUGGAGGGUUUAAUGAUUGACUCCGUGAAAUUUGGUCCAAGGUAGAGAUUGUUAGGAAGUGUCCCAAAUUCCUAAUUAAUAUAAAUUCCUCUUUGUAAAGAAUAUUGUAUAGAAUAUUUCUAGGUUGAUAUAUUAUUGUAAUAUUAGACUUCCUUAUAGAAUAAAGAAGGUUGUUGGAAAUAUUUUCAUAAAUAUUUUAAGUCAUGAGGGAAAAAAGUUAUGAGAUGAAGAUGGGCCUAUAAAGACCAUACGAGAUGGAUAGAGAUGUGAGGAAGAAUCGAAGGUACCCAGUGGAGCGAGAGGGCUCAUGGUAGGACAUGAAUAUGAAGAGUGGGGAAACAUGGGAUGUUUUGGGAACCCAAUAGUUGUAUCUAGUUCUGUCAUCUAUAAUGUUCUAAUUCUGUCAUCUAUAAUGUUCUGGUUUUGUCCUCUGUAAUGUUCUUUAUUGUAUAGUGGAAUUAUUCUCCCUCAUCUGUGUAGGCAAGUUGUUAAACCACGUUAAAACCUCGAAUACCAUUUGUGUUGAUUUUUUUUUAGUUUUGUGUUCUUGAUUAACAAUGCUUGCAUCAAAGCUUCUACCAACGUAACAAUGUGCAACAUAUUUGAUAUAACUUAUAUUUUCUUAAGUAAUUGAACACUUUUUUUCUAUAAAUUUACUUGAUUAUCAAUGAAUACCUACAUAUGCGGUAUUGACAUAGUUUGAUAAAUAUUUUAAAAUAGUAUUAGAAUGGCUUUUCUUUUUCCCAAUUAAAAAAUUUAUCAAAUAUAUACAUACACACACACACACACAAUACUCAUUAGUAUGUCUUUUAUGAAAAAACUAUAUUUGUUUAUUUGAAUUUAGUAGCCAUUUAACUCCUUAGUUACUCAUAAACUUUAUAUCACCUUCUUAAAGUCAAGUCAUUUACAAUUAUUUCUAUCUAGCCUUCUCCAUUAUGACAACUUUAUAAGAUAGUGAUUGACUGGAAAAAUCUACAUGCCUUUGUUGAUAGGAUAAUUGUUUUUCUUUUUUUCGUAUUCAAAGAAUCUUGCUUUUGUUAUUGAGACUUUCAAAUCCUUUAUGUCUAGUGGUCUUAUAAUUCCCUAUUCAUUGGUCUUUCAUAUUACCAAUCAUUUUGCAAAUGAGUUAAUUUCAUUCACAUCCUCUGAGAUUUGAUGUAAAUUCGCUUAGUUACCAAUGAUUUCAAAUUUCAUUAAUUAGUACCCCUAUAGAUGUAAUUUGUGUACAAAAUUUAUUUUUUAAAAGAAUUUAGGUAAAAAUAUUUUAGGUUUAUGUCUUUAACAAUUCUCUAAAAUAAAUUUUACUUGCUAAAAAAUAACUUAUAUAGAUAGAAUACAUCUACAGGAGUUCUAACUGACGAAAUUUAAAACUAAUGGUGGUUUAGUGUAUUUAAACUAAACAUUAAGAAGGGUGACUGAAAUUAACCCUCUAGGUAUAUAUGUUUAACAAAAUUUUUAUUGUUUAUUUUUCAUUUAAUGUUUGCAUUUUUCAAUAAACAUUGAAAAGGAAUUGUUUUUCCAUAUGUUAACAAAAAGAAAUUUGAGCACCUAUAAAAAUGAAAUCUUGUAGUAAAAUUGAAGUUACAUUAUCAAACUUUUAACGAGUGUUUAUGUUUAGAAAGGCCAAUUAAAGCAAGCAUGCAUCUAGAAAUUAUAACUUAGAUGCAUCAAACAUGAGCAACAUAUUUGAUAUAACUAAUAGUUUCUUAAGUAACUAAACACUUCUUUUUCUAUAAAUUUACUUGAUUAUCGAUGAAUACUUACAUAUAUUUACAUAGUUUGAUAAAUAUUUUAAAAUAAUAUUAGAAUAACUUUUUUUUUCUCAAUUAUAUUAGAAAAUAAUAUAAAGUUACUUAUAAACUUUAUAUCAUUUUCUCAAAGUCAAGUCAUUUACAAUUAUUUCUAUUUAGCCUUCUCCAUUAGGACAACUUUUAUAUGAUAGUCGUUGAUUGGAAGAAUCUACAUGUCUUUUUUGAUAGGAUAGUUGUUUUUAUUUUUUUUAUUUUUUUUAUUCCAAAAAUUUGCUUCUAUCAUUGAAACUUUCAAAUCUUUUAUGUAUAUUACCAAUCAUUUUACAAGUGAGUUAAUUUCACUUAGGGUAGAUAUACUUAGCCACACCCCUAUAGAUGUAAUUUGUGUUUAAAUUUUAUUUUUUAUUCAGGUAAAAAUAUCUUAGGUAUAUGUGUUCAACAAUUCUCUAAAAAAUAAAUUUUCUUAUCUAAAAGUUUAUAUAGACAAAAUACAUCUGUAGAAGUCCUAACUAAUGAAAUUUAAAAUCAAUGGUUGUUUAGUGUAUUUACAUUAAACCUUAUGGGGUAUGAUUGAAAUUAACUCUCUUACAAGCACUUGUAGCUAAUAUGUUUGUAGUUGUAGUGUUGGAAAUUGAUCAUUUUCUUGAAGGCCUCUAAGAUAUUGGAAAUAUUGCCAUAGUUUUAGACUUUUUUUUAUUACACCUAAUAAAAAAUAUUAUUAAUUUAACAUAUAUAUUCUUGACUUAAAAGUAAAGUCUCUCCAUAUUGUAUAAGCCCUUAGGUGACAAUAUUAGGUGAAGUUUUUCUUUCGUUUAUUAAAAAAUAUAAAUAAUUUAUUAUUGUAUGAUAAAAUUUUAUGUAAUAUAUUUUUAUAGAUGUAAAAUUAUUAAUUGGGUUUUAUUUUAUUUUUUUACUAAAUUGUCAUUUCAAUAUAUAAAACUUAUUUGUAAAAAGACAAUUAUAAACUAUAUGAAAUUGAAAAACAUUUAGUUUUUUUAUUUAAUUUAUAAUUUUGUUUGGAUUAAUAAUUGAUAUUUGUAAGAUUUUUUAAUAUUAAAAAAAGUUAGCAUACUUAAGAAAGAUAUUCAAGAUCGGGAGUGUUUGAUAUUGGAUUAAUUUCCUUAUUUUCUCUAUUUUAAUAAAUUUUCAUGUCCAUUACAAAAUUUUUGUUGUUUAUAUUUUACUUCAAUAUUUUUAUUUUGUAAUAGACAUUUGAAAAGAUUUUUUCCUACAUGUUAAAAAAAAAAAAUGAACACUCCUAAAAAAGAAAUAUUGCAAUAAAAUUAAAGUUUACACUGUAGGACUAUUAGCAAGUGCUAUAUACUUAAAAUAGACCAAUUAAAGUAGAAAUACUUCUAAAAUUUUAAUUUAGGUAACAAUAAUAUAAAAAGAUAAUAUUUUUGAAACAAUAGUUCUCUUGGAGUUUUGGGUACGAUGGACUAGACUUUAUGUAACAAUAGAUAUAUGAACUUUCCAUUAACAUCUUGAGAGACAUGAUGAGGAGCAAAGUCAUCCUAGAAGGUACCAUAGAGGUACCUUAGCUCCAUUCAUCUAGACUACAUAAUGUUUAAAGAUCAAAUUCAAUGACUAGAUUUCAAAAAUCAAUAUAAGCUUUCUCAUAUUCUACUCUAUAUAAGACAAUGGUAUGAUACAUCUCUUGUGUCGUAGAAUGCACCAUGAAAACCUUAUCAUUUUAACAUCAGUUUGAAACUUAAAAGUCACUUAGCACAUUCUAGUUAUUAAUGUAAGAACAUUAAAAGAAAAUAUAAAAAAAGUUACUUUAUUCUUGUGAUUUUGAUCUAGGACUUUUAAUGAUAUUAAAAAAAAAAAAAAAAAACAGAAAAAUAAAUGGAAAUAAAAUCAACAAAUUAAACAAUUGAAUUAAGUUAGUUUAAUUUUUGCAUCGUUAAAUGGGUAAAUAAAGACUCUUAGAUUUGAUAUUAAUAUGAACAUCAUGACUUUAGUGAAUCUUACAAGAAAAUUUUAGUUUGAAAGACUUCAUUCAUUAAACGUGUGGCACAUAUUAAAGUAAAACUAAGUCUUCUCUAUAAUUUGUACCUAUCAUAGUUUCUUUCCUCAUAAAUAGCCUUUUUUGAAUAUAAUAUAGACUUCAACAUGUAUGGUGGGGCCGAUCAAACUACUAGUCAAGACAACUCAUGGGCAACAACGAUGUACCAACUAUAUUAAAUACUCUUCAUCUAUUUGCAUAUCAAGAGUAAUUUAGUAGUGUCUUUCUUAUGUACCUCGUAUCUAGACUUUCAAUGGAGAGUUCUUCAUCUAAAAAUUUGACUUGGGUUUUCAUAUUAGUUUUGGUUUAGACAUAUGGAUGCAAAGGUUGCAUCAAAGAAGAGAAGUAGGCUAAAUCAUCUUACAAAUUUUCAAGUUCAAAUUAGAUGCACCAAACAUAUGCAAUAUAUUUGAUAUAACUAAUAUUUUCUUAAGUAAUUGAAUACAAUUUUUUUUAUUUUAUAAAUUUACUUGAUUAUUAAUGAAUAACUACUUGUAUGAUAUUGACACAACUUGAUAAAACUUUUAAAAUAAUAUUAGAAUAACUUUGCUAAAAAAAAGUAAAAAUAAAAAUAAAAAUAUGUCUAUAUAUAUAAAAUUAAAUAAAAUUAAAAAUUAAAAAAGAAUAUAUAUAUAUAUAUAUAUAUUGUGUGUGUGUGUGUGUGUGCAUGGUCCCACAACUCAUUAGCUACUCAUAAGCUUUAUAUCACUUUCUCAAAGUCAAGUCAUUUUGUAAUUAUUUCUAUCUAGCCUUCUCCAUUACGACAACUGUAUAAGAUAUUGAUGGGUUGGAAAAAUCUUCAUGUCUUUUUUAAUAAGAUAGUUUUAUUAUUAUUAUUAUUAUUAUUAUUAUUAUUAUUAUUCAAAGAAUUUGAUUUUAUUAUUGAAACUUUCAAAUCCUUUAUGCCUAGUGGUCCUACAAUUCCCUAUUCAUUGGUAUUUCAUAUUACCAAUCAUUUUACAAAUAAGUUUAUUUCACCCGGUAAAUAUACUUAACUACUAAUGGUUUCAAAUUUAAUUGAUUAACACACUUAUAGAUGUAAUUUGUUUUUAAAUUUUAUUUUUUUAGAAGAAUUGUAGGUAAAAAUAUUUUAGGAAUAUGCGUUCAAUAAUUCUCUAAAAACAAUUUAUAUAGAUGGAAUACAUUCAUGGAAGUUCCAACUAAUGAAAUUUAAAACCAACGACGAUUUAAUGUAUUCUCACUAAAUCUUAGGGGAGGUGUACUAAAACUAGCCUUUUUACAAAUAUUUGUAGCUAGUAUAUUUGUAGUUAUGGUGUUGGAAGUUGAUCAUUUUCUUAAAGGCCUCUAUGAUAUUGGAAAUAUCGCCAAAGUUUUGAACUUUUUGUUUCAUCUAAAAAAAAUAUCAUUAAUUUAAUAUAUAUACUCUUUGCUUGAAAGUAUAGUUUCUUCAUAUAGUAUGAAGUUGUAGCUAGGUGACAAUAUUAGGUGAAAUUUUUUUGGUUUACUACAAAAUAUAAAUAAUAUAUUUAUUAUAUGAUAAAAUUUUGUAAAAUAUAUUAUUAUAGAUGCAAAAUUAUUAAUGGAGUUUUAUUUUUUACUAAAUUAUCAUUUCAAUAAUAAGAACUUAUUUGUUAAAAGAAAAUUAUAAAAUAUAUGCAGUUGAAAAAAUUUUAAUUUUUUUAUUUAAUUUGGUAUUUUAUUUGAAUUAAUAAUUGAUAUUUGUAAGAUAUUUUAAUAUUAAAAGAAGUUAACAUACUUAAAAAAGACAUUCAAAAUCAAGAGAGUAUUUGAUAUGAAAUUAAUUUAUUUAUUUUUUCUAUUUAAAUAAAUUUUUACAUCCAUUAAAAAAAUUUUAUUGUUUAUUUUUCACUUCAAUAUUUUUAUUUUGUAAAAGAAAUAGAAAUAAAAUCAACAAAUUAAACAAUUGAAUUAAGUUAGUUUAAUUUUGCCACCGUUAAAUUGGUAAAUGAAGACUCUUAUAUUUGAUAUUAACAUGAACAUCAUGACUUCAUUGAAUCUCACAAGAAAAUUUUAGUUUGAAAGAUUUUAUUCUUUAAUCAUGUGGCACAUAUUAAAGUGAGACCAAGUCUUCCCUAUAAUUUGUAUCUAUCACAAUUUCUUUCCUAAUGAAUAGCCUUUUUGAAUAGAAAAUAGACUUUAGCAUGCAUGGUGGGGCCUAGCUAUCAAACUACUAGUCAAAGCAACUCAUGGGCAAGAAUGAUGUACCAACUAGAUUAAGUAUUCUCCAUCUAGUUGCAUAUCAAGAGUAAUUUAGUAGUAUCUUUCUUGUGUACCUCAUUUCUAGACUUUCAAUGGAGAGUUUUUUAUCUUAAAAUUUGAUGUGGGUUUUCAUACUAGUCUUGGUUCAGAUAUGUGAAUGCAAAGGUUGCAUCGAAGAAGAGAAGUAGGCUAAGUCAUCUUACAAAUUUUCAAGUUCAAAUUAGAUGCAUCAAACAUGUGCAACAUAUUUGAUAUAACUAAUAUUUUACCAAGCAACUAAAUACUUUAUAUAUAUAUAUAUAUAUAUAUAUAAAUUUAUUGAUGAUCAAUGAAUACACAUGUAUGGUAUUGACACGGUUUGAUAAAUCUUUUAAAAUAGUAUUAGAAUAACUUUGCUAAAAAAAGUAAAAAUAAAAAUAAAAAUACAUAUAUAUAUAUAUAUAUAAAAUAAAAAAUUUUAAAAGAAUAUAUAUAUAUUAGUGGUCCCACAACUCAUUAGCUACUCAUAAGCUUUAUAUCAUUUUCUUAAAGUCAAGUCAUUUACAAUUAUUUCUAUCUAGCCUUCUCCGUUGCGACAACUGUACAAGAUAUUAAUUGAUUGAAAAAAUCAUCAUGUCUUUUUUGAUAGGAUAGUUUUUUUUUUUAUUCAAAGAACUUUCAAAUCCUUUAUGUCUAGUGGUCCUACAAUUCCUUAUUCAUUGGUAUUUCAUAUUACCAAUCAUUUUACAAAUAAGUUAAUUUCACUCGGUAAAUAUACUUAACCACCAAUGGUUUCCAAUUUGUAACACUCUUAUAGAUGUAGUUUGUUUUUAAAUUUGAUUUUUUAGAAGAAUUGUAGGUAAAAAUAUUUUAGCUAUAUAUGUUCAACAAUUCUCUAAAAACAAUUUAUAUAGAUGGAAUACAUUCAUGGAAGUUCCAACUAAUGAAAUUUAAAACCAAUGAUGAUUUAAUGUAUUUGUACUAAAUCUUAGGGAGUGUGGACUAAAAUUAGCCCUUUUACAAAUAUUUAUAACUAGUAUAUUUGUAGUUGUGGUAUUGGAAGUUGAUCAUUUUCUUAAAAGGUUUACCAUUGAAGUUAGUUGAAUAUAAAGUUAGGUGAACUUUACCAUUGUUAAAUUGGUAAAUGAAGACUCUUAGAUUUGAUACUAACAUGUACAUCAUGACUUCAUGGAAUCUCUCACAAGGAAAUUUUAGUUUGAAAGACUUCAUCUUUUAAACAUGUGGCACAUAUUAAAGUGAGACCAAGUCUUCCCUAUAAUUUGUAUCUAUCACAAUUUCUUUCCUCAUAAAUAGCCUUUUUGAAUAGAAUUAAUAUAGACUUUAGCAUGCAUGAUGGGCCCCGUCAAACUAUUAGUCAAGAUAAUUUGUAGGUAAGAACGAUGGACCAACUAUAUUAAAUACUCUUCAUCUAUUUGCAUAUCAAGAGCAACUUAAUAUUGUCUUUCUUUUGUACUUCAUGUUUGAACUUUCAAUGGAGAGUUUGUCAUCUAAAUAUUUGAUGUGGGUUUUUAUACUACUCUUGGUUCAAAUAUGUGGAUGCAAAGGUUGCAUCAAAGAAGAGAAGAUGGGUUUGCUUGAAUUCAAGGCUUUUCUUAAAUUGAAUAAUGAGCAUGCAGAUUUUCUUCUCCCUUCAUGGAUAGAUAACAACACUAGUGAAUGUUGUAAUUGGGAGCGGGUUAUUUGCAAUCCCACCACAGGUCGAGUUAAGAAGCUUUUCCUCAACGAUAUAACGCGACAACAAAAUUUCUUGGAAGACGAUUGGUACCAUUAUGAAAAUGUCAAAUUCUGGUUACUAAAUGUCUCCCUAUUCCUUCCUUUUGAAGAACUUCACCAUCUAAACUUGUCUGCAAACUCAUUUGAUGGGUUUAUUGAGAAUGAAGGUAUGUUACCUCUCACCUUUAAAAUUUCUUUUCACUUAUACUCCAAACAUUCUAAAGGAACUACUAGCAUAUGUUCUUAAAAGUGUUCAGGUGGAGACCAAAUGGUCACUAGUAACUAUUGAAUUUAAUAUAAGAACAAUUACUAAUUAUUAAAAUUUAUAAUGUAAAUUAACAUUUAAACAAAACAAUAAAAAAAUUAUUAUUUUAGAAAACUAUAGAUUACAUUAGCCUUAUAUAUAUAAGCAUACUUGUAAUUUAUGCCAUCAUUUCACACUCAACCCAAUUAGUGGGAUUCAACUAAGAGUGAGCAAUUUCACAAUUAUUAAUUAACAAAAACACUUAGGCUCCCAUAUCCUUAUCCUUUUUGCUGAAUUGUCUUUCCUUAUCUUCCAUUCCUAAAAAGCUUGAUUUCUAUAUUCCAAAUUGAUAGAGAUUGGUUAAAGAAAGGUGAUCACAAAAUUUGACUAUUGCUUUCAAAUGAGGAAUCACCAUCUUCAAAAUUUCACAUUUAAAAAAAAAAAAAAAAAAAAAACUAGCCUCGGGUAAGGUCCAAGCCUUAUUGUUUUAAGCUGAUGUCGGGUUGGUUUAAUAAUGAACAGAGUAAAUCCCAACCCAUGACCAUCUACGCAUUUCCAAAUUCCACCCAUCCACAACCCAUUAAUAUGACAUUUUCAGGGACAAAAUUUAAUCAAUUAAACCUAUUAGAUGGAUUCUCCAUACAAUGUUAAAAUGAAUAUAAAAACUUUAAUUCAAAAAAUAAUUUCCUUUAUUUAGUUAGGAUUCAAAUUAUAGGGGCACAAAACAUGAAAAUUUUCAUGUUUAAAAUUCACAAAGAUCACAAAAGCUCUUUGAAGCUCUAUGGACUUUUUUAUUUCUAACAUUUAAACACAAAAAUCACCAAAUUGAAUUAGAAACUUGGAUGCAUAUUCUUAUAUUAAAGACAUGUAAGCUUACAUAUUUAAAUAUGAAGAUCUCAACUUGUAAUUACAUGCUUCUAAUUAAAGUUAUAUUACUCUAUUUUACAGGAUUUAAAGGGUUAUCAAGUUUAAAGAAAUUGGAGAUCUUGGACAUAAGUGGUAAUGAGUUUGACAAAAGUGCCUUAAAAUCUUUGGGCACAAUAACAUCACUCAAGACAUUGGCUAUUUGCAGCAUGGGACUGAAUGGAUCUUUUUCCAUUCGAGGCAUGUUAUAUGUCCACAUUGUUUCUUUGAAAUUAAGUAAAAUGUAUUUCUAACUUUUAAUGUUCCUUAGUUAAUCUCUCUUUUGAUUCAUGUUUGUUGCAGAAUUAGCUAGUUUGAGAAAUUUGGAAGUGUUGGAUCUAAGCUAUAAUGAUUUGGAAAGCUUUCAACUAUUGCAAGGUACUUCAUUAACUUGCUAAAAAAACUUAUGAUAUUUUGUUAUUAAAUUAAAGGUAAGAUUAACAAACAAUUUCUUCCCAUUAGUUACUUUUCUUUGUAAUAUCAUUAAAUUUGAUAUAAAAUAGUCUAAAUCAUCCUUUCAAUUUAUAAGUUUUAAUUAAAACGCAUCAAGCAUGCACAAGGUGUUUAAUAUAACUAAUAUUUUCAUAAGUAAUUGAAUUUUUUUUAUGAAUUAAUUAACUUGAUUAUCAAUAAAUACUUACAUGUAUAAGAUUAAUAUAGUUUCAUAAGUAUUUUAAAAUUGUCUUACAACACACACACACACACACAGAGGGAAAAUGAAAGGUAUGUGAUACAUUUAUGCUAUGUUUGGUUCCCAAAAAAAUUGAGGGAAAAUGAAAGGAGAAAAAAGUGGAGAGGAAAAGUAAAAGAAAAGAAAAAAAGUGAAGAAAAAUAUAAAAUUGAUUAAAGUAAAUACAUGUUACUUUAAACUUUUUUACUUAUUUUAAUUCUUCAAUGUAAGGAUGAAAGAUUUGAAAAUGCAUAAGUUUCUAAUUUUUUUAUUUUAUUUUAUAGUUUUUACAAUACAACCAAACAUACUAAAAUCAUUUUCUUUAAUUUUUUUUUCUUUUCUUAAUACUUUUCACGAACCCUUAAGUUAUGUUUGGUUUGCAGAAAAUAUGAGGAAUAGCAAAUAGAAAAGAAAAUUAGAAGGAAAGAAAAAAUGAAGUAAAAUAAAAAUAAAUUUAAAUUUAAUAAAUUAUUUUUAUAUGCUACUUUAAGCUUAUUUCACUUAUUUUAAAUUAUUUAAACUCAUUUCUAAUAAAUAAUAAUGGAAAUUGUAGAGAAGUUUGUGUUAUUCAAGCUUUGCAAUGACUUUUCAAGGUGAAGGAAAAUAUUCUUGCUGAAAUUGAAAAAGGAAAUACCUUCUUAAAUAGCCUAUUGACCGAAAACACAUUACCCUAACAUAUACACACACCUUUAUUAUUUAUACAAUCAUGUAAUACUUAAUCCAGUUAGUGGGAUUCUAGUGGUUGUUUCUAUCUUGGUUUCCAAUAUUUCUGAUUGAUAGUGUUCGAUUAAUGAAAUAUCAUAAAUUUUGACCCCAAUAAGGACCAAUCCCUAUUAAAUGUAAUUGGGUUAACCUAAGACUAAAUGCUAGACCCAACUAAUAAAAACCCAUCUGUUUGUUGGAGUCUAAAUAACCUGGCCUUAGGUAGAGCCCAUGCCUUAUUAUUUUAAGAUGUAGUCCAACUGGUUUAACACUAGAUUGAGUAAAGCCCAACUUAUGAGCAUCUGUGCAUUUCCAUCCAUCCACAACCUACUGGCAUGGAUAAACUUUGGUCAAUUAAACCUAUUAUAACUGUAUACAAAAUUUUAAGUUCAAAAGAUAAUUUUCCUUAUUUAGUUAGGAUUCAUAUUAAAAAGGCACAAAACAUGAAUUUUCAUGUUUAAAUUCACAAAUACCACGAAAGCUCCUUCAAGCUCUAUGGACCAUUUUAUUUGUAACAUUAUAUUACUCUUAAUUAUCAAAUUAACCAACAAAUUCUUCUCAUUACUUAUCUUUCUUUUGUAAUGUCAUAAAAUUUGAUGUAAAGUAGUAUUGGUCAUCAUUUCAACUUUCAGGUUCCAAUUAGAUGCAUCAAGCAUGUGCAACAUAUUUGAUAUAACUAAUAUUUUUAUAAGUAAUUGAAUUUUUUUUUUCUAUAAAUCAAUUAACUUGAUUAUCAAUGAAUACUUUCAUACAUGAUAUUGAUGUAGUUUCAUAAAUAUUUUAAAAUAGUCAUAGAAGUCUUUUAUCUGAUUCACUAGAAAGAAAAAUAAACUAUUCUAAUGAAAAUACUUGAUGAUUUGAAGUGAUUGCUUUUGAUUUUAUUUGAUUGCUACCAUUAUUAAUUGUUAGAAAUUGGCAACAAAUACCCAUUUUGCAUCACUUCUAUAUGCAUCGGGGGAAUGAAUUAUAUUUCAUAGAGCUAACAGGGCAAAACUCAAACUUUUGGAAUUAUGGAAAAUGUUGCUAGAAAGCUAAUUAACCAUUUAUAUUAUGAUUAAGACUAGUUGGGUUAGAAAUAAUUCAUAUGGAGAUUAAAAAAAACUAUGUAAUUUAGUUUAGUAGCUUGGGUGCUAUUGUAAUGAUUAAUGAUCUGCAACUUGAACACAUCUACUAGUGCUUUCUACUUGUAUAGCUAAAUUUAUGUUACCACUUUGAACUAGAGUACUUACAUGAGAAGAAAGCUUUUCCCUAGUGAUAAUGCAAAAGAAAUUAAGUAUCAAUUUUUGUUAAAAAUAACAAGUGAUAGUUUAGAUAUGGUUUGAAUACACUUUCUUUCUUCUAUUUUUUUAUUUUGAAAAAAAAAACUCUUUAAUGAAAUAUAAGAAAUCUUAUAUGUAUAAAAAUUAAAGACUUAAACAAAAAAAUUUGAAAUUUUGAAAAUUUUCGAGAAGUAUUUUUAAGAAUUUGUAUUUUUAGUAUAAUAAUUCCUAUAUUUUGUAUAAAAGUUUUUGUUUAAAAAAAUAGAAGUGUAUCCAAAUUACAAAUUAAUUGUUAAAUUAAGAAUGUUUCUCAGAUCAAGAGAUAAUGAAAGUUGUAGAGAGUUUGCAUUACUCAACCUUUGCAAUUACUUUUUGAAGGUAAAAAAAAAAUACCUUCCUACAUAACAUACAAUGGUAGGUUCUGGUUUGUAAGAAACUAAUAAAUGAUUAAGAAUAUGAAUAAGACUUCCUUUAUAAUAGAUAUGUAGAGAAGAAUAGUGGAUGAUAGGUGGUGAAAAUCUUGUAAUAAAAUAUCAAUAUCGGUUAUAAGAUAAUCAACAUUUUCUCUAUUUCUUGUACCUAUGUGAUUAAGAAUCUUGUAGCUCCCUUAUUGAAAUAUAAUAUAAAAAUAUAAAUAAACUAUUUAGAAGUGCAUGUAGUUUUCAACAUGAGGAAGUUCAAAAGCAAGUUAAUUAUGAUAAUUUUCCAUAGUCUAUAUUGAACACAAAUUAUUUUUACUAAAGGUUCAAUCGUUCUAUGAAGGUUAAAAGUUUGAAUUGUUUACAUAUGCAAAUGUGAAAUUUGAAAGUUUAUAAUUUUUUAUAAUUUUCUUGUAGAUUCAAAAAGCUUGUCCAUAUUCAAAAAGCUCGAGACCUUGAACCUCAAUUACAACAAGUUCAAAAACACUAGCCUACAACAAUUGGAUAUAUUUACAUCCCUUAAAAAUCUUUCUCUAAGAUGGAACAAUGUUGGAGGAUUUUUUCCUAUCCAAGGUAUGUGUAAUUAUUAUUAUUAUUAUUUUUAAUGAUGAAAUAUUAGAAUUGUCAACAUCUUUUAUCUUUUUUUCCCCUCAAUGGUGUUGCAGAAUUAUGCACUCUGGAAAACUUGGUGAUGUUAGACCUAAGUGGGAAUUUCUUUUUUGGCAUGCAAGGUAAAUACAAAGUGAAGUUUUGGUUAUAUAUAUAUAUAUAUAUAUAUAUAUAUAUAUCAUGUAAGAACAUAACUAAAAUCAACAUUAUUUGCCUAUCAAUUUGUGCAUGACUAUUAUUUAGUUAUUCUUCGUAACAUAAUUGAAAGAAUGUCUAGGUGUACAACAUUUAAGAAUUUUACAUGGCACAAUGAAAAACAUGGUAAUCAAUGUGUGCAAUAAAAUUCUAAUAGUUGAAAAAGAAUUUUCUUGUAAUUUUAUGUUCAUGUAUAGUAAUCAAAGAGAAAAUCAUGAAAAUGUAUAUUAGUUAGACUUUAUAUAUCAAUAGACAAAAAAGAAAGAAAAAAAAAGAUUAGUUCCUUAACUUAUCCUAAAAUUUUCUAGAUAACAAGGAGUUUUUUUAUUUUGGGCUAUAAGGUUUACAACCUGAAAAGUGAAGAUGAUUAAUAUUAGUAAUAAAAUUUUAAAAUAUAAAAAUUAGUGAAAUAAUGUUCUCUAUAACUAUAACUCCAACUGCAACUAUUAAUAAAAGAUAAUAAAGGUACUUUAGACUUUGAAUCCAUGGUUAGGUUUGCAAUUUUUUGAUGAUCAAUAAAGCUACAACUUAUGCUGCAAAAGGCUAUACAAAAUGUAUUAGGAGCAUUGCUAAGCUCAUUUAUCAAUAAAGGAAAUCCAGUAAUACUUUGAUUGGAAAAAACCUAGAAUCAUGUUUGAUAUAUAAUAGGUGAAGAAACAAAAUAACAAUUCCAUGGUAUUAGUUAGUUUGAUAUCUCUUUUGUUAUAUGGAAUAACUAUUCCAUUUUAAAAUAAUUAUUUCAUCUUAUCGCUAGAACAAAAAAUUUCAGGCGAUUAUAUGGGCUUUUGGGUUUCUUAAGAAUUUAAGCAUUUAUGGGUCACCCAUAUAUAUAUAGGAAGAAUAAAAAAAAAAAUAUUCUAUGGAGACAAGGGUAGACACCCAUAAAUGUACAUAUAAUUAUUUAAAUAAAAAUAUCAAUAAGAAACAAUAUACAACAAAAUAGAAAAUUUUAAUCUUCCUAAAUUUUAAAAAUAGAAAAUAAAUGAAAAAAAAUUAAAAAGUAAAAAAAAAAAAAAAAAAAGGUCAAGAAUACAAAUAGAUAAGUAAACAAAAUAUAAAAAAAAUACAUAAAUUAAAAUUAAAAUUUUUUUAAAAAAAAUACAUAGAUUAAUAUGAACACUAAAUGAGGUUUUUUGAGAUAGACUUAGUUAGACUUGAACUAGAUGGAUAUUAAAAAAAAUAAAAAUAAAAAUUCAAAGAAAUAAAAACUAAUUAGAUGCUAAAUAUUGGAUUAAAAUAACCAAAUGAAUAAAGAGUAAUUAUUAAUUUUUAACAUUUUUUAUUCCUUAGAAUUAUUAUUUUGUGUAUUAAAUGUAUUAUGAGUGUAGUGGUAUAAAAAAUGUAGUUAAGAAUACUAUGAAGAAUAAUAAUGGUGAUGAUAAUGGUGACGACACUUAAUACCUUUUAUUGUACAUUUAGAAAAAAUGAGGUUCUUGAUCUUUAUGAAGAUUAUCAUUACUCAUCCGCAAGCAUGUUGAUAGUUGAAACUACUCAAUUAUCAAAAAUUGAAUUUCUAACCUUCAAUUUUUCUCUCUCAAAUGUAUAUGUGGGUGAGAAAGCACUAGGUAGGUUAUAAGGUCUCACAUGUAUAUGAGUCAUAGGAUAAAAAAUAUAGAGACAAUACUAGCAUUUAUUUGAUCCAGUGGCAAAUAGAGAAAUAUAACAUAACCAUAACCAUAAUGUUCUAACCUUAUAUAUACCAGAACCAUGUUUCCUUCAUUCAAUUUUGCAACUUUUUCUUUUCAAAUUAGAAUGUAACUCGUAGGAUCCAUUGUCCAUCAAAAUUUUGAAUCGAAUAUUAUAAGAUAUUUCACAUUUCUACCUACUAAAGCAUGAGCUUCAAUGUUCUCAUGCACUUUUGGCUACUAAGUUAAAGAACUCUUUGAGGGUUAAUGGAGUUUCUAUGAGUAGCAAAGCAUUAUAAUCACAAAGUCUUAUCAGUGAUAUGCAAUUUAACCAAGAACUUAUUCCCAACUAUUUUAUGACUUUUCUUGGCUACUUGUAGGCAAGCUAAAGAAAUUUUCUGGUUUGUUCAAGUCUAAAAAGUGGUUUCAAGUUUAGGGCCAAGCUUGGGCUGCACCUAGGUCCUUGGGCCUUAUUCAGCUCCACGUUUAAACCAACCUUGAGUCCAUCUUUGUAAUUUUUCUCCCAAUUCAUUGAUUUAUAUUAGGAUUUUAUAAAGCCUAUAAAUUGACCAACUAAAUAAAGUAGGUUCAUAAACUUUUAGGUGAAAAUUUUCUCUCUAAUAAAUGUUAAUUCAAGAGUCUCCGUAAUCUUUUUAUAUUCAUAUUAAUUGGUAUUUAAACUGACCUUACUAUAUUAAAGUCAAAUACCAAAUAGUGAACACUAUAUCUGCUACUACCACUAUGAUGGUCACAAACAUAGAAUGCUCCUUUUUUUAGAGUCAAUUGAUGCUUAUAAACAACAACUUUGUUUGAAAAUAAAAUACAUCGAGUGAUUGCAUCAAGAGAUUGAUGUAAUAAUUGCAUACUUGAUCUUGAUAAUGCUGAGUUGACUAAAUAAAUGAGUAUUUACUUAUAAGGUAGCCCAUAGAACAUUAUUUGUGGAAAUAUUCAUGCACCUCUACAUAUGUUCAUGAUAACUUAGGUUGAUAAAUUUAAGAAGAACAAAUUCAUAACCUUGGGCAUAGUUAGUAAGAAAUUUCACCAAUAGAGUUUGGUAUCAUGAUUCUAAUUGUUCAAAUUGUUUUAAAGGAGUAUUUUAAAUUGCAUGUUAAUUUGCUUCUAAUAAAUGGAGAGAAACCAAUUCAAGAAGAGAAUUGUACUCAAGCUAUGUAUAACAUUCAUGAAGAUGUAGAAAAUAUUGAUGAACUUACUUUUGAGCAAGUUGAAAUCAUAAUUAAAUAAAAGAACAAACCCAAGGGUUAAGAUUGUCAAGUAAAACUUUAACUAAAAUUUAUUGAUUUUUUAAAUGCCUAUUAGAGGGACAAUAGAAGUUCUAGAUAAAAAGUAAGAACUUUUCUAAGGAAUCACUUGUUAGAUUUUAAGUGAUCAAUAAAUAUAAUGUCCAAUUUAAAACUUUUAUAAAAGCAAUGCUUCUAAAGAAUAACUUGAUUUGAAUUUAAAGUUAUUAUUGAUAUUUGUUUAUAAUGGAUGUAGUUAAUCAACUGAACAUAGUAAAAAACACAUAAAUUUUUCAAAAUACCUUCUAGUUGUUGGGUAUAUUUAAAUAGUCAUCCAUAUCUCAUUAUCUUUUCACUCACAUACUAAUCUCCUUAUUGAGUAUUUACCAAUUACAAGUAGGUUGAAAGUUACUUGAAUUUAAGUCACUAAUCAAUGUUAACUUGAUAACAAAUAAGUCUCUCUUUGAAACUUGUUUUACAAGAUAGCGAAAUGUAGUCGAUCAAUCAUCAAAACAAUGUUCAAGCAUUAGGAUUUAGUUGUUAAUUUUUAUUUUUAUUUUUUGUGCUUAAACAAAGACAAAAAUGAUAAAAACUCCUUAAAAGUACAUAGUAAUUGAAUUUAAUUUAUACAUCAAACAAGAACAAACUAGUCUUGGAUUUAAAAUUCAUCAGGUUUUGUAAUUAUAAUUCCUAAAAAUUUGUAAGACAACAAAAUUAUUGGGCACUAGGUUAUUGGGUGUGUAUGACUAAGAGGUGAAGGAGGGUUCAUCUUAUACAAAGGAUGAUUUGAUUAAUUUUAAAGAUUGGAUAAACAAUAAUUGCAUAUUCAAGUAAAAAUAACAUUGCUAAAAAGGAAAAUAAGUAUUUUAGUCCUCAAACCUAAAAUGGCUAAAAAUUUUAAUUAAUACAAUACAACUUCACCUACAAAAGAAAAAAAAAACCCAAAACUUUUCAAUAGCACAACUAAGUCCAUUUAUCAAAAAAAAGAAAUAUAAGGAAGUUGGACUCAUUUACUAGCAAUUUAACAUAUGACUAAAACCUAUUGAAGAAUUUGCAAUAGCACUUACUUUGGUCAUGUCCAAACUUAUUGCACAUGGUGCAAAAAGGGGUAGUGCUCGAGGAUGCUUCCACAUAAGAAAGACCCUACUUAACUGUUACAAAGGUUAUUUUCCCACUUGUGGGAAUGCUAACCUUGCUAAUAUAUUAUAUGCCAUGUUUAUCAUAUACAAAUUUUUCUUUACUAAAUAUUUCUUUAAUGAUCUUGGACCUAAAAUUAAAUAUUUCAUUAGUAUUGGUCAUGUCGUUCCUCAACUUUUCAACUUUUAGAGUUAAAUCUUUAUCUUUAUCAUUGAUAGUUUUAUGUUUAGUCCCUAGAAACUUCACCUUAUUAACAAUAUGUUCAUUUAAUAUUUUGAUAUUUUUAAUUUUCAAAGAAUCAUAGAGCUCAUUAAUUUUAAUGUCUUUUUAUUCACUUUUAUGCUUUCAACCUUUGUUUUUAGUUUUCCUAUAAUAAUGCAUCAUAGACCCCAUGUAUAUCAUUAAAAUAAAACUCAUUUUUUUCAUUAGGAUUCAAUUAACCCAAUGGAUCAUAAUCAAAAUUAGUUGCAUAUGAACAAAAGCAAUAAGAUUAUCAUUUUGUACAUCUUUACUUUCAUUUGAGUUCUUAGCCCUACAAUCAUCAAACAUGGAAUUACUCCAAGUUACCUACAUAGCCUUCAUACCUAAUGUUUUUAAGGCAAGGACAAUCAACAACCAUGUGUCCCAUUCCCCCAAUGGUUCACUACGAAAUCAAGGUACAUAUGUUAUGCUUUCUUUGUUUCAUAGUGAUUAGAGAGGAUAAACAUUGUAAAAAAAAAAGUUGUCAUAGUUAAUGUAAGCUAAAACUAAAAAACUUGCUUUUUCAAUUGUGUAAGCAUGUUUUGUUCUUGAUGAAUAUUUACAACAUUCAGAGUUACUAAUGUUUAUAAUUCACAGAGACCUCAUUAACAACAAGUAACAACUAAUUGUAAGUAACCAUGAAAAAAAAAUAAGGAGAAAAAUAAAGGAAAAUCAAGGAAAGUGUCAAAUUUUUUCAUCCCCAUAAAAAAUGCUAAGGAAGAAAAAUGUGAAGAAAGUUUAAAGAAAGUAUAUUUUUCAAAAAUUGAAUUUUCUUUCCCUUAAAGUUGGUAUGGACAACCAAACAAGAAAAUGAUUUUUAAAUUCUUUUUUGACCUUUUUCUAUCAUUCUUUUUUUUUUCCCCCUACUCUAUUUCCUUUCCCUCAAACUUUCUAGGUAGUAAACAUUACCUAAGAUAAAUAGGGAAGAAAAUAUUUUAUCAUUUAUUUAUUUAGUAUUUUUCUUACCUUUUUUUGUAUUUUAUCCAAAUAUAAGAAAACUACUUUUCUUUAUUUUUUCUUUUCCUUGUUGCUUUUCAAGAAUCAAGCAUACUUUAAACUCUAAUUAAGAGUUACAUAGAUUUACAGAGAAACAAUGCAACUAGUAACAAAAAAUUAAGGAAAUUUAAUUUUUUAAUUUUUGAGAGUAAGUAUAAUAAGAUUGGUUUGUUUGAUACAAAAUUUGAAUAAAAAUUAUUUUAAUGAAAAUUCAAGGAAAGGAAAAAAAAAAAAAAAAACUUGAUCUCUAGACUAUAAUACUAAAUCAAUUAAAAAAUCUCCUAACAUCGUUUAUGUUCAUCUUUUUUUUUUUAUGGAUUUGAAAAACCCAAUAAUUUGGAGAAAACUGAUUCAAGGAAGAAUAAUUUUUAGAAUAAAAUAUUAUUAUUUAAGAAGAUCAUAAAUUUUAUAGUCAUUGUUGAAAAUGAUAAAUGAUUAAAAAAAAAAAGGUAGUUGGAAAUUUAGAUACUUUUAUAAGACAAAUGCAUUUUUCUAGUCUGGUAUGAAAAAAGGUAAAAUGAUAGGCUUUGAUCAUUUUUCAAGUUAGUUUGUUUAAAUCAUUUUAAUUUAUUUUGAUUUAAGAACAAUAACUUUUAUUACACUAGUUAUUUUGAUUUUCUUUUGAUAGAUUUUGCAAGCUUAAGCAAUUUGGAGCUAUUGGAUUUGAGUUAUAAUUUAUUUAGUGGGAGCAUUCCAUCAUCUAUAAGAUUGAUGUCUUCUAUCAAGUCUUUAUCCUUGGCUGAAAAUUACCUCAAUGGUUUCUUAGCAAAUCAAGGUACAUAUAUUGUGAUUACAGGUUUUUCUAUUUUCUUUUUUAAUAUCUUGUUUGUUCUUUAUGCCAAUUAAGUCAUGCAUGUCUAUUAAUUUUUGGUAUUUAAUGAAAAACUUUAUUCUUAAUUCAUAAAGACCUCAUCAACUAUAAGUAACAGUUAGUUCUAAGUUUGGGGGCAUUGACAAGACGAGGAGAUGAUUGGUUACAUGUCUUAUUCUCUUUUGUUGGCUUUUGCCAAUUGAAUAAGUUUCAAGAAUUAGAUUUUUCUUACAACUUAUUCCAAGGAAUCCUUCCUCCAUGUUUGAAUAAUUUGACAUCUUUGAGGUUAUUGGAUCUCUCUUCCAACCUAUUCUCCGGAAAUCUUUCUUCCCCUCUGUUACCUAAUCUCACAUCCCUGGAGUACAUCGAUCUCAGUUACAAUCAUUUUGAGGGUUCAUUCUCUUUCAGCUCUUUUGCUAAUCACUCCAACUUUCAAGUGGUCAAACUUGGAAGGAAUAACAACAAAUUUGAGGUAGAAACUGAAUAUCCAGUUGAUUGGGUUCCCCUAUUUCAGUUGAAAGCUCUUAUGCUAUCCAACUGUAAGCUCAUCGAUGACCUUCCUGGUUUUCUUCGACACCAAUUAAGAUUAACCGUGGUUGAUCUCUCCCAUAAUAACUUGACUGGAAGUUUCCCCAUUCAGCAGCUUGAAAACAAUACAAGACUAGGAUCUCUAGUUUUGAGGAAUAACUCUUUAAUGGGUCAACUACUUCCCCUGAGACCUAAUAGUCGUAUCACUUUAUUGGAUAUCUCAGACAACCGACUUCAUGGGGAACUUCAACAAAAUGUGGCCAAUAUGAUUCCAAAUAUUGAGUUUCUAAAUUUAUCCAACAAUCUUCCCCUUCAUUUCAUCCAUAUUUGGAUCUACCUUUAAAUCUCUAUUGCAUACAACCCAUAUAUGAUUCCCUCUAAAUUUAGCCUUCAUUUCUUGUUAAGAGGUUUUAAAAGCCAGCAAUUUAAUUUACUUUCAUCCUCUAUAUAGAUGAGAACUCUUAUAUUUAUCCAAUGAUAGGUAACAUUUUUGCAAAUGCUUUUAUUUGAUUUUUUUAAUUGGUCUUAAAAAUAAGUGUUAAUAAAGAUCCACAAUAUAAAAUAAUAAAUUAUAUCUCAAUUGACCUCAAGAUACUAUUUACUUCUACUAACUCAUUUUACAUCUCAAUUGUUCUUAAAAAGUCUAUAAUGGUAAUUAACUAUAGAAUUCAAGUUUUAAUUAUGCAAAAAAUAUAUAAAGGUUUUUAAAAUUAAUAGAAAAAAAGAUUCUAAUAAAUAAUAAGUAGAUUGAAACAUUUAUUUCUAGAAGUAGAGAAAGAUGGAGGAUCAUAAAAGUUGAAAAAAGAAUAAUUUGGAAGUCAUAAAAUUUUGGAAAAAGAAUAAUUCAUAGAGACCUCAUUAACAACAAGUAACAACUAAUUGUAAGUAACCAUGAAAAAAGUAAGGAGAAAAAUAAGGGAAAAGCAAGGAAAGUAGCAAAUUUUUUCAUCCCCAUAAAAAAAUGAUAAGGAAGAAAAAAGUGAAGAAAGUUUAAAGAAAGCAUAUUCUUCAAAAAUUGAAUUUUCUUUCCCUUAAAAUUGGUAUGGACAACCAAACAAGAAAAUGAUUUUUAAAUUCUUUUUUGACCUUUUUCUAUCAUUCUUUUUUUUCCCCCUACUCUAUUUCCUUUCCCUCAAACUUUCUAGGUAGUAAACAUUACCUAAGAUAAAUAGGGAAGAAAAUAUUUUAUCAUUUAUUUAUUUAGUAUUUUUCUUACCUUUUUUGUAUUUUAUCCAAAUAUAAGAAAACUAUUUUUCUUUAUUUUUUCUUUUCCUUGUUGCUUUUCAAGAAUCAAGCAUGCUUUAAACUCUAAUUAAGAGUUACAUGGAUUUACGGAGAAACAAUGCAACUGGUAACAAAAAAUUAAGGAAAUUUAAUUUUUGAGAGUAAGUAUAAUGAGAUUGGUUUGUUUGAUACAAAAUUUAAAUAAAAAUUCUUUCAAUGAAAAUUCAAGGAAAGGAAAAAAAAACAAAUUUAUCUCUAGACUAUAAUACUAAAUCACUUAAAAAAAACUCCUAACAUCGUUUAUGUUCAUCUUUCUUUUUAUGGAUUUGAAAAACCCAAUAAUUUGGAGAAAACUGAUUCAAGGAAGAAUAAUUUUUAGAAUAAAAGAUUAUUAUUUAAGAAGAUCAUAAAUAUUAUAGUCAUUGUUGAAUAUGAUAAAUGAUUAAAAAAAAAAAAGGUAGUUGGAAAUUUAGAUACUUUUAUAAGACAAAUGCAUUUUUCUAGUAUGGUAUGAAAAAAAGGUAAAAUGAUAGGCUUUGAUCAUUUUUUAAGGUAGUUUGUUUAAAUCAUUUUAAUUUAUUUUGAUUUAAUAACAAUAACUUUUAUUACACUAGUUAUUUUGAUUUUCUUUUGAUAGAUUUUGCAAGCUUAAGAAAUUUGGAGGUAUUGGAUUUGAGUUAUAAUUCAUUUAGUGGGAUCGUUCCAUCGUCUAUAAGAUUGUUGUCUUCUCUCAAGUCUUUAUCUCUGGCUGGAAAUCACCUCAAUGGUUCCUUAGCAAAUCAAGGUACAUAUAUUGUGAUUACAGGUUUUUCUAUUUUCUUUUUUAAUAUCUUGUUUGUUCUUUAUGCCAAUGAAGUCAUGCAUGUCUAUUAAUUUUUGGUAUUUAAUAAAAAACUUUAUUCUUAAUUCAUGAAGACCUCAUCAACUGUAAGUAACAACUAGUUGUAAAUUUGGGGGCAUUGAUAAGACGAGGAGAUGAUUGGUUACAUGUCUUAUUCUCUUUUGUAAGCUUCUGCCAAUUGAAUAAGCUUCAAGAGUUAGAUUUUUCUUACAACUUAUUCCAAGGGAUCCUUCCUCCAUGUUUGAAUAAUUUGACAUCUUUGAGGUUAUUGGAUCUCUCUUCCAACCUAUUCUCCGAAAAUCUUUUUUCCCCUCUGUUACCUAAUCUCACAUCCCUGGAGUACAUCGAUCUCAGUUACAAUCAUUUUGAGGGUUCAUUCUCUUUCAGCUCUUUUACUAAUCACUCCAACCUUCAAGUGGUCAAACUUGGAAGGAAUAACAACAAAUUUGAGGUAGAAACUGAAUAUCCAGUUGGUUGGGUUCCCCUGUUUCUGUUGAAAGCUCUUGUCCUAUCCAACUGUAAGCUCAUCGGUGAUCCUGGUUUCCUUCGACACCAAUUAAGAUUAACCGUGGUUGAUCUCUCCCAUAAUAAUUAGACUGGAAGUUUCCCCAUUUGGCUGCUUGAUAACAAUACAAGACUAGGAUCUCUAGUUCUGAGGAAUAACUCUUUAAUGGGUCAACUACUUCCCCUGAGACCUAAUAGUCGUAUCACUUUAUUGGAUAUCUCAGACAACCGACUUCAUGGGGAACUUCAACAAAAUGUGGCCAAUAUGAUUCCAAAUAUUGAGUUUCUAAAUUUAUCCAACAAUCAUCCCCUUCAUUUCAUCCAUAUUUGGAUCUACCUUUAAAUCUCUAUUGCAUACAACCCAUAUAUGAUUCCCUCUAAAUUUAGCCUUCAUUUCUUGCUAAGAGGUUUUAAAAGCCAGCAAUUUAAUUUACUUUCAUCCUCUAGAUUGAUGAGAACUCUUAUAUUUAUCCAAUGAUAGGUAACAUUUUUGCAAAUGCUUUUAUUUGAUUUUUUUAAUUGGUCUUAAAAAUAAGUGUUAAUAAAGAUCCACAAUAUAAAAUAAUAAAUUACAUCUCAAUUGACCUCAAGAUACUAUUUACUUCUACUAACUCAUUUUACAUCUUAAUUGUUCUUAAAAAGUCUAUAAUGGUAAUUAACUAUAGAAUUCAAGUUUUAAUUAUGCAAAAAAUAUAUAAAGGUUUUUAAAGUUAAUAGAAAAAGAGAUUCUGAUAAAUAAUAAGUAGAUUGAAACAUUUAUUUCUAGAAGUAGAGAAAGAUGGAGGAUCAUAAAAGUUGAAAAAAGAAUAAUUUGGAAGUCAUAAAAUUUUGGAAAAAGAAUAAUUCAUAGAGACCUCAUUAACAACAAGUAACAACUAAUUGUAAGUAACCAUGAAAAAAGUAAGGAGAAAAAUAAAGGAAAAUCAAGGAAAGUGACAAAUUUUUUCAUCCCCAUAAAAAAUGAUAAGGAAGAAAAAGGUGAAGAAAGUUUAAAGAAAGUAUAUUUUUCAAAAAUUGAAUUUUCUUUCCCUUAAAGUUGGUAUGGACAACCAAACAAGAAAAUGAUUUUUAAAUUCUUUUUUGACCUUUUUCUAUCAUUCUUUUUUUUUUCCUUACUCUAUUUCCUUUCCCUCAAACUUUCUAGGUAGUAAACAUUACCUAAGAUAAAUAGAGAAGAAAAUAUUUUAUCAUUUAUUUAUUUAGUAUUUUUUUUACCUUUUUUUGUAUUUUAUCCAAAUAUAAGAAAACUAUUUUUCUUUAUUUUUUCUUUUCCUUGUUGCUUUUCAAGAAUCAAGCAUACUUUAAACUUUAAUUAAGAGUUACAUAGAUUUACGGAGAAACAAUGCAACUGGUAACAAAAAAUUAAGGAAAUUUAAUUUUUGAGAGUAAGUAUAAUGAGAUUGGUUUGUUUGAUACAAAAUUUGAAUAAAAAUUCUUUCAAUGAAAAUUCAAGGAAAGGAAAAAAAACAAAUUUAUCUCUAGACUAUAAUACUAAAUCACUUAAAAAAAACUCCUAACAUCGUUUAUGUUCAUCUUUCUUUUUAUGGAUUUGAAAAACCCAAUAAUUUGGAGAAAACUGAUUCAAGGAAGAAUAAUUUUUAGAAUAAAAGAUUAUUAUUUAAGAAGAUCAUAAAUAUUAUAGUCAUUGUUGAAUAUGAUAAAUGAUUAAAAAAAAAAAAGGUAGUAGGAAAUUUGGAUACUUUUAUAAGACAAAUGCAUUUUUCUAGUAUGGUAUGAAAAAAAGGUAAAAUGAUAGGCUUUGAUCAUUUUUUAAGGUAGUUUGUUUAAAUCAUUUUAAUUUAUUUUGAUUUAAUAACAAUAACUUUUAUUACACUAGUUAUUUUGAUUUUCUUUUGAUAGAUUUUGCAAGCUUAAGCAAUUUGGAGGUAUUGGAUUUGAGUGGUAAUUCAUUUAGUGGGAUCGUUCCAUCGUCUAUAAGAUUGUUGUCUUCUCUCAAGUCUUUAUCUCUGGCUGGAAAUCACCUCAAUGGUUCCUUAGCAAAUCAAGGUACAUAUAUUGUGAUUACAGGUUUUUCUAUUUUCUUUUUUAAUAUCUUGUUUGUUCUUUAUGCCAAUGAAGUCAUGCAUGUCUAUUAAUUUUUGGUAUUUAAUAAAAAACUUUAUUCUUAAUUCAUGAAGACCUCAUCAACUGUAAGUAACAACUAGUUGUAAAUUUGGGGGCAUUGAUAAGACGAGGAGAUGAUUGGUUACAUGUCUUAUCACUACUACAAAAAUUGAAAUUAAUGACGCUUUAUUUUAUGACGCUUUCUAAAAGCGUCAUUAUUGAGGGUAUACAAUGACGCUUAUAAGAAGUGUCAUAGUUGUAUUAUUUAUCUUGAUACUGAUUAUAAGUGUCAUUAUUUGAUGUCAUCUUUUUCCUUGUAACUGUGUAUAUAAUGACGCUUAUAAGAAGCGUCAUAGUUUUAUUAUUUACCUUGACACUUAUUAUAAGCAUCAUUAUUUGAUGGGUAUGUAAUGACGUUCUUGAGAAGUGUCAUAGUUGUAUUGACUUUUAAAAUUUUUGUUUUUAAGUUAACUUAUACAAAUUUUGAUAUUAGAAUAUUAUUCUAUAAAUUAAUUAUGGUAAAUUGACAUUAAUAUUAAUGACAUAAAGUUGCUACAUUAAGGUUUUUUUAAAAAAAUUUGGAUAUAAAUAAAAUAAAAUCCUAAUAAAUUAUUUUUUUAUUGUUUGAUAUUAAUUUUUUUAUAGUUUGUAUCAAUACAAUCUAUUUUCAUAAACUAUUUUUCAUUUUUAUUAAAUUAGAAAUUAUCUUAUAUUUCAUUUAAAAAUAAUUUGUUAAUUUAUUUGUGGACCACAAAAAAGUGGCCUAUUUUGAGCACUUGUUCGAGCCUUGGGCCACAUUUAUUGGGUUUAACCCUUUUAUUUGAGAAGGUUUUAUAGUUAAUGAAUAUAAAUUUGAAAUUAUUUAACUAAAAUGAAAUAAAUUAAUAUUUAAAUUAAUUUAAUGAUGAUUAGACUCACAAUAAAACUAAAUGCAAUAAGAAUAUUUAUAAAAACUUUCUAAUAUUUAUGGGAAUUAAGCUCAUUCUAUUAAAUUAGUUUUUUUUUUAAAUAUCAAUAUUCAAAUUAAACCAAUAUCAACCUAAAAUAUCAAAUAAUUAAACAAUAUAAAUUUAUUAUGAGUUCAAUAUAUAAAAAUUAUUAUUGGAAGAUGAAAUAAAGAAUACUAUUUUAAUUUAUUGAAAAAGGACAUGCAUGAUAUUUUAGAAUUUGUUAUAAAGUCUCCAUUGAAAACCCUAACUUUUGGAAGACAAGAAAGAAGGGAGAGAGCCACCGUUUUUAGUGAGAAAGAAGAGAAGAGAGAAAAAUGCAAGUUUUUCUCAUCAGGCCCAGAUUUCAUCAAAGGUCUGAUCCCACUUUGUCCGUGGUCCGAUCGAGCUGAAAUUUGGAGGAGAGUUUCGUGACUCAUUUAUCUUCAAUCUGAACGGUGAAGAUCGGAUUUGGAGUUUCGGAAAGUCAUUAGAAAGAAAGAGGAGAAGAGAGAAAAACGUAGGUUUUUCUCAUCAUGCCCAGAUUUUAUCAAAUGUCCGAUCCCGCUUCGUCCGUGGUCCGAUCGAGUUGAAAUUUGAAGGAGAGGUUUGUGGCUCAUGUAUCUUCAAUAUGAACGGUGGAGAUCUGAUUUGGAGUUUCGGACAGUCAUUAGAGAGAAAGAGGAGAAGAGAGAAAAACUUAGGUUUUUCUCAUCGUGCCCAGAUUUCAUCAAAUGUCUGAUCCCGCUUCGUCCGUGGUCCGAUCGAGUUGAAAUUUGAAGGAGAGGUUCGUGGCUCAUGUAUAUUCAAUAUGAACGGUGGAGAUCGGAUUUGGAGUUUUGGACAGUCAUUAGAGAGAAAGAGGAGAAGAGAGAAAAACAGUGGUUUUUUUAUAUCAUGCCCAGAUUUCAUCAAAGGUUCAAUGCCGCUUUUUUCAUGGUCUGAUUGAGCUGAAAUUUGGAGGAGAGGUUCAUAAGUCAUUAAUCUUAAAUUUGAACGGUGAAGAUCGGAUUUAGAGUUUUGGAAAGUCAUCUUUCAGCCAAAAACAAAACCUUUAUUUUAUCAAAGAUGGCGCUUCCUGAAAGUGUCAUUGUUGCCUAAGACAUACAAUGACAGAGGCGAAGAGGACGCUUUAGAGAAGCGUCAUCUGUUACCUUUCUUGACGCUUAAAAAACGUCAUAGUUUCCCAUUUUUCUUGUAGUGUAUUCUCUUUUGUAAGCUUCUGCCAAUUGAAUAAGCUUCAAGAGUUAGAUCUUUCUUACAACUUAUUCCAAGGGAUCCUUCCUCCAUGUUUGAAUAAUUUGACAUCUUUGAGGUUAUUGGAUCUCUCUUCCAACCUAUUCUCCGAAAAUCUUUCUUCCCCUCUGUUACCUAAUCUCACAUCCCUGGAGUACAUCGAUCUCAGUUACAAUCAUUUUGAGGGUUCAUUCUCUUUCAGCUCUUUUACUAAUCACUCCAACCUUCAAGUGGUCAAACUUGGAAGGAAUAACAACAAGUUUGAGGUAGAAACUGAAUAUCCAGUUGGUUGGGUUCCCCUGUUUCUGUUGAAAGCUCUUAUCCUAUCCAACUGUAAGCUCAUCGGUGAUCCUGGUUUCCUUCGACACCAAUUAAGAUUAACCGUGGUUGAUCUCUCCCAUAAUAAUUAGACUGGAAGUUUCCCCAUUUGGCUGCUUGAUAACAAUACAAGACUAGGAUCUCUAGUUCUGAGGAAUAACUCUUUAAUGGGUCAACUACUUCCCCUGAGACCUAAUAGUCGUAUCACUUUAUUGGAUAUCUCAGACAACCGACUUCAUGGGGAACUUCAACAAAAUGUGGCCAAUAUGAUUCCAAAUAUUGAGUUUCUAAAUUUAUCCAACAAUGGUUUUGAAGGUAUUCUCCCAUCCUCAAUAGCCGAAAUGAGUUCCUUACAGUCAUUAUAUUUGUCUGCUAAUAGUUUCUCAGGGGAAGUACCAAAACAAUUGCUUGCGGCAAAAUAUUUGUGGCUUCUGAAAUUAUCAAAUUAUAAAUUUCAUGGCGAAAUAUUUUCAAGGGACUUUAACUUGACUCAGUUAGGGUUUUUGCAUUUGGACAAUAAUCAGUUCAAGGGAACACUGUCAAAUGUAAUCUCCAGAAUCUCUAGGUUAUGGGUGUUGGAUAGGUAACAUGACCGAUUUGACUACACUGGUGUUGGGCAACAAUAGUUUUAAAGGCAAAUUACCACCUGAGAUUUCUCAAUUGUUGGGGAUGAUAUUUCUUGACGUUUCUCAAAACGCUCUUUUAGGAUCUCUUCCUUCUUUGAAGAGCCUGGAGUAUUUAGAUACCCAGAGAUUGAUACCCAGAGAUUUUCUCAAUUCCUCAUAUCUAUUGACUUUGGAUAUCAGAGACAACAGGUUAUUUGGAAGUAUUCCCUAUUCAAUCUCUAGACUUUUAGAGCUAAGAGGAAACCUUUUAAGUGAUUUCAUUCCAUAUCAGCUUUGUCAUUUGACUAAAAUAAGCUUGAUGGAUAUUUCAAACAACAAUUUUUCUGGGUCAAUUCCCGGAUGCUUUGGUCAUAUCGGAUUUGGAGAUUUCAAAACUGAGCACAAUGUGUAUAUACCGAUGUUGGAUUCGUAUUCAGAAAGCAAUCCUUCUAUAUAUACGGGUUACUUAAUAAAAUAUUUAUUUUUCUCUAGUGAACUCCCUGAUGAAGUAGAUGAAGUUGAGUUUGUUACCAAGAAUAGGUAUAGCUCCUACAGAGUAGAUAAAAAUAUUUGUUGGGAAUUUAGAUAUUUUUAUAGGAAAGUAGACAAGUAUUCUAAUUUAUAAAAACAAUGCAUUUCUUUAGUUUGGUAUAAAAAAAAAUGAAACGAUAGGUAUUGGUAUUUUUUUUAAAGCAACAAACGUUUUAUUUUAUUUGUAUUUAAGAACAAUGUCUUUUCUUAUACUAGUUAUUUUAAUUUUCUUUUGACAGAUUUUGCAAGCUUAAGCAAUUUGGAGAUACUAGAUUUGAGUUCUAAUUCCUUAAGUGGGAUUAUUCCAUCAUCUAUAAGAUUGAUGUCUCAUCUCAAGUCUUUAUCCUUGGCCGGAAAUCAGCUCAAUGGUUCUUUACAAAAUCAAGGUACAUAUGUUAUGAUUUGUUUGUUUCAUAUGGAUUAGAGAAGAUGAAUAUUGUAAAAAAAAAGUUGUAGUUAAUGUAAGCUAGAAAUAAGUAUCUUGCCUUAUAAAUUAUAUGAGCAUGUGUUUGUUCUUAAUGAAUCUUUACAACAUUUAGAGUUACCAAUGUUUAUAAUUCAUAAAGACCUCAUUAACCGUGAGUAACAACUAAUUGUAAGUAAUUGUGGAAAAAGUAAGGAAAACAAAAUGAGGGAAAAGCAAGGAAUUAGGAAAUUAUUUUGUUCCCAUUAAAAAAUGCUAAGGAAGAAAAAGGUAAAAGAAAGUUUAAAAAAAGUGUAUUUUUCAAAAAUUUAUUUCUCUUUCCUUUAAUUUUGCUAUGGACAACCAAACAAGAAAAUUAUUUUAUAAUUCCUUUUUUAUUUUUUUCAUUCUCUCUCUCUUUUUUCCCCUACUCUAUUUCUUUUCCCUCAAACUUUCUUGGUAGUAAACACAACCUAAGAUAAAAUGGGGAAGAAAAUUUUCAGUUUUUUUUUUAUUUUUUUAGAAUGUUUUCUUACUUUUUAGUAUUUUAUGCAAAUAUAGGAAAAUUAUUUUUUUUUCUUUUUUUUUCUUGCUCCUUUUCGGACAUGAAUCACACUUUAAAAGAAAAUUAAUUUUUAAUUAGGAGUUAAGAUAAAUUUAAGGAGAAACAGUGAAUCACGAAUAACAAAAAAAUAAGGAAAUUGAAUUUUUGAAAGUAAGUAUAAUCAAAUUGCUUCAUUUGAUACAAAAUUUGAAUAAAAAUUCUUUCAAGGAAAGGAAAAAACAUUUUUGUCUCUAGAUUAUAAUACUAAAUCAUGUAAAAAAUCUCUUAACAUCAUUUAUAUUCAUAUUUAUUUUUGUAGAUUUGAAAAAUUCAACAAUUUGGAAUAAACUUAUUCAAUGAAUAAUAAUUUUUAGAUUUAAAGAUUAUUAUUUAAGAUCAUAAAUAUUACCAUGAUUGUUGAUGUCUAAGAAGAUCAUAUUCAACAAUUUUUUUAAUAUGUUGUUUUUUUAUGGUAAUUAAUUGAUGUCUUGUAAUUUUUAAUAUUUAAUGAAAAACAUUAUUUUAAUUCAUCUAGAGCUCUUAAUUCAUGAAGACCUCAUUAAUGGUGAGUAAUAGUUGGCUGUAAGUUUGGAGUCAAAGACAUGUCAAGGAGAUGAUUAGUUACAUGUCUUAUUCUCUUUUGUAGGUUUCUGUCAAUUGAAUAAGCUUCAAGAGUUAGAUCUUUCUUACAACUUAUUCCAAGGGAUCCUUCCUCCAUGUUUGAAUAAUUUGACAUCUCUAAGGUUAUUGGAUCUCUCUGUCAACCUAUUCUCCGGAAAUCUUUCUUCUCCUUUAUUACCUAAUCUCACAUCCCUGGAGUACAUCGAUCUCAGUUACAAUCAGUUUGAGGGUUCAUUCUCUUUCAGCUCUUUUGCUAAUCACUCAAAGCUUCAAAUGGUCAAACUUGGAAUGAAUAACAACAAAUUUGAGGUAGAAACUGAAUAUCCAAUUGGUUGGGUUCCCUUGUUUCAAUUGAAGGCUCUUUCGCUAGACAGCUGUAAGCUCACCGGCGACCUUCCUAGUUUUCUUCAAUACCAAUUCAGGUUAGUGGGGGUUGAUCUCUCACAUAAUAACUUGACAGGAAGUUUUCCCAAUUGGCUGCUUGAAAACAAUACGAGACUAAAAUCUCUAGUUCUGAGGAAUAACUCUUUAAUGGGUCAAUUACUUCCCUUGGAACGUAAUACCCGUAUCCAUUCAUUGGAUAUCUCACACAAUCAGUUGGAUGGACAACUUCAAGAAAAUGUGGCCCAUAUGAUUCCAAAUAUGAAAUAUCUAAAUUUAUCCGACAAUGGUUUUGAGGGUAUUCUCCCAUCCUCAAUAGUUGAACUAAGAGCCUUAUGGUAUUUGGAUUUGUCUACCAAUAAUUUCUCUGGAGAAGUACCAAAGCAAUUGCUUGCAGCAAAAGAUUUGGGGGUUUUGAAAUUAUCAAAUAAUAAAUUUCAUGGUGAAAUAUUUUCAAGGGACUUUAACUUGAUUAGGUUGGAAGUUUUGUAUUUGGGCAAUAAUCAGUUGACGGGAACUCUGUCAAAUGUAAUCUCUAAAAGCUCUUGGUUGGGGGUGUUGGAUGUGAGCAACAACUACAUGUCAGGUGAAAUUCCAAGCCAGAUAGGUAACAUGACCUAUUUGACUACACUGGUGUUGGGCAACAAUAGUUUUAAAGGCAAAUUACCACCCGAGAUUUCUCAAUUGUGGGGUUUGGAGUUUCUUGACGUUUCUCAAAAUGCUCUUUCAGGAUCUCUUCCUUGUUUGAAGACCAUGGAGAGUUUAAAGCAUCUACAUUUGCAAGGGAACAUGUUUACAGGAUUAAUACCCAGAGAUUUUCUCAAUUCCUCACAUUUAUUGACUUUGGAUAUGCGAGAUAACAGGUUAUUUGGAAGUAUUCCCAAUUCAAUCUCUGCACUUUUGAAGCAGCUAAGGAUUUUUUUGCUGGGAGGAAACCUUUUAAGUGGUUUUAUUCCAAAUCAUCUUUGUCAUUUGACUGAAAUAAGCUUGAUGGAUCUUUCAAACAACUCUUUUUCAGGGCCAAUUCCCAAAUGCUUUGGCCAUAUCCGAUUUGGGGAGAUGAAAAAGGAAGACAACGUGUUUGGACAGUUCAUUGAAAUUAGGUAUGGAAUGGAUUCUCAUCUUGUAUAUGCAGGUUACUUGGUGAAAUAUUGGGAGGACUUAAGUUCAGUAUAUAAGGGAAAAGAUGAAGUUGAGUUUGUGACCAAGAACAGGCGUGACUUCUACAGAGGUGGCAUCCUUGAAUUCAUGUCUGGAUUGGACUUAUCAUGUAACAACUUGACAGGCGAAAUACCUCAUGAACUUGGAAUGCUAAGUUGGAUUCGUGCAUUGAACUUGUCUCACAAUCAAUUGAAUGGCUCCAUUCCAAAGAGUUUCUCCGAUCUUUCUCAAAUAGAGAGCUUAGACCUUUCUUAUAAUAAAUUGGGUGGAGAAAUUCCUCUAGAGCUAGUUGAACUCAAUUUUUUAGCGGUGUUUAGUGUGGCUUACAACAACAUCUCUGGUAGAGUUCCAAAUGCCAAAGCACAAUUUGCAACAUUUGAUGAAAGCAGCUAUGAAGGUAAUCCUUUCCUUUGUGGGGAACUAUUAAAGAGGAAAUGCAACACAAGUAUUGAGUCACCAUGCGCACCAUCACAGUCUUUUGAAAGUGAGACAAAAUGGUAUGAUAUCAAUCAUGUUGUUUUCUUUGCAAGUUUUACUACUUCAUAUAUCAUGAUCUUGUUAGGAUUUGUUACCAUCCUUUACAUCAAUCCUUAUUGGCGUCAUAGAUGGUUCAAUUUUAUUGAGGAAUGUGUAUAUUCCUGCUAUUAUUUUGUUUUUGAUAGUCUUUCCAAGUUCUCAGCAUAUUUGUAUAAUUAGAUACUUUUAAUUGGAUGAUGUUUGCAUAAUUAACUACUAUUUGUUUCCAUGGGAUAAAAAGAAAUGGGAUUAUAAUUGCUAUGAGUUGAAACUUACAUACUUUGCUCAAAUUCUAACAUCUUUUGAUUUUAUUUUCAAGUUCCGUUAUUUAUUAUGUAUUGUUUAAUUCAAGAUUUAACCAUAUUAUGCUACUCUUAUAAAAACAAAUUCAAAUUUUUAGGAACUUAGCAUUAAAAUAAUUUCAUAGUCAGAUUUUUAAAAAUAAAGAAGAAAGAAAAUAAUAAAUAAUUAGAAAAACAAUUCAAGGGAGUAUUAAAUUAUUAUCUUAGAAUUGUUUGGCGUAGUAUGGGAAUUCAAAAAUAAUCUUUCAAUUUGUUAGAAAUGUUUAUUUAUUUAUUAUAGCAAUGAUUGAAAUAUCAAUCACAAAGUAAUGUUUUCUUUUCUUUUGUAGGGCACUAACAUUUUUUCUUUGAUUGUAAUAAUUGAUAAAUAUAUUACACAAUUAUUUGUUUUAAAGAGGGGAGGGAUGACAAACAUAAUAACAUGUGAAAUAUUUCUAAAACUGUGAUGGGAAAUAAACCAUCUAAUUAGGGUGCAAUAUUAUUCAUUUUAAUUUAUAUGAAUUUACUUAUUUUUAUUUCCAUCAUAUUUUGAACUAUUUUUUGAAAUUAAGGGAGAUUAAAACAUCAUGAAUUUCUUAGUUUAAUUUAUAUUUUUAAUAAUAAAGCAUGAAAUAUUUAAAAAAAAAAAAGAAAAUCAUGAAUUUCUUUAAUUCCUUAGGAAACCAAUAUAUAAAAAAAGUUGAAUAUAUUAUUAUUUUAUAUCCUAAAUUUCUAAAUUUGUUCAUCACGUAUUUAUUUUUAUAUUAAAUUUAUUAUCAAUAAUUAUUUAUUAUAUAUUAUUAUUUUAUAUUUAAAAAUGUUCAUAAAUAAUUAAAAUUAAUAAAUAUAAAAAAUGAAAUAUUAAAAAAUUAAAUUAAAAAGAUUUCAUCAAGCUAACAUAUUUUGAUAAAAAAAAAAAGAGUAAAAAAGAAGAUGGGGAUAUUAUAGAGGUGGGGAAAAAGAUAAAAGAAAAAUCAUGUGGUAUAAUAAUUGCCACGUGUUAAAGUUAUUUUCUUUAAAAAUUAAUUAUAGUAAUGAUGAACUCAUUUGUCUUAUCAAAGUAAAUAAAAAUAAAUAAAUAAAAGAAAAAAAGAAAAAGAAAAAAAGUGGUGGUUGAUUGGAGGUUAGAGAGGAGGGUUUGAAGGUAAAUUUGGAAUAUUGAUUAUUUUCACUAAGUAGAUAUUUUGAAAGUUAUUUUCAAUGUUUUAAAAACCGGACCGGCCGGUCCGACCGGUCCAACCGUCGACCGGUCACCAUUCCGGUCCGAUCCGGUCAUUUGGACCGGAUUGAGAUCGAACCGGAGUUGAACCGCUCGAACCAGCGGUUCAACCGCUGAACCGGACAAACCGAUCGGUUCCAAGGGAACCGGCCAAUUCAAAUAAUUUUAAUUUUAAAAAAAAAAUUACACAAUAAAAAUAUUACUGUGGGUAAGCUGCAAGCAUGAAAGGUAGGAUUCCAUGUUGGGCCUGUCUUGUGACAAGCCCACACACCCACUCCAAUUACCCUGGGCCUCUUUUUUGAGCCCACAAGAUCAUGCCAAGGCUUUGCUGAGGAUGGCUUUUAUAGGAGUCAUUUGACUCCUUGUUCCUCUCAUAUUCCGAUGUGGGAUUGCAUUUUAUCAAUGAAAAAAAACAUAACAAACAUAACAAAACUCCACCAACAGAAUUUGAACCUUGGACCAAUCUUUAACUCUAGUCCACCUAGGAAACCACUCGGCUACAUGUGUUUUAUCAUCUAAUGUGCCAAACAAAAUAAUAUAUAUUAGAUUUUAAAUUUUUUUAUAAUAUUAAAUAAAAAUAAUAUAAUAUUUUUAAAAAUUAUGAAAUUAGUUUAAAUUUUCAUUUUUUUUAUAUUCACAUUUAAAUAUUAUACAUAUUUCAUUUAAUAAAAUUUAAAAUAUUAAUAUGAUUUAAUUUGAUAAUAUCAAAGAUAUAAAAUAAUAUUAUUGAUGUUUAAUUUAUUCAUAUAUAUUUUAAAAUUUUUUAUAAUUAUUUUUAAUUUUAAUAAUAUAUAAAUUAUAUAUUUAUUACGUCACCGGUUCGAUAGCGGUUCGACCGCCGGUCCGACCAGUGAACCGUGAACCGGUAACUUUUCCAGUUCGAUCACCGGUCCGAUUCUGAAAACAUUGGUUAUUUUGCCUGAAACCCAUAUUGUUUGAAAAUAAAAAAUCAAAGUUUUAAAAAAAUACAAUUUUUUUGAAAUGAUGCAUGAUUAUAUCAUUCCCCUAAUAGAUUAUUUAUUCCUUUAAACUUUACUUCAAAUAAAAUAGUUUUAAUUAUUUUCUUUUUGGAAUUAUAUUUAACAUAUUAUUAAAAAUAUAAAAAACAUUUUAAUAAUAUUGUUAAUGAGUUUAUAUAUAUAUAUAUAUAUUGUAAAAUAAUUAAAUUUAAAAAUAUUUAAAUUUAGUUAUGGGCUGCCCAUUUCAAAAUAAUAAGAAUCUCGUAACCUAAUUUUUCCAAAUUCCAGGUAAAUAUGCUAAUCUAAAAAUAAAAAAUAAAAAUUAGGUUUUUAUGCUCUCCAAUCUACCACUUAAGCAUCCGACAUGGCUAAAAUAAAUUACAAAAAAAAAAAAAAAAAAAAAAGGAAAAAAAACAAAAGUGUGUGAUCCUCUUUCUCGAGUCUUCACAUUUUGAGACACUGAAACCAAAUCAAAAUUAAUCCUUCAAAUUAAUUUUCACCUCCAAACAUGGCUAUCCGAAAAACCCUAACGUCUGCCUCCUCUUCCUCUUAUCCCGGAAACCUAAAUUCCGUGACCCUAACCCCUUCUCUUUCCGAAAACCCUCCGGAAUCGGAAGAUUCAUAAUUCUUCAGAAUUAAUUUUCACCUCGAAGCCAAACCCUAACUGCCUCAUCUUCCUCUCAUUCAUAUCCCAAAAGUAGCUUCAACAGUCAGGCCUGUAGCCAUGAAAGCCGUAGUGAUCACUACUUCCGGUGAUCCCCAAGUUCUCCAAGUGCAAGAAGUCGAAAACCCUGAAAUUGGAGAUGAUGAAGUUCUAAGUAGAGUGGACGCCGCUGCCAUUAACCGAACAGAUACGCUCCAGAGGAAGGGCUUGCACCCUUCCUCAAAGGCGGCAGUCCCUACCCGGGUCUCGAAUGUUCUGGAAUCAUCGAAGCUGUUGGAAAAGCCGUCGUUCGAUGGAAGGUUGGCGAUCAGGUAUUUCAAUUGCCUAAUAUUUUGAUUUCGUUUCUGUUCCUCUGUUUUUCUCGGCUAUCAAACACUAGGAACGUGUAAAUAAGGAGGUUAGUUGAUUGCGAAAACGGGAAUUUUUUGUUCGUGUCUGUGUUAAGGAGUCUUUGUUGAGAAUUUUGGGGAAAUUUAUGAUAGGUUAAAUUAUUGAGCUUAUUGGUUUUCAAAUUUAUGGUUGUAAGAAAAUUGGUCAGUGUAAGGUUAUGGGUUCAUUACCAAUUUGCUUAGUGAAAAUUUUUCCACAUAUUGUGGACCGGUUUGGUAGCAGAAAUAAGAACUGUGUUUUGUUUUUCAAAACGGAAAUGGAUGCAGAAAACAUGUUUGGUAGCCUACUUUCAGAACUUGUUUCCGAAAAUAUUUCCUGAAAAUGAAUUAUUUCAGAACUUGUUUUUAAAAAAUUCAAACACUUUAUCAAUUUAAAAGGUUCUGAAAUGGACAUGUUCAUGGUCUUCAUUUUUUAAAAUUAAAGCUUUUAUGAAAAAACCAUUUUCCCUUCUACUAAACAAACAGGCUCUAUAUUGUAACAGAUCGAUUGGCCAUUUCCUUUGUCAUGUUUUGUGAAUCAUGGCAACACUGGAAUCCACUCCAUUACCAUCUGUUAGUGAUUAGAAGACAAAGCACCAAUUUUAAUGAUAUCCUUUAUGUGAUUUUGCUUCCUCCUGAGUACAAGUUCAUAAUAUACAUGGUACAUGGUGAAUCUGUAUGACAGUUCAUGGUAUACAGGUGUGUGCUCUUCUUUCUGGUGGAGGGCAUGCUGAAAAAGUGGCUGUUCCAGCUGGGCAAGUUCUCCCUGUCCUAUCUGGUGUUUCUCUGAAGGAUGCUGCUGAGGUUGCAUGUACUGUUUGGUCAACUGUUUUAAUGAUGAGCCGACUGUCUGCAGGAGAAACAUUCCUGGUGAAUUUUUUGUCUUUUUUAUUUUCUGAUGCCUGAUAUAUUUACCAGCACAAAUUUACCCUGUUGCUGUUUAAUGUGUGUGCAUCAAUAUUGGAUUAGGGAGGUAGAAGAGCCAUGGUUCUAAUUAAAUCAUUACAUCAUCAUAUUCUUAUUUAGAUACAUUGUAUCCCACAAUUUCAUUGCAUCCAAGGCUAUGUUGUUUUUUAUUGCACGGUUUGUCAUGGUAAUUUCUCAACCCUUCUCUGGAAAAUUAUGUUGGAUGGCUGCUAUUAAUUACCCCAAAAGAAGAAAUUUUAUGUUGAAGUAAGAUGAGUAGCACAAAGAGUUACUUGUGGUUGAUCCUAUCAUCAAAUGGGCGAUUGAUGCACAAUCCAAAUGGUAAAUUUUUUUCCCCCUUUAUCCAGAUGGAAUUUUUAUGCAUGGUUGAAUAGUGAAAUGAGAGGACUGAUAAUAUUUCAGGUUCAUGGGGGUUCAAUUGGAAUUGGUACCAUCUAUUCAAAUAGCGAAAUACCGAGGAGCAAGGGUAUUUGUUACAGCAGGUUUGCCAUCACUGUUCUACCUCAUCUCACAGAAUGCUUAUCUCAUGGCACCAAUUCCUUUUCUUCACAUGUUUUCAACCAUUUUUUCCACCCAGGAACGAGGAAAAAUUAGCUAUUUGUAAGGAUCAUUGAGCAGAUGUGUGCAUCAAUUACAAGACUGAAAACUUUGUUGCAUGGGUGAAGGAGGAAACAGGAGGGAAAGGUAUAUUCUAUUGUAUCUUAACGAUAAUUUCAAUUGAAGGUGGAAUUGCUUUUUAUUUUUUAGUGCACCAAAUCCACUAGUCUGGAAUGUUUGAAAAGAUAAAUAGUCAUCUUCCACUUGAUUCCGAUUGUGAAGAUCUAACCCCAAAAAUGUUGAAUGACAGGUGUUGAUGUUAUACUGGAUAAUAUUGGAGGGGCCUACUUUUGGGGAGACAUCAAUGGUUUAAAUGUUGAUGGAAGGCUUUUUAUUAUUGGUUUUCAGGGUGGAACAGUGGUACAAGUAAAUCUUUCAGGUUUACUUGCAAGGCGCCUUACAGUGCAAGGUACUGCUUUCUCUGUAGAAGAUUUUUCUGUAGUUUUGGAGUUGAAUCAAUUUGAUUAAUCUCAUCCAAGUUCAGAACUGAGGUGGAUUCUGGCAAGCCAAGGAAAAACCAAAUUACCAUAAAUUCUUUUUUUUUUUUCUGGAUCGUUUUACUUCUUGGAAAUCCUGUUUCUCGAUCUGUUAAUCACAUGGUUUGUUUUUCUUUAUUGUCCCUCUUUCUUUUCUUGUUGGUACCAAAUCCCUAAGAUGUGGAAGCCAAGUGAGCACUUUCUAUCUUUUCUUGUUUCAAUCUCUCAUCCUCUUGUGCACAUUGAGCAAUAAGCUCAUUCAAAGUCCAUUUUUCCUUUUGUGUGUUGUAACUGAUUUUGAAUGGACUGAAUUGUGUAGGCAGAGAGAUCAAGACCAAGUGCACGAGUAUGUCUUCCGAAAACUCUAACUUUAGUGCCUUUAGUCUAGUCACAAGAUUAGACAUUUCCAUAAUAUACUCCCUUAUAUUCUCUUUCCCUUUAUACCGCAUAGAGACAAGCUUACUAAGAAUAGUGUUUGUCUCAACCUUUUCAUUUGCAGCGAUCAAUUUGCUAUCUGGUCUAAGAAUGCCUUGGCUCGAGUUUUCUCAGGUAUUGCACCCCUUAUAACUUUUGGAAUUGAGUGCUUCGUUAUUAUUAGACUCAUGCGAUUGGAUCGCUCCCAUUUUUCCAUAGUAGACCUUUGCUCAGCAGUGCUGGCACUAGUAAGAUCUGGAGGGCGAUCCUCUCUUAAUGCAUAGUCUAAAUCCAUGCACCCGAGCACAAUUAUAGCGUGUUCCUUCCAUUUCUUGAAGUUUGUGCCAUUAAGGGCAGGAAUGUUAUUGACAUUUGCAGAUAUAGAAUAUGUUGAAUUCAUAAUAAUAAAGCUCACAAUCAGCCACAUAAACAUCAUACAUACAUGAAAAAUAACAUCAUACAAGAUACCUAGUACAAACAUUAAUAUUCUGUCUUUUGACAAUAAAUAUUAACUUGUAAUUGGUAUCCUUAUACAAAAUUAAUUCAUAAAUAUUGACAAUAAAACCAAAAACAAUGUGCCUCUCUUUGGACUAACAUAUUGAAUGCAAGAUAAACUUUAUAUGUCACAUAUUUAUGACUACUUUAUUUAUUAUUAUAUUAAAAUAAUCUUUCUUUGGGUCGCUUAUUUUAAAUAAUAAUAAUAACAUGUUUAGAUAUUAUAAAAUAAAUAAAUUAUAUAAUAUAAGUUACUUUGGCAACUAACAUACAUAAUUCAUUUAUUUUUUGUUGUUUCCUUCCUCUUGGAUCUUUUGUUUGUGUUUUAAAAAAAAAAAUGUUUCAGUGAAAAUGGGAAAUGCAACCAGGCUCUAAUACCAUUUUGUGGGACGUUCAUUCUCCAUUAUCAUCGAACACAUGCAGGAUAUAUUUAUAUAUAUCUAUCAAUUCAUUCAAAAUAUGCCGAUGGGAAGCCAGAGAGAACAAGUUCUAUUUUUAUUUUGAAAACAUUGUUAUCCUUAAAGAACAAACACUAUUAUUUGGAUUUAUACUCUCCUGCCUUAGGGACCAUACCCUUUGGCUAUUAGGCCUCACGAGUCUUAGGCCCAUCAUCUAAGGCUCGUGAUGGCACUGGGCUCUACAUAUAAGGUGGCCCAUACUCUGGAACGAAUAUAAAUCAUAUGUAUAUAUAUGGAUAGCUAAAUCCUGAAUAAUGGUUAAUAUGAUGUCGGUUCACAUUUAUUAUAUCAUAUAGACUUCCCAUCUGAAGAAAAUCGACAACAAGUAGCUUUGCCAUUCUUAGUUCGUAUACAACCAACCUUAGCAAGGGUUGAACCCUUUUAUGCUUAGUUGUGCCAUACAGAUCCUUACCACCGCCUACAACAUGUAAUUGAAAUGAUUCGAUAAUAUCAUCUAGUGAACCAAUACCUCCAAAUGAGAGACCAUUGCCUCAGUAACUAAGACUCACGACUGAGAAUUGCGUGAACCCCUUUGCUUGGGUUGGAGCUUGACUGAUGCACAAAAUAUUCAUAGGCCUCUUCCCAUAACAGGCACCUUGUGUUUGCAACAUAAUUGAACAUGUAUUGAAGUGAGUUUUUUUGCAUCUUUUUGUAAGAAAAUUCUAAACAACAAAGAUUGCUUAGUGUGCCUGACUCCUCAAGGAAUCAAGGUUCAUUCCUGUAGGGCCAGUUUUUUCACAGUCGAACUAGAUAACAUGGAGAGUAUGUUGCAAUGCUUCAACGGGGUAUUUCUUAGGAAAAUCCACCUGAAGCUGGUACAAUUCGUUGGCGUACUGAGUUCCUAAAGCUCUAUUGACUUCAAUCACCCAUCUCUGUAGAUUAUCGGUGACUUUAUGCUCGGAUCCUGUAGGAGGAUUGACUUGACAUUCCACUAGUUUUUUCUGGAAGGCGAUUUUGUUUAACACCUUGUGAGAAGAGGCAGGGGAACUGGUCAUUGUUUCUUCGAGAAGAUCAGUGGCCGAGGAUGGGUUUGGACCAGAAUUGCUAUAUGGGUUUUCUUUGGGUGAACCAAUUAGUGAAAUAGGUGGCUAUAUAGCAACUAAAGGGUGGUCAUACUAACGAGGAGCUAUUAUUUCAUGCAUGUGGAGAGGAAAUGACUAGCUUCUUCAAGGAUAUAUGAUUAUUCAUCUCUAGCUUACGUUGACUAUCUCCUAACAAAUUUCUGCUUUGAAGCUCCCUUAGUUUCACUACAGCUAAUUGGCCAACUUGGUUUCAUCAUGUUUCCUACAACCUCUAAGCAAAGCAUGCCAGAUCACCGAAUCAGGUUCUAUUCGCAUUUUGUCCAUAAACUCCUUUGCCUAUUGACAAUAGACUGCCCCUCAAAAUUUGAUGAGAUAACAUCAACGCUGACAUGUUGGCCAUCCCCAUAAGCAUCUUUAUAGAGAUUGAUUCUAUGUUUAGAUAUUUCUCUCUCCUCAAGUGAGUUCAACUUUUCUGUAGCAUCCUUCUCCUUCUCUACUAAUAGUCUUAGUUGAACAUCCAACCUAUGUUCCCAAAGUGCCAGCAUCUCAUAUCUGAUGACAAGCCAACAACCUUGCCCUUGCUGAGACCCAAAUAAGUAUCCAGAACCAUCAACAUCAACCCUUUCAUAGGCCUUUGUAUUUGAAGGUCGGAUUGGGAUUGCUUUGAAUGCACUGGCACUACAAUACACAAUUGUUUCUUCUCCGAUAAAAACACCACAAAGAGGUGAGGGGACUGGUAUUAGCAAAGAAGUGUUGUUAUCUAUAUUGUUCUAAGCCCGAUUACCCUCAACAAAAUCCUCAUCCUCAUCUGUACUCUUCCAUUACAUCCCUAGGCUUUUCAAUGUGAUCCACAUGGCUUACAGGAAUCCAGAAAUACUGAUCUGUAUAAAAGUUGCUCUUAUGGGGCUCUCCUAGAAAACAUCCCAAUCAAGAUGAUCAACCUAGCUUAGAUGCUCAGCACCCCAAACUUACCAGAAAUAGAGGAAUAAAAAGCAAGGAUAGGAGCCAAAGUAAAAACUAAGGGAAGAGCAAAUAGGAAAUCAAGCAAAACAUGAAUGUACAGAGCCUCAUUUCAGGUGACAUCUUUGGGCUAAUAAUAGGUGGAAUUAACAAAGUAGAUAAGCAUGAUUGUUAUAAAUAUCAAGUUCAAGGAUGAAGUCGUGCAUCAGCUACUUAUAGGGGGAGUCAAGGAAACCAAGAUAAGAUCAAAGAGAGCAUGUAUGCAAAUAAACAGAUACGACAAAAUAGACCAAACAACUCGUGAAUAUCCUCCUACAAAAAACUACUACACGUGGCAAAAAGUGAUGAAACAAAAAGAGUUGGGUCCGCAUAUACAUAUCCUAUUCUAUCCUAUUCCUUCAAAUCCAAAGCAACCUGUAUUUUCAAUGGGAUUUGUUGUGAUGAAUUUUACUGGAUUGUAACAUGUAAAUAUGUUAAAAGAGGCUUGGGACAUUCCUAUAUAGUAACGCAUAAAGGUACUUCCAUUGUGAAGUUGUCAAAAUUGCAAAUUUAAAUUACAAAAUUUGAAAACAUAGAGAUGAAAGAUGAUGAAACCUUCUUUGAAAUUUUAUAUUGAACUCAUUAAUAUUAUUAAUUUUCAUUUCAGUCUAGGGGAAAGAAUUCUUUACUCUAAAGUGGUCACAAAAAUAUUAAAAUUCCUUGUCGAGAGAUUUAGACCUAAAGUGAUCAAUAUAGAAGAAAGUAAAAAUAUUCUAAGUGUAGGUAAACUUGUAGACUCAAAUGACUCUACCUUCUCAUAAAAAAUCCUCAAUUUUAUAAAUUAUAUUGAUUUCUUCAUUUGAUACAAAAUUUGAAUAAAGAUUUUUCAAAUGACAACACAAGGAAAGGGAAAAAAAAAUUCUCUCCAAAUCAUAUUAUUUAAUCACUUAAAUUAUUUAAAAAUAAAAAUGUUUACUGCUAACAUUAUUUAGGUUCAUCUUUCUUUUGAUGGAGGUUAAAAUUCAUAAUUUUGAGGAAAAAGAUGAGGAUUCUCAUUUUUUUUCCAUAUAUGAAUGGGAUUCUCAUUGUGUAUAUGUGGGUUACUAAAUGGCAAAUUUGGGGGCCACCAGAGUCUGCAAUAUGAGGGAAAAAUGAAGUUGAGUUUGUCACCAAGAAUAGACAUGGUUCCUACAAAGGUGGCAUCUUUAAUUUCAUGUUUGGAUUGGACUUGUCAUGUAACAACUUAACAAGUGAAAUCCCUCAUGAACUUGGAAUGUUAAGUUUGAUUCAUGCAUUGAACUUGUCUCGUAAUCAACUAAAAGGCUCCAUUUCAAAGAGUUUUUGCAAUCUUUCUCAAAUAGAGAGCUUAGACCUUUUUAAUAAUAAACUAAGUGGAGAAAUUCCUCCAAAAUUGGUUAGACUAAACUUUUUAGCAGUGUUCAAUGUGACUCACAAUAGCAUCUUCGGAAGAGUUUUAGAUAUGAAUACAUAAUUUGCAAAAUUUGAUGAAAGUAACUAUGAAGCUAAUCCUUUCCUUUGUGGACCACCAUUAAAGAGAAAAUGUAGCAUAAAUGUUGUUGAACCACCUUACCAACCAUUAGAGUCUUCGGAAGAAAGUGAUGCAAAAUGGUAUAAUAUCAAUCUUGUUAUUUUCUUUGCAAAUUUUACUACAUCAUAUAUCAUGAUAUUAUUAGGAAUUUCAACCAUUCUUUACAUUAACCCUUAUUGGUGUCAAAGAUGGUUCAAUUUUAUCGAGAAAUAUAUAUACUUUUGCUAUUAUUUUGUUUCCUAUACUCUUUCCAAGUUAUUAACAUAUUUUGAAUAAUUAGAGAUUUUUGUUUUCAAUAAUAUUUACAUAAUUAACUACUAUUGGCUUCCAUGACAUGGAAAGAAAUGCGAUGAAGGCAACAACCACUUUUUUUUCUCCUCUACUAGUGCAUGAUUGAUAUGAGUUAAAACUUGCACCCUUAUCUUUGCUUAAAUUUUCUCAGCUUUUGUUUCAAUUCUUAAUUAUCAUUUCUUUUAUGUAUUGUUUAAUACAAUAUCCUAAACACAUUGCUUUGAAGGUUACUUAUUUAUUAAGCAUGAUAUUGAUUUUCAUAAAAACAAAUUCAAGUUUUUUAGGAAUUUUUAGAAUUAUUAUAAUUUGGAGUUCACAUUAGAGGAAAAAAGGAAAGAAAAGAAUAGAUGAUUAAAAAAACAAUUUUAGUAAGUAUAAUUUGUCAUCUUCGGUAUAACAAAUGGGAAUUCCAAAAUAAUAUUUCAAUUUGUUAGUCUAUUCCUUAUAGUAUUAAUUGAUAUAUCAAAUAGGAAGUCACGUUUUGAUUUUUUAUUAGCUUGAAUUGCAUGUCACAUAUAUUUUAAAAUCAAGCAUACAUCAGCCGGGAAGUUCUUGUAACAUGCAUGAACAUGAUAUGAUGAAUUGAAUAAUUUUCUUAAUAUAUGUGUAUAUACUACACAUUAUUAAAUCAUAUAUGUAUAUUUAUAGUCGUAUAAUAUAUUUAUAUAAGUAACAAUAAAUUAUAUUGUAUAAGGUAUCGGUAGGAGUUUUCAAUUCCCUCAUACAAUAAUAUCUAUCAAUAAUUGGAUUGGACACCUUGCUGGCCAUGAGAAUGGACUUGACAUUAACACAUAGCCUUGAGUGGUGUUGAUAUUAUUACUUUGAACCAGAACUGCAGUCAUCUCAAAAACUAUAUUAUAUAGAAAAGCAAAAUAAAAACAUUAGUUAAAACAAAUGUCAAGAUCCUUGAAAUCACGUUUCAAUAUGUUAAAUUACCAUUUUUUUAAAUAAAUAUUUUAUAGGUUGUGUGAAUAAAUAUAAUUGCUAUGAAGGUUUCAAUUUAAUUUUACUAGCAAAUCCAUAAUAGGUGAAAAGACAAAACUACCAUUUUUGUUUUUUUUUCUUUAUUUACCUUUUUUCUCUCGUAACCUUACUCCUUUCACCUUUUUGUUUUUUCCUUUUUCUCAACUAACUAUUUUUUUCUUGUAAUUGUUAUUAUCAUUUUUUAUUAUAAAUAUUAUAACCUUAUAUUAUAAAUUUUUAAUUAUAUUUAAACUAACUAAUGUUGUGGUUUUAAUUGACAUGGAAAAGAAUGUGGUUAUACAUGUGAUUGUCGCCUUUUUUUUUUUCCAAUUAGUUAACUAUUGAUACAAGUUAAAAGUAAAAAUUGCAAUAUUAUCUUUAUGUCAAUUUCACCGAUCUUUUGUUUUUAUUUUCAUGUAUCAUUCCUUUUUUGGUUAUUUAAUUAAAAGGAUUAAAAAAAAAAAAUCACAUAUUCACAAGAAUAACCUUCAUAUUUUAAAAACAUAAAUUUUUAUAAAAAUACCCUCCAACUAUAAUUUUUAUAUGUCCCUAUUUCAAAUUCAAACACUUCUUUUAAUAAUAAUAAUAAUAAAAAAGGGCAAAAAUGUCAAACUGGGAUUAUAUUUAUAAUUUUCAAUAAUUAGAGGUUGUUUUUCCAAAGUAAAAAUUAUUUUGUUCCUUUGGCACAAAUAUUUCUUUCUUUUUUGUAUUUUUUUAUUCAAAAUAUUAAACACAUUACCCUCAAGGUUACUAUUUAUUAUGAAUGGUGUUUACUUUACAUUACGACAAAUUCAAAUUUUUUAGAAUUUUUUAAUGUUAAAAUAAUUUGGAGCUUAAUAGGGAAAAAAAGAAUAAAUAAUUAGAAAAGCAAUUCAAAAAAAUAAAAUUUAUCCUCUUAAAUUGGUUUUGUGUAAUACUAUAGAAGCCAUUUCUUGAGUUUGAUAUGGUAGAAUUUGGAUUCAUAUUUAUUUUAAAAUCAAGAAAUUCAAGUGUUGGUAGCAUCAAUAGAAUCUUAAAAAAUUUGCAAAAAAAUAUUUAGGUAGAUCACAUUUAAAUAUAACUAAUAGAAUAAAAAAUUAGUAUUAUUAGGAAGACAUGAUCAAUUAAAUCUUUUUUCUUAUCUAUGACACCGACUUUAUUUUUUUACAUAGUCAAUAUAAUUUAUUACAACUUAUAUGUCAUUAAAUUAUACAUGUUUAUAUUAAAUAUAAUAUAAGAUCAUUAAUGGAAUAAUUAUGCAAGUAAUAUAAAUUGUAUAUAAUAUAAAAAAUUUAAAGUCCAUCAAACUAAUGGAAUCUAUUAUAAUAAGUAGACUAGACACCAUGUUGGCCCGAGUUGGAGGCCUAGGCCAGAUUUUAAAGGCUGGGCUUUGAGUUGCCCGUGGGCCUGAGCCAAGGCCUUCUCUUGGUAUCAUCAUUUUGAAGAAAUAAAUUGCUGAUACAGAGAAAAAAACUAUACUAAAUAGAAAAAUAAAUAAAAGCAUUGACUAAAAUGAAGGCCAAGGUCCUUGAAAAAUAAUCUUAAAAUUGUUGCAUAUAUAAUUUCAAUAAUGCAUAAAUAAUUGCAAUAUAUAUGAUGUGAUAAAGAAUUUGGAAUUAAAAGAAGAUUGAUCUAUUUUAAAUGUGGUUGGAAUAUUUCUAAAUUUGUGAUGGGAAGUUAGACAGCCAAUUAGGGAUCCAUAUUAUUUAUUUUCAAUGAUAUGAAUUUAUUUACUUUUAUUAAUAUUCUUAAUGCAACAAUAUAAAAUAUGUCAAUUUUCUAAAAUUAAAAAAGUAAUUGUAAAAGAAAAUUUUUAAUUAUUUUUAUGAAAUUGAGUUUAUUAUAGCAUUUUUCUUUACAUAAAUUUCUUUUUUAUUUUUAUUUUUUUAAAAAUGAGAUAUGAAAAAAAAAGAUCAAUAUUAGUAAAAGUAAAACCCAAUAUAUAAAAAAUAUGAAUAAAUGUUUAUGAAAUAAGAUUUAAAAGUGAGAAGGUAAUAAUUUUUUUCUCUUUUAAUUCCUAUUCAAUUCAUUACAAAAAAUAUUUUUGGUUUUUAUGCUAAAAUUUAUUGUUUAUUAAAAAAUUCUAGUAUAUCUAGCUAUCAUAGAAGAGCUCCAAAAUUUUAUUGUUUAAGAGAAUAUGUGUUGCCACUUUAAAAGAUUUAUAUGCAAAAGGGAUUGAUAUUUUUUUCCUUUGGAUAUGUUUAGUUCCCGGAAAAUUUGAGGGAAAAUGUGAGGGAAGAAAAAUAGAGAAGAAAAGUAUAACGAAAUAAAAAGUGAAGGAAAAUGAAAAAUAGAUUUAAAGUUAACAAAUUAUUUUCAUUGGUUUUUUCAAACUUAUUUUACUUAUUUUAUUCUAUUAAAUAAAGAUUAACUAAUUUUAAUUAUAUUUGGUUUGAUUUUUAUUAUUUUUCAAAGCAAAACCAAAUAUGAAAAAAAAAACAUUUUUUUUUUUUGUUAUUUUUUUCUUUCCUUAUUACUUUUUAGGACUCAAACAUAGCUUUUAGAUUUGGAGCAUGGAAAGAUAAGAGUAUUGAAUAAUGGUUCUAUAUAUGCCCAUGCCCAUGCCCAUGAUACCAUUGAAAAAAAUGGAGAGAGGGUGAAACCUUUACUAGAUGAUAAAUUAUUCUCUUCAAUGGAAAUCAAAUAUAAUUAUUUUUAUCUUGUAUUAAUUGAAUGUUAUACUCCAUAAACUCAAAAUUAAAAUAAAUAAAAAAUUUAAAAACUAGGACAAUCCCAUUUUUUUUCAAUUUCUUAAAAAGAAAUUAAAUUAUAUUUAUUUAUAUCUAUUUUCAUCCCUACCCAACAAAAUAAAAAAAAAUUAACAAGGUGGGACAUGUAUGAGAAAUUCUCACACUAACUCUCACUAGUUUAUUUUUUUUUAAAAAAAAAAAUAAAAUCAAUUUCUUUUAAAAAAAUUAAACUACAUAAAAAAUAAACAAAUUUUACAAUUUUUUUUAAGAAAAGUAAAUUUCUUAUUUUAUAUAUGUUAAAAAUAAAUAUAAUCUUUUAUUUUUUAUAUAUAUAAUCGGGUAAGGUAGAGUGGGACAAAGAAAUAAUCCCCUUCGAUUCCAAUCCGAAUUUUUAAAAUAUAAAAUAAAAAUCUUAAACUCAUCCCUAAUCCAUUUAUUUUUAAUCCUAAACUUGUCUUAUUAAGAAUAAGGCAAAGUGAGUACAUGAAAACACUUCUUUUAUCAUCAUCUCUACAAGUUCUAAUGUUUAGAUUGCAAUCCAUAUCAAAGAUUUAUAAAGAAAGAACAACAAUGAAUUUCAUAAACAUUUGAAAGCAUAAACAAAGUUUUAAAUAAUAUUGCUUGAGGUGCAAAUAUUAUUUGGCGCACAUGUUGAGGGACUUCAACUGGUGUAGUCUAGGUUUUUUACACUAGUAAGUAAUCUUGAAUAUCUAGAGUAACUUGAUCAAAAUCUCUUUAAUUUUAUUUUCUUUGAUGGUUGUAUGAUGAAUUAGAAUGCUUAUAUAACAUGAUUAAAAAUUUUAAGAAAAAAAAACUAAGAAGAAAGAAAGAAGCAUCGAUCUUCCAAAUAUUGCUUCCACUUUAAUAUCUAGUAGGCUCUAAGAAAAGAACUUUAUUCAUGAAUCAUAACCCAAGUCGAAAAUAAAUUGAACCCAUUUUCUAAGUUAAAUUUUGAAUUUUUUACUAGUGAAUGCAAAUUGGGAAAAUGUAUAUAAAUAUAAUCAAACUAGAAUAGUAGAUUAGGUUUGUAGGUGGAGUUUGUUUGAAUUGUUGGAACUUCCAAGUCGUUGUGGGUCUAGUGGUCCCAUAGCUCUCUAUUAAUUUCCACCAUCAAUUUUUUGCAAUAAAGUCAAGUCAUUCCUAACCCUUAUAUUAAGUUGGCCUUAAAAGUCAAGUCAUUGAUCAUAGUUACAUUCAUGAAUCACAACCCAAGUCGAAAAUAAAUUAAACCCAUUUUUCAAGUUCAACUUUGAAUUUUUUAGUAGUAAAUGCAAAUUGGGAAAACAUAUAUAAAUAUAAUUAAACUAAAAUAGUAGAUUAGGUUUGUAGGUGGAGUCUGCUUGAAUUAUUGAAACUUCCAAGUCAUCGUGGGCCCAAUGGUCCCAUAGCUCUCUAUUAAUUUCCACCAUCAAUUUUUUGCAAUAAAGUCAAGUCAUUCUAACCCCUAUAUUAACUUGGCCUUAAAAGUCCAAUCAUUGAUAGCUAAAUCCCAACCCAAGUCAAAAAUAAAUUGAACCCAUUUUCUAAGUUCAACUUUGAAUUUUUUUUAAUUGGAAAAAUGUAUAUAAAUAGAAUUAAACUAGAAUAGUAGAUUAGGUUUGUAGGUGGAGUUUGCUUGAAUUUGUGAAACUUCCAAGUCGUCGUGGGUCUAGUGGUCCCAUAGCUCUCUAUUAAUUUCCACCAUCAAUUUUCUGCAAUAAAGUCAAGUCAUUCCUAACCCCUAUAUUAAGUUGGCCUUAAAAGUCAAGUCAUUGAUCAUAGUUACAUUCAUGAAUCACAACCCAAGUCGAAAAUAAAUUAAACCCAUUUUUCAAGUUCAACUUUGAAUUUUUUACUAGUGAAUGCAAAUUGGGAAAACAUAUAUAAAUAUAAUUAAACUAAAAUAUUAGAUUAGGUUUGUAGGUGGAGUCUACUUGAAUUAUUGAAACUUCCAAGUCAUCGUGGGCCCGGUGGUCCCAUAGCUCUUUAUUAAUUUCCACCAUCAAUUUUUUUGCAAUAAAGUCAAGUCAUUCUAACCCUUAUAUUAAUUUGGCCUUAAAAGUCCAAUCAUUGAUAGCUAAAUCCCAACCCAAGUCAAAAAUAAAUUGAACCCAUUUUCUAAGUUCGACUUUGAAUUUUUUUUAAUUGGAAAAAUGUAUAUAAAUAGAAUUAAACUAGAAUAUUAGAUUAGGUUUGUAGGUGGAGUCUACUUGAAUUUGUGAAACUUCCAAGUCGUUGUGGGUCUAGUGGUCCCAUAGUUCUCUAUUAAUUUCCACCAUCAAUUUUCUGCAAUAAAGUCAAGUCAUUCCUAACCCAUAUAUUAAUUUGGCCUUAAAAGUCCAGUCAUUGAUAGCUACGUUCAUGAAUCCCAACUCAAGUCAAAAAUAAAUUGAACCCAUUUUCUAAGUUCAACUUUGAAUUCUUUUAAUUGGGAAAAUGUAUAUAAAUACAAUUAAACUAGAAUAGUAGAUUAGGUUUGUAGGUGGAGUCUGCUUGAAUUUGUGAAACUUCCAAGUCGUCAUGGGUCUAGUGGUCCCAUAGCUCUUUAUUAAUUUUCACCAUCAAUUUUCUGCAAUAAAGUCAAGUCAUUCCUAAACCAUAUAUUAAUUUGGCCUUAAAAGUCAAGUCAUUGAUAGUUACGUUCAUGAAUCACAACCCAAGUCUAAAAUAAAUUGAACCCAUUUUCCAAGUUCAACUUUGAUUUUUUUACUAGUGAAUGCAAAUUGGGAAAACAUAUAUAAAUAUAAUUAAACUAGUAUAGUAUAUUAGGUUUGUAGGUGGAGUAAGCUUGAAUUGUUGAAACUUUCAAGUCGUCGUGGGUCUAAGGGUCUUAUAGCUCUCUAUUAAUUUCCAUCGUCAAUUUUUAUGAAUUAAGAUUUAAAAGUGAGAAGGGAAUAAAUUUUUUCUUUUUCAAUUCAUUACAAAAAAUAUUUUUGGUUUUUAUGCUAAAAUUUAUUGUUUAUUCAAAAAAUUAAAGUAUAAAAAUAUAAAAAAAAAUAUAUAUCUUGAUAUUAUAGAAGAGCUCCAAAAUUUUUGUGUUUAAGAGAAUAUGUGUUGCCACUUUAGAAGAUUUAUAUACAAAAAGGAUUGAUGUUUCUCCUUUGACUAUGUUUGGUUGCCAAAAAUUUGAGGGAAAGAAAAUAAAAAAAAAUAGUAAAAAAGAAAAAAUGAAGGAAAAUAAAAAAUAGUUUUCAAGUUAAUAAAUUAUUUUUAUAUGUUUUUUCAAACUUAUUUUACUUAUUUUCUUUCAUUAUAUAAAGAUUAAAUAAUUUUAAAAUGCAUAAUUUCUAACUAAUUUUAAUUAUAUUUAAUUUUUCUUUUAUAUUUUUUAGACGGGAUCCGACACAUGAAAAAAUCCUUUUUUUUAGCAUCUUUUUUUCUUUUCUUAUUACUUUCCAAUAACCAAAUAUAACCUUUAGAUUUAGCCUUUAGACUUGGAGUAUGGAAGGAUACUGAGUAUUGAAAGAAGGUUUUGUAUAUGGCCAUGAUACCAUAGAAAAAAUGGGCGAGAGAGAAAAAACCUUUAUUAAAUGAUAAAUUAUUUUACUACUUACUACAUAAAUAGAUAUUCAUGGAGUGCAUUCUCUAAAAAGCUCCAGUCUCAUGAAAAUGGAAAGAUGGACCGGCCAGUGGACCGGUUCGAGUUUGGAUUUAUGGGCUGCCUCAGCCUAACACGCAUGAUAGGCUGUUGCAGGUGAAGAACUAAUUAAUUUAAAGCCUUCUUCUAUCCUCUCCUAUUCCUCUUUCACUCCAAAUUUUCCACAUGAUAAUGACAAUUCUUUUGUUAAAUGGUAAAAAAAAAAAUUUAACAAUUAAUUUAAAAUCAUUUAUAAAAUCAUGAACUUUGGCAUCCUAAUUAAUGCAAUUUAAACUUUUUUUGUUUACAAAUGAAAUAAGAGGCAACAUAUAAACCCAAAAGUUAAUUUUCCUACCAUCUCUAUGCACCAUUUUAGCUUUACUCCAAUAUAUUUUCUAUGAUUAAUUAUUUUCAUUCAAACAAUAAUAUCAAAAUAUUUUAAAAUUAGACAUAUCAUAAUCAAAUAUCAUUAUAUUAUUAUUGAAUAAUAUUUAAUGUAAUUUAAUAAUCAACGUAUACUUAUAGAAUUUAUAUUUUUUAUUAAUGCAUAUAAUAUUAUUAUCAAAUAUGAUAAAUUAUAUAUAUAUAUUUCUUUAACAAAACAACUUUAAAAUAUCUAUUAUACUUUUAAUUUCAUCUCUAAGAGGUUUUUUUUUUUUUCUUUUUUUUUUUUACAUUUUUAUAAGUUUUGAUCAAUUGUAGGCUAACCAAUAUUUUUUUAUCAAAAUAUCCACCAAUAUAUCUCCGAUAUAUUAGAUAUAUCCGUAACAUCGAAAUACCAAUAUAUCCGCGAUUAUCGAUAUUUUUAUCCUUGAGGGAUAACAACUAAUAUAGUUUUUGCACUUAAUGAUAUUCCUCAACAUUUAGAUUGAUUUGACCAAAAUCUUUUUAAUUUUAUUUUCUUUGAUGGUUAUAUGAUGAAUUAGAAUAGUCAUAUAACAUUAACAGAUUUAAGAAAAAAAGGAUAAAAAAGCUCGUAUUUUUCAAAUAUUGGUUUCAACUUUGAAUAUUUUUAUUGGUAAAUGAAAAUUGUGAAAAACCUACUAAUGCUAAUACUUUUCACCACAUAAUUAAAUAUAAUAAACUAGAAUAGUGAUUCAUUGAUGUCUUAUAAAGACACAUGCCUUCUUUGACUUGUUAGUUGAUUUUUGUAGGUGGAGUCCAUUUCCAUUUGAAUUGUUGAAACUUCCAAGUCCUUGUGGGUCUAGUGGUCUCUCUAAUAAUUCCCACCAUUAAUUUUUUGUGAUGAAGUGCAGUCAUUGAUAGCUACUAUAUCAAUUUGCUAUUAAAAGUCAAGUCAUUGAUAACUAAUAUUCAAUCUUUUUCAAUAUGGAAAUUGGAAUCUCUAGCACUACUCUUCUCAUUGUUCAUUUUUAGGUAAUGUGAGAAUGUGUGAACAUAAAUGUCUUCUAAUCAACCAAUUUUUUUGAAAAAAACAUGUACAAAAUUGCAAAACUUGCAAAAUCAAACUUUCUUGUUGAAUAACCAUAGCUUGAUGGUUUUGAAGAAUCAAAGGAUGAAUCAUAAAAGGGUAUUUGAUAAAAAAUAAAAAUUUAAAAAGUUAAAAGACAACUACUCCCUUAAGUGUAAUAAGUGUAUUUGGUAGCACAAAUUUCCUACCACUUAUUAUUUUUUCCUUUCUUAAAAAAUUAUUUACUCUAUUAAAUAAACUAACCUUGGCUUAGCACUUAUAGCAAAAUAGGUUAAGUAGUUUUUAAAAUUUUAUAAUAUUAGAUUUACAUUUUUAUCCUUCAAAAUUUCAUUAAUGCUAGAUUCUUCUAUAUGCUUAACUAAUAAAUAAUUUUUAGCAUUUUUCUUUUCUUAUAAACAUAAAAAAAUAAAAAUAUUAUUAACUUAUUGGUAUAUUUUAAAAUUUUAAUUAGAUUUAAGCUUUUAUUUGUUUGGAUUACCAAUUAUACAUAUAAAUCCUUUGUUAUUAUUGUUAUUAUUGAAAGAAAGGGGUUGAAUAGGUAGUCCCUCAAUCCCCAAAUUAAAUUCUUUAUUGCCUACUUUUGGUUUAUUCCUUUACAUGAAUUCCUUGGUGAGAGUAAACAUUUCAUUAAUAGAUAAAUAAAAUUGAUUCCAUAUCAUAGGGUAUAAUGUGGAAAAAUCACCAGUCUCAUGUGUUCCUUAGUGGAUCCUUUGGAGCCCUAUCAAAGUUUCAUGAUGAAACCAUUGACUUUUGUUUAACCCAAAUGUGCUUUCAAGACAAAUCUUGAAAGAUUUGAGAGAUGGAGGUUCAAGUCUUUUAUGAACGACCAUGUUCUCUUAGGGUUCAUGAAAUUCACACCUUUUGAUAAAUAAAACUUAUCUAUUUAUACGUCUAAAACCCAGUAUUUAUUUAUUUAAUUAUAGAAAGUUUCUUAGUUUUAAAAACAUUUCAAAAAUCAUUUUUAGAAUCAAAUAAGAAUUUUAGAGAUAAACACAAUAUUAAAAUUUAACAAAAACAAAUUUUCGAAUUAAAAACACAAUAUAAACUAAAUUACAAAAUAUAAAGUAAUUUUUACCCUAAUUUCUUGUUGCAAAACCAAAUGGAACACCUAGAAGGGGAGUGAAUGGGUGAUUUUAAAUUUUUUCAAUAAUUAUUUAUAAGUUAUACCCAAUUCUUUUACCCUGCAAGUUGUUAGGGACUAUCAAUUCUUUCAUUUUGGCAAUUCAAACAAUAUAUCAAAUAAUAAAAAGAUAUAAAUAAUGAGACAUAAAUAUUUUUACGUGGAAAACCCCCCACACUAACCAUGGAGAUAAAAAGCCAUGGAGUCUAAGACCUAUUAAUCUAAAUUCACGGUACGAAAUCAAGUUACACAAAUUUAUUUGACAACUUUACCUUAAAGACUUACUCUACAGUACUGACAACUUGAUUCACAUCCACGACGUAGCAACCCUCGAUUACUCCAAUGGAUCACUUCAAGCUUACUAAAAGGAUGAAGGCCUUCAAACCAAGAUUCAAAAAUCAAUUCCUUGAAUGAGAGAUCAGGAAUGGUGUGCCACUUUAGGCUUUCUCUCUAAGAACUCUAAAAUGAUCUCCUCAAUGAAAACCUUUUAAACAAAAUGAGAUAUUUCUCCACAAUCUCUAACCCUCAAGGGGUUAUAAUGAGAUAUUUAUAAGCAACUAAGUUGAAGAGUUUCGGUUUUGGAAGGUUUCUCAAUUGAAUUUGUGUGAAAAACUCGACAGAAUCAACAUGACCGCUCGAGGCAGCACACUUCCCACUUGAGCGUUUCGGGCACUUGAGCGGUAAGGCUUGCUUGAGUUGUCCUAAGCGCUUGAGCAUUCCAGGCUACUUGAGCAAUCUUGCUCUAUUUCAAAAGUUAAUUUUAAACCAUUUUAAGUUCAAAACAAAAUUGAUUCCCUUUAUACCUCAAAGGAGCCUAACUUGCCACAAACCAAACUUUUUUAGAUAUACUUGUGACUUCCUGGUUGGACGAACAACAACUCUUAAUCUUCAAUGGAGAGCAAGUCACUAUCUAAAAAGAUUUAUAUGGUCAAACAUAAAAAAACAAAAAAAUUGCCAACAUAACAACAAGACUCAAUGUCCAUGCAUGGUCACCUGAAAGGUGACUCCGACCACAAUAUAAUGCAUGUUCUCAUAGAACAUGUGAACAAGAUGGGGAUAGGAAGUCCCCUAGAGAGAAAACAGAGUCUCCUAACCCUACUCUUGAAUGAUGAUAGGGAAGACAGUGUCCUGAAAAGCUUAAAGGUUAAUGGCAUGCUCAGGCUCGACACACCGAUAUGUGAAAGAAGCGUAAUAAUGGUCCCGUGCCACCUGGUAGUGAAAGCGCUCAACCGGAAGUGCAUCUAGGUUAAAAAGACCCUAGAGUGGGAUGCCCUAGACGGUUUCAGUGACCUAGGAAAGGUCACCUCCCUUUGACAUCUAUGACUAGCCAUAUCUAAGGUAUAUAAUAUGAAAAAACAAAAGCUAAAGAAAAUCCAGAGAAAAGCUAAACCACUAAAAAUGUUAAACUCAAUGCGUCGAACAAUACUAUACAAAUGGAAAUGAAAAAUAUGAAGCGAACUGACCUCAGAAGACAAAAGGACAGUAACCCAGAGGGCUCGAAGAGGAAUAGGAAAGAUUGAAAUGAAUAUGGCGUGAUGGAUGACCUUUAUAUAGCUUAUAAGAGUGCUUGAUGCAGAUUAGCACUUGAGCGUCAUGACUAACUUAAAUCAAAUUAUUUAUUAAUAUGGAAAUAUUUUAAAAGUUUCAAAGGAAGUAUUCAAUUUAGAACCUUUUUAGAAUUUUUUUGAAAGAAACAAAAAUAAAGCGUGAAAUAUUAUGUGUUAAAGGUGUUAGAAGACAAUAUUGUCUAAUCCAAAGCCUUACACAUUCCUAAAAAAAAAAAAAAAAAAAAAGGAAAAAGAGAGAUAUUAUAUAAGAUUUUGAUCACAUCUAAUAGAAACUAAUAUUUAGCAACAUAUCACCAAGCACUAUCUUAUCAGAAAGCUCUAACAUGUUGGAAAUUUAUGUAAGGUUCCAUAACAGCUAAAAACUUUUUCUGACGACUCGGUAAUGGACCAUUUGCACUUUAACUACAUUAUUGAAUUUAAAUCAUAUUAGAAUUGUAAUUGACUUCUCUUUUGUGAGACUACAUAUCUUGUAGGAUGGGAUAGGUGAUUCAUUUCAUAUAUGAAAUUUACUUAAUUUAGUAAUGCUUCCAAGUUCAUUAUGAAUCUAAUGGUAUCACAACUCCUUUAAUAUUUGUAAUUUUGUAAUCUUUGUUUCAACUUCUCAAGUCUAGUCAUUUUAUUGGCAUAACUAGUUUGCUUCAAUUAUCUCUCAACUUUAUUAUAAAACUAAGGGAAAGGAUUAUCACGCAUUUUAUAUUAACUUAACCAAACAUCUUUAUAUAUCUUACAUAUAUAUAUUUUUUGUAAAUUUAGGAAAAUUUCAUCCAUUAGCCAUAGUAAGUAAGAAUCAAAUAAGGGAUAUGUAAGCCAAUGGUGAUAUUGAUGGCGUCAAAUCAAUGACAUAGUAGAAAAGUGGAUUGUCUAUUUUCAAACCUUUAUAUUUUCAUCCAAUAGUAAAAAGGUUUAGGCAUCACUUGAAAAGUAGUUCGUUUUUUACCUUGGACUAUGAUUUAUGAAUAAAGUUCUUCUGUUGUAUACCUUUUGUGAUGCCCCAAACCUAAUUUAGGGGUAAAAAAAUAAUUUAGAAAAAAAUAAAUAAAAAGUUAAAUAAAUUUAAUUAAGGUAAAAAUGUAUUUUUGUAUUUAAAAUUCCUAGGUAUCAAUUAUAUAUUUCUUGUCUUCUCUAUUCAAAAAACCCUAUUACACAAAAAUCAAAUAUCAGAGAACAUAGGACAACGCAGGGUUGAAGAUUUGGAGGUUUAGGGUUGAAGAUUAGUUUUCCAGGUAAGAUUCUAACCCUUAAAUUAGUAUUUUAGAUUCGUUAAUUAGUUUGAACACUUUAGAUAUUCUUUGAAAAAUCUGAAUCUACGUUAGGGUUUGUUAAUUUAAUUUUUAAAUAAAAAAGAUUCAAAAUUUAUGAACAUAAGUAGAGUUAUUAUUAAAGAUUGAAAUUUUUUGAAUAUUUGAAUUAAAAAUCUAGAAAAAAAAAGAAGAAAAUAAAUUAUAGCUUUGGAUGUGGAAAAAAGUUAAUAUUAAUAAAUAAAUAAAACUUAUGAGUACGGAGGUAGAAAAAUAUGAGAGUUGAAAGCAAAGAAAAAAAAAAGAGAAUAAGGUUUUGUGGUUGUACGUGUCUCCUUAGUGGAAAAAAGAAAUACAAGGUUGUUUGCAAUAGGAUAUGACAAAGAGAGAGAGAUAAAUGCUUAGAUGUUGAUUUUUGUGGGGAAAAAAAGAUUGGGUAAUGUAGGAGAGAAAUAGGUAGCACUUGUAGAGUUGGUGGGGUUGUUGUAAAAGCUCGUAGGGUAAUUGUUAGGUAGUAGUAGGGUAUGAGAUUAAUUGUUAGGAAACAUUAGGACUUGAAAUAAUAAUAAUUGCUUCUAGUAAAAGUUUUAACUUAGUUUAAGUAUAUAAAAGAAAUAGAUGAUUAGAAUAAGAUUUGGAAGGAAUAUGAAUUCAUAAAAAUUUCGAAAUUUACUAAUUUAGAUUAUUAUUUUUUUGGAAGUUGAAUAUAAUAUAGGUGGUAAUAUUAUUAAUAUAGGAAAUGAUUAAGAUUCUCAAACCUACAAUUUUAGAUAAAUAGUUAAUAGUAAUAGUUGAUUUUUUAUUUUUUUUAUUUUUUAUUUUUUAUGUUAUGUUAAGUGAAUAAUGGAUUCUUUGAUUAAUUCUCUAAGGUUUCUAAGUGCUUCUUUAAGAUAAGGGAUAUUAAUACUGAUUUUGUAAAUGAAAAUAUUUCUUUUUAUAAGUUAUUUUAAAUUAUGAAAAAUUUUAUUUUUAUUUAUGCAUGGAUCAAAUAUAUAUUUUUUCAUGAGAAACAUGUUUGGGCAAUUUCUUUGUUUAUAAAUAAAUAAAUAAAAAAUGAGAACUUUGGAAAUAUAAUGUUUUGUUUUGCAAGUUUAAAAUAAUGAAAUAAAGUUUUUGACUCUGGUUUAUAUGACCUUAGUUAAUGGGUUAUAAUUGUUGACAUUUUCAGCUCUCCAAUCAAUGAUUAUAAUUGUUGAGAUUUUCAACCCUAGCCAACGGGUUAUAAUAGUUGACCUUAUAGCCCUAGUCAACAGAUAUAAUUGUUAACCUUUCGUUUUUCCCAUCUUAAAAAGAACAAAUUUAAGGCUAACCAUUUAUUUGUAAAGUCCCACCUAACUAAGUACCAUUUGUUAUUUAAUAACCAGAGUAAAGAUAUUUUGAAUGUAUUUGAUAUGAAAUUAUUUUGAUAUAAAUAUGAAAAUGUUUGGUUGAAAAGUUCAAAUGUUUAAUGCAUGUUGAAUUCAAAAGUUUUUAUGAAAAUGAUUAUAUGUUAUAUCUCCUAUUUGUAAGUUUGAUCCAUAAAACUGUAUUAAUAUUCCUUAUUGGACUUUGAGCUCAUUCCCCUUUGUUGAGAAUUUUUUUUGGUAUUCUCAGUUUGGGCAAGGAGUGAUGACUGGGUUGGGGAAUUUUCUUUACUAUGAUUUUGGUUCAAUCUUUAUUUUGGACAUUGUAAUUUAAUUCCCAUUUAAAUUAUUUGGGUUUGGAGUUAUUUGGACGAUAACACUUUGAUUGAUGUGUUAGUUUUAAAGUUGAGAAUUGAAAAUUAUAGAAUUUAUUUAUCUUUCUACUUUGAAUAGAAAUUUAGUAAUUGGAGAUCAUCCAGUUACAAGAUGAAUAUUAGAUGAAUAUUUGUGUCGUUUCCACAUUGAGUGUUCAGGCUUAGGGUGUGAAAUGACCGUUAUGCCCUUGGAGUGGGUAUAUUGUUUAUUUGAAUUUAAUGGUCCCCGAACUCCUUAAUUACUCAUAACUUUAUAUCACCUUCUCAAAGUUAAGUUGUUUUACAACUACUAUCUAGCUACUUUUCUCUACUAUGACAACUUUAUUACAUAGUGAUUAAUUGAAAGAAUCUACAUGUCUUAUUUCAUAGGAUAGUUGAUUUUUUUACUCAAUGAAUCUUGCUUUUAUUAUUGAAAAUUUCAAAUCAUUGUAGUCCAACAAUUUACUAUCCUUUGGUAAUUUCAUAUUACAUUUCCAAAGUCUAAUCAUUUAAAAACACUUGUAGUUAAUAUAUUGGCAAUUGCAUUGUGGGAAGUUGUUCACUUGAUUUUAAUGUUGAAACUUUCAAAUUGUUGUAGUCCAACAAUUCCCUAUCCAUUGGUAAUUUCAUAUCACAUUUUCAAAGUAUAAUCAUUUACAAAUACUUGUAUAUAGUAUAUUUGGUGAUUGUAGAGUGGAAAGUUGAUCGUUUUCAUGAAGACCUCUAAAAUAGAAAUUUUUUUCAUUCCAUUUAAUAAAGAAUUUCAUUAAUUGAACAUAUAUGUUUUUUUAACCGGAAAGUAGAGGCCACAUUAUACGAGGCCUUAGGUGACAAUACUAGGUGAGGGUUUUUUUUUUUAAUUUAUUUAUUACUAAAUAUAAAUAAUAUUAUUUAUUGUAUAAUAAAGAUUAUUAUAAUAUAUUUUUUAUAGAUGAAAAAAAUAUUAAUUGAGUUUUAUUUUUUUAAAAUAAUUGUUUUCAAUAAAUAACUUAUUUGUAAAAAGAAAACUAUAAAAUAUAUGCAUUUGAAAAAUAUUUAAUUUUUAUUUGAUUUAGUAUCAAUUAAUAUUUGUAAUAUUUUUUAAUAUUAUAGAAGUUAACAUACUCAAUCAAGAUAUUCAAGAUCAAGAGAAUAUUUAAGAUUGAAUUAAUUUCUUUAUUGUUUAUGUUUUAGUAAAUUUUUAUAUCCAUUACAAAUUUUUUAUUGUUUAUUUUUCAUUCAAUGUUUGCAUUUUUUAAUAGAUAUUAAAACGAUUUUUUUUCUUGUAUGUUAAAAAAAUAUUUCAAUGUCUUUAAAAAUAAAAUAUUGCAGUAAAAUCAAAAUUACAUUGUGAAACUUUAAGCGAAUGUUUUAUACUUAAGAAGUGCCAAUUAAAGUAAGCAUGCAUCUACAAUUGUAAUUUAGAUGUCAUACUGAAACAAUAGUUCUCUUUGACUAUAUCAUAAAAUUUGGUUCGAAUUACUUUAAGUCGUCUUGUAGAUUUUCAAGUUCCAAUGAUAUGCAUCAAGUAUGUGCAACAUACUUGAUAUAACUAAUAUUUUCUUAAGUAAUUGGACACUUUUUUCUAUAAAUUUACUUGAUUAUCAAUGAAUACUUUUAUGUAAGGUAUUGAUAUAAUUCGAUAAAUAUUUUAAAAUAGUAUUAGAAUAGCUUUGCUCUUUCCCAAUUAACAAAUUUACUAAAUUAACUUAUAUAUAUUUGUUUAUUUGAAUUUACUGGUAUUUGACUCAAAUUGUUAUUAUUUUUAAAAUUAUAGGAAAACCAUUAUUUAUAGAGUUUAAUUAUAUUUGGUAAAUUAUCUUUUUAAGUUUGGCUAGGAUUAGGAAACUAUUAAUUUAAGAUUAAUCCAUAAGGCUCUAUAAAUUUGCAGUUUUAUUUAGGAUUUAAAAAAAGAAAGAAAAAGUAAGAAAAAGUGAAGAGAGAUAGGCAAAGAGUGCAUUGGGUUUUAAAUAAAGAAAGGUUGAGAGAGUUUUGAUUACUACUCAAAAAGAACAUAUUUUAGAUAGUAAUUCUCAUGGGUUUCACAUCUUUUGAGUAUUAAUUAUGCCUAAAAAUGCUCAAUUAACAUGUUGUUGCCUUUGCAAGAGUUACUAACAAGUUUUAUAAAGUUUUGGAGUCAUUUCAAGUUAUGAUUUUAAUAAAUUGGUGACGAAAGAGAUGAAUUGAUUUGAAGAAGGCAAAUAAUAUUGAUGAUGAUCCAAAUGCAUAAUGAAAGAAGCAAUAUAAUUAGUUUGAUCGGGAUUUGCUGCUAAUUUGGAGGUAGUUAAGGUGGAGUCAAAAGAAGAAAAUGGAAGAAAUGACAAAGAGGAGCUUAAAAACCAAAUGUUGCAGAUUUGUAUGAUCAUGCAAAAAUUACAUGACUAUGCGAAAUGGAUUAGAGAAGGAAAAUUGACUAUAGUAUAAGGAGGAUGCUUAAGUUGAUUUCGCAUGAACAUGCGAAAAUUUUGCACAAUCAUGCGAAAUGGUCCAGAAAGCUCUCUAAUGUUGUUGUUGCUCCACUAAUUUCACACCACCAUGCGAAAUUGAUCUUUUCAUGCAAAAUGGCUGAAGCUCAUGUGAAAUCAUGAUUUUGAUGCUAAACUCUAGAUUUGUGAAUUUGGAAGGUUUUAGAAGAUCAAUGAGAAGUUGCCAAGUGUCCACUUGACCUUGGUCUAUAAAUAGAAACUUGAAUUUCCCAUGUAAAGAGCUUUGUGAUACUUUUGAUUUUAGAUUUUUCUAGGAACUCUUUCUCUAAAUAGAAUUCUAUAUUUUCUUUAAUUUUCUCUCAUUUUCUCAUUCGCCAAACAUGCCUAGUGAGACCAAAUCUCCAAGUAUGAGUGGCUAAAUCUCGUUUUUCUCAAAGGAAUGAGGAUCUAGAGUCAAGAUCUAUGGUGAAUUAUAGAAAUGAGUUUUAAUCGGAAAUGCAAUUUGAUUCAAUUGAUUGAUUAAUUGAAAUUUGAGGAUUUUUCUCUUCAAAUUAUCCUAAAUGACUAUUACAUUGCAAACUAGGUAGAUUCAUUAAAUUCUUAAAGCUAGAUUUAAUGAGACUGAAUAGUUGCAUUGUAUGAAUCAUUGGAAGAUAAUUUAAGAUGAAUUGAAUAUAUAAUUUAAAUUGAUCUCUUGGAUUAAAUAACCUAAUUUGAAGAGAAAUUAGGUUUAGACUUAAAGGUAAAUCUAAAAUCGAUUUAGAUAAGAAUUUAGGUUUUCAAUCUAACUUGAUGAAAAAUAAAUCUCAACAUCUAUUCACCAUGGAAAUUGUUUUCUAAAAAAUAUUAACUCCGAGAAUUCCUUUUCCUUAUCAAUUUUCUUAUAUUCUACAUUAUAUUGUUCUUUUCGAUUAGAAAUCAUUGUUAUUUUGAUUUUUCAUGAAUUGUCAAAUCAAUUUCACUUGACCAUAAUCAUUUCUUUUCCUCCCAUUUAAGCCUUAAUUAUCGAGAAUAAUCCAUCCCAAUAGAAGACACCUAAGACCACUAUACUACCGUAGCUUUUGCUAAAAAACCUUUUUGAUCGGGCAAGAGUUACCUUAGCAUAGUUGAAUUAGGUUAUAAUUUUUUUAUCCAAUAAACAACAAAAAAAAUCAAUCGAUCAAGUUUGCAUUGUGUAUUCUUGAAUUUUAUUAAUAAAUUUGAUCCCCCUUUUUGAAGCGAUUACACCAAACCAAGUAAAUAUUUUAUAUACUUCAUUUGCUUUAUUUUUUCUAUUAAGUUUAGGUGUUGCAAUUUUCAAGAGUCAUGGUGAGAAGAUUGUGGGAAAAAUUAUUUUAAGGAUGGAGUCGAACAUAAAAUAUGAAAUUGAGUCCUUUGAUGGAAAUAAUAAUUUUAAUAUUUGAUAGAGUAUUAUUAAAGAUGUUUUGAUACAACAAAGACUUCUCAAAGCAUUACAAGGCAAAAAAACUAGAGAGCAUGACAAAUAAAGAAAUGAAAGAAUUAGAAGCAAGAGUUGUAAGUACUAUUUGUUUAAGUCUUAAAAAUGAAAUACAUUGUUUUGAAUGAAAAAAAUAUUCUUUUAGGGGUGUCAAUUGCUCUUUUAGAGACCAAAAAUAUUAAGCAGUCAAGUAGUUCAUCUCAUAUUGGACAAACUGUUAUGAUGAAUUCUAAACCACAUCAUCAUAGGAGUAAAUCGAAAGAAAGUAUCUGAUAGGAGGAUGAUCAUUCCAUUCACACUUAUGGAGGAAUAUGAAGUAUUAUUACUGUGAAAAAAAAAACAUAUCAGGAGAUAUUGUAAAGAAUUGAUGAAGUACCUAGAAGAAAUGAAAAUUUUUAAAUCCCAAGAGACUUCAAAUUUUACUAAUAUUGUUGAUGAAAAUUUUGAAAUAUUGUAGUAAAUUAAAAGUUACAUUAUGGGACUUUUAGUGAGUGUUUUAUGUUGAAGAAAGGCUAAUUAAAGUAAACAUGCAUCUAAAACUAUAAUUUAGAUGUUGUACUCAAAUAGUUGCUCUCCUCGAUUAUAUCAUAAAAUUUGGUUUGAAGUCUAAGUCAUCUAAUAAUUUUCUAAUUCAAAUUGCAUGCAUCAAACAUGUGUGUUAGGAAGUGUUGCAAAUUACUAAUUAAUAUAGAUUCUUUUUUUUUUUAAAGAAUAUUGUAUUGAAUAUUUCUAGGUUGAUAUAUUAUUGUAAUAUUAGACUUUCUUAUAGAAUAAGGAAGGUUGUUGAAAAUAUCCCUAUAAAUAUUCUAGUUCAUAAGGGGAAAAAGUUAUGAGAUGAAGAUGGACCCAUAAAGACUAUACAAGGUGGAUAGAGACGUGAAGAAAAACGAGAGGUACCCGGUGGAGCGAGAGGGCUCGUGGUAGGGUAUAGGUACAAAGAGUGAGAAAACAUGGGAUGUUUUGGGAACCCAAUAAUUGUAUCUGGUUAUGUCCUCUAUAAGUUCUAGUCCUGUCAUCUGCAUUGUUCUCUAUUUUAUAGUGGAAUGAUUCUCUUUUAUCUGUGGACGUGGGCAUGGUUUUCGAACCAUGUUAAAACCUUGUGUACCGUUUGUGUUGAUUUUUUUUUUUAUCUUUAUUUUAUUGAUUAAUGAAGUUUGCAUCAAAGCUUCUGUCAACGUAACAAACUUGUAUCAAAGCUUGGGUUAAAGAUUUCUAGAAGAGUAAAAGAUCAUAGAGCACACAAGAUGAAAACAAAAGGAAUUUUUAGUGAAAAUGGAGUCAAUUGCUCUCUCAUGGUGAUAUGAUAUAAAAAGUUUGUGUCAUGGAAAGUUUGAAGAUUUACUUCAUGGAAUCUGGUCCAAAAUGGAGAUUGUUAAUAAGUAUCCCAAAUUCCUAAUUAGUUUAGAUUUUUUUUUUUUGUAAAGAAUAUUGUAUAGAAUAUUUCUAGGUUAAUAUAUUAUUGUAAUAUUAGACUUCCUUAUAGAAUAAGGAAGGUUGUUGAAAAUAUCUUUAUAAAUAUUCUAGGUCAUGAGGGAAAAAAGUUAUGAGAUGAAAUGGGCCUGUAAAAACUAUAUGAGGUGGAUAGAGAUGUGAGGAAGAACAAGAGGUACUCAAUGGAAUGAAAGGGCUCGUGGUAGGGUAUGGAUACAAAGAGUGGGGAAAUAUGGGAUGUUUUGGGAACCUAAUAGUUGUAUCUGGUUCUGUCAUCUAUAAUGUUCUAGUUAUGUCCUCUAUAAUUGAUUCGUUCCCAAUUGGUGUCUCAGCUGAUUCAUGUCCUCUCCAUGGUCCCUGAUAGUGGUGCCAUUUGAUUCAUGUCCAGCUGGUGUCCCUUGAUUUUGGUCUUCAGGGAGUAAUCAACAAAAUUUAUAACCUAUUACACCAUGUACUAGGAUAGCCUUAGCUAGCAUAGCAUAGUGGCUCUAGGGUCGUUCACUGGGAUGGGUUUUCACUUCACAAUUGAUAUUAAUUCAAAGAUGAAUUGGUGCUUUUUCAUUUCAAGGUUAGCUUUAAAAGAAAACAUAAAGAUGUUUGAAUGAAAAAGGUUUUGUUUUAAACUAACCAAAAAUAAUAACUGAUUUUACUUACAAAGAAAAGUGUUUCUUGGAGUUUAGAUCACUGGGCUCAGAUUCCUUGUACAAAAAGGGAGUUCCGGUCACUUGUUUCUUUUCCUCGCAUUAGAGAAUUAACAUAUAGUUAAUUCUCUAACCGGUGUGGUACAGAUGCUUCCCCUUAAUGGGUUCAAACACUAAAUCCCUCUCACUGAUGCAACUUGCAAUGGCUCGUGCCUCUCACCUAGCAUUUGCCAUUCAAGGUGAUCUUUAACCUUGGAUUACCCUUCACAAGCUCGCAAGAGAUAACUAAUGGAUGUCUCCUUAGAGUCCAAAAGCUUACCAAGUGUUGGCAAUUCUAGAAAAUCAUACCUUCAAACCACCUCCCAAAAGCUCGCAAGAGGUAAACCAGUGCAUCUCCAUUGACGGAGAUCACUUGCCUAACCAAGUGUUGGCUCAAGUGAAUUGAAGGUGUUUUAAGUUAACUAAAAAGAUAAAAACCAUUAACGGGUCACACUUUCUCUUCAUUAAAAACUAAAACAACAAAACUUCCAAUUUAUGCAUGAGGAAACUUACCCGGCUUUCUUUCACUCCAAGAGACGAAGAGCCUAGCCUCUCAUCCUCUGAGAAAAAAUCCUCAGAGUUUGAUUGGCUAGAAAGAAAACUAACGAGAAAACAAAAAUAUAUAUAAGAAGCAGAGCAAAAGCUCUGUUCGUUGAUUACAUAUAUGAUAUAUGAUAUAUGAUGGAUCCUCUUCUUUACAUUGGUUCAAAGAUAUAUAUAGAGAAGAUAUUUUCUAAGAAAUAUCCCAAUAAUAUCUUUGACUAAUUACAAGGAGAAAAUAGAAAUUUACACAAAAUAUCUUGAGAGAAAAAAUCUAACUUAGUCGGUGGCAAAUAUCAGGAAGCUUCAGGAGAAUAUCGCGUCACUGUGCAAAAAUCCGGGUAAUCUGAAAUGCCGGCCGCGGAUGCUCUCCGGGUUAGCGCUAUUAGAAGAUCCGGACAUGCCUGUCUGGGGAGGUUGAAAUGCCUCUUCUUCCAUCCGGCGUCAGGCGUCGGAUUUGAAAUAUCUGAUCAGAGGAUCCUGACAUGUCUGACCGAACAGAAUUUCAGAUGUGAGAUAUCCGGACGUCGCAAGGGGGACCGUUUGCGUGUACAAGGUGUAGAGACCCUUCCCCCUGAUGACACGGAGCACGCAUCGCUAUCCAGAGCAACUCCAUCCGGAUUUCCCAAGAGGACACGCACCGCCAUGCUAUCCGGCACUCGUGAACAUCACACUCCGGAUGAUAGCAUAUCCUAUCCGGAUAUGUUGUCUGGAUCAUUGACUAAAGUGAGCAAGCCUUACUACAGCCCACGUUCCGCCGCUCUUCCAAUGGUGUGUCCGGACGCCCUGUCUGGACAUCUUUUUCCAUGGAUUCCAAAGAACUCUCCUCAAUCUCGGAUUGCUUUGGUGAUAAAAAAGCUAUCAAAACACCAAAACUUAACACAAUUUGAUUAGAAUUGAUUGCAAGGGUCCUUAAUAUGUUAAUUGGGUUAAAAAGUGAUAACUACUACUCAAAAGUGUUUAAAAGAGUUAAUUACAAGCUAUGAAAUAACACUUUUUGAGUAGUAAUCAAUAAUGUUCUCUAUUGUAUAGUGGAAUGAUUCUCUUUCAUUCGUGGAUGUAGGCAUGGUUGUCGAACCACAUUAAAACCUCGUGUACUGUUUGUGUUUUUUUUUUAAAAAAAAUUAAUCUUUGUUUCUUGAUUAAUGAUGUGUGCAUCAAAGCUUCCAUCUACGUAACAAACUGGUAUCAGAGCUUGGGUUGAAGAUUUUUGGAAUAGUAAAAGAUCACAAAGCACACAAGAUGAAAACAAAAGGAAUUUUUAGUGAAUGUGGAGUCAAUUGUUCUCUCAUGGUGAUAUGAUACAAAAAGUUUGUGUCAUGGAGGGUUUAAUGAUUGACUCCAUGGAAUUUGGUCCAAGGUAGAGAUUGUUAGGAAGUGUCCCAAAUUCCUAAUUAGUAUAGAUUUUUUUUUUAUAAAGAAUCUUGUAUAGAAUAUUUCUAGGUUGAUAUAUUAUUGUAAUAUUAGACUUCCUUAUAGAAUAAUGAAGGUUGUUGGAAAUAUUUUUAUAAAUAUUUUUAGUCAUGAGGGGAAAAAGUUAUGAGAUGAAGAUGAGCCUAUAAAGACCAUACGAGAUGGAUAGAGAUAUGAGGAAGAAUCGAAGGUACCCAGUGGAGCAAGAGGGCUCGUGGUAGGGUAUGAAUAUGAAGAGUGGGGAAACAUGGGAUGUUUUGGGAACCCAAUAGUUGUAUCUAGUUUUGUCAUCUAUAAUGUUCUGGUUCUGGCAUCUAUAAUGUUCUGGUUUUGUCCUAUGUAAUGUUCUUUAUUGUAUAGUGGAAUUAUUAUCUCUCAUCUGUGUAGACAAGUUGCUAAACCACGUUAAAACCUCGAAUACCAUUUGUGUUGAUUUUUUUUAUCUUUGCGUUCUUGAUUAACGAUGCUUGCAUCAAAGCUUCUACCAACGUAACAAUGUGCAACAUAUUUGAUAUAACUUAUAUUUUCUUAAGUAAUUGAACACUUUUUCUAUAAAUUUACUUGAUUAUCAAUGAAUACCUACAUAUACGGUAUUGACAUAGUUUGAUAAAUAUUUUAAAAUAGUAUUAGAAUGGCUUUUCUUUUUCCCAAUUAACAAAUUUAUCAAAUAUAUACAUACACACACACACACACACAUAAUACUCAUUAGUAUGUCUUUUAUGAAAAAACUAUAUUUGUUUAUUUGAAUUUAGUAGCCAUUCAACUCCUUAGUUACUCAUAAACUUUUUAUCACCUUCUUAAAGUCAAGUCAUUUACAAUUAUUUCUAUCUAGCCUUCUCCAUUAUAACAACUUUAUAAGAUAGUGAUUGAUUGGAAGAAUCUACAUGCCUUUGUUGAUAGGAUAAUUGUUUUUCUUUUUUUUUCGUAUUCAAAGAAUCUUGCUUCUGUUAUUGAAACUUUCAAAUCCUUUAUGUCAAGUUGUCUUAUAAUUCCCUAUUCAUUGGUCUUUCAUAUUACCAAUCAUUUUGAAAAUGAGUUAAUUUCAUUCACAUCCUCUGAGAUUUGAUGUAAAUUCGCUUAGUUACCAAUGAUUUCAAAUUUCAUUAAUUAGUACCCCUAUAGAUGUAAUUUGUGUACAAAAUUUAUUUUUUAAAAGAGUUUAGGUAAAAAUAUUUUAGGUAUAUGUCUUUAACAAUUCUCUAAAAUAAAUUUUACUUGCUAAAAAAUAACUUAUAUAGAUAGAAUACAUCUACAGGAGUUCUAACUAACGAAAUUUAAAACUAAUGGUGGUUUAGUGUAUUUAAACUAAACAUUAGGAAGGGUGACUGAAAUUAACCCUCUAGGUAUAUAUGUUUAACAAAAUUUUUAUUGUUUAUUUUUCAUUUAAUGUUUGCAUUUUUCAAUAAACAUUGAAAAGGAAUUGUUUUUCCAUAUGUUAACAAAAAGAAAUUUGAACACCUAUAAAAAUAAAAUCUUGUAGCAAAAUUGGAGUUACAUUAUCAGACUUUUAAUGAGUGUUUAUGUUUAGAAAGACCAAUUAAAGCAAGCAUGCAUCUAGAAAUUGUAACUUAGAUGCAUCAAACAUGAGCAACAUAUUUGAUAUAACCAAUAGUUUCUUAAGUAACUAAACACUUCUUUUUCUAUAAAUUUACUUGAUUAUCGAUGAAUACUUACAUAUAUUUACAUAGUUUGAUAAAUAUUUUAAAAUAAUAUUAGAAUAACUUUGUUUUUUCUCAAUUAUAUUAGAAAAUAAUAUAAAGUUACUUAUAAACUUUAUAUCAUUUUCUCAAAGUCAAGUCAUUUACAAUUAUUUCUAUCUAGCCUUCUCCAUUAUGACAACUUUUAUAUGAUAGCCGUUGAUUGGAAGAAUCUACAUGUCUUUUUUGAUAGGAUAGUUGUUUUUAUUUUUUUAUUUUUUUUAUUCCAAAAAUUUGCUUCUAUCAUUGAAACUUUCAAAUCUUUUAUGUAUAUUACCAAUCAUUUUACAAGUGAGUUAAUUUCACUUAGGGUAGAUAUACUUAGCCACACCCCUAUAGAUGUAAUUUGUGUUUAAAUUUUAUUUUUUAUUUAGGUAAAAAUAUCUUAGGUAUAUGUGUUCAACAAUUCUCUAAAAAAUAAAUUUUCUUAUCUAAAAGUUUAUAUAGACAAAAUACAUCUAUAGAAGUCCUAAUUAAUGAAAUUUAAAAUUAAUGGUUGUUUAGUGUAUUUACAUUAAACCUUAUGGGGUAUGAUUGAAAUUAACUCUUUUACAAGCACUUGUAGCUAAUAUGUUUGUAGUUGUAGUGUUGGAAAUUGAUCAUUUUCUUGAAGGCCUCUAAGAUAUUGAAAAUAUUGCCAUAGUUUUAGACUUUUUUUUAUUACACCUAAUAAAAAAUAUUAUUAAUUUAACAUAUAUAUUCUUGACUUAAAAGUAAAGUCUCUCCAUAUUGUAUAAGCCCUUAGGUGGCAAUAUUAGGUGAAGUUUUUCUUUCGUUUAUUACAAAAUAUAAAUAAUUUAUUAUUGUAUGAUAAAAUUUUAUGUAAUAUAUUUUUAUAGAUGUAAAAUUAUUAAUUGGGUUUUUUUUUUACUAAAUUGUCAUUUCAAUAUAUAAAACUUAUUUGUAAAAAGACAAUUAUAAACUAUAUGAAAUUGAAAAACAUUUAGUUUUUUUAUUUAAUUUAGAAUUUUAUUUGGAUUAAUAAUUGAUAUUUGUAAGAUUUUUUAAUAUUAAAAAAAGUUAGCAUACUUAAGAAAGAUAUUCAAGAUCGGGAGUGUUUGAUAUUGGAUUAAUUUCCUUAUUUUCUCUAUUUUAAUAAAUUUUCACGUCCAUUACAAAAUUUUUGUUGUUUAUUUUUCACUUCAAUAUUUUUAUUUUGUAAUAGACAUUUGAAAAGAUUUUUUCCUACAUGUUAAAAAAAAAAAUAUUUGAACACUCCUAAAAAAGAAUAUUGCUAUAAAAUUAAAGUUUACAUUGUAGGACUAUUAGCAAAUGCUAUAUACUUAAAAUAGACCAAUUAAAGUAGAAAUACUUCUAAAAUUGUAAUUUAGGUAACAAUAAUAUAAAAAGAUAAUAUUUUUGAAACAAUAGUUCUCUUGGAGUUUUGGGUACGAUGGACUAGACUUUAUGUACAAUAGAUAUACAAACUUUCCAUUAACAUCUUGAGAGACAUGAUGAGGAGCAAAGUCAUCCAAGAAGGUACCAUAGAGGUACCUUAGCUCCAUUCAUCUAGACUACAUAAUGUUUAAAGAUCAAAUUCAAUGACUAGAUUUCAAAAAUCAAUAUAAGCUUUCUCAUAUUCUACUCUAUAUAAGACAAUGGUAUGAUACCUCUCUUGUGUCGUAGAAUGCACCAUGAAAACCUUAUCAUUUUAACAUCAGUUUGAAACUUAAAAGUCACUUAGCACAUUCUAGUUAUUAAUCUAAGAGCAUUAAAAGAAAAUAUAAAAAAAGUUACUUUAUCCUUGUGAUUUUGAUUUAGGACUUUUAAUGAUAUUAAAAAAAAAAAACAAAACAGAAAAAUAAAUGGAAAUAAAAUCAACAAAUUAAACAAUUGAAUUAAGUUAGUUUAAUUCUUGCAUCGUUAAAUGGGUAAAUAAAGACUCUUAGAUUUGAUAUUAAUAUGAACAUCAUGACUUCAGUGAAUCUUACAAGAAAAUUUUAGUUUGAAAGACUUCAUUCAUUAAACGUGUGGCACAUAUUAAAGUAAAACUAAGUCUUCUCUAUAAUUUGUACCUAUCAUAGUUUCUUUCCUUAUAAAUAGCCUUUUUUGAAUAUAAUAUAGACUUCAACAUGCAUGGUGGGGCCAAUCAAACUACUAGUCAAGACAACUCAUGGGCAACAACGAUGUACCAACUACAUUUAAAUACUCUUCAUCUAUUUACAUAUCAAGAGUAAUUUAGUAGUGUCUUAUUUAUGUACCUCAUAUCUAGACUUUCAAUGGAGAGUUCUUCAUCUAAAAAUUUGACUUGGGUUUUCAUACUAGUUUUGGUUUAGACAUGUGGAUGCAAAGGUUGCAUCAAAGAAGAGAAGUAGGCUAAAUCAUCUUACAAAUUUUAUAGUUCAAAUUAGAUGCACCAAACAUAUGCAACAUAUUUGAUAUAACUAAUAUUUUCUUAAGUAAUUGAAUACAAUUUUUUUUUUAAAUUUACUUGAUUAUUAAUGAAUAACUACAUGUAUGGUAUUGACACAACAUGAUAAAUCUUUUAAAAUAGUAUUAGAAUAACUUUGCUAAAAAAAAGUAAAAAUAAAAAUAAAAAUACAUCUAUAUAUAAAAUUAAAUUAAAUUAAAAAUUAAAAAAGAAUAUAUAUUCUCUGUGUGUGUGUGUGUGCAUGGUCCCACAACUCAUUAGCUACUCAUAAGCUUUAUAUCACUUUCUCAAAGUCAAGUCAUUUUGUAAUUAUUUCUAUCUAGCCUUCUCCAUUACGACAACUGUAUAGGAUAUUGAUUGGUUGGAAAAAUCUUCAUGUCUUUUUUUAUAAGAUAGUUUUUUUAUUAUUAUUAUUAUUCAAAGAAUUUGCUUUUAUUAUUGAAACUUUCAAAUCCUUUAUGUCUAGUGGUCCUACAAUUCCCUAUUCAUUGGUAUUUCAUAUUACCAAUCAUUUUACAAAUAAGUUUAUUUCACCCGGUAAAUAUACUUAACUACUAAUGGUUUCAAAUUUAAUUGAUUAACACACUUAUAGAUGUAAUUUGUUUUUAAAUUUUAUUUUUUUAGAAGAAUUGUAGGUAAAAAUGUUUUAGGAAUAUGUGUUCAAUAAUUCUCUAAAAACAAUUUAUAUAGAUGGAAUACAUUCAUGUAAGUUCCAACUAAUGAAAUUUAAAACUAAUGACAAUUUAAUGUAUUUGCACUAAAUCUUAGGGGAGGUGUACUAAAACUAGCCCUUUUACAAAUAUUUGAUAUGAAAUUAAUUAAUUAAUUUUUUCUAUUUAAAUAAAUUUUUGCAUCCAUUAAUAAAAUUUUAUUGUUUAUUUUUCACUUCAAUAUUUUUAUUUUGUAAAAUAAAUAGAAAUAAAAUCAACAAAUUAAAAAAUUGAAUUAAGUUAGUUUAAUUUUGCCACCUUUAAAUUGGUAAAUGAAGACUCUUAUAUUUGAUAUUAACAUGAACAUCAUGACUUUAUUGAAUCUCACAAGAAAAUUUUAGUUUGAAAGAUUUUAUCCUUUAAACAUGUGACACAUAUUAAAGUGAGACCAAGUCUUCCCUAUAAUUUGUAUCUAUCACAAUUUCUUUCCUAAUGAAUAGCCUUUUUGAAUAGAAUAUAGACUUUAGCAUGCAUGGUGGGGCCUAGCUAUCAAACUACUAGUCAAAACAACUCAUGGGCAAGAAUGAUGUACCAACUAGAUUAAGUAUUCUCCAUCUAUUUGCAUAUCAAGAGUAAUUUAGUAGUAUCUUUCUUGUGUACCUCAUUUCUAGACUUUCAAUGGAGAGUUUUUUAUCUUAAAAUUUGACGUGGGUUUUCAUACUAGUCUUGGUUCAGAUAUGUGAAUGCAAAGGUUGCAUCAAAGAAGAGAAGUAGGCUAAGUCAUCUUACAAAUUUUCAAGUUCAAAUUAGAUGCAUCGAACAUGUGCAACAUAUUUGAUAUAACUAAUAUUUUACCAAGCAACUAAAUACUUUAUAUAUAUAUAUAAAUUUAUUGAUGAUCAAUGAAUACCUACAUGUAUGGUAUUGACACAGUUUGAUAAAUCUUUUAAAAUAGUAUUAGAAUAACUUUGCUAAAAAAAGUAAAAAUAAAAUAAAAUAAAAUAUAUAUAUAUAUAUAUAUAUAAAUAAACAAAAUAAAAAAUUUAAAAAGAAUAUAUAUAUUAGUGGUCCCACAACUCAUUAGCUACUCAUAAGCUUUAUAUCAUUUUCUUAAAGUCAAGUCAUUUACAAUUAUUUCUAUAUAGCCUUCUCCAUUGCGACAACUGUACAAUAUAUUAAUUGAUUGAAAAAAUCAUCAUGUCUUUUUUGAUAGGAUAGUUUUUUUUUUAUUCAAAGAACUUUCAAAUUCUUUAUGUCUAGUGGUCCUACAAUUCCCUAUUCAUUGGUAUUUCAUAUUACCAACCAUUUUACAAAUAAGUUAAUUUCACUCGAUAAAUAUACUUAACCACCAAUGGUUUCCAAUUUGUAGCAUUCUUAUAGAUGUAGUUUGUUUUUAAAUUUUAUUUUUUAGAAGAAUUGUAGGUAAAAAUAUUUUAGCUAUAUAUGUUCAACAAUUCUCUAAAAACAAUUUAUAUAGAUGGAAUACGUUCAUGGAAGUUCCAACUAAUGAAAUUUAAAACCAAUGAUGAUUUAAUGUAUUUGUACUAAAUCUUAGGGAGUGUGGACUAAAAUUAGCCCUUUUACAAAUAUUUAUAACUAGUAUAUUUGUAGUUGUGGUAUUGGAAGUUGAUCAUUUUCUUAAAAGGUUUACCAUUGAAGUUAGUUGAAUAUAAAGUUAGGUGAACUUUACCAUUGUUAAAUUGGUAAAUGAAGACUCUUAGAUUUGAUACUAACAUGUACAUCAUGACUUCAUUGAAUCUCUCACAAGGAAAUUUUAGUUUGAAAGACUUCAUCUUUUAAACAUGUGGCACAUAUUAAAGUGAGACCAAGUCUUCCCUAUAAUUUGUAUCUAUCACAAUUUCUUUCCUCAUAAAUAGCCUUUUUGAAUAGAAUUAAUAUAGACUUUAGCAUGCAUGAUGGGCCCUAUCAAACUAUUAGUCAAGAUAAUUUGUAGGUAAGAACGAUGGACCAACUAUAUUAAAUACUCUUCAUCUAUUUGCAUAUCAAGAGCAACUUAAUAUUGUCUUUCUUUUGUACUUCAUGUUUGAACUUUCAAUGGAGAGUUUGUCAUCUAAAUAUUUGAUGUGGGUUUUUAUACUACUCUUGGUUCAAAUAUGUGGAUGCAAAGGUUGCAUCGAAGAAGAGAAGAUGGGUUUGCUUGAAUUCAAGGCUUUUCUUAAAUUGAAUAAUGAGCAUGCAGAUUUUCUUCUCCCUUCAUGGAUAGAUAACAACACUAGUGAAUGUUGUAAUUGGGAGCGGGUUAUUUGCAAUCCCACCACAGGUCGAGUUAAGAAGCUUUUCUUCAAUGAUAUAACGCGACAACACUUGGAAGACAAUUGGUACUAUUACGAAAAUGUCAAAUUCUGGUUACUAAAUGUCUCCUUAUUCCUUCCUUUUGAAGAACUUCACCAUCUAAACUUGUCUGCAAACUCAUUUGAUGGGUUUAUUGAGAAUGAAGGUAUGUUACCUCUCACCUUUAAAUUUUCUUUUCACUUAUACUCCAAACAUUCUAAAGGAACUACUAGCAUAUGUUCUUAAAAGUGUUCAGGUGGAGAACAAAUGGUCACUAGUAACUAUUGAAUUUAAUAUAAGAACAAUUACUAAUUAUUAAAAUUUAUAAUGUAAAUUAACAUUUAAACAGAACAAUAAAAAAAUUAUUAUUUUAGAAAACUAUAGAUUACAUUAGCCUUAUAUAUAUAAGCAUACUUGUUAUUUAUGUCAUCAUUUCACACUCAACCCAAUAAGUGGGAUUCAACUAAGAGUGAGCAAUUUCACAAUUAUUAAUUAACAGGAACACUUAGGCUCCCAUAUCCUUAUCAUUUUUGCUGAAUUGUCUUUCCUUAUCUUCCAUUCCUAAAAAGCUUGAUUUCUAUAUUCCAAAUUGAUAGAGAUUGGUUAAAGAAAGGUGAUCACAAAAUUUGACUAUUGCUUUCAAAUGAGGAAUCACCAUCUUCAAAAUUUCACAUUUACAAAAAAAAUAAAUAAAAUAAAUAAAUAAAUAAAACUAGCCUCGGGUAAGGUCCAAGCCUUAUUGUUUUAAGCUGAUGUCAGAUUGGUUUAAUAAUGAACAGAGUAAAUCCUAACCCAUGACCAUCUACGCAUUUCCAAAUUCCACCCAUCCACAACCCAUUAAUAUGACAUUUUCAGGGACAAAAUUUAAUCAAUUAAACCUAUUAGAUGGAUUCUCCAUACAAUGUUAAAAUGAAUAUAAAAACUUUAAUUCAAAAAAUAAUUUCCUUUAUUUAGUUAGGAUUCAAAUUAUAGGGGCACAAAACAUGAAAAUUUUCAUGUUUAAAAUUCACAAAGAUCACAAAAGCUCUUUGAAGCUCUAUGGACUUUUUUAUUUCUAACAUUUAAACACAAAAAUCACCAAAUUUAAUUAGAGAUUUGGAUGCAUAUUCUUAUAUUAAAGACAUGUAAGCUUACAUAUUUAAAUAUGAAGAUCUCAACUUGUAAUUACAUGCUUCUAAUUAAAGUUAUAUUACUCUAUUUUACAGGAUUUAAAGGGUUAUCAAGUUUAAAGAAAUUGGAGAUCUUGGACAUAAGUGGUAAUGAGUUUGACAAAAGUGCCUUAAAAUCUUUGGGCACAAUAACAUCACUCAAGACAUUGGCUAUUUGCAGCAUGGGACUGAAUGGAUCUUUUUCCAUUCGAGGCAUGUUAUAUGUCCACAUUGUUUCUUUGAAAUUAAGUAAAAUAUAUUUCUAACUUUUAAUGUUCCUUAGUUAAUCUCUCUUUUGAUUCAUGUUUGUUGCAGACUUAGCUAGUUUGAGAAAUUUGGAAGUGUUGGAUCUAAGCUAUAAUCAUUUGGAAAGCUUUCAACUAUUGCAAGGUACUUCAUUAACUUGCUAAAAAAACUUACGAUAUUUUGUUAUUAAAUUAAAGGUAAGAUUAACAAACAAUUUCUUCUCAUUAGUUACUUUUCUUUGUAAUAUCAUUAAAUUUGAUAUAAUGUAGUCUAAAUCAUCCUUUCAAUUUAUAAGUUUUAAUUAAAACGCAUCAAGCAUGCACAAGAUGUUUAAUAUAACUAAUAUUUUCAUAAGUAAUUGAAUUUUUUUUAUGAAUUAAUUAACUUGAUUAUCAAUAAAUGCUUACAUGUAUAAGAUUAAUAUAGUUUCAUAAGUAUUUUAAAAUUGUCUUACAACACACACACACACACACAAGGAAAAUGAAAGGUAUGUGAUACCUUUAUGCUAUGUUUGGUUCUCAAAAAAAAUUGAGGGAAAAUGAAAGGAGAAAAAAAUAGAGAGGAAAAGUAAAAGAAAAGAAAAGAAAAAAAGUGAAGAAAAAUAUAAAAUUGAUUAAAGUAAAUACAUUAUUUUUAUAUGUUACUUUAACUUGUUUCACUUAUUUUAAUUCUUCAAUGUAAAGAUGAAAGAUUUGAAAAUGCAUAAGUUUCUAAUUAUUUUUUUAUUUUAUUUUAUAGUUUUUACAAUACAACCAAACAUAAUAAAAUCAUUUUCUUUAAUUUUUUUUCUUUUCUUAAUACUUUUCACGAACCCUUAAGUUAUGUUUGGUUUGCAGAAAAUAUGAGGAACAGAAAAUAGAAAAGAAAAUUAAAAGGAAAGAAAAAGUGAAGUAAAAUAAAAAUAAAUUUAAAUUUAAUAAAUUAUUUUUAUAUGCUACUUUAAACUUAUUUCACUUAUUUUAAAUUAUUUAAACUCAUUUCUAAUAAAUAAUAAUGGAAAUUGUAGAGAAGUUUGUGUUAUUCAAGCUUUGCAAUGACUUUUCAAGGUGAAGGAAAAUAUUCUUGCUGAAAUUGAAGAAGGAAAUACCUUCUUAAAUAGCCUAUUGACCGAAAACACAUUACCCUAACAUAUACACACACCUUUAUUAUUUAUACAAUCAUUUAAUACUUAAUCCCGUUAGUGGGAUUCUAGUGGUUGUUUCUAUCUUGGUUUCCAAUAUUUCUGAUUGAUAGUGUUGGAUUAAUGAAAUAUCAUAAAUUUUGACCCCAAUAAGGACCAAUCCCUAUUAAAUGUAAUUGGGUUGACCUAAGACUAAAUGUUAGACCCAACUAAUAAAAACCCAUCUGUUUGUUGGAGUCUAAAUAACCCAGCCUUAGGUAGGGCCCAUGCCUUAUUAUUUUAAGAUGUAGUCCAACUGGUUUGACACUGGAUUGAGUAAAGCCCAACUUAUGAGCAUCUGUGCAUUUCCAUCCAUCCACAACCUACUGGCAUGGACAAACUUUGGUCAAUUAAACCUAUUAUAAAUGUAUACAAAAUUUUAAGUUCAAAAGAUAAUUUUUCUUAUUUAGUUAGGAUUCAUAUUAAAAAGGCACAAAGCACGAAUUUUCAUGUUUAAAUUCACAAAUAUCACGAAAGCUCCUUCAAGCUCUAUGGACCAUUUUAUUUGUAACAUUAUAUUACUCUUAAUUAUCAAAUUAACCAACAAAUUCUUCUCAUUAGUUAUUUUUCUUUUGUAGUGUCAUAAAAUUUGAUGUAAAGUAAUAUUGGUCAUCAUUUCAACUUUCAUGUUCCAAUUAGAUGCAUCAAGCAUGUGCAACAUAUUUGAUAUAACUAAUAUUUUUAUAAGUAAUUGAAUUUUUUUUUCUAUAAAUCAAUUAACUUGAUUAUCAAUGAAUACUUUCAUACAUGAUAUUGAUGUAGUUUCAUAAAUAUUUUUAAAUAGUCAUAGAAGUCUUUUAUCUGAUUCACUAGAAAGAAAAAUAAACUAUUCUAAUGAAAAUACUUGAUGAUUUGAAGUGAUUGCUUUUGAUUUUAUUUGAUUGCUACCAUUAUUAAUUGUUAGAAAUUGGCAACAAAUACCCAUUUUGCAUCACUUCUAUAUGCAUCGAGGGAAUGAAUUAUAUUUCAUAGAGCUAACAGGGCAAAACUCAUACUUUUGGAAUUAUGGAAAAGGUUGCUAGAAAGCUAAUUAACAAUUUAUAUUAUGAUUAAGACUAGUUGGGUUAGAAAUAAUUCAUAUGGAGAUUAAAAAAAACUAUGUAAUUUAGUUUAGUAGCUUGGGUGCUAUUGUAAUGAUUAAUGAUCUGCAACUUGAACACAUCUACUAGUGCUUUCUACUUGUAUAGCUAAAUUUAUGUUACCACUUUGAACUACAGUACUUACAUGAGAAGAAAGCUUUUCCUUAGUGAUAAUGCAAAAGAAAUUAAGUAUCAAUUUUUGUUAAACUAACAAGUGAUAGUUUAGAUAUGUUUUGAAUACACUUCCUUUCUUCUAUUUUUUUAUUUUGAAAAAAAAAACUCUUUAAUGAAAUAUAAGAAAUCUUAUAUGUAUAAAAAGUAAAGACUUAAACAAAAAAAUUCUUCAAAUUUUAAAAAUUUCGAGAAGUAUUUUUAAGAAUUUGUAUUUUUAGUAUAAUAAUUCCUAUAUUUUGUAUAAAAGCUUUUGUUCAAAAAAAUAGAAGUGUAUCCAAAUUAAAAAUUAAUGGUUAAAUUAAGAAUGUUUCUCAGAUCAAGGGAUAAUGAAAGUUGUAGAGAGUUUGCAUUACUCAACCUUUGCAACUACUUUUUGAAGGUAAAAGAAAAUACCUUCUUACAUAACAUACAAUGGCAAGUUCUGGUUUGUAAGAAACUAAUAAAUGAUUAAGAAUAUGAAUAAGACUUCCUUAAUAAUAGAUAUGUAGAGAAGAAUAGUGGAUGAUAGGAGGUGAAAAUCUUGUAAUAAAAUAUCAAUAUCGGUUAUAAGAUAAUCAACAUUUUCUUGUACCUAUGUGAUUAAGAAUCUUGUAGCUCCCUUAUUGAAAUAUAAUAUAAAAAUAUAAAUAAACUAUUUAGAAGUGCAUGUAGUUUUCAACAUGAGGAAGUUCAAAAGCAAGUUAAUUAUGAUAAUUUUCUAUAGUCUAUAUUGAACACAAAUUAUUUUUUCUAAAGGUUCAAUCGUUCUAUGAAGGUUAAAAGUUUGAAUUGUUUACAUAUGCAAAUGUGAAAUUUGAAAUUUUAUAAUGUUUUAUAAUUUUCUUGUAGAUUCAAAAAACUUGUCCAUAUUCAAAAAGCUCGAGACCUUGAACCUCAAUCACAACAAGUUCAAAAACACUAGCCUACAACAAUUGAAUAUAUUUACAUCCCUUAAAAAUCUUUCUCUAAGACGGAACUAUGAUGGAGGAUUUUUUCCGAUCCAAGGUAUGUGUAAUUAUUAUUAUUAUUUUUAAUGAUAAAAUAUUAGAAUUGUCAACAUCUUUUAUCUUUUUUCCCCUCAAUGGUGUUGCAGAAUUAUGCACUCUAGAAAACUUGGUGAUGUUGGACCUAAGUGGGAAUUUCUUUAUUGGCAUGCAAGGUAAAUACAAAGUGAAGUUUUGGUUAUAUAUAUAUAUCAUGUAAGAACAUAACUAAAAUCAACAUUCUUUGCCUAUCAAUUUGUGCAUGACUAUUAUUUAGUUAUUCUUCGUAACAUAAUUGAAAGAAUGUUUAGGUGUAUAACAUUUAAGAAUUUUACAUGGCACAAUGAAAAACAUGGUAAUCAAUGUAUGCAAUAAAAUUCUAAUAGUUGAAAAAGAAUUUUCUUGUAAUUUUAUGUUCGUGUAUAGUAAUCAAAGAGAAAAUCAUGAAAAUGUAUAUUAGUUAGACUUUAUAUAUCAAUAGACAAAAAAGAAAGAAAAAAGAUUAGUUCCUUAACUUAUCCUAAAAUUUUCUAGAUAACAAGGAGUUUUUUUAUUUUGGGCUAUAAGAUUUACAACCUGAAAAGUGAAGAUGAUUAAUAUUAGUAAUAUAAUUUUGAAAUAUAAAAAUUAAUGAAAUAAUGUUCUCUAUAACUAUAACUGCAACUGCAACUAUUAAUAAAAGAUAAUAAAAGUACUUUAGACUUUGAAUCCAUGGUUAGGUUUGCAAUUUUUUGAUGAUCAAUAAAGCUACAACUUAUGCUGCAAAAGGCUAUACAAAAUGUAUUAGGAGCAUUGCUAAGCUCAUUUAUCAAUAAAAGAAAUCCAGUAAUACUUUGAUUGGAAAAAACCUAGAAUCAUGUUUGAUAUAUAUAAUAGGAGAAGAAACAAAAUAACAAUUCCAUGGUAUUAGUUAGUUUGAUAUCCCUUUUGUUAUAUGGAAUAACUAUUCCAUUUUAAAAUAAUUAUUUCAUCUUAUCGCUAGAACAAAAAAUUUCAAGCAAUUAUAUGCGCUUUUGGGUUUCUUAAGAAUUUAAGCAUUUAUGGGUCACCCAUAUAUACAUAUAUAUAUAUAUAUAUAUAUAUAUAUAUGUAGGAAGAAUAAAAAAAAAUAUUAUACGGAGACAAGGGUAGACACCCAUAUAUAUAUAUAUAUAUAUAUAUAUAUAUAUAUAUGUAGGAAGAAUAUAAAAAAAUAUUAUAUGGAGACAAGGGUAGACACCCAUAAAUGUACAUAUAAUUAUUUAAAUAAAAAAUCAAUAAGAAACAAUAUACAACAAAAUAGAAAAUUUUAAUCUUCUUAAAUUUUAAAAAUAAAAACUAAAUGAAAAAAAAUUAAGAAGUAAAAAUAAUAAUAAAAAGGUCAAGAAUACAAAUAGAGAAGUAAACAAAAAAAAUACAUAAAUUAAAAUUAAAAUUUAAAAGAAAAAAUACAUAGAUUAAUAUGAACACUAAAUGAGGUUUUUUGAGAUAGACUUAGUUAGACCUGAACCAGAUGGAUAUUAAAAAAAAUAAAAAAAAAUUGAAAGAAAUAAAAACUAAUUAGAUGCUAAAUAUUGGAUUAAAAUAACCAAAUGAAUAAAGAGUAAUUAUUAAUUUUUAACAUUUUUUAUUCCCUAGAAUUAUUAUUUUGUGUAUUAAAUGUAUUCUGAGUGUAGUGGUAUAAAAAAUGUAGUUAAGAAUACUAUGAAGAAUAAUAAUGGUGAUGAUAAUGGUGACGACACUUAAUACCUUUUAUUGUACGUUUAGAAAAAAUGAGGUUCUUGAUCUUUAUGGAGAUUAUCAUUACUCAUCCGCAAGCAUGUUGAUAGUUGAAACUACUCAAUUAUCAAAAAUUGAAUUUCUAACCUUCAAUUUUUCUCUCUCAAAUGUAUAUGUGGGUGAGAAAGCACUAGGAAGAUUAUAAGGUCUCACAUGUAUAUGAGUCAUAGGAUAAAAAAUAUAGAGACAAUACUAGCAUUUAUUUGAUCUAGUGGCAAAUAGAGAAAUAUAAAAUAACCAUAACCAUAAUGUUCUAACCUUAUAUAUACCAGAACCAUGUUUCCUUCAUUCAAUGUUGCAACUUUUUCUUUUCAAAUUAGAAUGUAACUUGUAGGAUCCAUUGCCCAUCAAAAUUUUGAAUCGAAUAUUAUAAGAUAUUUCACAUUUCUACCUACUAAAGCAUGAGCUUCAAUGUUCUCAUGCACUUUUGGCUACUAAGUUAAAGAACCCUUUGAGGAUUAAUGGAGUUUCUAUGAGUAGCAAAGCAUUAUAAUCAGAAAGUCUUAUCAGUGAUAUGCAAUUUGACCAAGAACUUAUUCCCAACUAUUUUAUGAAUUUUAUGACUUUUCUUGGCUACUUGUAGGCAAGCUAAAGAAAUUUUCUGGUUUGUUCAAGUCUAAAAAGUGGUUUCAAGUUUAGGGCCAAGCUUGGGCUGCACCUAGGUCCUUGGGCCUUGUUCAGCUCCACGUUUAAACCAACCUUGAGUCCAUCUUUGUAAUUUUUCUCCCAAUUCAUUGAUUAAUAUUAGGAUUUUAUAGAGCCUAUAAAUUGACCAACUAAAUAAAGUAGGUUCAUAAACUUUUAGGUGAAAAUUUUCUCUUUAAUAAAUGUUAAUUCAAGAGUCUCCGUAAUCUUUUUAUAUUCAUAUUAAUUGGUAUUUAAACCGACCUUACUAUAUUAAAGUCAAAUACCAAAUAGUGAACACUAUAUCUACUACUACCACUAUGAUGGUCACAAACAUAGAAUGCUCCAUUUUUUAGAGUCAAUUGAUGCUUAUAAACAACUUUGUUUGAAAAUAAAACACAUCGAGUGAUUGCAUCAAGAGAUUGAUGUAAUAAUUGCAUACUUGAUCUAGAUAAUGUUAAUAUGAGUUGACUAAAUAAAUGAGUAUUUACUUAUAAGGUAGCCCAUAGAACAUUAUUUGUGGAAAUAUUCAUGCACCUCUACAUAUGUUCAUGAUAACUUAGGUUGAUAAAUUUAAGAAGAACAAAUUCAUAACCUUGGGCAUAGUUAGUAAGAAAUUUCACCAAUAGAGUUUGGUAUCAUGAUUCUAAUUGUUCAAAUUGUUUUAAAGGAGUAUUUUAAAUUGCAUGUUAAUUUGCUUCUAAUAAAUGGAGAGAAACCAAUUCAAGAAGAGAAUUGUACUCAAGCUAUGUAUAGCAUUCAUGAAGAUGUAGAAAAUAUUGAUGAACUUACUUUUGAGCAAGUUGAAAUCAUAAUUAAAUAAAAUAACAAACCCAAGGGUUAAGAUUGUCAAGUAAAACUUUAAUUAAAAUUUAUUGAUUUUUUAAAUGCCUAUUAGAGGAGCAAUAGAAGUUCUAGAUAGAAAGUAAGAACUUUUCUAAGGAAUCACUUGUUAGAUUUUAAGUGAUCAAUAAAUAUAAUGUCCAAUUUAAAACUUUUAUAAAAGCAAUGGUUCUAAAGAAUAACUUGAUUUGAAUUUAAAGUUAUUAUUGAUAUUUAUUUAUAAUGGAUGUAGUUAAUCAAUUGAACAUAGUAAAAAACACAUAAUUUUUUCAAAAUACCUUCUAAUUGUUGGGUAUAUUUAAGUAGUUAUUCAUAUCUCAUUAUCUUUUUACUCACAUACUAAUCUCCUUAUUGAGUAUUUACCAAUUACAAGUAGGUUGAAAGUUACUUGAAUUUAAGUCACUAAUCAAUGUUAACUUGAUGACAAAUAAGUCUCCCUUUGAAACUUGUUUUAUAACAUAGCGAAAUGUAGUCGAUCAAUCAUCAAAACAAUGUUUAAGCAUUGGGAUUUAGUUGUUAAUUUUUAUUUUUUAUUUUUUGUGCUUAAACAAAGACAAAAAUUAUAAAAACUCCUGAAAAGUACAUAUUAAUUGAAUUUAAUUUAUACAUCAAACAAGAACAAACUAGUCUUGGAUUUAAAAUUCAAUAGGUUUUGUAAUUAUAAUUCCUAAAAAUUUGUAAGACAACAAAAUUAUUGGACACUAGGCUAUUGGGUGUGUAUGACUAAGAGGUGAAGGAGGGUUCAUCUUAUACAAAGGAUGAUUUGAUUAAUUUUAAAGAUUGAAUAAACAAUAAUUGCAUAUUCAAGUAAAAAUAACAUUGCUAAAAAGGAAAAUAAGUAUUUUAGUCCUCAAACCUAAAAUGGCUAAAAAAUUUAAUUAAUACAAUUACAACUUCACCUACAAAAAAAAAAAAAAAAAAAUACCCAAAACUUUUCAAUAGCACAACUAAGUCCAUUUAUCAAAAGCUCUAUGAACAACAACAACUAUCAAAUCACAUAAAUCAUGUUGUUUACAAAGUGCCCUUGAUGUUUUAAAACAUAAGAUAUUACAUAAAAAUCAACCAAUAGUGUAUGACAUUAUAAAAAACAUAUCCAAAUCCAUUGUCGAACUUAAACUAAAUUCAACUUUAUAUACAUAGUCGCAAGUGGGUCUUUUUGUCUUUCAAUUUGGGUCAAAUUCAGAUGUUAGUUUUUUACACAACAAGGGAUUAUCAAGGUGAUAAUUCAUGCAUAUAAAUAGUAUUACUUAUAUAAAAAAAAUGGUAAAUGCAAUUUUUUUGUAUUCACUCACCAUUUGGCAUAUCAAUAAGAAAAAAAUAUAUACAAUAGGUGCUAUCAAUAAUAUUAUGCAUCACUAGAAAUUAUAAUUUUUCAUUUGUUAUCACUACUUGUGCACUUUGGAAAGCUUGCUAGGUACAACAAAUUAGCUCAGUGAAGAAAUUGAUCAAUUCCUUCAUUUCUAAAUAAAUUUGCAUAUACACUAGAAUAAAAACAACUUUUUAACUUAACAAGUUGACUGAGUCUCAGAACUUAGUAGGUUGAAGGCAUAGACUUCCAUCCAAGCUCAUUUACUGGCACCACAUGUUGGAAAAAUAAAGAAAAAUCAAAACACUUGAGUAUAGUUGCAAACCAAUCUAAAUAUAGAGUGAGAUCUACCUUUCUUUGAAAGUUUAGAACAAAUUUUUAUUUUUAUGAUAAGACUAUGCAGUACUUAUCCCUCUCUAACAAGUCUAUAAUCAGUCCAAAGCAUGGGAUAUUGCAUAUUUCUUGAACUCAAUUAGCCUUUAAUCCAUGCAUUUCAAGUAAAUUUAAAACCUGGUGUACUUGUUCUUGAUUCACAUCCUUGUCACUAUUAUCAUUACUUGUUCUUGAAUAUAGAACCUUAUUGUCCAUUAACAAGCGGGCCUAUGUUCCUCCAUGAUUCAAGAGUAUUAUGUUUUGUUCAUCAUCAGUUGGUCUUGCUCUAAAGCUUCUUUUUUAUGACUAUCAAUAACCAGACUUAGAUACCAAAAUUUAUGCAAGAGAGCAUGUACUUUAUACAGUCAAGAACUUGUGAGUCUAGACUUUGUUAUCUAGGUAAAAGAAUAAAUUGGUUUGUUAAAAUAGCUAGCAUUAGGUAUCUAUUCAAUUCCUAUCUUAGACAAUAAAGAUACAAAUGAUCAAAUACAUUCUUAUUAAGAAACAUUUGAUACCAAAAGUGAUGUAAGACAACACAGUUCCUCUAUUCAAUCAAGUUUAAGGCUUAGAUGAACCUAUGAAUUUAUAUUAAUUAAUUGGGAAAGAGAAUAAAUAGGCUAAGUAGAAGUGAUAGGAUUGUAAUAGCAUUAAGUUAAUGAUCUUGUUUAGGUCUUCUACUAAAUUAGAGAAGAAACAAACAAAAGUAAUCAAACGUGUUAGUGAUAAUUAUAUCUACUUAACAUUGAGACAAUAGUUGUACUAAUGGUAAUUAUAUUAUUUCUUGAGAGUUUAAACAAUAUAUAUUGAAAAUAUUUUUAAAGGUUUAGCAACUACCAAGGUUAUAAUCAACUACGAGCUUUUUAUUUUUAAAAAUAUGAAAUAUUAAUAUCUUUACUUUCUUUGAUCUUCUUGUAGGUUUUAAAAGUUUGUCUAAGCUGAAAAAGCUGGAAAUCUUAAACCUUCGUGAUAAUCAGUUCAACAAGACCAUUAUAAAACAGUUGAGUGGACUCACAUCCCUUAAAACACUAGUUGUAAGCUACAACUAUAUUGAGGGACUUUUUCCUUCCCAAGGUAUUGCUUAUUCUUUUAAUAUCCUUAGUAACCACUCUACCAUGAUUUUUUUUUUUUUCAAUUUUAUUUUCUUUCUUGAACCAUACAGAAUUAUCUAUUUUUGGAAACUUGAUGACACUGGAUUUAAGAGAUAAUAGACUCAAUGGCUCCCUAUCAAUCCAAGGUAAAUUCUAAUCAGAAUUAUCAUUAUAUUUAGGGCAUAUAAUAAAUUAAUUAAAUUAUUUUAUCUAUUAUCAUUACUUGGUUAUUUGGAUUUUCUUGAUAUUGUUUAGCAUUUUACAUAGGAAAAUGAAAUGGAAAAAUCAACCCAUGCUUAGUGUUUAAGCACUGGGCUAGAAGUAUAUUUGUCUUCCCAAUUUAAUCAAAGAGAAAAGUCAUAAAUAACAUAAUUUAACUUAUACCUUAUAUUGAUUGAAGAGGUUAGACUACUUUUGGAUUUAAUGGUCAAUAUUUGUUGAAGAUAGGGUUUCCUAAAUUUGAUAAAAAGAACUUCAAUUUAAAUUACCAUAACUACAUAAAGGUGUGACUAGCAUAAUUAAACUCUUUUAUUAAUAGAUGUUCAUAGACUAGUAUUAUAAUCCCACAUGCACAAAUAAUCAAAUUUUGAAAUUAGACUUCAAAUAACUAUGCAAUAUACGAAACUACAAAAUGAAUGGUAGGUCAUAAUUAAUUAAAUUCGUACUAUAUUCAAUGUUGGUCAACACGUGUCAAGUAAAAGUUUUGGCCUAAGUGUAAGGGCUCACUUGCUCCAAUAUAUAUGUUAUUCACUUUGGGUCAAGGCCUACUUUAAAAUAUCUAUACAUUUAUGAGAUAUUUUAAAAUGUAAAAUGAUAGGUUUUGAUCAUUUUUAAAGGUAGCAAACAUUUUAUUUUAUUUGUAUUUAAGAACAACGUCUUUUCUUAUACAAUGUUUAUUUAAUUUUCUUUUGAUAGAUUUUGCAAGCUUAAGCAAUUUGGAGAUAUUGGAUUUGAGUUAUAAUUCCUUCAAUGGAAUUGUUUCAUCAUCUAUAAGAUUAAAGUCUUCUCUCAAGUCUUUAUCCUUGGCUGGAAAUAGACUCAAUGGUUCUUUACAAUGUCAAGGUAGGAAACAUUUAAUUUUAUUUGUAUUUAAGAACAAUGUCUUUUCUUAUAUAAUGUUUUUUUAAUUUUCUUUUGAUAGAUUUUGCAAGCUUAAGAAAUUUGGAGAUAUUGGAUUUGAGUUAUAAUUCCUUCAAUGGAAUUGUUUCAUCAUCUAUAAGAUUAAAGUCUUCUCUCAAGUCUUUAUCCUUGGCUGAAAAUAGACUCAAUGGUUCUUUUCAAUAUCAAGGUACAUAUGUUAUGCUUUCUUUGUUUCAUAAAGAUUAGACAAGAUAAACAUUGUGAAAAAAAGGUUGUCAUAGUUAAUGUAAAAUGAUAGGUUUUUGAUCAUUUUUAAAGGUGGCAAACAUUUUAUUUUAUUUGUAUUUAAGAACAAUGUCUUUUCUUAUACAAUGUUAUUUUAAUUUUCUUUUGACAGAUUUUGCAAGCUUAAACAAUUUGGAGAUAUUGGAUUUGAGUGGUAAUUUCUUCAAUGGAAUUGUUUCAUCAUCUAUAAGAUUAAAGUCUUCUCUCAAGUCUUUAUCCUUGGCUAGUAAUAGACUCAAUGGUUCUUUUCAAUAUCAAGGUACAUAUGUUAUGAUUUCUUUGUUUCAUAAAGAUUAGACAAGAUAAACAUUGUGAAAAAAAGGUUGUCAUAGUUAAUGUAAAAUGAUAUGUUUUGAUCAUUUUUAAAGGUGGCAAACAUUUUAUUUUAUUUGUAUUUAAGAACAAUGUCUUUUCUUAUACAAUGUUAUUUUAAUUUUCUUUUGACAGAUUUUGCAAGCUUAAACAAUUUGGAGAUAUUGGAUUUGAGUGGUAAUUUCUUCAAUGGAAUUUUUUCAUCAUCUAUAAGAUUUAAGUCUUCUCUCAAGUCUUUAUCCUUGGCUGUAAAUGGACUCAGUGGUUCUUUACAAUAUCAAGGUACAUAUGUUAUGCUUUCUUCGUUUCAUAGAGAUUAGAGAGGAUAAACAUUGUAAAAAAAAAAAAGUUGUCAUAGUUAAUGCAAGCUAAAACUAAAAAACUUGCUUUUUCAAUUAUGUAAGCAUGUUUUGUUCUUGAUGAAUCUUUACAACAUUCAAAGUUACUAAUAUUUAUAAUUCAUAGAGACCUCAUUAACAACCACUAACAACUAAUUGUAAGUAACUAUGAAAAAAGUAAGGACAAAAAUGAGGGAAAAGCAAGGAAAGUGACAAAUUUUUUCAUCCCCAUAAAAAAUGCUAAGGAAGAAAAAGGUGAAGAAAAUUUAAAGAAAGUAUAUUUUUCAAAAAUUAAAUUUUCUUUCCCUUAAAGUUGGUAUGGACAACCAAACAAGAAAAUGAUUUUGAAAUUCUUUUUUGACUUUUUUCUUUCAUUUUUUUUCCUACUCUAUUUUCUUUCCCUCAAACUUUCUAGGUAGUAAACAUUACCUAAGACAAAUAGGGAAGAAAAUAUUUUAUCAUUUAUUUAUUUAGCAUUUUUCUUACAUUUUUUGUAUUUUAUCCAAAUAUAAGAAAACUAUUUUUCUUUAUUUUUUCUUUUCCUUGUUGCGUUUCAAGAAUCAAGCAUACUUUAAACUCUAAUUAAGAGUUACAUAGAUUUACGAAGAAACGAUGCAACUGGUAACAAAAAAUUAAGGAAAUUUAAUUUUUGAGAGUAAGUAUAAUGAGAUUGGUUUGUUUGAUACAAAAUUUGAAUAAAAAUUCUUUUAAUGAAAAUUCAAGGAAAGGAAAAAAAAAACAACUUUAUCUCUAGACUAUAAUACUAAAUCAAUUAAAAAAAAUCUCCUAACAUCGUUUAUGUUCAUCUUUCUUUUUAUGGAUUUGAAAAACUCAAUAAUUUGGAGAAAACUGAUUUAAGGAAGAAUAUUUUUUAGAGUAAAAGAUUAUUAUUUAAGAAUAUCAUAAAUAUUAUAGUCAUUGUUGAAUAUGAUAAAUGAUAAAUAAAAAAUAAAAAAUAAAUAAAAAGUCGUUGGAAAUUUAGAUACUUUUAUGGAAAGAUAGACAAAGUGCUCUAGUUUAUAAUACUAAUGCACUUUUCUAAUUUGAUAUGAAAAAAGGUAAAACGAUAGGUUUUGAUCAUUUUUAAAGGUAGUUUGUUUAAAUCAUUUUAAUUUAUUUUGAUUUAUGAACAAUAACUUUUAUUACACUAGUUAUUUUGAUUUUCUUUUGAUAGAUUUUGCAAGCUUAAGCAAUUUGAAGGUAUUGGAUUUGAGUUAUAAUUCAUUUAGUGGGAUCGUUCCAUCAUCUAUAAGAUUGAUGUCUUCUCUCAAGUCUUUAUCUCUGGCUGGAAAUGACCUCAAUGGUUCCUUACCAAAUCAAGGUACAUAUAUUGAGAUUACAGGUUUUUCUGUUUUCUUUUUUAAUAUCUUGUUUGUUCUUUAUGCCAAUGAAGUCAUGCAUGUCUAUUAAUUUUUGGUAUUUAAUGAAAAACUUUAUUCUUAAUUCAUAAAGACCUCAUCAACUGUGAGUAACAGCUAGUUGUAAGUUUGGGGGCAUUGACAAGACGAGGAGAUGAUUGGUUACAUGUCUUAUUCUCUUUUGUAGGCUUUUUCCAAUUGAAUAAGCUUCAAGAGUUGGAUCUUAAUUACAACUUAUUCCAAGGGAUCCUUCCUCAAUGUUUGAAUAAUUUGACAUCUCUAAGGUUAUUAGAUCUCUCUUCCAACCUAUUCUCCGAAAAUCUUUCUUCCACUCUGUUACCUAAUCUCACAUCCCUGGAGUACAUUGAUCUCAGUUACAAUCAAUUUGAGGGUUCAUUCUCUUUCAGCUCUUUUGCUAAUCACUCCAAGCUUCAAGUGGUCAUACUUGGAAGUUAUAACAACAAAUUUGAGGUAGUUGGAAGGGAUAACAACAAAUUUGAGGUAGAAACUAAAUAUCCAGUUGGUUGGGUUCCCCUGUUUCAGUUGAAACCUCACCGGUGACCUUCCUGGUUUUCUUCAAUACCAAUUUAGAUUAACGGCAGUUGAUCUCUCCCAUAAUAACUUGACAGGAAGUUUCCCCAAUUGGCUGCUUGAAAACAAUACGAGAUUGGAAUUUCUGCUCCUGAGGAAUAACUCUUUAAAGGGUCAACUACUUCUCCUAGGACCUAAUACCCUGAUCAGUUCGUUGGAUAUCUCACACAAUCAGUUGGAUGGACAACUUCAAGAAAAUGUGGCCCAUAUGAUUCCAAAUAUUUGGAAGUAUUCCCAAUUCAAUCUCUAGACUUCUAGAGCUAAGGAUUCUUUUGCUAAGAGGAAACCUUUUAAGUGGUUUCAUUCCAUAUCGACUUUGUCAUUUGACUAAAAUAAGCUUGAUGGAUCUUUCAAACAACAAUUUUUCUGGGUUAAUUCCUGGAUGCUUUGGUCAUAUCGGAUUUGGAGAUUUCAAAACUGAGCACAAUGUGUAUAUACCGAUGUUGGAUUCAUAUUCAGAAAGCAAUCCUUCUAUAUAUACGGGUUACUUAAUAAAAUAUUUAUUUUUCUCUAGUGAACUCCCUGAUAAAGUAGAUGAAGUUAAGUUUGUUACCAAGAAUAGGUAUAGCUCCCACAUAGUAGAUAAAAAUAUUUGUUCGGAAUUUAGAUAUUUUUAUAGAAAAGUAGACAAGUAUUCUAAUUUAUAAAAACAAUGCAUUUCUUUAGUUUGGUAUAAAAAAAUGAAAUGAUAGGUAUUGGUAAUUUUUUUUAAAGUAGCAAACGUUUUAUUUUAUUUGUAUUUAAGAAAGAUGUCUUUUCUUAUACUAGUUAUUUUAAUUUUCUUUUGACAGUUUUUGCAAGCUUAAGCAAUUUGGAGAUACUAGAUUUGAGUUCUAAUUCCUUAAGUGGGAUUAUUCCAUCAUCUAUAAGAUUGAUGUCUCAUCUCAAGUUUUUAUCGCUGGUCGGAAAUCACCUCAAUGGUUCUUUACAAAAUCAAGGUACAUAUGUUAUGAUUUGUUUGUUUCAUAUAGAUUAGAGAAGAUAAAUAUUGUAAAAAAAAAAAGUUGUAGUUAAUGUAAGUUAGAAAAAAGUAUCUUGCCUUAUAAAUUAUAUAAGCACGUGUUUGUUCUUAAUGAAUCUUUACAACAUUUAGAGUUACCAAUCUUUAUAAUUCAUAAAGACCUCAUAAACACUGAGUAACAACUAAUUGUAAGUAAUUGUGGAAAAGUAAGGAAAACAAAUUGCUUCAUUUGAUACAAAAUUCGAAUAAAAAUUCUUUUAAUGAAAACUCAAGGAAAGGAAAAAACAUUUUUAUCUCUAGAUUAUAAUACUAAAUCAUGUAAAAAAUCUCGUAACAUCAUUUAUAUUCAUAUUUCUUUUUAUAGAUAUGAAAAAUUCAACAAUUUGGAAUAAACUUAUUCAAUGAAGAAUAAUUUUUAGAUUUAAAGAUUAUUAUUUAAGAAGAUCGUAAAUAUUACCAUCAUUGUUGAUGUCUAAGAAGAUCAUAUUCAACAAUUUUUUUAAUAUGUUGUUUUCUAUGGUAAUUAAUUGAUGUCUUGUAAUUUUUAAUAUUUAAUGAAAAACAUUAUUUUAAUUCAUCUAGAGCUCUUAAUUCAUGAAGACCUCAUUAACGGUGAGUAAUAGUUGGCUGUAAGUUUGGAGUCAAAGACAUUUCAAGGAGAUGAUUAGUUACAUGUCUUGUUCUCUUUUGUAGGUUUCUGCCAAUUGAAUAAGCUUCAAGAGUUAGAUCUUUCUUACAACUUAUUCCAAGGGACCCUUCCUCCAUGUUUGAAUAAUUUGACAUCUCUGAGGUUAUUGGAUCUCUCUUCCAACCAUUUAUCCGGAAAUCUUUCUUCGCCUCUGUUACCUAAUCUCACAUCCCUGGAGUAUAUCGAUCUCAGUUACAAUCAUUUUGAGGGUUCAUUCUCUUUCAGCUCUUUUGCUAAUCACUCCAAGCUUCAAGUGGUCAUACUUGGAAGUGAUAACAACAAAUUUGAGGUAGAAACUGAAUAUCCAGUUGGUUGGGUUCCCCUGUUUCAAUUGAAGGCUCUUUUCCUAUCCAACUGCAAGCUCACCGGUGACAUUCCUGAUUUUCUUCAAUACCAAUUCAAAUUAGAGGUGGUUGAUCUAUCCCAUAAUAACUUGACAGGAAGGUUCACCAAUUGGUUGCUUGAAAACAACACGAGACUAGAAUUUCUAGUCCUAAGGAAUAACUCUUUAAUGGGUCAACUACUUCCCCUGAGACCUAAUACCCGUAUCCUUUCAUUGGAUAUCUCACACAAUCAGUUGGAUGGACGACUUCAAGAAAAUGUGGGCCAUAUGAUUCCAAAUAUUGUGUUUCUAAAUUUAUCCAACAAUGGUUUUGAAGGUCUUCUCCCAUCCUCAAUAGCUGAAAUGAGUUCCUUAAGGGUGUUGGAUUUGUCUGCCAAUAAUUUCUCAGGAGAAGUACCAAAGCAGUUGCUUGCAACAAAAGAUUUGGUGAUUCUAAAAUUAUCAUAUAAUAAAUUUCAUGGUGAAAUAUUUUCAAGGGACUUUAACAUGACUGGGUUGGAUAUUUUGUAUUUAGACAAUAAUCAGUUCAUGGGAACUCUGUCAAAUGUAAUCUCCGGAAGCUCUCAGUUAAUGGUGUUGGAUGUGAGCAACAACUACAUGUCAGGUGAAAUUCCAAGCGGGAUAGGUAACAUGACAGAAUUGAGAACAUUGGUCAUGGGCAACAAUAAUUUUAGAGGCAAAUUACCACCUGAGAUUUCUCAAUUGCAACAGAUGAAGUUUCUUGACGUUUCUCAAAAUGCUCUUUCAGGAUCUCUUCCUUCUUUGAAGAGCAUGGAGUAUUUAGAGCAUCUACAUUUGCAAGGGAACAUGUUUACAGGAUUAAUACCGAGAGAUUUUCUCAAUUCCUCAGAUCUAUUGACUUUGGAUAUGCGAGAUAACAGGUUAUUUGGAAGUAUUCCCAAUUCAAUCUCUGCACUUUUGGAGCUAAGGAUUCUUUUGCUAAGAGGAAACCUUUUCAGUGGUUUCAUUCCAAAUCAUCUUUGUCAUUUAACUAAAAUAAGCUUGAUGGAUCUUUCAAAUAACUCUUUUUCAGGGCCAAUUCCCAAAUGCUUUGGCGAUAUCCGAUUUGGGGAGAUGAAAAAGGAGAAUGACGUGUUUAGACAGUUCAUUGAUUUUGGGUAUGGAGGGGAUUCUCGUAAUUUAUAUGUUGGAUUCACGGUGAAAAAAUGGGAGUUCGAUAGUGAUGUAUAUGAUGAAAAAAAUGAAGUUGAGUUUGUCACCAAGAACAGGCAUGACUCCUACAGUGGUGACAUCCUUAAUUUCAUGUUUGGAUUGGACUUGUCAUGUAAUAACUUAACCGGUGAAAUCCCUCACAAACUUGGAAAGCUAAGUUGGAUUCAUGCAUUGAACUUGUCUCACAAUCAAUUGAAGGACUCCAUUCCAAAGAGUUUCUCCAAUCUUUCUCAAAUAGAGAGCUUGGACCUUUCUUAUAAUAAAUUAAGUGGAGAAAUUCCUCUAGAGCUAGUUGAACUCAAUUUUCUAGAGGUGUUCAGUGUGGCUUACAACAACAUCUCUGGUAGAGUUCCAGAUACAAAAGCACAAUUUGGGACAUUUGAUGAAAGAAGCUAUGAAGGUAAUCCUUUUCUCUGUGGGACAUUGUUAAAGAGAAAAUGCAACACAAGUAUCGAGCCACCAUGCGCACCAUCACAAUCUUUUGAAAGUGAGGCAAAAUGGUAUGAUAUCAAUCAUGUUGUUUUCUUUGCAAGUUUUACUACUUCAUAUAUCAUGAUCUUGUUAGGAUUUGUUACCAUCCUUUACAUCAAUCCUUAUUGGCGUCAUAGAUGGUUCAAUUUUAUCGAGGAAUGUAUAUAUUCCUGUUAUUAUUUUGUUUUUGAUAAUCUUUCCAAGUUAUCAGCAUAUUUGUAUAAUUAGAUACUUUUAAUUGGAUGAUGUUUGCAUAAUUAACUACUAUUUGUUUCCACUAGAUAGAAAGAAAUGGGAUGUAUAAUUGCUACAAGUUGAAACUUACAUACUUUGCUCAAAUUUUGACAUCUUUUGAUUUUAUUUUCAAGUUCCGUUAUUUUUUAUGUAUUGUUUAAUUCAAGAUUUAACCAUAUUUUGUUACUCUUAUAAAAACAAAUUCAAAUUUUUAGGAAGUUUUAGCAUUAAAAUAAUUUCAUAGUCAUAUUUUAAAAAAUAAAGAAGAAAGAAAAUAAUAAAUAAUUGGAAAAACAAUUCAAGGGAGUAUUAAAUUAUCAUCUUAGAAUUGUUUGGCAUAGUAUGGGAAUUCAAAAAUAAUCUUUCAAUUUGUUAGAAGCGUUUAUUUAUUUAUUAUAGCAAUGAUUGAAAUAUCAAUCACAAAGCAAUGUUUUCUUUUCUUUUGUAGGGCACUAACACUUUUUCUUUGAUCGUAAUAAUUGAUAAAUAUAUUACACAAUUAUUUGUUUUUAAAAAGGGAGGGAUGACAAAUAUAAUAACAUGUGAAAUAUUUCUAAAUGAUGGGAAAUAAGCCAAUCUAAUUAGGGUGCAAUAUUAUUCAUUUUAAUUUAUAUGAAUUUACUUAUUUUUAUUUGUAUCAUAUUUUGAACCAUUUUAUGAAAUUAAGGGAGAUUAAAACAUCGAGUUUCUUAUUUUAAUUUAUAUUUUUAAUAAUAAAGCAUGAAAUAUUUUUUUUUUUAAAAUCAUGAAUUUCUUUAAUUCCUUAGGAAACCAAUAUAUAAAAAAAUUGAAUAUAUUAUGAUUUUAUGUCCUAAAUCUCUAAAUUUGUUCAUCACGUAUUUAUUUUUAUAUUAAAUUUAUUAUUAUUAAUUAUUUAUUAUAUAUUAUUAUUUUAUGUUUAAAAAUGUCCAUAAAUAAUUAAAAUUAAUAAAUAAAAAAAAUGAAAUAUUAAAAAAAUUAAAUUAAAAAGAUUUCAUCAAACUAACAUAUUUAAAAAAAAAAAAAAGCAAAAAGAAGAUGGGGAUAUUAUAGAUGAGGGGAAAAAGAUAAAAAAUAAAUAAAAAUUAUGCGGUAUGAUAAUUGCCUCGUGUUAAAGUUAUUUUCUUUUAAAAAUAAUAAUUGUAAUGAUGAACUCAUUUGUCUUAUUAAAGUAAACAAAAAUGAAGAAAAAAAAAAAGUUGUAGUUGGCUAGAGGUGAGAGAGAGAGAGGAGGGUUUGAGUGUAAGUUUGAAAUAUUAAUUAUUUUCACUAAGUAGAUAUUUUGAAGGUUAUUUUCCCCAAAACACAUAUUCUUUUAAUAAAAAAUCAAAAUUUUAGAUUAUUUGUUCCUUUAAACUUUAGUUUGAAUAAAAUUAGUUUUAAUUAUUUUCUUUUUGGAAUUAUAUUUAACACAUUAUUAAAAAUAUAAAAAAAUAUUAUUAGGUUUUUAUGUGCUGAUUGGGUUUUUUAAAUACCCAAUAUGCCCUCCAAUCUACCACUUAAGCAUCCGAUAUGGCUAAAAAUAAAUUAAAAAAAAAAAAAAGGAAAAAAAACAAAAGUGUAUGAUCCUCUUUCUCGAGUCUUCACAUUUUCAGACACUGAACCCAAAUCAAAAUUAAUCCUCCAAAUUAAUUUUCACCUCGAACCCAAACCCUAACUGCUGCCCCGUUUUCUCCUCAAACAUAGCUAUCCGAAAAACCCUAACCUCUGCCUCGUCUUCCUCUUAUCCCGGAAACCUAAAUCCCGUGACCCUAACCCCUUCUCUUUCCGAAAACCCUCCGGAAUAGGAAGAUUCAUAAUUCUUCAGAAUUAAUUUUCACCUCGAAGCCAGACCCUAACUGCCUCAUCUUCCUCUCAUUCAUAUCCUAAAAGUAGCUUCAACAGUCAGGCCUGUAGCCAUGAAAGCCGUAAUGAUCGCCACUUCCGGUGAUCCCCAAGUUCUCCAAGUGCAAGAAGUCGAAAACCCUAAAAUUGGAGAUGAUGAAGUUCUAAUUAGAGUGGACACCGCUACCAUUAAUCGAGCAGAUACGCUUCAGGGAAAGGGCUUGCACCCUCCCUCAAAGGCGGCAGUCCCUACCCCGGCCUCGAAUGUUCUGGAAUCAUCGAAGCUGUUGGAAGGGUCGUCGUUCGAUGGAAGGUUGGCGAUCAGGUAUUUCAAUUACUGAAUAUUUUUUCCUGUUCCUGUAUUUUUCUCGGCUAUCAAACACCAGGAACGCGUAAAUAAGGAGGUUAGCUGAUUGCGAAAACGGAAAUUUUUUGUUCGUGUUUGUGUUAAGGAGUCUUUGUUGAGAAUUUUGGGGAAAUUUAUGAUAAGUUUGUGAUUUUAUGAUUAAUUUUGUGUAUCAAUAAAUGUUAAUUAUUGAGCUUAUUGGUUUUUCAAAUUUAUGGUUGUAAGAAAAUUGGUCAGUGUAAGGUUAUGGGUUCAUUACCAAUUUGCUUACUGAAAAUUUUUCCAGAUAUUGUGGGCUGGUUUGGUAGCAGAAAUAAGAACUGUGUUUUCUUUUCCAAAACGGAAAUAGAUGUAGAAAACAUGUUUGGUAGCCUACUUUCAGAACUUGUUUCUGAAAAUAUUUCCUGAAAAUAUUUCCUGAAAAUGAAUUAUUUCAGAACUUGUUUUUAAAAACUGCAAGCACUUUAUCAAUUUAAAAGGUUCUGAAAUGGACAUGUUCAUGGUCUUCAUUUUGUAAAAUGAAAGCUUUUAUGAAAAAACCAUUUUCCAUUCUACUAAGCAAACAGGCUUUAUAUUGUAACGGAUCUAUUGGCCAUCUCCUUUGUCAUGUUUUGUGAAUCAUGGCAACACUGGAAUCCACUCCAUUACUCUCUAUUAGUGAUUAGGAGAGAAAGCACCGAUUUUAAUGCUAUACUUUAUGUGAUUUUGCUUCCUCCUGAGUACAAGUUCAUAAUAUAUAUGGUACAUGGUACAUGUCUGUAUGACAGUUUGUGGUAUACAGAUGUGUGCUCUUCUUUCUUGUGGUAUACAGUUUGUGGUGGAGGGUAUGCUGAAAAAGUGGCUGUUCCAGCUGGGCAAGUUCUUCUUGUCCCAUCUGGUGUUUCUCUAAAGGAUGCUGCCGGUAUUCCUGAGGUUGCAUAUCCUGUUUGGUUUUAAUGAUGAGCCGACUGUCUGCAGGAGAAACAUUCCAGGUGAAUUUUCAUUUUUUUUUAUUUUCUGAUGCCUGAUAUAUUUACCAGUACAUAACUUAGCUUAAUGGGGUUGUGCAUAUUCUAAUGGUUUAAAAAGUCCAAUGCGCACAAAUUUACACUGUUGGUGUUUAAUGUGUGUGCAUCAAUAUUGGAUUAGGGAGGCAGAAGAGCCAUGGUUUUUAUUAAAACAUUACAUCAUCAUAUUCUUAUUUAGAUACAUCGCGUCUCACGAUUUCAUUGCAUCCAAGGCCAUGUUGUUUUUGAUUGCAUGGUUUGUCAUGAUAAUUUCUCAACCCUUCUCUGGAAAAUUAUGUUGGAUGGCUGAUAUUAAUUACCCCAAAAGAAGAAAUUUUAUGUUGAAGUAAGAUGAGUACCACAAAGAGUUACUUUUGGUUGUUCCUAUCAUCAAAUAGGUGAUUGAUGCACAAUCCAAAUGGCAAACACUUUUUCCCCCUUUAUCCAGAUGGAAUUUUUAUGCAUGGAUGAAUUGUGAAAUGAGGACUGAUAAUAUUUCAGGUUCAUGGGGGUUCAAUUGGAAUUGGUACGUUUGCUAUUCAAAUAGCGAAAUACCGAGGAGCAAGGGUAUUUGUUACAGCAGGUUUGCCAUCACUAUUCUACCUCAUCUCAUGGCACCAAUUCCUUGUCUUCACAUGUUUUCGACCAUUUUUUACAACUGAAAACGAGGAAAAAUUAGCUGUUUGUAAGGAUCUUUGAGCAGAUGUGUGCAUCAAUUACAAGACAGAAGACUUUGUUGCUUGGGUGGAGGAAACAGGAGGGAAAGGUAUAUUCUAUUGUAUCCUAACAAUAAUUUCAGUUGAAGAUGGAAUUGCUUUUAAUUUUUUAGUGCACCAAAUCCACUAGUCUGGUAUGUUUGAAAAGAUAAGUAGUCAUCUUCCACUUGAUUCCGAUUGUGAAGAUCUAACUCCAAAAAUGUUGAAUGACAGGUAUUGAUGUUAUACUGGAUAAUAUUGGACGGGCCUACUUUGAGGGAGACAUCGAUAGUUUAAAUGUUGAUGGAAGGCUUUUUAUUAUUGGUUUUUAAGGGUGGAACAGUUGCAGAAGUAAAUCUUUCAGGUUUACUUGCAAGGUGCCUUACAGUGCAAGGUACCACUUUCUCUAUAGAAGAUUUUUCUGUAGUUUUGGAGUUGAUUCAAUUUGAUUAAUCUCAUCCAAGUUCAGAACUGAGGUGGAUUCUGGCAAGCCAAGGAAAAACCAAAUUACCAUAAAUUCUUUUUUUUCUGGAUUGUUUUACUUCUUGGAAAUCCUGUUUCUUGAUCUGGUCAGGUAUAUGGAAAUUCCAAGGAAAAUAUGUUUUACAUUUUCCAUAAUUGGAAACACUCAGGAAUUUAAUAUUUUCCUCUGAAAUAGCAAUGGUUUUCUAAUUACGACAUUUGUUUUUCUUGUAUCAUCCCAAAAUAUUUUUUAGGUGUUUGUUCUCUCUUGACACAGCUUUUAAUUGGGUCUGUCUUGCUUUUUGAUAGAUCUCUUGACAAGUUGCUUGUAUAUCAUACUUUCUUUAUUGUUUUCGGAUCAUGAACCUUGCUUCUGUCAGCCCUGUUAUCACUACCCAAACUAGUAAAUUUAUGCACAAAACUCCAUGUGUCAGUAACAGUGGUUAUUUGAUUGUAUUAAAUAAUUUGUAAAUACAUUGGAUAAGUUUGUACUAAAUGGCAAUUGUUUCUGCAGUGGCUGGUUUGCAAAACAGAAGUCUGGAAAAGAAAUCUGUAAUUGUGAGUGAGGUGGAGAAGAAUGUUUGGCCUACAAUCACAGGCGUACAAGUAUUUUCCAUUGACGGAAGCAGUAGAGGAUCACCAGCUCAUGGAAAGCAGCAAGCAUAUUGGGAAGAUACCACAUAUUCCAUUAUGUUAUGGUUAUGAAUGAUCUUAUGCCUCAGAGGGGGAUGACAUGAUUUUAAAACUCUUAAUGAGCAUCUACUAUCUGAUACAAUGUGUGAUGCGCGCAGGCCUAGAUGGUCAAUGCUUAGUUUCUUAUGUAGCCCUGUCAUUUGAGAAUAAAAACCAGCCUUCCCGUCCAAACAUUUAGACUACUGGAAUCUAAAGCCUCAAGAUGGUUGACAAUGAAUUUUCAUGUGGAAACAGAUCAUAACUCUCCAACCUCCACAGACGAGCUUACCUUCCUUAUCUGAAGUUUGAACAAAACUGUAUAAAACUGUUAGGUAGGUAGAACUGUCUAAGAAACCAGAGCUUGGCUAGUUGAUCACCUUAUUUACAGAGCUUGGAUGUGAGAGAAACCAGCGCCCCUAAAGGUCAGGACAAGAUCCAUUCCACCAAAGUUGAGCCUUGCAUGUAGUCACCUGGUAUUUUCUUUUAUUGGAGUCUUCCCCUCUACCCUGGCACUGGGAUUGAAAGCGAAUGAAAAACGUGCACAGAUUGAAGGUGUGCUGCUUGAGUUGAUUGUGGUUUGAGCAUGAAAAUUUGAAGAUCCAGAACAGCAAAUGAGGAAUGCCUAUCAAUUUGAAACCAGCAUGGGUGGAUGAAUGGAGAGGUUCUUCACUGAAUUUGUCCAUGAAGCUUUUUAGCACUCUAGGGCAAGGGUCUCCAAGACUAGCUGUUGAUUGCACAUCCCUCCUGCGCAAUACGAAGAACAGAGUGAAAUGCAAAUGCAGGAAAGGGUGUUUCUUAGCUGUUCAACAACUGACAAUACAUUGGCAUGACAAUUCCCUGGAUCGAUGCCCUCUUGGAGUUCCAAAGCUUGUUCACAGGUCAAUUGAACUUGAGGGUUUUGGGACAUGUACUCCAAGUUUGGUUGCCAAGAAUCUCCAGGUGGAGGAUCAGCUUCUGACACGUGUGCACACACCUCUUGGCCAGUUUGUGUUAUUGCAAUUUUAAUAAAUUGCAAAAAAAAAUUAUUGCCAACAAUUUUUUCUUUUUUUCUUUUUUCUUUUUAAACAAACUGCAAAAAUCCUUUUUUUUUUUUAUAAAAAAAAAAAAAAAAAAAAUUUCUCCAACAAAGUGAUUUUUUUUUUUUUGUGGCAUGACUCGGUUUGACCACUAACUCGGUGAACUGGUCUACCGGCUCAAGUUUGGAUCCCUUAAUUUUGUGGCAAAUUGGGCCUCAAGCCCAACAACCUAACUUCCACGCGGGCUAUCUAUAAUAGGUUAAUAUUGCAAACCAAAAUAAUAAUAGACAUGAUUCUUUUCAAAAAUUUUAUAAUGUAAUAUUUUUUAAAAUUAUAAAAUAAUAGGUUAUAUAAAUUUUAAUAUAUAGGUAAAAUUAAUUAAAUUUUAACAAAUAUCUUCACAUUUAGACAUUACAUAUCUUUUAUUUAAUAAAAUGUUAAAAUAUUAAUAUAUCUAAAUAUAAUAUUAAAAAUGAAAAAUAAAAUAGUAAUAAUUUUUAUUUUUUUUAUAUAUUUAAAUUUAUAUAAUUAUUAUUUAUUUUAAAAACAUACAAAUUGUAUAUUUAUAAUAUUAUUAGUUCAACUGUGAUUCAACCAUCGCUCCGAUUAUUCAAUUGUGAAUUAAUAAAUUUUUUAAUUCAAUGAUAGGUUUGAUCAUAAAAAUAUUAUGUUUUUUUUAUGAAAAGUACUCAAGAAAUAUCAUUAAUCACUAAGAUCACGUGGUUGGGUUAGGUGUAUCCGAAACAUAGGUAUUACUCUCUUCCUUAGUUAGGGCUUAGCUUUUGAAAAUGUAGAUAGGUAAAGUGGAUGGAAAGUCUAUAACUACGUAGAGAUUGAGCUUGGAGGCCAAUCUAGCAAAUGUGGAGAUUAGAAAUAGUUUACCAUCUAGAUAGUCAAGCAUAGCAAUUUACCAAACCCUUACCAACCAUCCAUACUAACCAAUUGUGGUUAAAUGUUUACAAAAAUGUACAUUAAAUCAAAGAGAAAAAAGAUUAAAAACGAACAAGAGAGAAGAAGUACGUCACCUAAUUUUGGUAAUAAAUGAAAUUAAAAUAAAUUCAUAAAUUUUUUAAAUUAAAAUGAAUUUGAACUUUAGAGAUUUGUGUAGAUAUCUUAUUAAAAAACCAAAAAGUUUGUUGCAUAUAUAAUUUCAACAAUGCAUAAAUAAUUACAACAUACGCAAUACAAUAAUAUUACACAAUUAUAUUUUCAAAUAUAAUAUAAGAUCAUUAAAGUGAUAAAUUGUAGUUGUAUAAAAUAUUUAUACAAGUAAAGAAGAAAUUAUGAGAUUAAAAUGCUUGUUGGAUUCUAAGUAAAAAAGAAAUGAGAUAUAGAAAUUGUCCCAUCAGACAUAUAAAAUUUCAUAUACAUAAUUUUCCCUUCAAGAAAAUUUAGGGUCAAAUUGAAAAAAUUUCAUUCAUAGAUUUUGGUAAAACCUCUAUCUAGUCCCCCAAGUCUUGUAUACAAAAGGAAAUAACAUUGGUAUGAGGGGUUUGAAUGCUUAAUUUUAGAUUGAAAAUGGUUGAGAUAAUUUUUGAUCGACUUCACAUGUGUUUUUGAUAAACUUGGAACAUUCAAACUUGUAUUUGAAGAAUCUUCAAAUCUUCAAUUUGCUCUUAAAUAAUGUUGAAACCUUUGAAAUUUGAAUAGAAGAAUCUUUAAGCAUUUGAAUUUUGGUUUAAAGAAUUUUGAAAUUUGAGAUUGAAGAAUCUUCAAAUUUGGGCCUGAAGAUCGAAGGCUAAGCUUGAAGAGUUCUUGAAGCUUGAGUGGUAUCUCUGAUUUUGUAUUGUAUUUUAUAAAAACUUUUAAAUAUAUUAUAUUUAUAGGUUUGAAGAGACAUUGAGAUUUUGUAUACAUGUUUGGAGUUUUAAACCUUGAAAUAUUACUCUUUUAUGAAAUUAACAUUUAUAAAAUUUGGAAGAACAUAAUUAGAUAAUAUUUUAAGUUAUUUUUAAUGAAAAUUGAUAAUUACCUUUUAAUUAUCAAAUUCACUAUUUCUAUUUAUUUUUGUAAUAUAUAUUAAUUACUAAAAUCAUUUAUUUCCUUUAUUUAGUUUGAAAGCAAUUAUAUAUCUUUUGUUUGUGUAGAGCUCAUGUGACACGACAAAUUUUAUUUUGUAACUUGCUCUGAAUGAAUGGCCAUUAUAAACUUCAUUUUAUCCUCAUCUGAUUUUGACGUGGGAAUAGGAGAGAUGAGGAUUUGACAUUUGGACCUAAGCCUCAGAGGGUUUUAACUCCACUCAACUACUUUAUGCCUUGUAUUUAAUAUUGCAAACCAAAAUAAUAACAGACAUGAUCCUUUUCAAAAAUUUUAUAAUAAUAGAAGUGUAAAUAAUAUAAGUAAAAAUAAUGUAAUAUUUUUUAAAAUGAUAAAAUAAUUGGUUAUAUAAAUUUUAAUAUAUAGGUAAAAUUAAUUAAAAUAUUUAAACAUUACAUAUCUUUUAUUUAAUAAAAUGUUAAAAUAUUAAUAUAUUUAAAAUUGUAUAAUUAUUUUUUAUUUUAAUACUAUAUAAAUUGUAUAUUUAUAAUAUUACUGGUUCAACUAUAAUUCAAUCACCGGUCCAACCAUUGAACCAUGAAUUAGUAAAUUUUUUUAUUCAAUGAUAGGUUUGAUUCUAAAAACAUUAUGUUUUAUAUAAAAAGUAUUUAAGAAAUAUCAUUAAUGGAUUAUCACUGGUUGGGUUAGGUGUAUCUGAAACAUAGGUAUUACUCUCUUUUUUAAUCGGGGCUUAGCUUUGGAAAAUACAAACAGGUAAAAUGGAUGGAAAGUCUCUCAUAUUAAGUUGAUUAAUUAAGUCAAAACGUUGUUACAACCAUGGAAGAAAAUAUCGGUAAUCACGGAUAUAUCGAUACUUCGAUUUUACGGAUAUAUCGGAUAUAUCGGAGAUAUAUCGGAUAUAUCGGAGAUAUAUCGGCGGAUAUUCUGGAAAAAAAUAUCGGUAGACUUAAAAUUGUUAAAAACUCAUGGAAAUGCAAGAAAAACCUCAUAAUAAUAUAAUUAGAAGUAUAAUUGACAUUUUAAAGUUGUUUUAUUGAAAAAUUUGAUAUAUAUAUAUGAUAUAAUUUACGAUAUUUGAUGUAAUUACAUCAUGUCGAUCUAUAAGAAAUGUUAAUUUUGUAAUUGUUCUCAUUAUAAAGUCACAUAAAAUAUUUCAUUUUAUUAAAUAUCAAUAAUUUGUACACAUUAAAUUCAUUAAAUAAACAUAUUUCAUAUUCAAAAUAUACUAUUUCAUGUUAAUUAAAUUAAUUAAAUAAUUUAGCUAAGUUAACUAGUUUAAUUUAAUUCUAAAUGUGAAAAUAAAUCACAAAUAAUCAUCUAAAAUAAACAUAUCAAUUUAUAAUUAAAUAAUCAAAUUAACCUAAGUUAAUUCAAUAAAAAUAUAAAAAUUAAUUACAAUUGAAUGUAAAAAUAAUAUUAAAUCAUCCAUAUUGCAAACAUACUAAUUAAACAAUAUAAAAUAAAUAAUGAUAUAUAUAUAUAUAUAUAUAUAUAUAUAUAUAUAUAUAUAUAUAUAUAUAUAUAUAAUUUUUUAAUAUUUAAUUAAUUAUUAAUGAUAUUAAAAACAUUAUGAAGAAAAUUAUAUAAUUUUUAUAUUUUUGGUAAUUAAUUAAAAGACUUUGCAUUUAAUUAUAAAAUAAUUAUAAUUAAUUUGCUAUUUAAAAUAUUCUUAUAUUUUCUUUAUAUAAUGAAUUUAAGUAUAUAUAUAAUUGUUGCAUAUUAUAUAUCAAGGGCAACUUAGCUCAGGUGGUAAGCGGAUGAACCCCAAACCUUUUGAUUUGGGGUUCAAAUCCUCUCAGCAGCAAGAAAAUAGAGGCACUGUAGCGCGUUGACGGGCACUGUAUUGCCGAAAUAUCGUGACAUUUUCUACUACUUCUUUGACUGCUUUAUGUGAAUUGGAGUAAUUACUUGCUCAUUGUGAAAUGUUUUCCAAUAGACUAUCAUUUAAUGGAUAACUAUGGAAGAGGAGUUUGGUUGAAAGAAAAAGAUCAAUAAAGUCAAAAUAAAUUAUUAAAACUAUUUUUUUUGAUGGAUUAUAUCAAUCUAGAUAAUGUCAAAGAUAUUACCAAUUUGAUAUCACCAAUUGAUAACACAAUUAAAAAAUAAUAUGAAUUUGAACAUAUUUCAAUUCAUUGUAAUCAUAUCCAUGACCUAAUUUUACACAUCCUUAAAUCAUGGUUGAGUUAUGAAACAAAUCUAUACCAUCAAUAGAAAAUAAAUAAAUAAAUAAAUACAAAAAAAUAUAUAGAUAGUCAAGCAUAGCAAUUUACCAAACCCUUAGCCACCAUCCAUACUAACCAGUUGUUGUUAAAUGUUUACAAAAAUAUACAUUAAAUCAAAGAGUAAAAAGAUUAAAAACAAACAAGAGAGAAGAAAUACAUCACCUAAUUUUUGUAAUAAAUGAAAUUAUAAUAAAUUCAUAAUUUUUUUAAAUUAAAAUAGAAAUUCAAAUACAUGUAACUAUUGUUUUUGUCUUGUAAAUCAUCCAAUUUUUCAAUGAAUUUAAACUCCACAGAUUUGUGUAGAUAUCUUAUUAAAAAAAGCAAAAAGUUUUCACUAAAAUCAUAAAAUUUAGAUUAGAAAUGAUUUACUAUAUUAGUUCAAAAUUCAUCUCCACAAAAAUUGAAAUAAAUUAAUUAUCUUCAAUUCAAAUAAAAUUUCUCCAAUUAAAUUUCCAAAUAUGUGCCUUAAUACCUAUAAUGUAAUUUGUAAUUUUAAUUAAAAAAUAAAUAAAAAUAAGGAUUUGAUCUUUUUCUUACCAUUUGAUGAAAAUUAUAAAAUAUAUUAAAAUUACAAGUGAUCAGACAUUUGAAAUUUGCAUCAUUUCUACCAUUGCAAACACCACCAACUCCAUAUUUCCCAUUUUUCUACCUGCUGCCAAUUCACUCAUCUCUCUAGGAAGAUUUUUGAGGUUAUCGUCAUGCUUGAGAUAAUCCAGAAAGUUGAUUUGGAAAAUUUCUUUUGUAAAAUUCCCCAUUAUCAUGCCCUAAACCAAGACAUAUCAUGAUUGGAUGGCCCCUUCACCAAUUUCACAAUAUCCAAUAGCAUAUCAUCUACUUCCAUUUUGUCAAUGGGAAUUACCAUUUUGCAUGGGAAGCACCAACGAAGAUGGGGGUUUUCAAAUUGGAUCACUAGCAAGGAAACCCACCGCAACAAUCUGAAUUAUUGAGCACAACAUCGGCUUUAGAGAACCCCUCCUGAAGGCGAAAUCGUCAUCUUGGCUAAACGUAGUCAUAGUUGGGUUGUGAGAAAUGGAGAUGAAUCACAGAAGGCUUUCAGUUUGACAGCAACGAAAAGGUAAAUGUACUCUAGAGAAGUUUUGACCUUGGGAGAAGUGCUUUUGAAUCCAAGUCAAGGUCUGUUCUGGAUCCCUUUUUGACUCUUUCUAUUAAAGGAAGAUAAUCUGCCUAGGAUUUGGAUGCAAGCCUGCAAGGCCAUGUUUAGGAGACUUAUGCAAAAUAUUUAUCCAUAGCUCCCCGCUUGAAACAUCUACAUAAAGCGUCUUCCAAGUGUGAACCAUCGUCUUGGGUCCUUGAGAUGAACCCAACUAUUUAGCAAAUUCUAGAGCUCUCAUUCCAAAUCCAUCAGUUUUCCUAGAUGAUUGGCCAGUGGAGAUCCAUGGAUAUAACAUAUGAAAUGUGCACAAUAAAAGUAACCAAACGGUUGGUUGGUUUGGCUGAAUCCCACAAUCGCAAAGACUUAUCAUACGAAACUGUUACCAACUGAGUUGAAUUUGGCAUAAAAAGGAUAUUCGUUACUACAAACUAGCGUUCUUUCGUGGUGCUCUCUUUUUGUAGGCUAUCCAUGUUCCAAAGAAAAACCCUCGUCAUGUCUGGCAUUGGGUACUGAUUAGAGUGUGGGAUGUUCAUUCUCCAUUAUCACCAAACAUAUGCAGGAUAUAUAUAUAUAUAUCCUGCAUAUGUUUGGUGAUAAUUCAAAAUAUGCCUUCAUUUUAUGGAACAUACCCGAAUCCAUUUUGUUUGUGUUGAAGAGGUGUAGAUCUUCUAAGGCUAUGAAGGGCACCACAUUUUCUAAGAAUUCUCUCUGACGAUGGGAAGUCAGAGAGAACAGGUUCUGUUUUUAUUUUGAAAACGUUGUUAUCCUUAAAGAACAAACACUAUUCUUUGGAUUUAUACCCUCCUACCUUAGGGAUCAUACCGUUUGGCUAUUGGGCCUCACGAGUCUUAGGCCCAUCAUCUAAGACCCGUGAUGGCAUUGGGCUCUACACAUAAGGUGGCCCAUACUCUAGAACGAAUAGAAAUCAUAUGUAUAUAUAUGGAUAGCUAAAUCCUGAACAAUGGUUAAUAUGAUGUCGGUCCACAUUUUUUCUAUCAAUCUCCCACUUGGACCACAUAUAUUACAAAACAAUGUUCAUGAUAGUACUUUAUUGAGCUCAUAUUUGCUAUCCUAUCCUAAUAUCCUUAAACAAUCCGGUCUACUAGUUAUGCUAACAUAGGAUCAAAGUGGCCUUCAUUAAUCAUAAUUAUAACUAGACCCAUCAAUGCUCACAACAUUAACAAAAUUAGUAACAUGGAUCAAGUAUGGAUGUGUAGCAUGGAAAUUACAUAAAAUGUGAUCUUUAUUAUGUCUAUUUCCAAUUGGUCCUACUUUAUGACUAAAAAAUAGUCAAAUUCCACUUUCAACACUUGAUGCUAAACUGCUUCUGAAAGUCAUCAUUUCAAUUCAGAGAAUUCAAAUACAAUAGUCUUUAAAAUCAAGGUUUGUACAGAUAACACAACAUAAUAUCAUAUCAAGAAAAUAAACACAAAAUCUAAAUACUAACUCCCACUAUACUAGAACAUCAUCAAUAUGUACAACACCCAUAUGUGUGACAUGCUCAUGAUAUACUUUGGGUGGCAAACCCUUAGUGAGCGGAUCCGCAAUCAUGGAGUUUGUGCUUGUGUGUUCAAUCGAUACUUGAAGACUCUGAACUCUUUCUUUCACAACCAAGAACUUGAUGUCAAUGUGUUUGGACUUUGACAAACUUCGGUUGUUCUUAGAAUUACAAUUCUGUGGCUUUAUUAUCAUAAUUUAUUCUUAAUGGUUUCUCAAUCUCAUCAAUGAUUCACAACUGAGUGACGAAAUUCCGCAGCCAUAUCCCAUGGUUUGAUGCUUUGUAGUAGGCUAUGAAUUCUGCCUCCAUGGUGAAAGAAGCAAUAAGUAUUUGUUUAACACUUUUCCAUGAAACUGUUCAUCCAACCAACAUGAAAAUGUAGCCUGAAGUGGAUCUCCUGCUGUCAAGACACCCCGCAAAAAUGGAGUCCGAAUAUCCCAUGAUCUCUAAAUGACUAGAUCUACGGUAUGUGAGCAUAUAAUCUUUAGUUCUUUGUAAAUAACGCAUAACCUAUUUUGCCUUUUUCCAAUGAUCCAUACCUAGGUUACUCGAAUAUUUGCCUAACAUUCCAAUAAUGUACGCAAUAUCCGGACGUGUACAAACUUGUGCAUACAUGAGACUUCCUAUUGCUGAGGCAUAGGGAAACCUCUUCAUAUCCUUCUUUUUAAGUUCAUUUUUCGGACAUUGGUGCAAACUAAAUUUAUCGCCUUUUGCUACAAGCAUGUCUCCUGGUGCACAAUUGCUCAUGCCAAAUCUACUCAACACCUUAUCGAUGUAGGCCUUUUGUGAUAAUCCAAGUAAAACGAUCCCUAUAGAUCUGUAUACCCAACAAAAAAGAUGCAUUACCAAGAUCCUUCAUGUCAAAUUUACUAGACAAAAAUCGUUUGGUUUCAUGCAAAAGUCCCACAUCACUACUUGCAAGUAGAAUAUCAUCAACAUAUAGCACCAAGAUACUGAAUUUGCUCCCACUGAACUUGAGAUAUAUGCAUUGAUCAAUGGUGUUUUCCUUAAAACCAAAUGAAGUAAUCAUCUGAUCAAACUUUUGGUACCAUUGUUAAGAUGCUUGCCUUAAACCAUAUAUGGACCUUUUUAAUCUGCAUGCAAGUUGCUUUGAAUCAUUAGACUCAAAGUUCUCCAGUUGCAUCAUGAAUAUUGUUUCAUCAAUGUUACCAUUAAGAAACGCAGUUUUAACGUCCAUUUGAUGCAGCUCUAAAUCAUAAUGAGCCACAAGUGUCAUGAUGAUUCUAAAUGAGUCAUUUGAUGAAACCGGUGAAAAGGUCUUGUAGACCCUCAAUUUUGUCCAUUUAGCACAUGUCUUUAAAUUCACAUCCAGUGCUCCACGGUAGUUCCUUGGUGGCCCAUUACUACUCAUAUGGCUUACCUUUUUUUAAGUCACCUCGGAGACUUUGGUUGAGGGAUUAUCUGACCCCUUAUUGUGAUCCUUGGCAAUCCUAAUUUAGAUUGGGCUUGAAUUAGAUACACUUAGCCCAUUUAGGCACCUUAGGCCCACUUAGGCAUCUUAGGCCCGUUUAGAUACACUUGGCCCACUUAGGCUCACUUAGACCCACUUAGGUCAUCUUUUAAAUAUUUUUUUUACAUAUUUGCAUGAUUGCAUUUUUUUGUAUGACUUGCACGGUUGCAUGGCUCAUGGGGCCUAAUUUUUGUUAAUUUGUUUGUUUUAUUUUUAGUUUUAGUUUUAUCAUUAUCAAUCACUCGUUUAUUUAUUUAUUUAUUUUAUUUGUUAUCUCAUUCUUUAUAUUAUUUUCCUUAAUUUAUUUAUUUAUUAUUGUUUUAUUGUUUUCUAAUUUGUUUGCUUAUUUAGUUAUUCAUUCAAUUAUAUAAUUUCAAAAAUUUCAUGUUUUUGCAAGGAAACUUACCAUUGGAGACUAAGGAAAGCGGGACUCUCCUUGGAAAGUUUUGGAGGGGAAUUUGAAGUUGGGAAGAUUGCUUUUGAAUUAGAAGAUUUAGAAAAAGGGAAAAAGGAAGAAGAGAAGAAGAAUGGAAAUAGGGGAAUUUUCUUUUUUUUUGGAAACAAAUUUAGGUCUUGAGGGAUGAUAUAUAUAUGUGAGAAAAGAAAGAGAAAGGGGGAGUGAACAAGCACGCAUUGGAGGAUUGGGAGAAAUUCUGGGAAAAGGUGGAGAGACGUAUUGGAGGCAUUGGAGGAAACCAUUUAAGAGGAGAAGAAGAAAGAAGCACAGAAAAACCAGUGGAGAUUUUCUGAGGAUAGAAACCAGUGCAGAUUUUUUUUUUUUCGUCAAAAGGAAGCAUUCCCAGGUAUGUCUACUGUAGAUUCCUUCUUCAUUCCCAUUAUCCUUUUGUUAUGUACUAAUCUUUGCCGGGUUUUGAGUCUUGCUUGGAUGCUAGGGGGGCAGAAUGACGGAGGUCACAUGUUUGUCUACAUUGAUACUUGCUUCUAUAGAUGUUAUUGAUUUAUCCCUUAGGAGUUCUCUAAUUUUGAUUUAGUGUUGCUAGGUUCCAUUUAUUAUUAUUUCCUGUGCAUUACAUGAGAACUGUGGUUGUAUUCGUUUGUUGGAAUCUGCUCGUACUUAUCCCAUCAUUCCAAACCCAUUGAACCUAACAUGAAAUGGGUUUUCAUUUAAUGGAUCACUUAUUUGUUCAUCCAUUUUUUUUUAUCAAACUCUAUUUUGGCGGGGUUGUUUUUCUACAGUUGAGCAUGCUUCAAAUUGCUCUGUUUUGCUUCCCGGGUGUGUCUUCCUAUAUUUAUGAAUGAAUAAGGUAUAGAUUUGUGGGCUUAUGAGCUGUAAAGGUGAUUUCAGUGGGGUUGAGAUUCUGGGUCCACAAGAAAAAAAUAGAAUAGCAGAAGAGAAAAAUCUGUAAGAGAGUUGGGAAGUCCAGAGUAGUGCAAAUCCUCUUGGGCGUCUUUGGUUCAGAAAUAUCAGAAAAGUUAGAAGGAUGAGAAAAACAAGAAAGAUUGUUUGCCUUUGAACUUUUGAUUGCUUAAAGAUGUUUGACAAUGACCACUGUAAACAACCUGCUACUUUAAUGGUUGUGAUAUUUGAAUGUCAGUAUGAAGAUGUGAUUGGGGUGAAAGUGCUGAAAUCAGAGCUCAGGAGAAGAUCAUUGACUAUUGAGUCUGAUAUGGAAUACAAUUGAAAUGCCAACAUUGAGAUAUUUGGAAGAAGGGGUCUUGCUCCAGGAGUUAGACUUGGUGGGGUGGUUGGUGACUCACUUACCAGAGUUGUAGGAAUGCAAGCAGAUGCACUUUUGUUUGCAGAGGCCAGAAAAUAGGGUUUUGAUUCUUUGGAAAGAGAAGAUGACAAAUAUUUGGAAAGAUUUAAAUUGUUUCAGUUGGAAGCUACUGAAUUUUACCAAGUCUUGAUCAAGAAAAUAAGAAGAUGUAGUGGGCGUCCAGAGGAGCCAUUGUUUUAAUGAAAGUCAGAGUUCUAUAGUUCUAUUCUACCAAUAAAAGUGCAUGAUUUUUGUUUGUCUUAAGGAUCUUGCUAGGUGCAGAGAGCUCUAUAACAAACCUGAUGUUCAGAGUCGCAAUUGGUCAAUUGCUGCUACCUGUUAUAGAGAAGUAACAAUAAUUUGGCACUGGUGCAACUGAAAGAAGAGUACAUGAGGAAAUUCCCUUUCUGGAAUGAUCCAUAUGUUCUAGUGAGCUUGCUUUCUGCUAGCCGACUGCGUGGAGAUGUUGUAAUUGGGGAGUGUUUGGCUAAAUGGCUUCUAAAACUUCAGCUUGUGACUACUUCUCCUUAUGUAUUAUUAUCAAACUUGUAUGCUUCAGAUAGGAAGUGGGCAGAUUUAAAGAACCUGUCAUCAGCGGAUAACAACUUCUCUGACUCAACUUUAGACUCAAUUUCGGGGUUAGAAUCAAUCAAGUCUUUAGAUUUAAGUCGCAACCCCUUUUCUGGUGAUAUGGCAGCAUCAUCGACAAAACUGACUAAUUUGGUAUCCCUUAAUUUAUCGUUAAAUGAGUUCGAAAGUAAAAUUCCAAAAGGUCUCGAGCUGUUUUCAAAACUUGAAAUUCUUGACUCGCAUAGGAAUAUGCUCAGUGGACUUCCAGACGAGGAAUUCUUGUAAUUUUCAGGUGCCAUUCGUGUUGACUUUAGUGGGUGCUAGCAGAGUACUAUCUAUGUUAUUCAUUAUAGCAGAUUCUUAACAUCCACAUUUAUUUAGGAAUAGAUGCUUCAGUUUGGAUGAUAAACAGAUUACAGAUUUAAGGCAUUCUAUUGAUAAGAUUCUAAGUGACAAGUCUUCUUGGAAUGAAGAUCUCUUUGUUGCUACAGUCAAAUUGCUUACUUCUGCUGCAGUUGAUCAGCCUGUUUUUUCUUGUCACCAUAAUUUCAGCCAAAGACAAUCUAGGUUUGAUGCAGCCAAUAAAUGAAGCUUCUUUUGGAAUAUUGGGGUCUGUCAAAGCAAGUUUGGUAGAUGCACUCUUGCAAGUUAUUGAAAGAUUUCAAUGAUCUUAUCAAAUAGCAAUCCCCGUUUACUACUGAAUGUGCUUGACUUACUGAAAACAUUGUGGCAAGGGGCUGCUCAAUAUGCAGAUAUUUUGGAAUGGCUGAAAAACUCUGAAAAGUUCUGAAAACUAUUUUUGUAACUCUAUUUCUCUAAUUGUUAGAAUGAAAGCUCCCCUGCCUGAGAAUCUAACCAAAAUGGAGGCUCUAAGCUUGGCAUACAAAUACCAGUGUCAAACAGCUGUAUUGGAAAUAAUGGCAGAAGUCUUGUUCCUGUGGAAGAAGUUACUGCAUGCUGAAUUUCUUGAAAUGCUUGCAAAUCUGCACAGUUCACCAAUUGAGCCUAGGAAUUCUGAUAUAUCUUCAGGAAUGGAUGACGAGUCCAAUAAUAGUGAGAUGCUCGCAGCUACUAACAUCCACCCUGGACAAGAUUCAUGGAGAAAAUUGGAAGUUGAAUACAAGGAAUUGCCGCAAGUGCACAAUGGUACAUUGCAGCAGAGCAUCUCUGUCGAUGCAAAACUAAUCAAAGAGGAUGUAAUUAGCUUAGUAGAUAAGGAAAGAAGGCAAGCUCUACAGACACCACAAGUGGUUAUGAACAUGCUCGAUGCGACUAUGCCUGGUACUCUAAUGGAAGAACAUAAGAAGAAGGUCCUGGCUGCCGCAGGACAAGGAGAAACAGUUAUGUAAACUUUGUGUGAUGUUGUCCCAGGGGAUAUUUGUGGAAAGCUUUCUACUGUUGUUUCUAGAAUUUUGGCAUACUCAAGGCGUAAAUUUAAACUUUGAGGGUCUUCUGAUGAUUGACCAGACUCCUAAUGUUUCGUCAGGAUUGAAAUCUAAGAUCCAAAAAGAAAUUGGAAUAACAUCAAGUGAAGAAGGUGGGACCGAAAGCUAGGAUACAGUUGAAGAUUACAAAGGUAUAGUUCUUGGAGGUUCCGAAGCCGCCAAACACUCCUUGGAGAAAUUAGGGAAAAUAUCAGAUGGAAGUUCUUGCUCCGGUGUAGAGAAUUCUUGUAAUCAUUCACAGAGAAUCGGUGGUCAAAUUAUAAGUGACUCGGAUGAAGAAGUGGACAUUGAUGAAUAAGGAGGUGGAAAUGAGUUAUUUGAUUUUGCUGCACUGGCUGCUCUCACGAAAAUAGUAGCAAGUGCAAGUUCCGAUAGUGGUAGUAUCACAAUAACCUCUCCAAAGGGAUCCAAGCUUCUCUCUGAUUGCCCCCCCUGCUGGAUUGGGAUCUACAAACCAGUCUCUAAGACCUGCUCCCCAACAAAACCUGUCCAAUCUUUUUACCCAUUUUCCAAUCUUGCAGGGAGGCAAACUGGUGAAGAAUUUAAUCUUGAUAUUGCAGAGAGAGUUGUUUGUGAUCUUAACACUACUGAAGCGUUUCCAAGUGUGUUAGAUCUAAAAUGCAGCCUGAAGUUCUCUGGCCAACUAAACUCGAGCCACUUGAUCGCCAGAUUGUCGAAGAACAAAUCCAGUUCAGUUCUUUCCUUUUACUGGUUUUCUGGCUCAUCCCUACCUCAUGAAUACACCCAGUUAGGCAGUGUUAUUAAAGUACCAAGGGACCUUAUUGAUCCCUACAUCCUGGUUAGCAUCCUUGCUUACGGGCAAUCCUGAACAUGGUGCGCAGCUGUACUGAUAAUCCGUCAUCUGAUAAGUCUUGGAGAUGUUCCCUGCUGCUAUUGCAUUCAGAAAACUCAGAUUGCAUAAGGAAGCUUGCUGAAAGUAUCUCAUAAAUGCUACAACAAAGGACAACUAAAAGGCAAUUUCCCAAGACUUAAUGCCUCAUUUCUGAAACCUGCAAGGGGAGAUGAAGUAUUAUCCAAAGAACCUAAAUGACGAUAUGGAGCUUCAUUAAAAUCUGUCCAGAGAAUUCAAACAGAUCAAUGAAGAGCUGUCUCUAAAGUCAUUCAUGAAAUCGAAAGGACAAAGCCGCGUCAAAAGCUGUUGCUGCUCGCGGUCUUGGACGCAAUGCAAAGAUUGGUUCUGGGAGGGGUCUCAGUGUUGUAGCUAUGGCAACAUCUGCGCAAAGAAAGGAAAUGACAAAUUCGAACAUGAAAUGGAAGUAGGGAUCUUCGCCAAGGUUCAUACUGAGAGAAUGGUUUCAUCUUCAAGAUUUGGAAUCCCAUCAAGACCUCUUGCCAAAUGUUCUCCUCAUGUUUGUUUUCGUUUGCUAUUAUAGUUACCUACGGUGUCGGAUUUCAUUCGAAUUUUUCAGACAAGUCUCCGCAUUCAGCCCAUGGAAAUGACAACCAGAAUUCCAAAACAACAGCGAUCAGACCAGUUCCCAGAUUCCAAUUGUUGGAUAUGUUGGUCAGCCAUAUGGAGCCCCGUCACUACCAAUCUCCCCUCUCUAAUAUCUGUAGCUGAAUUAGCAUCACCAGCUUCAUACGAUUGGCAUCUGGUCUACCUCUUUCAUUAUACUUUCCUCAGAAUUUGUUUUCCAGACAGCAAUGGCAGGUUCCAAUUUGGAACCCAAUAGCUAAAUAGAACCCACCUGGUAGUAAAGGUCAGCAAGCAGGGCUUCAAAACAGAGAAAAUCGGAAGUGAGGAGACCAAAAUCUUGUGCAAUAAGUAAAGAACACUUCAAAUGCCAUAUCCUUUUUCAUUAGAUGCAGAAGGAGGACUCUCUCUGGGUAGGAAUUGUAAUGAUAUGGAAAGGAUGGGAAGUCAUGAUACAAAGCUGUUUUAUCGUUUUAGCUUGGGAAUUGACAACUUCAUCUUCAAACGGUGGAAUUCCAUGAAUAAGGAGCUUUAAGACAUGCCAACAAAUUGCCAAGGAAUAGUCAACUUCUUCACCCAACAGUGAAACUAAAAGUGGAAAGAGCAGAGUAGCAUUGUUUUUUUUGGACCUUUUAUGAUCAUCAUGCAGAAAAAAAACAGCUCAGUAGCUGAAGUUGAGUAUAUUGGCAAACCUGAGAAUGCACUUCCAACCGAUGGAACUGAACAGCAGCAUAAGAAAUCUGAUUUGGAGUUAAGACCUACUACCACAUUACAAGCUCUAGUUGAUGAUUCAAAUUGUGAUCUCGAGAAACUAAAGUUGAAUCCAAACGACAUUGCUGAUGAAAUCAUGUAUCAAACCCUAUGAGCUUUGACUCUGAAAUGAAUAUGGACAGUUCGUUUCCAGUCACGCCAGCAGUAUACGGAGAUCUCUUCACACAACCACCAGCAACGUAGUCACAGCCAAACCCCCAAACCCCCAAACCCCAUUCUCCAUGACCGAUCUGGUGCACACUACUCUUUUCCUUUCACACCCCUCUUGCUUUCCUCGUGAUUUUAUGUGUCUUGAAUUGUGUUUUCAAAAAUUGUUUUCAUCCAAAUAAAUCUAAUUUUAGAUAAUCAUCUUUAGACCUUCUCUAGGCAUUGAAAUCUAAAUUUCAACACCCUUUUGCUGCCAUUUUCCUUCCGGCAUGCGUCUUCACUAUUUUAUUUGAUUUUCAACUAAUUUUCUUGAUUUUCAACAAGCAUGAACAAACUUCAUGAUUCCAAACAAUGGAAUUCAUUGAAUUGACUCAUGCAAAAUCAACUAGGGCUUUGGUGGGGGCCCGACAUUCAUAACACUCACUUCAAUACUGUUUACUUGAUAUGUUGAUUUUUGAUUCUUCUUGAUGAAAUACUUGAAUUCACUUAAUAUUUAUUGUUGAGAUGCUCUCGUUUCCCAUAGAGGAGUACUAGCUUGCUAUCCAGGUACGCUCUCUUCUCAUCUAUUUUUUUAGAACUCUAUGGACUUGUAUGUCAUUGAUGACCAUAUCCAUAUUUGAUGUGAUUCUUGAAUCUCUUGAUAUAUGCCUGAUUUGCUUGAAUAAAACAAAUGUUGUGUGAUGUAUCUCCAAACUAAUCUCUUAUGUUUUAUGAUAGCGCUUGGGAAGCCGUCCAGGUACGCAUUUUUAACUCUUCUUAAUUGUGAUCUGAUCUUGUUUGAUAUGUUAUGUUUUUGGAAUCACCUAGCCUACUUAGGUAUCCAUGAUCAACCAUUUAAUUGCCACGCUUCCCUUAACUUAGUCAGUAGAGACCUCUUUAGGGCUUAGAGGGGUGCUACCUCCUAGAGGUACCUUUCCAAUAAGUAACCUGAUCCCCGGACCUAAACUUGGGUUUCUCAAAGACAUGCUUUUUCCAAAACUAGAGAGUCACUUUUUAGGGUUUUUCUUUCUUGUUUUAUUUUCCCUUUAAAAUAAAAAUAAAAUAGGUGGCGACUCCAACUUUUUUUCCAAAAAUAAUAAAAAGCGAGUCUCGCCGAUCGAGUGGGGGCGCACGUGAAAAAUGCGGGUCCACAAAUUGGCGACUCCGCUGGUGAUUUUGAGGAUCAAGCUUGAACACUAGUUAAGGAAAAUGUGGCGUUUAAUUGGUCGAUUAGUGGGUACCUCUUUUUUUUAGGCAAGGUGAUUCGAUUUGCUUGCUUGUUUGGUUUGCUAUCUUAACAUGUUUGAUUGCCUUGGAUGAUCACUUGAUUGUUUUGCUCACUUUAGCAUGAUUCACUAUCACAUAUGUUAGAUAGGACUUUGUUUGUUUGAUAUUUAUUUGCUUCGCAUGACUGUUUGAAUGAUCACUUGAUUGUUUUGCUCACUUUAGCAUGAUUCACUCUCACAUAUGAUAGAUAGGACUUUGAUUGUUUGAUAUUUAUCUGCUUCACAUGACUGCUUGUUGCAUGACAACCCUUUCUCUUGCAUGUUCGUAUGAUUGCUUGUCUUCAUUCACUAUUUCACUUUAGAUCUUAGGUUUUUUUCGGAUGCACCCACAUCCUUCAUUGUGCACUUUAGAUUAUCCUUGAGUGUUGAGAGAUGGGAGAGCCUUCACCAUUAAGAAACCCCCUGAGAACGCGAGGAAGUGCAUGUGUAGAGGUGAUGACCACCUUGCAUGGAAGCACCCCAUCUCUUUGGAGGCAUGCAGAGGGUUGCGUACCGCCGGAGGGUACGAUCGCUUCUGCUAGGGAUCCUUUGACCCACCCAUUUUACCCUAUAGAACCACCUCAACCUUGUAGGUUAGCCUAGACCCAAUUAAGAUCUCAUUCCUACACGUGGGUGCAUCUGUGGACCUUCAGAACUGCCUUGGUCACAAUUGGAUUCGGUUAUCCCUUCCUUAGUCUCCUUUUGGUGUAAUCAGAGGAGGGUAUCAGAUUGAGUACAUUUGGGCUAUUCUCUUGCACACUUAUCAGCUGAUUCAUACAGAGUCACUUUCGUAUCGCAACUUAUCCAGUGUUUCCAUACUUGUAGGAGAGUUUACCGUGACCAGUCUGGAUUCACCUUCGUGGAUUAGAGUUAGAGGCAGAUUGACCAGAGCAUCAGAUCAGUCAGACCGGAAAUCAGAUCAGGGGGAUAUGGAUUCUCAGAUAGUUAUCGUUGACCAGUUUGCUGCAGCCAUGGCUUCGAUCCAAGAGGCUAUAGCUAGCCUUGGCCAGAGGAUAGAUGGGCAGCAGGCCCGACAGGUCCCAGUUCAGGAGGAUAUCCAGUUUGAUACCACAGUACCACCGCCACCUCCGCACAGUCAGCCAGCACCACAGACUAUACCUUUUACUCUGCAUAGUCAGACUGAGGUUGCACCACCUCCUGCCAUAGUGCCUACUCCGAUCUCAGAGGACCCACAUGCUCGUAUGGAUAAACUUGAGCAGAAGUUGAGACAGAUGAGGACUUCAGAGGGAACUAUUACUUGGGAGGAUUUUGAUGGAGCACCAGUGGCCAGUCUACCGGCCAAGUUCAGGAUGCCUGAGAUUGAGAGAUACAUAGGCAUAGGAUGCCCUCACAUCCAUUUGAGACUCUAUAGUACUGUUAUGAGGGCCCAUGGACUGGAUGAUGCCCAGAUGGUUAUGCUCUUCCCUAUGUCAUUGAGUGGAGCUGCACAGCGUUGGUUCGCUUCAUUGGAGGUAUCACGCCGUAGGACUUGGGAUGACUUAGCCCAGGAGUUUUUGAGACAGUUUGCAUUUAACACUAUCAUUGAUGUUUCGAGGAGAGAGUUGGAGGCUUUGAGACAGAGGCCGGAGGAGUCAAUCACUUCAUUUAUCUCCCGCUGGAGGGAGAAGAUUUCACAGAUUAUAGACCGUCAUUCAGAGAGAGAUCAGAUUAGCAUGAUCAUGAGGAGCUUGCAGCCUAGAUUUGCGAGACGCUUGAUGGGAUUUCCCCAUACGGAUUUCGGAUCUUUGGUACAGGCUUUGUAUGGUAUAGAGGAGGGCAUUGCUAGAGGAUUAUGGUCUGAGUCUUCCCCUACUGAUUCUAAGGGGAAGAGGCCUUUAGGAGGACAGAGAUCAGGAGAUGUUGGUGCUAUCAGUUCAGUAGGGAUGAGACCUUCUAGACGCUAUCAGACAGUUGGGCAGACUCCUGGGUACUACUAUCCACCUUCACCUCAUGCGCAUUACAGACUACCUACUCCUUCCAGACCUAUGACUCCUACUUAUCUGCAUCCGGACUUACAGCCUGUUUUUGCUGCACACGUCGCAGAGAGGUCUCCUGCCCCAUAUACUCGACCCCGAGCUCCACAGACCACUACUUAUGUGCAGAGGCCACCACGUCAGUUUGCUCAGUUGGAUAUGCCUUUGAGUCGAGCUUUUCAGAAGCUCACAGAUGGUGGAUUACUAAUUCCAUUAGCAUCCAGGACUUUACCCCAACCCAUACCACCUCGCUUCAGGAUGGACUUACAUUGUUCCUACUAUCAGGGACCAGGGCAUGACACGGACCAUUGCACUGCUUUGAGACAUGCUAUUCAGGAUUUGAUAGAUCAGGGUUUGGUCAACUUGGGGCAGCCAAGUGUGACCACCAACCCUCUUCCUACUCAUUCCACACGCGCAGUGCAUCCAUCUUCAGGAGAUAUUCAUCACAUGGACCUUAUAGAGGGUUGACAGUAUACACAUGUUGAGUUGGGAUGAUGGAUUACCCGAGCCUAUUGUUCUACAUGACAGUUAUGAGGUCGAUGGGGUUUCAGUGGUCCCUCAAACUCCUGCACCAUUUAGUUUGAUCCCGGACGAGGCACCAUUCCAGUUGACUCAUCUUACACCUUUAGUUAUCGGAUGUCAGGAUGCUUUUGUCCCAUUCACUUUAUGGCCUGAGGAUGAUGAUUCAGUAGGGAGAGAGAUACAGAUUGUGACUCGUAGUGGGAGGAUAGCUCAGCCACCACCACCAGCAGUCAGACCAUUUGAGGGUACAGCCUCUCAUGAGGAGGUUAGGAGAGAGGAUGAUGAGGUUUUGAGACAGCUACAGAGCACUCAGGCUCGCAUUUCCAUCUGGAGUUUAUUAGCAUCAUCCAGUACUCAUAGAGAUGCUUUGAUUCGAGCCUUGAGUCAGAUCAGAGUAGAGACUACCACCACUCCAAAGGGAUUGAUUCAUAUGAUGACGGCUAGCAGGGCCACUUGCAUUGUAUUUUCAGAUGAUGACUUGCCACCUGAUGGUUUAGACCACGUGCACCCUCUAUACAUCACAGUUGGAUGUUCAGGCCGUAGAGUCCCGUCUGUCCUACUGGACAACGGCUCAGCCCUGAAUGUUUGCCCUUUAGCCACUGCUAUAGCCCUUGGUUUCGCGCCUUCAGAUUUUGGUCCUUCUACUCAGACAGUCAGGGCGUAUGAUAGCACCAAAAGGGAGGUUAUGGGUACCUUGAUGAUUGAUUUGCAGAUUGGUCCAACCAUAUUUUCCACUUUGUUCCAGGUUUUGAGGAUUCCUACAUCCUUUAACCUACUACUAGGCCGACCAUGGAUUCAUGUACCUGGAGCUAUUCCUUCUUCCCUUCAUCAGAAGGUGAAGUUUAUUCAUGAUGGGCAGGUCAUCACAGUUCGCUCUACCAGGGAUAUAUUUGCCGCUUCUGAGCCAGUACUUCAGAUCAGUCACAGUGAGGACGACCUACUUCUGACUGGGUUUACUUUUGAUGAGAUAUAGACUCUCAAGAUUGAGGAUUUUUGUAGAGACUUUGUGGCUAUGUCAUUUGAUCAGCACAGUAGCACAGUGGUCCUUGAUAUGAUGAGGGGUAUGACCUUUCUACCUGGCAUGGGGUUAGGACGACGUCAGCAGGGACCGAGCGAGUUCAUAGCUGGCAUGGACCAUGAUACGACAUUUGGACUUGGAUUCAUCCCUACUGAGGCCGAUUACCGUCACAUGGCGCGGCUACGCAAGAAGAAGGUGAGAGCCCGUUUAUCCCGCACACCAUUUGAUUAUCCUAUUCAACCCUAUAGGAUGAGUUUGGCUGACCACUUUGUCAGAGGAUCAGAGACUCGACCUCGUCUAGAGGGGAUUGAUAGUGUGGUUCAUACAGAUAGAGAGACUGACCUUCAACAUCUAUUUCACCAGCUACAGUUGAGUGAUGGGGCUCCCGACUCUUUUUUCCCUUUGACGAUUACUCCCACAUCUCCAGAUCGAGCUAGCAUGUUGUCUCUAUGCUUUCCAGAGGAAAUCACUGGUGAUGGGGUGAUUGUUGAUCCUACUGAGGUGAUUGAUGGAGUUGUUCCCCAUGAUGAGUACCGUGAUGAGAUGGACAUGAUGACCGUGAGCCAGAUUACUGGCAUUGUUCAGCUUCAGCCUGUUUCAGCAUUUGAUAUGUUUGGGGUGUCUACCAUUGAGGUUUUUGAGGGGACUCAGACUCUUCCUGUUCCAGAGCUUCUAGAGGAUGAUAGUUGUUUGUUUGAGGGCAUUAUUAGCCCAGUUGAGGGAGCGUCCGACCUUGUGGACCCACCUCUUUCUUUUGAUGUUUUAUCGGGAUUUGUCUCCCGCUCUAACGAUGUUUCUGUUGCUUCAUUUAUGGAUUUGAGCAUUUUUUAGUAUUCGCCUGUCUCUUGUGAUAGUAUCUUUAUAUCUGCACCCCACCUACCCACUUCACAGAUAUUUGAUAUAGAUGAUGAGAUUGCACAGCCCAGUUCGGAUAGGGACUCUUUGGAUCAUGACUCUGGUCCCAUAGAUGAGAGAGUUUCACCUGCUGUAGGGGACAUUGAGAUUGUUGAUUUUGGCACAGAGGAUCAGCCUAGAGAGCUGAAGAUUGGUUCACCCCUAUCUACAGAUGAGAGAGAUAGACUCAUCCAUUUACUUAGGUCAUACUUGGAUGUCUUUGCAUGGUCUUAUGAGGACAUGCCAGGUGUUGAUCCCUCUAUAGUCCAACACCAUUUACCUACCCUACCACAUGCUAGACCAGUUAAGCAGAAAUUGAGACGGUUGCAUCCACGUUGGAGUCUACAGGUAAAAGAGGAGAUUCAGAAACAACUCAGUGUUGGAUUCAUAUCAGUAGUUGAGUAUCCAGAGUGGUUGGCUAAUGUCGUCCCUGUUCCUAAAAAGGAUGGCAAAGUUAGGGUUUGUGUUGACUUCAGAGAUCUCAAUAAAGCCAGCCCUAAAGAUGACUUUCCCCUUCCACACAUUGAUUUGUUGGUUGAUGGCACCGCAGGCCAUUCGAUGUUGUCUUUCAUGGAUGGGUUUUCAGGGUAUAAUCAGAUUUUGAUGGCUCCAGAGGAUAUGGAGAAGACAACCUUUAUUACUGAGUGGGGUACCUACUGUUACAGAGUUAUGCCAUUUGGGUUGAAGAAUGCAGGAGCCACUUAUCAGAGAGCCGCUACCACUUUGUUUCAUGACAUGAUGCAUAGGGAUGUCGAGGUUUACGUGGAUGAUAUGAUUGUGAAAUCCCGAGGUAGAGCAGAUCACCUAGAUGCUUUAGAGAGAUUCUUUAAGAGGAUCCGGAAGUUUAGAUUGAGGUUGAAUCCUAAGAAGUGCACCUUUGGAGUGACUUCUGGGAAAUUAUUGGGGCAUAUGGUCAGUGAGCGAGGCAUAGAGGUCGACCCAGAUAAAAUCAAAGCCAUAUUUGACAUGCCUGCACCAAAGACUGAGAAAGAGAUUAGAGGUUUUUUGGGCAGAUUACAGUACAUUAGUCGGUUCAUAGCCAGAUUGACAGACAUAUGUGAGCCUAUCUUUCGUCUUUUGAGGAAGAACCAACCAACAAUUUGGAAUGACGACUGUCAGUUUGCAUUUGAGAAGAUCAAGGAGUAUUUGCUUUCUCCUCCUGUUUUAGUGCCUCCUACGCCAGGACGUCCACUUCUUCUAUAUUUGUCAGUUUCAGACAUGGCCUUGGGAUGUAUGUUAGCUCAGAUUAAUGACUCAGGGAAGGAACGGGCUAUUUACUACUUGAGUAAGAGGAUGCUGGAGUAUGAAGUGAAAUAUGUUAUGAUUGAGUGCCUAUGCUUAGCACUAGUUUGGGCUACCAGGAGGUUGAGGCAUUACAUGACAGAGUACUCAGUACAUUUGAUAUCCCGCCUGGACUCGUUGAGAUACUUGUUUGAUAGACCUGCAUUGACUGGUAGAUUGAUGAGAUGGCUUGUACUUUUGACAGAGUUCGAUAUUCAGUAUGUUUCUCAGAAGUCUAUUAAGGGAAGUACUGUCGCUGAUCACUUAGCCUCACUACCGACAUAUGAGGAUAGACCAAUUGAUGAUGAUUUUCCAGAUGAGGAGUUUGUUGCUAUAACCAGCUUAUCAGAAUGGUGCAUGUACUUCGAUGGUGCAGCCAAUCAGUCAGGGUAUGGGAUAGGUGUUCUAUUGGUAUCCCCUCAGGGUGAUCAUAUUCCGAGGUCCGUUCGUUUGGCAUUCUCUAAUUGACAUCCUACCACGAAUAACAUAGUUGAGUAUGAGGCUUGUAUCCUUGGUUUAGAGACUGCAUUGGAGCUUGACAUUAGACAGAUAGAGGUAUUUGGUGACUCCAAUCUGAUACUCAGGAAGAUUCAGGGGGAUUGGAAUACUAGGGACGUGAAGCUUAGACCAUAUCAUGCAUAUUUAGAGUUAUUGGUUGUGAGAUUUGACGACUUGAGAUAUGUUCAUCUGCCUAGAGCGCAGAACCGAUUUGCUGACGCCUUAGCUACUUUAGCUUUCUCCAUGGACAUUCCGAUUGAUGUAGUCAUAUGUCCAUUAUUGAUUGAGUUGAGGCUUGUACUCGCCUAUUGUUGUUUGAUUGGAGAGACAGAGGUCCAGGAUGACCUACCUUGGUAUCAUGAAAUUUAUCAGUUUCUUAGAUCUGGCACAUACCCUGAGGUAGCCACUGCCAAGGAUCGGAGAGCACUAAGGAAUUUGGCCACUAGAUUUGUGAUUUGUGGAGAUACCUUGUACAGACGAUCAGCUGAUGGUAUGCUUCUAUUGUGUUUAGAUCGAGCCUCUGCAGAUCGAGUGAUGAGAGAGGUUCAUUCAGGAGUUUAUGGUCCGCAUAUGGGAGGACACAUGCUAGCCCUUAAGAUUAUGAGGACGGACUAUUUCUGGUUGACUAUGGAGACAGAUUGUUGUCAGUUUGUCCAGAAAUGCCCAGAGUGUCAGAUUCAUGGUGAUCUCAUUCAUGUACCGCCAUCAGAGUUACACGCUUUGACCUCGCCAUGGCCAUUUUCAGUAUGGGGUAUUGAUAUUAUUUAGAAGGUUUCACCAAAAUCUUCCAGUGGUCAUGAGUUCAUCCUAGUUGCCAUAGAUUAUUUCACCAAGUGGGUGGAAGCCGCAUCAUAUGCGAGGUUGACAUCUGCUAGGGUUGCCAGUUUUAUCAGAUCACACAUCAUUUGCCGCUAUGGGGUUCCUCAUGAGUUGAUUUCCGACAGAGGGGUGCACUUCCGAGCUGAGGUAGAUACUUUGUUGCAGAAGUAUGCCAUCCGACAUCAUAGAUCUUCAGCAUAUAGGCCACAGACCAACGGGGCAGUAGAGGCUGCAAACAAGAAUAUUAAGAGGAUUUUGAGGAAAAUGGUUGAGACUUCUCGAGAUUGGUCAGAGAAGCUUCCUUUUGCGUUGUGGGCAUAUCGUACAUCUUUUCGUACUUCUACAGGAGCUACGCCUUACUCUCUAGUGUAUGGUAUGGAGGCUGUUUUGCGAGUCGAGACAGAGAUGGGUUCAUUGAGAGUAGCCAUUGAGCAGCAGAUUUCUGAGACAGAGUGGGCUCAGGCUCGAUUUGAUCAGCUUAACCUUUUAGAUGAGAGGAGAUUGAGAGCGGCAGAUCAUGUUCAGGCCUAUCAGAGAAAGAUGGCUCGUGCCUUCAAGAAACGGGUUAAGCCUAGACCAUUGCAAAAAGGGGACUUAGUUUUGAGGAUUCUCAGAGGUUUGAUUGGAGACCCUAGAGGAAAGUUUAGACCUAGUUGGAGUGGGCCUUAUGUUAUCCGAGAGUUGACUCUAGAAGGGGCUGCAUGGUUGACAGACUUAGAUGGAAACCAAUUUUCAGAGCCUACCAACGUGGAUCAGCUAAAGAAGUAUUAUGUUUGAGACCGUGGUCGCAGGAUGGGUGGCCAUCAUUUCGGUUAGCCUCAUACUUUAUCACCUCUAUAUAUUAGACCGUUGCUAGCCCAUUGAGCUUCGCAUGGUAUGUUAUAGCCUUAUUUCUUUCUUAUAGCUUUGAUUACCAUUUCUACACCCGGGUUGGGGCCCUUUGAUGUAUAUGCAUGUUUUGCUAGGAAAGUCUCAUGAGCUUUAGACUUAUAGGUCUAUCUUCUCAUUUUGUUACCAUCCUCUUAUCACCCUAUUUGUUCUAUUUUAUUAUCAUCAUAUAUUCAUUCUCUUUCUUGUCUCUAUCAUUAUUUGCUUCAUCUUAUCUAUUCUCUUCCUUGGGUUGAUGAUUCUUCACGUCUUAGUGCAAAGAGGGCAGUCAUAGCACUUCAUUCAUCCCAUCAUUUGGCAAUGAUUCGGAGAUUUUAGUUUGAGAGGUUGUCUCAUGGGUUAGGGUUCAUGUAUUCAUCAAUGAUUUGAGAGAGUUUAUUCAUUUUAUUGUAUAUUUCCCAUUGGAGUUUGACUUAUUGAUGAUCAGAGCAUGCGCAAAAAAAAAAAAAAAAAAAAAAAAGCGCAAUGACAUGUUUGUGUAUGGUAUCUUGCUCCAUUGGGUACUUAUAUCACCUUUUGAGGUAUGUUUACUGGGUAUAUUUGACAUUGUGGGUUCUUGUGAGAUGUUUAUAUGAGUUUUCACUCCUUGAGCCACUCUUGUUAUGCAUUUGGAGUGUUGGGGGUUCAUGUGAGAGUUCUAUGGUAUCCUAUGCUUCUUGGUCAUGGUUGAUACAUAUUAGGUAUGAGAGAUGAAUGACCUUUUACUAGGGUCUCCAGAUCAUUGUCUUAUCCACCAUUCCAUCAUUGGUGAUAUGACUUUCCUUUAUUGUACUAACAUGGGUUGAUCAUCACUCGUUCCACUUUCUCAUUGCUUUCUUUUGUAUCCCAUUACCGCUUUCCAGAUCUUUGUUCCACCUUUUAUUCAUUCCCUACAUAUUGAUACCCAUUACUGAUUUGAUACUUUUUUUUCACAUCAUUCACAUAUUUCAUUGAUGGUUUGACCAUUCAUCAUUUCUCUCAUUUCGUUAUCGACAUUCCCUUUGGUUACUUCUAAGUCCAUGACUCAUGAGAUUUUUCUAUGCAUUACAUCUUGUACACGAGGGUACGGGUUUGAUCAUUGGGUAUUUGAGCCUAGUUUCCCUUCAUUUCUUUCACCCUAUCACCUUGGCCUACGUUACGUCCCGUGUCUUAAGACCACCCUGAGGCCACGAGAUCAGACGUUAUCUUUGAUAGUCUUCACUUGGACAGGCUUUUGUAGAUUGAUUGAAGUAUGGUCGUUGCUAUGUUCUCUUUUAUGGAAGAUACUUUUGGAAGCAUUUGGUUUCUCUCUCGCUUGGCAUAUUGAUGUUUGAUGGAUUUUUUUGGGUUUGGAGACAGUUCAUUGAGGAUAUUGGAUUCAUCCUUUGGUUGUGCAUUAGAUGUCCAUAUUGGGGAAUAUUCCCCUUUCAUUUGGUUGAGAUGAGCCCCUAGUGGAGCACUUUCUUUGAGUCUGGGUAUUUUCACCGAUCAGAGAUUCCUAGUGAGGUAUGUUGAGGCUAUAUCAGUUUUAGUGGAGCAUCGUUGAGCCCCUAGUGGUUCCAUUCGCGGAGUACUUCUGAGAUAGACUAGGGGAUUAUUAUUGAGUUGGAGGCAGUUUUCAGUGCAGUGUAUAGAUCAGGCAUACUGGGGCAUAUUUCCCCAUUUUGAGGUUACCAGAUCCCUAUCAGAUUCAGUCAGGGAUUCAUCAGAGACAUGUUUCUACUUUUGAGAUUACCACAUUCCUCAUCAUUUUGGCUAUUCAUUUGAGAUUAGAUUUAGAGUGUCUCCCUUGAGGCAUUGGUCGAUACUUCACUCCGACUUCUUAGCAGAUUAUUGUUGAGCUGAGGAUAGUUGAUUGAUGAUGUUGGAUUCAUCCUUUGGUUGUGCAUCAUCUAUUCACACUGGGGCAUAUGCCCCCCUUCCUCCGAGAUUCUUAUCUGUUAUUGUAUACGGUACGAGGAUGGAUGAUCAUUGUUAGUUUGUUUACCUCACGACUUCGACAUUAGAUUAUCCACACUGGGGCAUAUUCCCCUCUCCUUGAUGAGAUUGUGUUUGGACAGCGGUACGAGGAUGGAUGAUCAUUGUUAGUUUGUUUGCCUCACGACUUCAACAUCCGAUAUCCAUACUGGGGCAUAUUCCCCUCUCCAUUAUGAGAUUUAUUUGAGCAGUGAUAUGAGGAUGGAUGAUUGGUGUCGGUUGUUUAGCUUAUGACUUUGACAUCAGGUCUCAUACUGGGGCAUAUUUCCCUACUUUUUGAGUAUCCUUGAGAUUGAGACAGUGACCAGCUUGGUUUUAGAUUGAGUACUAGCCUAGAGCUUCCGACGAUCGACUGUAUCAGGGCCUCCCUACAUGGAUUUGUUGAGAUAGAGAUGGAUCGUAUCAGGUUUCACCCGAGGAGCGUGGGUGGAUCCUUUAGCCAGAUGCUCAUGAGACAGAUUUGUUUUCGUCAUUGUUACCUUGUCGAUUGGGUUAUUUGAACAAGCAUCAUUUUGUGCACUUUGAGAUUUGCUUUUAGAUGAGCCACGAUAUACACGCUUUGAGAUUUACCUUUUGACAUUCGUCGGUAGAGCAAUUUUUCAGACACAGAGGCCUCUUUCAGUUUUGACUUUUCAGAGGUUUGUCAUGGUGUAUUGGUUUUUGACUCAUUGAUUCUAGCAGAUGAUUGGUUUACUGGUUGUUUCAGCAGUGUGAGCACCUUGGAUACUAGGGCAUAUUUCCCUUCUUGGUUUCAGUAGUCCGACCCUUGACAUUUUGAGUAUAUGGCUUUGAGCCAAUUUAUUUCAUGUCCACUUUCAAGUUGGUCUUCUCUAUUAUUCCCUUCUAGGCCCUGAGCCUUAUAGCCCUAAGUUAUUCAUUCCUUCUAGACCUCGAGUCUUACAGCCCUGAGCAUUCUUUUUCCUUUAGGCCCUAAGCCUUGUGGCCCUGAGCUAUCAUUUCCCAUAGACCUAGAGUCUUUCCAGCUCUUAGCUGAGCUUUCAUCACUUGGUCGCCCAUGAGUGGUUUGACAUGGAGUUUGCGUAUCGCAUUCUCCUUCUAGCCGAUCAGUCAUAGAGCCCAAAGCUCAUAGCCCUGAGCUAUUCAUCGACCCAGAGUCAUUUUCCAUCUUGACCCAGAGUCAUUCAUAGCACCCCGAGCCCUGAGCUCACGACCCGGAGUCAUUUGCAUCAUUCAUAUCCCUGAGAUGUUUCGUUUUCAUCAUUCUAGCCACUUGUGAGUGGUCUCGACCCGACAUCUUGAGUCGGAAAGUAUCUUGAUCGGCUAUCUAUUAGAGCCUGGAGCUCUCGACCCAGAGUCACUUUCCAUUUCGACCUAGAGUCAUUAUUUCCUAUUUUAGAGCCCGGAGCUCUCGACCCAGAGUCAUUUUCCAUUUUGACCCAGAGUCAUUCCUAUCUAUUUAGAGCCCGGAUCUCUCGACCCAGAGUCAUUUUCCAUUUUGACCCAGAGUCAUUCCUAUCUAUUUAGAGCUCGGAGCUCUCGACCUAGAGUCAUUUCCCAUUUUGACCCAGAGUCAUUCCUUUCCACUUAGAGCCCGGAGCUCUCGACCCGGAGUCACUUUCCAUUUUGACCUAGAGUCAUUAUUUUCCAUUUUGACCCAGAGUCAUUUUCCAUUUUGACUUAGAGUCAUUCUUUCCUAUUUAGAGCCUAGAGCUCUCGACUCAGAGUCAUUUUCCAUUUCGACCUAGAGCCAUUCUUUCCAAUUAGAGCCCUGAGCUCAUGACCCGGAGUUUUUUAUCCUAUUUCAGAUCCAGAGUCGUUCAUCUUGUCCCUGACCCAGAUUCAUUCAUCCCAUCCAUGACUUUGAGUCAUCAUUUUCACCUCUUUCCAUCUUUGUGCUACUCGUCACAUACUGUUCUCUCUUUAUUGUCAUUCCCCCCACAUAGAGUUGUCCCAUCCAUGUCAUUGAGACCCCAUCUUUUGAUCUUACCUCUUCAUGUGCUAGGACAAAAUCUCUGGUCCUUCUUUAAUUCUUCGGUAUAGUUCACUUCAUUCUGCUCAUUACUCGUGUUUCUACUCACAUUCUCUACACUCGUGAUCUAUACCAAAGAGGGGCAUAUUUGUAGACCCUUAAUUUUGUCCAUUUAGCACAUGUCUUUAAAUUCACAUCCAGUGCUCCACGGUAGUUCCUUGGUGGCCCAUUACUACUCAUAAGGCUUACCUUUUUCUGAGUCACCUCAGAGACUUUGGUUGAGGGAUUAUCUGACCCCUUAUUGUGAUCCUUGGCAAUCCUAAUUUAGAUUGGGCUUGAAUUAGAUACACUUAGCCCAUUUAGGCACCUUAGGCCCACUUAGGCAUCUUAGGCCCGUUUAGAUACACUUGGCCCACUUAGGCUCACUUAGACCCACUUAGGUCAUCUUUUAAAUAUUUUUUUUACAUAUUUGCAUGAUUGCAUUUUUUUGUAUGACUUGCAUGGUUGCAUGGCUCAUGGGGCCUAAUUUUUGUUAAUUUGUUUGUUUUAUUUUUAGUUUUAGUUUUAUCAUUAUCAAUCACUCGUUUAUUUAUUUAUUUAUUUUAUUUGUUAUCUCAUUCUUUAUAUUAUUUUCCUUAAUUUAUUUAUUUAUUAUUGUUUUAUUGUUUUCUAAUUUGUUUGCUUAUUUAGUUAUUCAUUCAAUUAUAUAAUUUCAAAAAUUUCAUGUUUUUGCAAGGAAACUUACCAUUGGAGACUAAGGAAAGCGGGACUCUCCUUGGAAAGUUUUGGAGGGGAAUUUGAAGUUGGGAAGAUUGCUUUUGAAUUGGAAGAUUUAGAAAAAGGGAAAAAGGAAGAAGAGAAGAAGAAUGGAAAUAGGGGAAUUUUCUUUUUUUUUGGAAACAAAUUUAGGUCUUGAGGGAUGAUAUAUAUAUGUGAGAAAAGAAAGAGAAAGGGGGAGUGAACAAGCACGCAUUGGAGGAUUGGGAGAAAUUCUGGGAAAAGGUGGAGAGACGUAUUGGAGGCAUUGGAGGAAACCAUUUAAGAGGAGAAGAAGAAAGAAGCACAGAAAAACCAGUGGAGAUUUUCUGAGGAUAGAAACCAGUGCAGAUUUUUUUUUUUUCGUCAAAAGGAAGCAUUCCCAGGUAUGUCUACUGUAGAUUCCUUCUUCAUUCCCAUUAUCCUUUUCUUAUGUACUAAUCUUUGUCGGGUUUUGAGUCUUGCUUGGAUGCUAGGGGGGCAGAAUGACAGAGGUCACAUGUUUGUCUACAUUGAUACUUGCUUCUAUAGAUGUUAUUGAUUUAUCCCUUAGGAGUUCUCUAAUUUUGAUUUAGUGCUGCUAGGUUCCAUUUAUUAUUAUUUCAUGUGCAUUACAUGAGAACUGUGGUUGUAUUCGUUUGUUGGAAUCUGCUCGUACUUAUCCCAUCAUUCCAAACCCAUUGAACCUAACAUGAAAUGGGUUUUCAUUUAAUGGAUCACUUAUUUGUUCAUCCAUUUUUUUUAUCAAACUCUAUUUUGGCGGGGUUGUUUUUCUACAGUUGAGCAUGCUUCAAAUUGCUCUGUUUUGCUUCCCGGGUGUGUCUUCCUAUAUUUAUGAAUGAAUAAGGUAUAGAUUUGUGGGCUUAUGAGUUGUAAAGGUGAUUUCAGUGGGGUUGAGAUUCUGGGUCCACAAGAAAAAAAUAGAAUAGCAGAAGAGAAAAAUCUGUAAGAGAGUUGGGAAGUCCAGAGUAGUGCAAAUCCUCUUGGGCGUCUUUGGUUCAGAAAUAUCAGAAAAGCUAGAAGGAUGAGAAAAACAAGAAAGAUUGUUUGCCUUUGAACUUUUGAUUGCUUAAAGAUGUUUGACAAUGACCACUGUAAACAACCUGCUACUUUAAUGGUUGUGAUAUUUGAAUGUCAGUAUGAAGAUGUGAUUGGGGUGAAAGUGCUGAAAUCAGAGCUCAGGAGAAGAUCAUUGACUGUUGAGUCUGAUAUGGAAUACAAUUGAAAUGCCAACAUUGAGAUAUUUGGAAGAAGGGGUCUUGCUCCAGGAGUUAGACUUGGUGGGGUGGUUGGUGACUCACUUACCAGAGUUGUAGGAAUGCAAGCAGAUGCACUUUUGUUUGCAGAGGCCAGAAAACAGGGUUUUGAUUCUUUGGAAAGAGAAGAUGACAAAUAUUUGGAAAGAUUUAAAUUGUUUCAGUUGGAAGCUACUGAAUUUUACCANNNNNNNNNNNNNNNNNNNNNNNNNNNNNNNNNNNNNNNNNNNNNNNNNNNNNNNNNNNNNNNNNNNNNNNNNNNNNNNNNNNNNNNNNNNNNNNNNNNNNNNNNNNNNNNNNNNNNNNNNNNNNNNNNNNNNNNNNNNNNNNNNNNNNNNNNNNNNNNNNNNNUAGGUGCAGAGAGCUCUAUAACAAACCUGAUGUUCAGAGUCGCAAUUGGUCAAUUGCUGCUACCUGUUAUAGAGAAGUAACAAUAAUUUGGCACUGGUGCAACUGAAAGAAGAGUACAUGAGGAAAUUCCCUUUCUGGAAUGAUCCAUAUGUUCUAGUGAGCUUGCUUUCUGCUAGCCGACUGCGUGGAGAUGUUGUAAUUGGGGAGUGUUUGGCUAAAUGGCUUCUAAAACUUCAGCUUGUGACUACUUCUCCUUAUGUAUUAUUAUCAAACUUGUAUGCUUCAGAUAGGAAGUGGGCAGAUUUAAAGAACCUGUCAUCAGCGGACAACAACUUCUCUGACUCAACUUUAGACUCAAUUUCGGGGUUAGAAUCAAUCAAGUCUUUAGAUUUCAGUCGCAACCCCUUUUCUGGUGAUAUGGCAGCAUCAUCGACAAAACUGACUAAUUUGGUAUCCCUUAAUUUAUCGUUAAAUGAGUUCGAAAGUAAAAUUCCAAAAGGUCUCGAGCUGUUUUCAAAACUUGAAAUUCUUGACUCGCAUAGGAAUAUGCUCAGUGGACUUCCAGACAAGGAAUUCUUGUAAUUUUCAGGUGCCAUUCGUGUUGACUUUAGUGGGUGCUAGCAGAGUACUAUCUAUGUUAUUCAUUAUAGCAGAUUCUUAACAUCCACAUUUAUUUGGGAAUAGAUGCUUCAGUUUGGAUGAUAAACAGAUUACAGAUUUAAGGCAUUCUAUUGAUAAGAUUCUAAGUGACAAGUCUUCUUGGAAUGAAGAUCUCUUUGUUGCUACAGUCAAAUUGCUUACUUCUGCUGCAGUUGAUCAGCCUGUUUUUUCUUGUCACCAUAAUUUCAGCCAAAGACAAUCUAGGUUUGAUGCAGCCAAUAAAUGAAGCUUCUUUUGGAAUAUUGGGGUCUGUCAAAGCAAGUUUGGUAGAUGCACUCUUGCAAGUUAUUGAAAGAUUUCAAUGAUCUUAUCAAAUAGCAAUCCCCGUUUACUACUGAAUGUGCUUGACUUACUGAAAACAUUGUGGCAAGGGGUUGCUCAAUAUGCAGAUAUUUUGGAAUGGCUGAAAAACUCUGAAAAGUUCUGAAAACUAUUUUUGUAACUCUAUUUCUCAAAUUGUUAGAAUGAAAGCUCCCCUGCCUGAGAAUCUAACCAAAAUGGAGGCUCUAAUCUUGGCAUACAAAUACCAGUGUCAAACAGCUGUAUUGGAAAUAAUGGCAGAAAUCUUGUUCCUGUGGAAGAAGUUACUGCAUGCUGAAUUUCUUGAAAUGCUUGCAAAUCUGCACAGUUCACCAAUUGAGCCUAGGAAUUCUGAUAUAUCUUCAGGAAUGGAUGACGAGUCCAAUAAUAGUGAGAUGCUCGCAGCUACUAACAUCCACCCUGGACAAGAUUCAUGGAGAAAAUUGGAAGUUGAAGACAAGGAAUUGCCGCAAGUGCACAAUGGUACAUUGCAGCAGAGCAUCUCUGUCGAUGCAAAACUAAUCAAAGAGGAUGUAAUUAGCUUAGUAGAUAAGGAAAGAAGGCAAGCUCUACAGACACCACAAGUGGUUAUGAACAUGCUCGAUGCGACUAUGCCUGGUACUCUAAUGGAAGAACUUAAGAAGAAGGUCCUGGCUGCCGUAGGACAAGGAGAAACAGUUAUGUAAACUUUGUGAGAUGCUGUCCCAGGAAAUAUUUGUGGAAAGCUUUCUACUGCUGUUUCUAGAAUUUUGGCAUACUCAAGGUGUAAAUUUAAACUUUGAGGGUCUUCUGAGGAUUGACCAAACUCCUAAUGUUUCGUCAGGAUUGAAAUCUAAGAUCCAAAAAGAAAUUGGAAUAACAUCAAGUGAAGAAGGUGGGACCGAAAGCUAGGAUACAGUUGAAGAUUACAAAGGUAUAGUUCUUGGAGGUUCCGAAGCCGCCAAACACUCCUUGGAGAAAUUAGGGAAAAUAUCAGAUGGAAGUUCUUGCUCUGGUGUAGAGAAUUCUUGUAAUCAUUCACAGAGAAUUGGUGGUCAAAUUAUAAGUGACUCGGAUGAAGAAGUGGACAUUGAUGAAUAAGGAGGUGGAAAUGAGUUAUUUGAUUUUGCUGCACUGGCUGCUCUCACGAAAAUAGUAGCAAGUGCAAGUUCCGAUAGUGGCAGUAUCACAAUAACCUCUCCAAAGGGAUCCAAGCUUCUCUCUGAUUGACCCCCCCUGUUGGAUUGGGAUCUACAAACCAGCCUCUAAGACCUGCUCCCCAACAAAACCUGUCCAAUCUUUUUACCCAUUUUCCAAUCUUGCAGGGAGGCAAACUGGUGAAGAAUUUAAUCUUGAUAUUGCAGAGAGAGUUGUUUGUGAUCUUAACACUACUGAAGCGUUUCCAAGUGUGUUGGAUCUAAAAUGCAGCCUGAAGUUCUCUGGCCAACUAAACUCGAGCCACUUGAUCGCCAGAUUGUCGAAGAACAAAUCCAGUUCAGUUCUUUCCUUUUACUGGUUUUUUGGCUCAUCCCUACCUCAUGAAUACACCCAGUUAGGCAGGGUUAUUAAAGUACCAAGGGACCUUAUUGAUCCCUACAUCCUGGUUAGCAUCCUUGCUUAUAGGCAAUCCUGAACAUGGUGCGCAGCUGUACUGAUAAUCCGUCAUCUGAUAAGUCUUGGAGAUGUUCCCUGCUGCUAUUGCAUUCAGAAAACUCAUAUUGCAUAAGGAAGCUUGCUGAAAGUAUCUCAUAAAUGCUACAACAAAGGACAACUAGAAGGCAAUUUCCCAAGACUUAAUGCCUCAUUUCUGAAACCUGCAAGUGGAGAUGAAGUACUAUCCAAAGAACCUAAAUGACGAUAUGGAGCUUCAUUAAAAUCUGUCCAGAGAAUUCAAACAGAUCAAUGAAGAGUUGUCUCUAAAGUCAUUCAUGAAAUCGAAAGGACAAAGCCGCGUCAAAAGCUGCUACUGCUCGCGGUCUUGGACGCAAUGCAAAGAUUGGUUCUGGGAGGGGUCUCAGUGCUGUAGCUAUGGCAACAUCUGCACAAAGAAAGGAAAGGACAAAUUCGGACAUGAAAUGGAAGUAGGGAUCUUCGCCAAGGUUCAUACUGAGAGAAUGGUUUCAUCUUUAAGAUUUGGAAUCCCAUCAAAACCUCUUACCAAAUGUUCUCCUCAUGUUUGUUUUCGUUUGCUAUUAUAGUUACCUACGGUGUCGGAUUUCAUUCGAAUUUUUCAGACAAGUCUCCGCAUUCAGCCCAUGGAAAUGACAACCAGAAUUCCAAAACAACAGCGAUCAGACCAGUUCCCAGAUUCCAAUUGUUGGAUAUGUUGGUCAGCCAUAUGGAGCCCCGUCACUGCCAAUCUCCUCUCUCUAAUAUCUGUAGUUGAAUUAGCAUCACCAGCUUCAUACGAUUGGCAUCUGGUCUACCUCUUUCAUUAUACUUUCCUCAGAAUUUGUUUUCCAAACAGCAAUGGUAGGUUCCAAUUUGGAACCCAAUAGCUAAAUAGAACCCACCUGGUAGUAAAGGUCAGCAAGCAGGGCUUCAAAACAGAGAAAAUCGGAAGUGAGGAGACCAAAAUCUUGUGCAAUAAGUAAAGAACACUUCGAAUGCCAUAUCCUUUUUCAUUAGAUUCAGAAGGAGGACUCUCUCUGGGUAGGAAUUGUAAUGAUAUGGAAAGGAUGGGAAGUCAUGAUACAAAGCUGUUUUAUCGUUUUAGCUUGGGAAUUGACAGCUUCAUCUUCAAACGGUGGAAUUCCAUGAAUAAGGAGCUUUAAGACAUGCCAACAAAUUGCCAAGGAAUAGUCAACUUCUUCACCCAACAGUGAAACUAAAAGUGGAAAGAGCAGAGUAGCAUUGUUUUUUUUGGACCUUUUAUGAUCAUCAUGCAGAAAAAAACAGCUCAGUAGCUGAAGUUGAGUAUAUUGGCAAACCUGAGAAUGCACUUCCAACCGAUGGAACUGAACAGCAGCAUAAGAAAUCUGAUUUGGAGUUAAGACCUACUACCACAUUACAAGCUCUAGUUGAUGAUUCAAAUUGUGAUCUCGAGAAACUAAAGUUGAAUCCAGACGACAUUGCUGAUGAAAUCAUGUAUCAAACCCUAUGAGCUUUGACUCUGAAAUGAAUAUGGACAGUUCGUUUCCAGUCACGCCAGCAGUAUACAGAGAUCUCUUCACACAACCACCAGCAACGCAGUCACAGCCAAACCCCCAAACCCCAUUCUCCAUGACCGGUCUAGUGCACACUACUCUUUUCCUUUCACACCCCUUUUGCUUUCCUCGUGAUUUUAUGUGUCUUGAAUUGUGUUUUCAAAAAUCGUUUUCAUCCAAAUAAAUCUGAUUUUAGAUAAUCAUCUUUAGAUAUUCUCUAGGCAUUGAAAUCUAAAUUUCAACACCCUUUUGCUGCCAUUUUCCUUCCGGCAUGCGUCUUCACUAUUUUAUUUGAUUUUCAACUAAUUUUCUUGAUUUUCAACAAGCAUGAACAAACUUCAUGAUUCCAAACAAUGGAAUUCAUUGAAUCAACUCAUGCAAAAUCAACUAGGGCUUUGGUGGGGGCCCAACAUUCAUAACACUCACUUCAAUACUGUUUACUUGAUAUGUUGAUUUUUUAUUCUUCUUGAUGAAAUACUUGAAUUCAUUUAAUAUUUAUUGUUGAGAUGCUCUCGUUUCCCAUAGAGGAGUACUAGCUUGCUAUCCAGGUACGCUCUCUUCUCAUCUAUUUUUUUAGAACUCUAUGGACUUGUAUGUCAUUGAUGACCAUAUCCAUAUUUGACGUGAUUCUUGAAUGUCUUGAUAUAUGCCUGAUUUGCUUGAAUAAAACAAAUGUUGUGUGAUGUAUCUCCAAACUAAUCUCUUAUGUUUUAUGAUAGCGCUUGGGAAGCCAUCCAGGUAUGCAUUUUUAACUUUUCUUAAUUGUGAUCUGAUCUUGUUUGAUAUGUUAUGUUUUUGGAAUCACCUAGCCUACUUAGGUAUCCAUGAUCAACCAUUUAAUUGCCACGCUUCCCUUAACUUAGUCAGUAAAGACCUCUUUAGGGCUUAGAGGGGUGCUACCUCCUAGAGGUACCUUCCCAAUAAGUAACCUGAUCCCCGGACCUAAACUCGGGUUUCUCAAAGACAUGCUUUUUCCAAAACUAGGGAGUCACUUUUUAGGGUUUUUCUUUCUUGUUUUAUUUUCCCUUUAAAAUAAAAAUAAAAUAAGUGGCGACUCCAACUUUUUUUCCAAAAAUCAAUUUUUCACAAAAAUAAUAAAAAGCGAGUCUCGCCGAUCGAGUGGGGGCGCACGUGAAAAAUGCGGGUCCACAGGUCUCCUUAUAAUCAAUGCCUUCCUUUUGAGUGAAACCUUUUGCGAUUAGGCGUGCCUUAUACCUAACAAUGUUGCCUUUUGAAUCCCACUUGAUCUUAAAAAUCCAUUUACAACCAAUCGGUUUUACACCUUCAGGCAACUUUACUAGGUCCUAAACACCAUUGUCUUUCAUUGAUUUCAUCUCAUCCUUCAUGGCUUCUAUCAACUUUUCAGAGUCAGAACUUUGUUUGACUUGACUAAUUGAAAUUGGAUCGUCUUCCAAACCCAUGUCAAACUCAUGUUCCUGGAGAUGUACAACAUAAUCAUCUGAAAUUGUACUUCUCCUUUCUCUAGUGGAUCCCCUCAGUGGCACUUGUACUUGAGGUUCUUGAGGUUGUUGAGUUACCUCUUCAUGAACUUGAAUCGGUUCCAUAACUUGAGCAGGAGGAAUCUCAGGUGUGUUUUGAAUCUCUGUUAUUGACUGUACAUUUUGGAUAGUGUCAUCAAACAUAAUAUGACCAUGUCCAGUCGUAAUAAUAGGAAUACUAACAGAUUCCUCUUCAAAUACCACCUUUUUUAACUGUUCUCUCCCACUUAACUCAACAUCCUCAAUAAAUUUAGCAUUGCCCAUUUCAAAAAAUGAUCUAGUUGAGGGGUCAUAAAACUUGAAACCUCUCGACCUUUCAGAAUAUCUUACAAAGUAGCAACUCACUGUUCUGGAGUCUAAUUUCUUUUUAUUUGGUUUGUAAGGCCUAGCUUCAACUGGACAACCCCAGACAUGCAAGUGCCUAAUACUAGGUUUCUUGCUAGUUCAUAACUCAUAUGAGGUUUUGGCUACUGCUUUGCUUGAGACUCCAUUCAAAAUAUAAAUUGUUGUUUUGAUGGCUUCGCCCCAAAGUGAUUCUGGUAAGGUGGAAUGACUGAUCAUACUUCUUACCAUAUCCUUAAGAGUACAGUUUCGCAUAUUUGCUACACCAUUUUGGCUUGGAGUUCCCAGCAUGGUGUAUUGAGGAAUAAUACCACACUUCAUCAAAUAUUUGGCGAAUGACCCUAGACGUUGUUCACUGGAUCCGUCAUAUCUACCAUAAUAUUCACCUCCACGGUCAGAUCUGACGGCCUUUAUUUUCUUGCUUAGUUGGUUCUCAACUUUAGCUUUGAAAUUCUUGAACACAUCUAAUGAUUGAGACUUCUCAUGAAUCAAAUAAAGAUAGCCAUAGCGUGAGUAAUUUUCAAUGAAAGUGAUAAAAUAUUGUUGUCCAUUCCAAGAAGGAGUAGGAAAUGGACCAUAAAUGUAUGUAUGUAUCAAUUCCAAGACGUCACUGCACUUGUUAGCAUCAUUUUUUCUCAUAUUUGUUUGUUUACCCUUAAUACACUCUAUAUAGACUUGAAAUUCUGAGAAAUUAAGUGGAUCAAGAAUUCAUUCUAACACAAGCCUUUGAUUUGAAAUAUGACCCAAACGCCUGUGCCAUAACAUCGAUGAAUUCUCAUUUGUUAAUUUUUGUUUAAUGUCAUAAUUACUUAAAUGCAAGGUUUCAUUUCCAUUAGUGGUCUUUAUGUUUAAUUUGUAUAAUUUGUCUGUUAGACUACCUAUACCAAUAACAUUUGAAUUUAGAUAAAGACUAACCAUUCCAUUUCUAAAUGAACAAUAAUAUCCAAAUUUUUCCAGACAUGAAACAAAAAUUAAAUUCCGUCUAAACGAUGGUACUAUAAAAGUCUCUUCCAAAUCCAAAGUACAUCCAGAGUCUAACUGUAAUAUAAAAAGACCAAUAGUCUUGAUUGCAACCUUGUUGCCAUUUCCCACAUAGAUGUAUCUUUCACCAUCAGUUGGCAUUCGGCUCCUUAGGCAACCCUACAUCGUGACACUUAUGUGAGUAGUUGCACCCGUAUCUAUCCACCAAGUGUCAGUAGGCACUACGACUAAAUUAAUUUAUGAACAAACAAAGUUGAGAAGUGUACCUUUCUUUUCACGCCAAGCAGCGUAUUUGGUACAUGUCUUUUUCAUAUGACCAACUUUCUUGCAAAAUAAACAAGUCAUCUUCUUAUCUUGUUUCUUCUGCACCUUUUGCUUUGAUGUCCCAAAAAUUGCAGUUUGUUUUUCUUUAUUGUCCCUCUUUCUUUUCUUGUUGGUACCAAAUGCCUGAGAUGUGGAAGCCAAGUGAGCACUUUCUAUCUUUUCUUGUUUCAAUCUCUUAUCCUUUUGUGCACAUUGAGCAAUAAGCUCAUUCAAAGUCCAUUUUUUCUUUUGUAUGUUGUAACUGAUUUUGAAUGGACUGAAUUGUGUAGGUAAAGAGAUCAAGACCAAGUGUACGAGUAUGUCUUCCGAAAACUCUAACUUUAGUGCCUUUAGUCUAGUCACAAGAUUAGACAUUUCCAUAAUACACUUCCUUAUAUUCUCUUUCCCUUUGUACCGCAUAGAGACAAGCUUACUAAGAAUAGUGCUUGUCUUAACCUUUUCUUUUGCAGCGAAUCGGCUUGCUAUCUGGUCUAAGAAUGCCUUGGCUCGAGUUUUCUCAGGUAUUACACCCUUUAUAGCUUUUGGAAUUGAGUGCUUUGUUAUCAUUAACUCAUGCGAUUGGAUCGCUCUCAUUUUUCCAUAGUAGACCUUUGCUCAGCAGUGCUGGCACUAGUAAGAUCUGAAGAGCAAUCCUCUCUUAAUGCAUAGUCUAAAUCCAUGCACCCGAGCACAAUUAUAGCGUGCUCUGUCCAUUUCUUGAAGUUUGUGCCAUUAAGCGCAGGAAUGUUAUUAACAUUUGCAGAUAUAGAAUAUGUUGAAUUCAUAAUAAUAAAGCUCACAAUCAGUCACAUAAACAUCAUACAUACAUGAAAAACAUCAUACAAGAUACCUAGCACAAACAUUAAUAUUCUGUCUUUGGACAAUAAAUAUUAACUUGUAAUUGGUAUCCUUAUACAAAAUUAAUUCAUAAAUAUUUAUCGACAAUAAAACCAAAAACAGUAUGCCUAUCUUUAGACUAACAUAUCGAAUGCAAGAUAAACUUUAUAUGUCACAUAUUUAUGAUUACUUUAUUUAUUAUUAUAUUAAAAUAAUCUUCUUUUGAGCCGAUUAUUUUAAAUAAUAAUAAUAACAUGUUUAGAUAUUAUAAAAUAAAUAAAUUAUAUAAUAUAAGUUACUUUGGCAACUAACAUACAUAAUUCAUUUAUUUUAAAAUAUUAAACACAAACAUAACAAGAAAUAAUAAAUUCAAUUAAAAUUAUUUAUUUAUUUAUGCAUAAACCCAUGUAUAUAUAUGUAUAUAUUAAUUGAAGCAUAAAAAACCAUCUACAUGUGUAUAUAUAUCAAUUGAAGCAUAUAUACAAGCUUUAGUCUAAUGGUUUAAGCAAAAAAUAGGCCAUGGUAAAGGGUUUAAGCCAACCCACCCCUUUAGUUUGGUUUUUGUUUUUGUUUUUUUUUUAAUUUCUUUUGGGCUAUUGACCAUGCAUUCUCUCAUGGCCCAACGACCACUUGUGUUCACUUACAAGCCAAGCCCCUUCCAUAUAUAUAUAUAUAUAUAUAUAUAUAUAUAUAUAUAUAUAUAUAUAUAUAUAUAUAUAUAUAUAUAUGUUUUUUUUUAUUUUAUAAAUUUUGUCCAUUGCAGCCCAAAGUGACCAUCCCUUGAAAUGGCAUCAUCAACGGUGCCAGAGUUGUCCUCGAAUGACGCCUACAGUGAAACGCCGCUGCCAUCAUCGGAACGGUGAUUUCCCAUCGCCAAACGACGGUGUCACUACCGGAAUGAUGCUGUAACGGCAUCGCUGGGAAGCAGCCUAACCUGUGGCGUGACGUCGUGACAAGCAGUGCCGCCAGCGGUGAAACGCUGUCGCCAUCAUCGGAACGGUGAUUUUCCAUCUCCAAACGACGGCGCCACCACCGGAACAACGCUGUAACGACGUCACUAGGAAGUAGCCCCACCCGCGGCACCAAAAUGGUGCUUGGAUGGCGUUUGGAAAGCUUGGAACAACACUCAAAUCAGGGCUUCUCACUGGCAAAUGACGUUUGAACGGCGUCUGGAAAUAAUGCCUGUAGCGCCUAAAAAUUGUGCUCUUUUGAACACCUGAAACAACGUCGAAAUGACGUCUAACGACGUCUGGAAUUGCACUGUUGUCUAGAAUGAUGCCAUGAUGGUGUCUCACUCGCCUUAAAUGGCACCAACCACUGUGACUUGCAGCCCCAAAAAUGGCGCUUGAACAGUGCCUGAAGUGUGCUUGGAACGACGCAGCAAACGAUGCCUAAAAUGGUGCAUUUUGUAUGCCUGAAAACGGCACAGGAAUGAAGCCUAAACUACGUCCAUUUUGAACGCCUAAACGGCAUCCUAACGGCGCCUGGAACGGUGCCUGAAUGACGCCUGGAAUUGGCCCAGAUUUAUUUUCUGUUGUUUCCUUCCUCUUGUAUAUUUUGUUUGUGUUUUAAAAAAAAAGUGUUCUGGUGAAAAUGGGAAAUGCAACCAGGCUCUGAUACCAUUUUGUGAGACGUUCAUUCUCCAUUAUCAUCGAACACAUGCAGGAUAUAUUUUAUAUAUCUAUCAAUUCAUUCAAAAUAUGCCUUCAUUUUAUGGAACAUACUCGAAUCCAUUUUGUUUGUGUUGAAGAGGUACAGAUCUUCUAAGGCUAUGGGGAGGGGAGGGAGGGGAGGGGGGUACCACCUUUUCUGAGAAUUCUCUAUGACGAUGGGAAGCCGGAGAGAACAAGUUCUAUUUUUAUUUUGAAAACGUUGUUAUCCUUAAAAAACAAACACUAUUAUUUGGAUUUAUACUCUCCUACCUUAGGGACCAUACCCUUUGGCUAUUGGGCCUCACGAGUCUUAGGUCCAUCAUCUAAGGCUCAUGAUGGCACUAGGCUUUACACAUAAGGUGACCCAUACUCUGAAACGAAUAGAAAUCAUAUGUGUAUAUAUAUAUAUAUAUAUAUAUAUAUAUAUAUAUAUAUAUAUAUAUAUAUAUAUAUAUAUGAAUAUUUAAAUCCUGAACAAUGGUUAAUAUGAUGUCGGUUCACAUUUAUUAUAUCAUAGAGACUUCCUAUCUGAAGAAAAUCGACAGCAGAUAGCUUUGCCAUUCUUAGUCCGUAUACAACCAACCUUAGCAAGGGUUGAACCCUUUUAUGCUUAGUUGUGCCAUACAGAUCCUUACCAUUUGAUAAUGUCAUCUAGUGAACCAAUACCUCCAAAUGAGAGACCAUUGCCUCGGUAACUAGGGCUCAUGACUGAGAAUUGUGUGAACCCUUUUGCUUGGGAUGGAGCUUGACUGAUGAACAAAAUAUUCAUAGGCCUCUUCCCAUAACUGGCACCUUGUGUUUGCAACAUAAUUGAACAUGUAUUGAAGUGAGUUUUUUUGCAUCUUUUUGUAAGAAAAUUCUAAACAACAUAGACUACUUAGUGUGCCCAGCUCCUCGGGGAAUCAAGGUUCAUUCUUGUAGGGCCAAUUUUAUCACAGUCGAACUAGAUAACAUGGAGAGUAUGUUGCAAUGCUUCAAUGGGGUAUUUCUUAGGAAAAUCCACUUGAAGCUGGUACAAUUCGUUGGCGUACUGAGUUCUUGGAGCUUUAUUGACUUCAAUCACCCAUCUCUGUAGAUUAUCAGUGACUUUAUGCUCGGAUCCUGUAGGAAGAUUGACCUGACAUUCCACUAGCUCUUUCUGGAAGGUAAUCUUGUUUAACACCGUAUGAGAAGAGGCAGGGGAACUGGUCAUUGUUUCUUUGAGAAGAUCAAUGGCCGAGGAUGGGUUUGGACCAGAAUUGCUAUAUGGGUUUUCUUUGGGUGAACCAAUUAGCGGAGUGGGUGGCUAUAUAGCAACUGAAGGGUGGUCAUACUAGCUGACAUUCCACUAGCUCUUUCUAGAAGGUAAUCUUGUUUAACACCUUAUGAGAAGAGGCAAGGGAACUGGUCAUUUUUCUUCGAGAAGAUCAAUGGCCGAGGAUGGGUUUGGACCAGAAUUGCUAUAUGGGUUUUCUUUGGGUGAACCAAUUAGUAGAGUGGGUGGCUAUAUAGCAACUGAAGGGUGGUCAUACUAACGAGGAGCUAUUAUUUCAUGCAAGUGGACAGGAAAUGAGUAGCUUCUUCAAGGAUAUAUGAUUAUUCAUCUUUAGCUUACGUUGAAUAUCUCCUAACAAAUUUCUGCUUUGAAGCUCCCUUAGUUUCACUACAGCUAACUUGGCUAACUUGGUUUCAUCAUGUUUCCUACAACCUCUAAGCAAAGCACGCCAGAUCACCGGAUUAGGUUCUAUUCGCAUUUUGUCCAUAAACUCCUUUGCCUAUUGACAAUAGACUGCCCCUCAAAAUUUGAUGAGAUAACAUCAAUGCUGACAUGUUGGCCAUCGCCAUAAGCAUCUUUAUAGAGAUUGAUUCUAUGUUUACAUAUUUCUCUCUCCUCAAGUGAGUUCAACUUUUCUGUAACAUCCUUCUCCUUCUCAACUAACAGUCUUAGUUGAACAUCCAACCUAUGUUCCCAAAGUGCCAACAUCUCAUAUCUGAUGACAAGCCAACAACCUUGUCCUUGCUAAGACCCAAAUAAGUAUCUAGAACCAUCAGCAUCAACCCUUUCAUAGGCCUUUGUAUUUGAAGGUCGGAUUAGGAUUGCUUUGAAUGCAUUGGCAUUGCAAUACACAAUUGUUUCUUCUCCAAUAAAAACACCACAAAGAGGUGAGAGGACUGGUAUUAGCAAAGAAGUGUUGUUAUCUAUAUUGUUCUGAGCCCAAGUACCCUCAACAAAAUCCUCAUCCUCAUCUGUACUUUUCCAUUACAUCCUUAGGCGUUUCAAUGUGAUCCACAUGGCUUACAGGAAUCCAGAAAUACCGGUCUGUAUAAAAGUUGUUCUUAAGGGGCUCUCCUAGAAAACAUCCCAAUCAAGAUGAUCAACCUAGCUUAGAUGCUCAACACCCCAAACUUACCAUAAAUAGAGGAAUAAAAAGCAAGGAUAGGAGCCAGAGUAAAAACUGAGGGAAGAGCAAAUAGGAAAUCAAGCAAAACAUGAAUGUAUAGAGCCUCAUUUCAGGUGACAUCUUUGGGCUAAUAAUAGGUGGAAUUAGCAAAGUAGAUAAGCAUGAUUGUUAUAAAUAUCAAGUUCAAGGAUGAAGCCGUGCAUCAGCUACUUAUAGGGGGAGUCAAGGAAACCAAGAUAAGAUCAAAGAGAGCAUGUAUGCAAAUAAACAGAUUCGACAAAAUAGACCAAACAGAUCAUGAAUAUCCUCCUACAAAAAACUACUACACGUGGCAAAAAGUGAUGAAACAAAAAGAGUCGGGUCCGCAUAUACAUAUCCUAUUCUAUCCUAUUCCUUCAAAUCCAAAGCAACCUAUAUUUUCAAUGGGAUUUGUUGUGAUGAAUUUUACUGGAUUGUAACAUGUAAAUAUGUUAAAAGAGGCUUGGGACAUUCCUAUAUAGUAACGCAUAAAGGUACUUCCAUUGUGAAGUUAUCAAAAUUGCAAAUUUAAAUUACAAAAUUUGAAAACAUAGAGAUGAAAGAUGAUGAAACCUUCUUUGAAAUUUUAUAUUGAACUCAUUAAUAUUAUUAAUUUUCAUUUCAGUCUAGGGGAUAGAAUUCUUUACUCUAAAGUGGUCACAAAAAUAUUAAAAUUCCUUGUCGAGAGAUUUAGACCUAAAGUGAUCAAUAUAGAAGAAAGUAAAAAUCUUCUAAGUGUAGGUAAACUUGUGACUCUACCAUUUCAUAAAAAAUCCUCAAUUUUAUAAAUUAUAUAGAUUUCUUCAUUUGAUACAAAAUUUGAAUAAAGAUUUUUCAAAUGACAACACAAGGAAAGGGAAAAAAAAUUCUCUCCAAAUCAUAUUAUUUAAUCACUUAAAUUAUUUAAAAAUAAAAAUGCUUACUGCUAACAUUAUUUAGUUUCAUCUUUCUUUUGAUGGAGGUUAAAAUUCAUAAUUUUGAGGAAAAAGAUGAGGAUUCUCAUUUUUUUUCCAUGUAUGAAUGGGAUUCUCAUUGUGUAUAUGUGGGUUACUAAAUGGCAAAUUUGCGGGCCACCAGAGUCUGCAAUAUGAGUGAAAAAAUGAAAUUGAGUUUGUCACCAAGAAUAGACAUGGUUCCUACAAAGGUGGCAUCUUUAAUUUCAUGUUUGGAUUGGACUUGUCAUGUAACAACUUAACAAGUGAAAUCCCUCAUGAACUUGGAAUGUUAAGUUUGAUUCAUGCAUUGAACUUGUCUCGUAAUCAACUAAAAGGCUCCAUUUCAAAGAGUUUUUGCAAUCUUUCUCAAAUAGAGAGCUUAGACCUUUUUAAUAAUAAACUAAUAUAAUAAAAAAUAUUUAGGUAGAUCACAUUUAAAUAUAGCUAAUAUAAUAAAAAAUUAGUAUUAUUAGAAAGACAUGAUCAAUUAAAUUUUUUUUCUUAUCUAUGACACGACUUUAUUUUUUUACAUAGUCAAUAUAAUUUAUUACAACUUAUAUGUCAUUAAAUUAUACACGUUUAUAUUAAAUAUAAUAUAAUAUCAUUAAUGGAAUAAUUAUGCAAGUAAUAUAAAUUGUAUAUAAUAUAAAAAAUUUAAACUCCAUCAAACUAAUGGAAUCUAUUAUAAUAAGUAGACUAGACACCAUGUUGGCCCGAGUUGGAAGCCUGGGCCAGAUUUUAAAGGCUGGGCUUUGAGUUGCCCGUGGGCGUGAGCCAAGGUCUUCUCUUGGUAUCAUCAUUUUGAAGAAAUAAAUUGCUGAUACAGAGAAAAAAACUAUACUAAAUAGAAAAAUAAAUAAAAGCAUUGACUAAAAUGAAGGUCAAGGUCCUUGAAAAAUAAUCUUUAAAUUGUUGCAUAUAUAAUUUCAAUAAUGCAUAAAUAAUUGCAAUAUAUAUGAUAUGAUAAAGAAUUUGGAAUUAAAAGAAGAUUGAUCUAUUUUAAAUGUGGUUGGAAUAUUUCUAAAUUUGUGAUGGGAAGUUAGACAGCCAAUUAGGGAUCCAUAUUAUUUAUUUUCAAUGAUAUGAAUUUAUUUAUUUUUAUUAAUAUUCUUAAUGCAACAAUAUAAAAUAUGUCAAUUUUCUAAAAUUUAAAAAGUAAUUGUAAAAGAAAUUUUUUAAUUAUUUUUCUGAAAUUGAGUUUAUUAUAACAUUUUUCUUUACUUAAAUUUCUUUUUUAUUUUUAUUUUUUUAAAAAAUAAGAUAUGAAAAAAAAAGAUCAAUAUUAGUAAAAGUAAAACCCAAUAUAUAAAAAAAAAUGAAUAAAUGUUUAUGAAAUAAAAUUUAAAAGUGAGAAGGUAAUAAAUUUUUUCUCUUUUAAUUCCCAUUCAAUUCAUUACAAAAAAUAUUUUUGGUUUUUAUGCUAAAAUUUAUUGUCUAUUAAAAAAUUCUAGUAUAUCUAGCUAUCAUAGAAGAGCUAUAAAAUUUUAUUGUUUAAGAGAAUAUGUGUUGCUACUUUAAAAGAUUUAUAUGCAAAAGGGAUUGAUAUUUUUUUCCUUUGGAUAUGUUUAGUUCCCGGAAAAUGUGAGGGAAGAAAAAUAGAGAAGAAAAGUAUAACAAAAUAAAAAGUGAAGGAAAAUGAAAAAUAGAUUUAAAGUUAAUAAAUUAUUUUCAUUGGUUUUUUCAAACUUAUUUUACUUAUUUUAUUCUAUUAAAUAAAGAUUAACUAAUUUUAAUUAUAUUUGGUUUGAUUUUUAUUAUUUUUCAAAGCAAAACCAAAUAUGAAAAAAAAAAACAUUUUUUUUUGUUAUUUUUUUUUUCUUUAUUACUUUUCUGGACUCAAACAUAGCUUUUAGAUUUGGAGCAUGGAAAGAUAAGAGUAUUGAAUAAAGGUUCUAUAUAUGCUCAUGCCCAUGCCCAUGAUACCAUUGAAAAAAAUGGAGAGAGGGUGAAACCUUUACUAGAUGAUAAAUUAUUCUCUUCAAUGGAAAUCAAAUAUAAUUAUUUUUAUCUUGUAUUAAUUGAAUGUUAUACUCCAUAAACUCAAAAUUAAAAUAAAUAAAUAAUUUAAAAACUAGGACAAUCCCAUUUUUUUUUCAAUUUCUUAAAAAGAAAUUAAAUUAUAUUUAUUUAUAUCUAUUUUCAUCCCUACCCAACAAAAUAAUAAUAAAAAAAAAAAACAAGGUGGGACAUGUAUGAGAAAUUCUCACACUAACUCUCCCUAGUUUAUUUUUUAUUUUUUUUAAAAAAUCAAUUUCUUUUAAAAAAAUUAAACUACAUAAAAAAUAAACAAAUUUUACAAAAUUUUUUUUAAGAAAAGUAAAUUUCUUAUUUUAUAUAUGUUAAAAAUAAAUAUAAUCUUUUAUUUUUUAUAUAUAUAAUCGGGAGUGGGACAAAGAAAUAAUCCCCUUCGAUUCCAAUCCAAAAUUUUAAAAUAUAAAAUAAAAAUCUUAAACUCAUCCCUAAUCCAUUUAUUUUUAAUCCUAAACUUGUCUUAUUAAGAAUAAGACAAAGUGAGCACAUGAAAACACUUCUUUUAUCAUCAUCUCUACAAGUUCUAAUGUUUAGAUUGCAAUCCAUAUCAAAGAUUUAUAAAGAAAGAACAACGAUGAAUUUCAUAAACAUUUGAAAGCAUAUACAAAGUUUUAAAUAAUAUUGCUUGAGGUGCAAAUAUUAUUUGGCGCACAUGUUGAGGGACUUCAACUGGUGUAGUCUAGGUUUUUUACACUAGUAAGUAAUCUUGAAUAUCUAGAGUAACUUGAUCAAAAUCUCUUUAAUUUUAUUUUCUUUGAUGGUUGUAUGAUGAAUUAGAAUGCUUAUAUAACAGGAUUAAAAAUUUUAAGAAAAAAAACCAAGAAGAAAGAAAGAAGCACCGAUCUUCCAAAUAUUGCUUCCACUUUAAUAUCUAGAAGGCUCUAAGAAAAUAACUUUAUUCAUGAAUCAUAACCCAAGUCGAAAAUAAAUUGAACCCAUUUUCUAAGUUAAAUUUUGAAUUUUUUACUAGUGAAUGCAAAUUGGGAAAAUGUAUAUAAAUAUAAUUAAACUAGAAUAGUAGAUUAGGUUUGUAGGUGGAGUUUGUUUGAAUUGUUGGAACUUCCAAGUCGUUGUGGGUCUAGUGGUCCCAUAGCUCUCUAUUAAUUUCCACCAUCAAUUUUCUACAAUAAAGUCAAGUCAUUCCUAACCCCUAUAUUAAGUUGGCCUUAAAAGUCAAGUCAUUGAUCAUAGUUACAUUCAUGAAUCACAACCCAAGUCGAAAAUAAAUUGAACCCAUUUUUCAAGUUCAACUUUGAAUUUUUUACUAGUGAAUGCAAAUUGGGAAAACAUAUAUAAAUAUAAUUAAACUAAAAUAGUAGAUUAGGUUUGUAGGUAGAGUCUGCUUGAAUUGUUGAAACUUCCAAGUCAUCGUGGGCCCAGUGGUCCCAUAGCUCUCUAUUAAUUUCCACCAUCAAUUUUUUUGCAAUAAAGUCAAGUCAUUCCUAACCCCUAUAUUAAUUUGGCCUUAAAAGUCUAGUCAUUGAUAGCUAAAUCCUAACCCAAGUCAAAAAUAAAUUGAACCCAUUUUCUAAGUUCAACUUUGAAUUUUUCUUAAUUGGAAAAAUGUAUAUAAAUACAAUUAAACUAGAAUAGUAGAUUAGGUUUGUAGGUGGAGUCUGCUUGAAUUUGUGAAACUUCCAAGUCAUCGUGGGUCUAGUGGUCCCAUAGCUCUCUAUUAACUUCCACCAUCAAUUUUCUGUAAUAAAGUCAAGUCAUUCCUAACCCCUAUAUUAAUUUGGCCUUAAAAGUCUGGUCAUUGAUAGCUACGUUCAUGAAUCCCAACCCAAGUCAAAAAUAAAUUGAACCCAUUUUCUAAGUUCAACUUUGAAUUCUUUUAAUUGGGAAAAUGUAUAUAAAUACAAUUAAACUAGAAUAGUAGAUUAGGUUUGUAGGUGGAGUCAAGCUUGAAUUUGUGAAACUUCCAAGUCGUCAUGGGUCUAGUGGUCCCAUAGCUCUUUAUUAAUUUUCACCAUCAAUUUUCUGCAAUAAAGUUAAGCCAUUCCUAAACCAUAUAUUAAUUUGGCCUUAAAAGUCAAGUCAUUGAUAGUUACGUUCAUGAAUCACAACCCAAGUCUAAAAUAAAUUGAACCCAUUUUCCAAGUUCAACUUUGAUUUUUUUACUAGUGAAUGCAAAUUGGGAAAACUUAUAUAAAUAUAAUUAAACUAGAAUAGUAUAUUAGGUUUGUAGGUGGAGUAAGCUUGAAUUGUUGAAACUUCCAAGUCAUCAUGGGUCUAAGGGUCCCAUAGCUCUCUAUUGAUUUCCAUCGUCAAUUUUUAUGAAUUAAGAUUUAAAAGUGAGAAGGGAAUAAAUUUUUUCUUUUUCAAUUCAUUACAAAAAAUAUUUUUGGUUUUUAUGCUAAAAUUUAUUGUUAUUCAAAAAAUUAAAGUAUAUAAAUAAUAUAUAUAUAUAUAUAUAGAUAUAUAUAUCUUGCUAUUAUAGAAGAGCUCCAAAGUUUUCGUGUUUAAGAGAAUAUGUGUUGCCACUUUAGAAGAUUUAUAUACAAAAAGGAUUGAUGUUUCUCCUUUGACUAUUUUUGGUUCCCAAAAAUUCGAGGGAAAGAAAAUAAAAAAAAAAAAAGUAGUAAAAAAGAAAAAUAAAGGAAAAUAAAAAAUAGUUUUAAAGUUAAUAAAUUAUUUUUAUAUGUUUUUUCAAACUUAUUUUACUUUUUUUUUCAUUAUAUAAAGAUUAAAUAAUUUUAAAAAUGUAUAAAUUUCUAACUAAUUUUAAUUAUAUUUAAUUUUUGUUUUUAUAUUUUUUAGACGGGAUCCGACACAUGAAAAAAUCCUUUUUUUUAGCAUCUUUUUUUCUUUUCUUAUUACUUUCCAAUAACCAAAUAUAACCUUUAGAUUUAGCCUUUAGACUUGGAGUAUGGAACGAUACUGACUAUUGAAAGAAGGUUUUGUAUAUGGCCAUGAUACCAUAGAAAAAAUGGGCGAGAGAGAAAAAACCUUUAUUAAAUGAUAAAUUAUUUUUUUCAAUGGAAAUCAAAUAUAAUUAUUUUUAUAAUAAUUACUUUAUUUUUAAAAAAUAAUAAUAAAACAAAUAAUUUGUUGUUGCAUUAAGUAUUCUUGCAUUUGGAGAAGCAUGUUACUACUUACUACAUAAAUAGAUAUUCAUGGAGUGCAUUCUCUAAAAAGCUCCAGUCUCAUGAAAAUGGAAAGAUGGACCGGCCGGUGAACCGGUUCGAGUUUGGAUUUAUGGGCUGCCUCAGCCUUACACGCAUGAUAGACGGUUGCAGGUGAAGAACUAAUUAAUUUAAAGCCUUCUUCUAUCCUCUCCUAUUCCUCUAUCACUCCAAAUGUUCCACAUGAUAAUGACAAUUCUUUUGUUAAAUGGUAAAAAAAAAAUUUAACAAUUAAUUUUUAAAAAUUUUAAAUUCUAAAUCCAAUUGAAAUUUGACUCUAAUUUGAUGAUAGUUAAAUUACCAUUUUGGGAGAUUCCACUCACUAGUAUUCUCAUUUAUAAAAUCAUGAACUUUGGCAUCCUAAUUAAUGCAAUUUAAACUUUUUUUUUUGUUUACAAAUGAAAUAAGAGGCAACAUAAAAACCCAAAAGUUAAUUUUCCUACCAUCUCUAUGCACCAUUUUAGCUUUACUCCAAUAUAUUUUCUAUGAUUAAUUAUUUUCAUUCAAACAAUAAUAUCAAAAUAUUUUAAAAUUAGACAUAUCAUAAUCAAAUAUCAUUAUAUUAUUAUCGAAUAAUAUUUAAUGUAAUUUAAUAAUCAACUUAUACUUAUAAAAUUUAUUUUUUUUAUUAAUGCAUAUAAUAUUAUUAUCAAAUAUCAUAAAUUAUAUAUAUAUAUAUAUUUCUUUAACAAAACAACUUUAAAAUAUCUAUUAUACUUCUAAUUUCAUUUCUAAGAGGUUUUUUUUUUUUUUUUUUUUUUUUUUUUUUACAUUUUUAUAAGUUUUGAUCAAUUGUAGGCUAACCGAUAUUUUUUAUCAAAAUAUCCACCAAUAUAUCUCCGAUAUAUUAGAUAUAUCCGUAAAAUCGAAAUACCAAUAUAUCCAUGAUUAUCGAUAUUUUUAUCCUUGAGGGAUAACAACUAAUCUAGUUUUUGCACUUAUUGAUAUUCCUCAACAUUUAGAUUGAUUUGACCAAAAUCUUUUUAAUUUUAUUUUCUUUGAUGGUUAUAUGAUGAAUUGGAAUAGUCAUAUAACAUUAACAUAUUUAAGAAAAAAUGAUAAAAAAGAUCGCAUUUUUCAAAUAUUGGUUUCAACUUUGAAUAUUUUUAUUGGUAAAUGAAAAUUGUGAAAAACCUACUAAUGCUAAUACUUUUCACCACAUAAUUAAAUAUAAUAAACUAGAAUAGUGAUUCAUUGAUGUCUCAUAAAGCUACAUGCCUUCUUUGACUUGUUAGUUGAUUUUUGUAGGCGGAGUCCAUUUCCAUUUGAAUUGUUGAAACUUCCAAGUCCUUGUGGGUCUAGUGGUCUCUCUAAUAAUUCCCACCAUUAAUUUUUUGUGAUGAAGUGCAGUCAUUGAUAGCUACUAUAUCAAUUUGCUAUUAAAAGUCAAGUCAUUGAUAACUACUAUUCAAUCUUUUUCAAUAUGGAAAUUGGAAUCGCUAGCACUACUCUUCUCAUUGUUCAUUUUUAAAUUUUAGGUAAUGUGAGAAUGUGUGAACAUAAAUGUCUUCUAAUCAACCAAUUUUUUUGAAAAAAACAUGUACAAAAUUGUAAAACUUGCAAAAUCAAACUUUCUUGUUGAAUAACCAUAGCUUGAUGGUUUUGAAGAAUCAAAGGAUGAAUCCUAAAAGGGUAUUUGAUAAAAAAUAAAAUUUAAAAAAUUAAAAGACAACUACUCCCUUAAGUGUAAUAAGUGUUGUAGACCCCCGGAAGCAGGGACUUUUUUUGAAUUUUUAUUUUUAUUUUCCCGGGGCCCGACAUGAUGGUCAGGAGCUGAUUUUUGGGGCAGAGAGGGGACUCAAGUGGGCGGCUCUCGGGGGGGCAGAUUGGACGGGAUACGGCUGGCUUGCUGAGGAAGACAGGAACAGAAGAAAAACAGAGGAGAAAAGAAGAAAAAGAAAGAGAAAGGAGAGGGGGAUUUCAGACAAGAGGGAGGGAGAAAAAGAAAAGAAAAAGCUGACUGGAGAGGAUUUUGUGGACAGAGGAACCUUCGAGGUAUGAACACUAUCGAUNNNNNNNNNNNNNNNNNNNNNNNNNNNNNNNNNNNNNNNNNNNNNNNNNNNNNNNNNNNNNNNNNNNNNNNNNNNNNNNNNNNNNNNNNNNNNNNNNNNNNNNNNNNNNNNNNNNNNNNNNNNNNNNNNNNNNNNNNNNNNNNNNNNNNNNNNNNNNNNNNNNNNNNNNNNNNNNNNNNNNNNNNNNNNNNNNNNNNNNNNNNNNNNNNNNNNNNNNNNNNNNNNNNNNNNNNNNNNNNNNNNNNNNNNNNNNNNNNNNNNNNNNNNNNNNNNNNNNNNNNNNNNNNNNNNNNNNNNNNNNNNNNNNNNNNNNNNNNNNNNNNNNNNNNNNNNNNNNNNNNNNNNNNNNNNNNNNNNNNNNNNNNNNNNNNNNNNNNNNNNNNNNNNNNNNNNNNNNNNNNNNNNNNNNNNNNNNNNNNNNNNNNNNNNNNNNNNNNNNNNNNNNNNNNNNNNNNNNNNNNNNNNNNNNNNNNNNNNNNNNNNNNNNNNNNNNNNNNNNNNNNNNNNNNNNNNNNNNNNNNNNNNNNNNNNNNNNNNNNNNNNNNNNNNNNNNNNNNNNNNNNNNNNNNNNNNNNNNNNNNNNNNNNNNNNNNNNNNNNNNNNNNNNNNNNNNNNNNNNNNNNNNNNNNNNNNNNNNNNNNNNNNNNNNNNNNNNNNNNNNNNNNNNNNNNNNNNNNNNNNNNNNNNNNNNNNNNNNNNNNNNNNNNNNNNNNNNNNNNNNNNNNNNNNNNNNNNNNNNNNNNNNNNNNNNNNNNNNNNNNNNNNNNNNNNNNNNNNNNNNNNNNNNNNNNNNNNNNNNNNNNNNNNNNNNNNNNNNNNNNNNNNNNNNNNNNNNNNNNNNNNNNNNNNNNNNNNNNNNNNNNNNNNNNNNNNNNNNNNNNNNNNNNNNNNNNNNNNNNNNNNNNNNNNNNNNNNNNNNNNNNNNNNNNNNNNNNNNNNNNNNNNNNNNNNNNNNNNNNNNNNNNNNNNNNNNNNNNNNNNNNNNNNNNNNNNNNNNNNNNNNNNNNNNNNNNNNNNNNNNNNNNNNNNNNNNNNNNNNNNNNNNNNNNNNNNNNNNNNNNNNNNNNNNNNNNNNNNNNNNNNNNNNNNNNNNNNNNNNNNNNNNNNNNNNNNNNNNNNNNNNNNNNNNNNNNNNNNNNNNNNNNNNNNNNNNNNNNNNNNNNNNNNNNNNNNNNNNNNNNNNNNNNNNNNNNNNNNNNNNNNNNNNNNNNNNNNNNNNNNNNNNNNNNNNNNNNNNNNNNNNNNNNNNNNNNNNNNNNNNNNNNNNNNNNNNNNNNNNNNNNNNNNNNNNNNNNNNNNNNNNNNNNNNNNNNNNNNNNNNNNNNNNNNNNNNNNNNNNNNNNNNNNNNNNNNNNNNNNNNNNNNNNNNNNNNNNNNNNNNNNNNNNNNNNNNNNNNNNNNNNNNNNNNNNNNNNNNNNNNNNNNNNNNNNNNNNNNNNNNNNNNNNNNNNNNNNNNNNNNNNNNNNNNNNNNNNNNNNNNNNNNNNNNNNNNNNNNNNNNNNNNNNNNNNNNNNNNNNNNNNNNNNNNNNNNNNNNNNNNNNNNNNNNNNNNNNNNNNNNNNNNNNNNNNNNNNNNNNNNNNNNNNNNNNNNNNNNNNNNNNNNNNNNNNNNNNGGCCCGCCAUACGUGCUUUCCUCAUGAUUGAUUGAUUUGAUUGAUUGAUUGACUUGGCUAUCAUACAUGAUUUAUUUAUCCUGCUCUCCGACAUGCAUGCUAUUAUUUCUUACUUGUGCACUAACCUCUCUCUUGAUAGCGCAUGGUGGCUCGUCGCCCAAGUACGCACCUACUUUCACUCUGGUAAUUGCCCAAGCAUAUUUUGAUUCUCACGUGUGCAUGAUUUAUUCUGGGUACUCAUUGAUCUACUCGUCCAUUGCCAUGAUUGCUUCAUUUUAUUAGUAGAGACCCGACUUUAGGGACUUAGAAGGGUGCUACGGUCCUUACCGUACCUUCCCGAUAAGUAACCUGACCCCCGAACCCGACCCGGUUUUUCGCAGACCGCCUUUUUCAAAAUAAGGAGUCACACUUAGGGUUUUUCUUUCUUAUUUUGUUUACCCUUUAAAAAUAAAACAAAAAUAAGUGACGACUCCAAGUCAUUUUUUUUUUCUUAAUCAAAUAAAAUCAUUUUUCUAACAAAAAUCGAGUUCGUCAUCGAGUGGGAAACACAUGAGCCGAAAUGCGGGGUCCACAAAAUGGCGACUCCGCUGGGGAUUUUUAGAGGGUCAAACUUGAACUUAGAAUGAAGCAAGCGUGGCAUUCGAUUGGACGAUCAGUGGAUGCCCAUUUCUUGAUGGCACAUUGAGGAUAUUUGAUGUAUGCUCGGAUUUUAUAUCUGUUCGAGACUUUUGACAUGUUGAUUAUGGUGAUUGAUUUUAUCCUAAUUGAGGCUUUCGAGGCCAUGUUUUUUCGUGCCUCACUGAUUAUAUCUGUUUGCUACAUCGACAUUGUUGAUUUAUUGAUGAUUGAUCUUAUUGCAUUGAUUAGCACAUUGAUUCUGAUUUUGCCAUGUUUGUUCUGAUCACUUCACAUGCAUACACUCACCACUGUAUAUCACUCGACUUGACAUGUUGAUUCUCUGACUUGUAAUACUGUUUUGACCGUCUUUGAGCAUGAUGUUUGUAUCACUAUUCGUCCCGAUCGUCGUAUUCUCGCUUAUCUUGCGUGUAUAUGAGUGAUAUAUCCUGCUCUGCCUGACUGUAUGAUGCAUGACUGCCCUACCUCUGCAUGAUUGCAUGUCGUCUGUCUAUGUGGGUCUCACUUCUAUCCCCCUACCUCCAAAUCUCUUGGUCUCGGUCAUUCUUUUCAUCUCGGUUCUCACUAUUGCAAGUGUGAGACCUUCUGUGUGCUUGCUCUCUGACCGAGCCAGAGAUUAGGAGUAGGGUCUAGCGACGGGCUAUAUCGAUGCACGGGAGCAUUCUGGAGGAGAGCGACACUUUGAUGUCGAUUGGAGUCCGAUCAUUGAAGACCUGUAUAGCCCCGAGCUAGGUUUCAUGGAUAGUCGUGCGACCAGUGUGUUUCCUCUUCUGCUCUAGAUUCUUAGGGUUUUCGGAUGUACCCACACCUUUCACUGUGCACUUUAGUUGACCAUUGAGCGUCAAGAGUUUGAGAGGUUUCACCAUAGGAAACCCCCUGGGAUGUCGAGGUAGUGCAUGUGUGGAGGUGAUGACCACCUUGCAUGGAAGCACCCCGUCUCUUUUUGAGGCGUGCAGAAGGUUGCGUACCGUCGGAGGGUACGAUCGCUUCUGCUAGGGAUCUUUUAAAGUCCACCCAUAUCCAUUUAGAGUCACCUUCACCAUGCAGGUUGAGCCAUAGAUCCUUUCAAUCAGGACUCCCUCCCUACACGUGGGUGCAUCCGUGGGCCUUCAGAGACGGUUCAGUAGCAACAGGUUUGGUUACCUUCGCAGUAGUCUCUUAUAUAUCUGCUCAGGGUUGGAUAUCAGUUUGUUCGCUUCCAGGCUACCUUUUGACACAUUUGAUAGACAUUCUUUGUGAAGUUUCCCUUACCCCGCACCUUAUCUAGUAUUUUCACUAUUGUAGGAGUACCGAUACGUUCAGUCUGGGUUUGACUUCUUGGAUCAGAGUUGGGGGUAGAUUGAUCAGGGUAUCGGACCAGUUAGGCCAGAGAUCAGAUCAGAGGGAUAUGGAUUCACAGAUAGUUACCGUCGAUCAGUUCGCUGAGGCCAUGGCUUCGAUUCAGGAGGCUAUAGCUAGCCUUGGCCGAAAGAUAGAUGGGCAGCAGGCCCAGCAGGUCCCGCCCCCGGUUGGUGCCCAGUAUGACCCUACAAUGCCACCACCUCCUCCACCCAGUCAGUCAGCGCCACAGGCCAUGCCGUUCACUCUGCAUAGUCAGACCGGGGUUGCCCCACCUCCCAUCACCGCGCCCACCCCGACCUCAGAGGACCCACAUGCUCGCAUGGAUAGACUUGAGCAGGGUUUGAGACAGUUGAGGGCUUCAGACAGAGCCACUACUUGGGAGGGUUUUGAUGGAGUACCGGUAGCUAGCUUGCCGGCUAAGUUCAGGAUGCCUGACAUUGAGAGGUAUACCGGCAUUGGUUGUCCACGCCUCCAUCUCCGAUUAUACAACACCGUGAUGAGGGCUCAUGGACUGGACGAGCCUUAGAUGAUUACUCUUUUCCCACUAUCUUUGAGUGGGGCGGCCCAGCGUUGGUUUGCAUCUUUGGAGGCCUCGAGGCGCCGCACAUGGGACGACUUGGCCCAAGAGUUCCUACGACAGUUUUCGUUUAACACUGUCGUAGAUGUAUCGAGGAGGGAGCUCGAGGCUUUGAGACAGAGGGCGGAGGAGUCUGUUUCUUCUUUCAUUUCUCGCUGGCGCGGGAAGAUAGCUGAGAUUAUCGAUAGACCAUCAGAGAGGGACCAGAUUCAGAUGGUUUUGAGGAGCCUGCAGCCGCGGAUCGCCAGACAUGUGGUAGGGGCCCCGUUCACAGAUUUUGGGUCUCUGGUUAUGGCUCUGUACGAUGUCGAGGACGGCAUCUCGAGAGGCUUAUGGGCAGAUUCUUCCCCUAGUGAUAUUAAGGGGAAGAAGCCCUUCGUAGGAUCGAGGCCAGCAGAUGUGAGCGUUAUCGGUUCUUCCAGUCAGAGGCCUCUCAGGCGCCAUCAGUCGAUCCCACAGUUUCCCGAGCCUCAUUCAUCCUAUGCAUCUCAUCAGUACAGACCACGGGCACCUCGUCCAGCUUAUGAUCAGACAUAUACUCCGCAGACUCUGGCUUUGCCUUAUUAUGCCUCCCAGGGCAUUGAGAGACCCUCAGUUUCCUACACGGCUACAGGACAGCCAUGCUAUGCUGCUCAGUUCACUACGAGACCCGCAGCGUCUUAUCCCCGACCCAGAGCUCAGCAGACUUCUGCUCCCUUUGCUUUGAGGGCGCAGAGGCAGUUCUCACAGAUAGGCAUGCCGUUGAGCCAGGCUCUUCGGAAGCUUACAGAGGCUGGGUUAUUGACUACUCUCACCCCUCGGUCGCCGCCUCAGCCGAUUCCACCUCAGUUCAGGAUGGAUCUACACUGUGCAUACCAUUAGGGGCUUGGACAUGAGACCGAUCGAUGCACCGCUUUGAGGCAUGCCGUUCAGGAUUUGAUUGACCAGGGUUUGGUACACUUGGGUCAGCCGAGUGUGACCACGAACCCGUUGCCUGCUCACACCACACAUGCAGUCCCUCCACCAGCCGAUGACAUUCAUUUCUUAGAGUUUGAUGAGAUCGAUGAUCACAUCCACAUGCUGAGUGAUGUUGAUUCAGACCCAGAGCCCAUCAUGCCAGAUGUGAUUUAUGAGACGAGUGGGGUGACUCUGGGUCCUCGGAUGCCUGCUCCAUUCCGAUUAGUUCCCGAGGCGGCGUCCGUGCAGGCUGCCACAGUUGAGCCAUUGAUUUUGCCGCAUUACAGUGUCCAGACGCCUUUCAUCUUGAUCCCGGAUGUUGAGGGGGUUCAGGCUCCGUAUGUUGAUGAUUCUCAGACUCUGGACAUUCAGUACGUUCUCCGAGGAGGUAGAGUGAUGAGAUAGCCACCUCCAGCUGCUGCCGCUAGACCCUUAGGGGGUGCGUCAUCCCAGGAGGAGGUUAGAGUAGAGGAUGACGAGAUUUUGAGGCAGUUGCAGAGCACUCAGGCUCGUAUUUCUAUCUGGAGCCUUUUAGCGUCCUCCAAUACUCACCGGGAUGCACUGACUCGAGCUCUGAGCCAGAUUAGAGUUGAUACCACGACGACUCCUGAGGGACUCAUUCAUAUGAUGACGGCUGGCAGAGCCACUUGUAUCAUCUUCUCCGAUGAUGACUUGCCACCAGAGGGUUCUGGCCACGCGCGUCCUCUCUAUAUAUCUGUUGGUUGUUCAGGUCGCCGAGUUCCAUCUGUCCUUCUGGACAAUGGCUCGGUCCUGAACGUAUGUCCUCUGGCCACCGCCAUCGCUCUUGGGUACGCACCAUCCGACUUCGGUCCAUCCACUCAGACCGUUCGAGCUUAUGACAUCACCCGUAGAGAGGUCAUGGGUACAUUGGAGAUUGAGCUCCUGAUAGGUCCGACCACAUUUAUCACUAUCUUUCAGGUUUUGAGGAUUCCUACAUCCUUUAACCUGCUUUUGGGCCGACCGUGGAUUCAUCGAGCUGGAGCCGUUCCUUCUUCACUUCAUCAGAAAGUGAAGUUCAUCCAUGAGGGCCAGGUAGUCGUCGUACAGUCGGCAGGGGACAUGUUCAUUUCCGCUGAGCCCGUGCUCCAGAUCAGCCACAGUGACGAUGAUUUACUACUGACCGGGUUCACUUUUGAUGAGGUACAGACUCUUGAGCUGGGAGACUUUUGCCGGGACUUCAUCGCUAUGUCCUUUGACCAGCAUGGGAGCACAGUGGUGCUUGAUAUCAUGAGAGGCAUGUCCUAUCUACCCGGCAUGGGGUUGGGUCGACGUCAGCAUGGACCGAGCGAGUUCAUCACCAUUCCUGAUCAUGACGUACCAUUUGGGCUUGGGUUCAUCCCCACCGAGGCUGACUAUCGAUACAUGGCGCGUUUGCGCAAGGAGAGAGCGAGGGCUCGGCUGACCCACACGCCUUUCGACUAUCCUCUUCGCCCAUACACCAGGAGCUUAUCUGAUUACUUUGUGAGGGCAUCGGAGUCACAUGCACCAUCUGAUGGGAUCAUCGGAGGACUCAGCACCACCCAGGAGGCCGAGCUUCAACGCCUUGUCCAACAGUUACAGUUGAGUGACGGAGCCCUUGGCCCUUCGGCUUCUGUGUUGAUUGCUCCUCCUUCCCCAGAUCGCACGAGCCUUAUGACGCUUUGCUUCCCGGAUGAGAUUGAUGAUCACGGGACUUUUGCCGAGAUUGGAGACGUAGUGGAUAGAGCCGUGCCGCGUGACGAGUACGUUGAUGAGAUGCUCGCGAUGAGUUUGAGCCAGACCGAGGAGAUGGCCCCGCCGGAGCUCGCUUCACCUUUUGAUCUCUUUGGGGUGUCCGUCCUCGAGAUCACUGAGGAUAUCCAGGUUGCCCCCACUCCAGAGGCCGUCGAGGAUGUUAUAGUUGUUGUUGAUUUGUUUGAUGGCCCUGUUGGCCUAGUUGAGGGAGCGUCCGACCUUGUGGACCCACCUCUCACCUUUGAUGUUUUAUCGGGAUUUGUCUCCCGUCAUGACUAUGUUUCUGACUUUUCAUCUAUGGAUUUGAGCACCUUUGAGUAUUUGCCUGUCUCUCAUGUUAUUGAUUUAUCUGCACCAUCUUCACCCACAUCACAGAUUUUUGACAUUGAUGAUGAGAUUGCGCAGCACGACUCAGACGAUGAUUCGUCUUCUGCUUCCGAUUCAGACCCCGUUGAUCAGAGAGUUUCACCUGCUGUAGGGGACACCGAGAUUGUUGACUUUGGCACAACAGAUCAGCCUAGGGAGUUGAGGAUCGGAUCAGAUUUGUCUACAAAUGAGAGAGAUAGCCUCAUCCAGCUACUCAGAUCCUACUUGGACGUUUUCGCAUGGUCCUAUGAGGACAUGCCAGGCCUUGAUCCAUCUAUCGUCCAGCAUCGUUUGCAACUUCUGCCCCGGGCCCGACCGGUUAAGCAGAAGUUGAGACGAUUGCACCCUCGUUGGAGCUUGCAGGUGAAAGAGGAGAUCCAGAAGCAGCUCAGUGUAGGAUUCUUAUCAGUGGUUGAGUACCCGGAGUGGCUGGCCAAUGUCGUCCCUGUUCCCAAGAAGGACGGCAAGGUGAGAGUCUGUGUUGAUUUCCGAGAUCUCAACAAGGCCAGUCCUAAGGAUGAUUUUCCUCUUCCACACAUCGACAUGCUAGUUGACAGUACGGCAGGUCAUUCGAUGUUGUCCUUUAUGGACGGAUUUUCCGGGUACAGUCAGAUCUUGAUGGCUCCAGAGGACAUGGAGAAGACGUCCUUCAUUACCGAGUGGGGCACUUAUUGCUAUAGAGUCAUGCCAUUCGGAUUGAAGAACGCAGGAGCCACAUAUCAGAGAGCAGCGACCACACUCUUCCAUGACAUGAUGCAUCGGGAUGUCGAGGUUUACGUAGACGACAUGAUAGUGAAAUCCCGAUAUAGAUCAGAUCAUUUGGCAGCUCUUGAGAGGUUCUUUGAGAGGAUCAGACAGUUCAGAUUGAGACUGAAUCCCAAGAAGUGCACUUUCGGAGUGACUUUCGGGAAGCUCUUGGGAUACAUGGUCAGUGAGCGAGGCAUAAAGGUAGAUCCGGACAAGAUUAGAGCCAUUCUUGACAUGCCUGCGCCGAGGACAGAGAGAGAGGUCAGAGGCUUCCUGGGCAGACUUCAGUACAUCAGUAGAUUCAUAGCCAGAUUGACAAACAUCUGCGAGCCCAUAUUUCGACUCUUGAGGAAGAGUCAACCUACUGUUUGGGAUGACCAGUGCCAACGUGCCUUCGAGAGGAUCAGAGAGUACUUGUUGUCACCUCCUGUUUUGGCGCCUCCUACACCAGGCCGUCCUCUACUCUUAUACUUGUCUGUAUCAGACGUGGCCUUGGGUUGCAUGUUAGCUCAGCUCGAUGAUUCGAGCAAGGAUCGAGCCAUUUACUAUUUGAGUAAGAGGAUGUUAGACUACGAGACGAGGUAUGUCAUGAUUGAGCGUUAUUGUUUGGCAUUGGUUUGGGCCACUCACCGGUUGAGACAUUACAUGACCGAGUAUUCCGUGCAUUUGAUAUCUCGCUUGGAUCCUCUGAGAUAUUUGUUUGACAGACCCGCUCUGGUUGGUCGCCUUAUGAGAUGGCUGGUACUUCUUACUGAGUUUGACAUCCAUUAUGUCACUCAGAAGUCCAUCAGAGGGAGCAUUGUAGCAGAUCAUCUAGCCUCAUUACCAGUUUCUGAUGCCAGAGCUAUUGACGAUGAUUUUUCAGACGAGGAUGUCGCUGCUGUGACUAGUCUGUCAGGUUGGCGCAUGUACUUUGAUGGCGCGGCCAACCAUUCCGGAUAUGGGAUAGGCGUCUUGUUGAUAUCCCCUCACGGUGAUCACAUUCCCAGAUCAGUUCGUUUGGCAUUCUCGGAUCGGCACCCUGCCACGAACAACAUUGUUGAGUAUGAGGCUUGUAUCUUGGGAUUAGAGACGGCCCUUGAGCUUAGGAUUAGACAGAUGGAGGUGUUUGGUGACUCCAAUAUGGUAUUGAGACAGAUUCAGGGUGAGUGGAAGACUAGAGAUGUGAAGCUUAGGCCUUAUCAUGCAUAUUUGGAGCUACUGGUUGGGAGAUUUGAUGAUUUGAGAUAUACCCAUCUGCCUAGAGCGCAGAACCAGUUUGCUGAUGCUUUAGCUACUCUAGCUUCCAUGAUCGAUAUUCCCGUUGACGCCACUGUUCGAUCUUUGUUGAUCGAGUCGAGAUCUGCUCCUGCUUACUGUUGCCUGAUCGAUGAUGUAGAGCCAGAUGAUGGUUUUCCAUGGUAUCACGACAUAUAUCACUUUUUGAGACUCGGCAUAUAUCCUGAGGCCGCCACGGCCAAGGAUAAGAGAGCAUUGAGACAGUUGGCCACUCGAUUCGUGAUUUGUGGCGAGACACUGUACAGGCGAUCACCUGACGGGAUGCUAUUAUUGUGUUUGGACCGCGCCUCUGCCGAUCGGGUGAUGAGAGAGGUUCAUGCGGGAGUCUGCGAACCACAUAUGGGAGGACAUAUGUUGGCUCGUAAGAUCAUGAGGACAGGAUACUUCUGGUUGACCAUGGAGACAGAUUGCUGCCAGUUUGUUCAGAGGUGUCCCGAGUGUCAGAUACACGGAGAUCUCAUUCACGUGCCGCCCUCCGAGCUGCACGCACUAACUUCACCAUGGCCAUUUUCCGUCUGGGGUAUUGAUAUCAUCGGGAAGAUUUCACCGAAAUCUUCCAGUGGUCAUGAGUUCAUCCUGGUCGCCAUCGAUUACUUCACCAAGUGGGUGGAGGUCGCUUCGUAUGCGAGAUUGACAUCGUCUGGAGUUGCUAGUUUCAUCAGAUCACACAUUAUCUGUCGCUAUGGAGUCCCUCAUGAGUUGAUUUCAGACAGAGGAGUACAUUUCAGAGCAGAGGUUGACACCUUAGUACAGAGAUACAGCAUCCGGCAUCAUAGAUCGUCUACGUACAGGCCGCAGACGAAUGGGGCAGUAGAGGCCGCGAAUAAGAAUAUCAAGAGGAUAUUACGGAGGAUGGUCGAGACUUCUCGGGAUUGGUUAGAGAAGCUCCCAUUUGCAUUGUGGGCUUAUCGAACUUCUUUUCGCACCUCUAUAGGCGCCACACCCUACUCCUUGGUAUAUGGCAUAGAGGCGAUGCUACCCGUUGAGAUUGAGAUGGGUUCGUUGAGAGUAGCACUAGAGCAGCAGAUUCCCGAGGCAGAUUGGGCUCAGGCUCGAUUUGAUCAGCUCAAUCUCCUAGAUGAGAGGAGAUUGAGAGCAGCAGACCAUGUUCGUGCGUAUCAGAGGAAGAUGGCCCGCGCUUUCAAAAAGCGGGUCAAGCCCAGACCAUUACAGAUAGGUGACUUAGUUCUGAAAGUCAUCAGGGGAUUGAUCAGAGAUCCUAGAGGGAAGUUCAGACCCAACUGGAGCGGACCUUAUUUCAUCAGGGAGUUGACCCCAGAGGACGCUGCAUGGUUGAUGGAUUUAGAUGGAAACCGAUUCUCAGAGCCAACCAAUGUGGAUCAGCUAAAGAGGUACUAUGUUUGAGACCAUGGUCGCAGGAUGGGUGGCCAUCAUUUCGGUUAGCCAUUUACCUUGUUACUCCCUUUUGAUACAUAGUCCAUUGCUAGCCCAUUGAGCCUCGCAUGCGCAUUAUAGCCUUUCUUUUUUAUCGCCUUGCUCACAUUUUCACACCGGGAUAGGGGCCCUUUAAUGUAUGCAUGCAUUGUUUGGUAGUUUCAUGAGCUUUGGACCUAGAGGCAUGUUUUUUCUCAUUGUCUUUUUCUAUCACUACACCUUUGCAUUUUCAUCUCAUCUUAUUGGUUAUGUUAUUCAUCUCUUCUUCCUUAUCCUAUCUACUAUCUGUUUGUUUCAUAUUUCGCUUCACCCUGGGGGGUGAUCCUCCUCAGUUCAUCACAUGGAGGGUAGUCACAUCAUUUCUGCCAUCUAUCUCGCGGACACUGAUUUAGAGAUCCUUAGUUUGAGAAGGUCAUCUUGUCAAAGAGAGUUUGUUUGUUACCUUAGCACUUGGGGGUGUGUCCAUUUGUUAUCGAUAUCAUCUUUGGGGUUCAUUUGUUCAUGUUCAGGGUACGCGUAUUUGUAUAUAUGUAAAAAAAAAGAGAAAAAGAAAAUUAUUAUUAUUAUUAUUAGCACAUGUGUGUAUGUGCAUAGUGUUCUCGAUCAUUGGGUAUGUAUAUUGAUGUUUGGGGGUCAUUUUUAUCGAGUAUGUUCGUUAUUGGGAGUUCGUAUGUGAACUCUCUGAGAUCCCACGCUAUUUGUAUUGCUUCGUCAUAUCUAUUUGUGAGAGAGACGAGUGACCUUCUCCUAAGGACUCCGAGUCAUUGCCUUUUCCAUCAUUACCUUCAUUAUUGAUGUGACUUCACUUCAUGUUUGAUCUGAGUCGUUCACCACCUUUCUUCACAUAUUCAUUGUUUCGCCGUCGUUUUUAUCAUUGCUUGUGAUUCAUCUCAUUCCCUUCGCGUCUUAUUCCCUCCUUAUAGCGACCCAUCUCGGUUUCGAUGCUCACUUCGCAUCAUCAUUACACAUGUCACUAUCAGUUCAUUUUGCUCCAUUUGUCUCCUUAUCGAUAUCAUAUUCACGUUAGGCAUCCUCAGGUCCAUGGCUCAUGGGGUUCACUAUACAUGUUGCAUUUCAUAUAUGAGGGCAUGAGUUUUGAUCAUUGGGUAUUUGAGCCUAGUUUCCUUUCGUUUCUAUCACCCUAUCACCUUGGCCUACGUUACGUCCCGUGUCUUAAGACCACCCUGAGGUCAUGGGAUCAGAUGUCGUCUUCGGCAGCCCCUACUUGGACAGGUGAUUGAGAUCUGGUUGAUAUUUAGAUAUUGUCAUGCUUCUUCUUCUGGGAGUCGCCCCUUUGAUGUGUAGGACUGAUUCAGUUGUGUUCGGAUUACCAGGAUCGUGAGUUUGACGAUGAUUGACUUGGUGUCACCUGUUUUUUUGACCUAUCAUACCUCUGGUACCACACUGGGGCAUAUCCCAUUUCAUUUGGAGGUUCAUGGAUCCUCACGGAGUUGCGCGAUCAUCACUUACUGGAUGCUCAUCGAGACGUGGACAUGAUCGUUACCUUACGAAGCCUCUGAGACCCAUCCAGCCAUAUGAUUUCUUGUCGCUUGAUUUCUGGCCUAUCGUGCGCCCGAUGCCAUACUGGGGCAUAUUUUCGUUUCGGAUGAGAUAUACGGAUCUUCACGGAGGUCACGUGCUCGACGAUAGAUGAUUUCAUGUCAUUUGUUCUGCAGACCUAUCGUGCGCCCGAUGCCAUACUGGGGCAUAUUUCCGUUUCGGAUGAGAUUUACGGAUCUUCACGGAGGUCACGUGCUCGACGAUAGAUGAUUUCAUGUCAUUUGUUCUUCAGACCUAUCGUGCGCCCGAUGCCAUACUGGGGCAUAUUUCCGUUUCGGAUGAGAUAUACGGAUCUUCAUGGAGGUCACGUGCUCGACGAUAGAUGAUUUCAUGUCAUUUGUUCUGCAGACCUAUCGUGCGCCCGAUGCCAUACUGGGGCAUAUUUCCGUUUCGGAUGAGAUAUACGGAUCUUCACGGAGGUCACGUGCUCGACGAUAGAUGAUUUCAUGUCAUUUGUUCUGCAGACCUAUCGUGCGCCCGAUGCCAUACUGGGGCAUAUUUCCGUUUCGGAUAAGAUUUACGGAUCUUCACGGAGGUCACGUGCUCGACGAUAGAUGAUUUCAUGUCAUUUGUUCUUCAGACCUAUCGUGCGCCCGAUGCCAUACUGGGGCAUAUUUCCGUUUCGGAUGAGAUUUACGGAUCUUCACGGAGGUCACGUGCUUGACGAUAGAUGAUUUCAUAUCGCUUUUCUUCUGACCCGUCCCACGUUCGAUGCCAUGCUAGGGGCAUAUUUCCGUUUCGAUUGAGAUUUACGGAUCUUCAUGGAGUUGCAUGCUCAUCCCCACUUACGAGAUACACACUGACAUGGUUGUUUCCUCCGUGGAGCCUCUCAGGAGUUACCCAGUUAGGCCUACACUUCGCGACGCCUCGAUGUCAUCAUGUUUUCCUUCCGGGAGACGCCCCUUUUGAUCUAUGGGUUUGAUUCAGUUGUACACGUGGAUGAUUUGGAUCGCGCAUUUGAUGACGGGUGAUCUGAGCUCAUCUGGUUCUUCUGACCUAUCACACAUCCGAUGUCAUACUGGGGCAUACCCCCAUCCUUGAGUCCACCAGGUAUUUUGCGAUUUUUCUCAUCACUUGAUCCACAUCUGGAUCUUUGCGGGUCGUCAUGCUGGGGCAUCCCCCCACUGUCAUUUACGUUUGGGGCAUCCCCCCACUGUUAUUUACGUUUGGGGCAUCUCCCCAUUGUUAUUUACGUUUGGGGCAUCCCCCCACUGUCAUUUACGUUUGGGGCAUCCCCCCAUUGUUAUUUACGUUUGGGGCAUCCCCCCACUGUCAUUUACGUUUGGGGCAUCCCCCCAUUGUCAUUUCGUUAGGGGCAUCCCCCCGCUGUCUUUACGUUUGGGGCAUCUCCCCACUGUUAUUUACGUUUGGGGCAUCCCCCCACUGUCAUUUACGUUUGGGGCAUCCCCCCAUUGUUAUUUACGUUUGGGGCAUCCCCCUAUUGUCAUUUCGUUAGGGGCAUCCCCCCGCUGUCUUUACGUUUGGGGCAUCUCCCUACUGUUAUUUACGUUUGGGGCAUCCCCCCACUGUCAUUUACGUUUGGGGCAUCCCCCGCUGUCAUUUUCGUUUGGGGCAUCCCCCCACUGUCAUUUUCGUUUGGGGCAUCCCCCCACUGUCAUUUACGUUUGGGGCAUCCCCCCAUUGUCAUUUCGUUAGGGGCAUCCCCCCGCUGUCUUUACGUUUGGGGCAUCUCCCCACUGUUAUUUACGUUUGGGGCAUCCCCCCACUGUCAUUUUCGUUAGGGGCAUCCCCCCGCUGUCUUUACGUUUGGGGCAUCUCCCCACUGUUAUUUACGUUUAGGGCAUCCCCCCACUGUCAUUUACGUUUGGGGCAUCCCCCCAUUGUCAUUUCGUUUGGGGCAUCCCCCCACUGUCAUUUUGUUUAGGGCAUCUCCCCAUUGUUAUUUAUGUUUAGGGCAUCCCCCUAUCUUCAGUUUGUUUAGGGCAUUCCCCUACCGUCAGUUCGCUUAGGGCAUCUCCCUUUGUUUCAGAUUUAUCACCACCGUAGGUCUUCACCUAUGGGCCUUAUAGUUUAGUGUUUAGAGUUAGCUUUUUGGUUUGACUUUCAGAGCUAUUAUUUUCUCAGUUUAUCAUUUAGAGUUAGUUUUUUUUUGUUUGGCUUCCAGAGCCAUUAUUCUUCUAGUUUAGUGUUUAGAGUUAGCUUUUUUAUUUGGCUUCCAGAGCUAUUAUUGUUUUUUUCCAGUUUGACGUUCAGAGUCACCAUCAUCACUUUUCAGUUUCGGCGUUCAGAGCCAUCACCGUGUUUUCAGCUCCGGCAUUCAGAGCCAUCAUCGAUUUUCAGAUCGACAUUCAGAGUCGCAUCCUCGGUUUCGGCGUUCGGAGUCGUUAUCACUCCUCGGUUUGACGUUCAGAGUCAUCAUCAUCACUUCUCAGUUUCGGCGUUCAGAGCCAUCAUCAGUUUUCAGAUCGACGUUCAGAGUCGCAUCCUCGGUUUGACGUUCAGAGUCAUCAUCAUCACCUUUCAGUUUCAGCGUUCAGAGCCAUCAUCGGUUUUCAAAUCGACGUUCAGAGUCAUCAUCAUCACUUCUCAGUUUCGACAUUCAGAGCCAUCAUCGAUUUUCAGAUCGACAUUCAGAGUCGCAUCCUCGGUUUCGGCGUUCGGAGUCGUUAUCACUUCUCGGUUUGACGUUCAGAGUCAUCAUCAUCACUUCUCAGUUUCGGUGUUCAGAGCCAUCAUCAGUUUUCAGAUCGACGUUCAGAGUCGCAUCCUCGGUUUGACGUUCAGAGUCAUCAUCAUCACUUCUCCGUUUCGGCAUUCAGAGCCAUCAUCGGUUUUCAGAUCGACAUUCAGAGUCGCAUCCUCGGUUUCGACAUUCAGAGUCGUUAUCACUUCUCAGUUUGACGUUCAAGAUCAUCGUCAUUACUUUUUAGUUUCGGCGUUCAGAGCCAUCAUCGGUUUUUAGAUCGACAUUCAGAGUCACAUCCUCAGUUUCGACGUUCCAAGCCAUCAUCACAUCUUCGUUGACGUUCAGAGCCAUCAUCACUAUUUUCAGUGUGGCGUUCAGAGCCAUCAUCGCUUCUCAGUUUAGGCUUCCAGAGCCAUUACUGUCAUCUUGUUUAGGCUUCCAGAGCCACUACUGUCAUCUUGUUUAGGCUUCCAAAACCACUACUAUCAUCUUGUUUAGGCUUCCAGAGCCAUCAUUGUCGUCUCGUUUAGGCUUCCAGAGCUGUUAUUUUCUAGUUUAGCUUUUAGAGUCAGUUUUUGGUUUGGCUUCUAGAGCUUUUACUUUCUUGGUUUAGUGAUUAGAGUUAGCUUUUCGGUUUGGCUUCCAGAGCUUUUAUUUUCUCAAUUUAGUGCCUAGAGUCGGUCUUGUCAUCCAGAGUCACAACUCCUGGCGUUCAUGUCCACUGGCAUUGCACAUCUUACCUUCAGGGUUUUGCAUUCGUCCUCGGCUUUCCUCACUUCGUUACCCGGUGCUUAUCCCAUAUUCAUCUCGUACUCCAGGGUGGUUCGACCGUUACUCAUCUUUGACAUUGAUCUCUUGAGUCACCUGUAGAGAUGUCUUAGAGGGAAUCUGGGUCCUCGAUGCAGCUUUCGAGGCGCCUUGAGCCUCUCUUAGAAUUUUAGAGCCUCGAGCGAGUUUGUGUUCUACUUGUACCUUUCGGGUUCGGGGGUCUUUCUUUGUUCUUCGAUAGAGUUCACUUCAUUUCACUCUCUUUUCACACUUCUUUUUCACUCUAGUGUUCACAUUCCUUACACUCGUGAACUCUAUCAAAGAGGGGCAUAUUUGUAGACCCCCGGAAGCAGGGACUUUUUUUGAAUUUUUAUUUUUAUUUUCCCGGGGCCCGACAUGAUGGUCAGGAGCUGAUUUUUGGGGCAGAGAGGGGACUCAAGUGGGCGGCUCUCGGGGGGGCAGAUUGGACGGGAUACGGCUGGCUUGCUGAGGAAGACAGGAACAGAAGAAAAACAGAGGAGAAAAGAAGAAAAAGAAAGAGAAAGGAGAGGGGGAUUUCAGACAAGAGGGAGGGAGAAAAAGAAAAGAAAAAGCUGACUGGAGAGGAUUUUGUGGACAGAGGAACCUUCGAGGUAUGAACACUAUCGAUCUCUCGUUUUCUUCCACAUUUUUUUUAGUCUUCAUGCAUUUUUGCUGCUGUUUCUAGCUCCCUUUCAUUGCUUGGACAUGGAUAUUAUUGGUUAUGUGCCCAUUUGUUAUUGUUCCUCUGAGAUUUCCAUGGCUGCGUUUAGGUUAUUCAGGUUGCUCUUUCUAUGGUUUUGGAUUCUACCUGUUCAUAAGUUCAGUGGUUUUCAUCAUGACAUGGGCAUUGGUUUAUAUCACCCGCCGAUUUGUGUUCCAUGUUGUGUUCUAUUUCUAAAGUUAUUUAUUUUUUUUCUUUCUUUCUUUGUUAUUAUUCUCCCCUGCUUCCAUUUCUUAUCUGGACGUGUGGCUUCUUUUGGGUGCAUUGUUUCAUCACGACAUUCCCACUCCAUUAACUUUCAUAUUCAACCUCAUGCUCUCUCUCUCUACCCUUUACUCACACCCACCGAACCCAUUCCUCCCCGCCACUUUCCAUCACCUGCCCCAAGCAUCACCCAUUCAAUCAUUUCAUUCCUUCUCCGUGUACAUGAAGCUCCAUGCAUGCGUGCAUGGGAGCCAUGCAAAGGUGGCACGCUCCUGUAAAGGCCACAGCUGCCGGAUCCGUCCUCGGACACAGACACCAGGCCGCAGCUGCAGGUUCCACUCCCGAACGCCGACGCUGGAACGCGAUGGCGAAGGCGGCAUGGGUGGCGAUAAUCGAGGCGGCGGCGUGGAAAUCGGGCAUCCUGGACAGAUUUCGAGGCCCUCCGGCGUUGCCUCUCUCACCUUCAUUUCCUCCGUCGCCGUCUUCGGAGGUGAGGAAGAAGAUGAAGUUGGCUUUUGGGCUUGCCCAUGGUGUUGGGUUUGGGCUUAAGUGGGAGCCCAGCCCAAGCAAGGUGAUGGAAGUCAAUGUCUUCUCAAUGAAUGGGUUGAGACAGGGAUGGGCUUGGGCUUGGGCUUUGCUAGUGGACUUGGAGGCUUGGAUUUGGGCUUGAGGCUUGCUGAUGGACUUGGACUGAAAUAGGGUUGAUAGGGUGAUAUUAUUAUUAUUAUUAUUAUUAUUAUUAUUAUUAUUAUUAUUAUUAUUGUUAACGAAUAUUAUUAUCAUUAUUAGCAAAAUAUUAUUAUUAUUAUUAUUAUUAUUAUUAUUAUUAUUAUUAACGGAUAUCAUCAUUAUUAAUUAUUAUUAUUUCUAUUAUUAUUAUUAUUAUUAUUAUUAUUAUUAUUAUCAUUGUCAUUAUUAUUAUUUGCUCAGUUUUUUCAAAUCUUUUCAUCGUUAUUAUUUAUUAUUAUUAUUAUUAUUAUUCAUUCAAAUUUUCAAAAUCUAUUUAUUAUUAUUAUUAUUAUUAUUAAUCCAAACUUCCAAAAAUCUCAUUAUUAUUAUUAUUAUUAUUCAUUCAAAUUUUCAAAAUCUAUUUAUUAUUAUUAUUAUCAUCAUUAAUCCAAACUUCCAAAAAUCUCAUUAUUAUUAUUAUUAUUAUUAACUCAAUUUUCAAAAAUCUAUUUAUUAUUAUUAUUAUUAAUCCAAACUUCCAAAAAUCUCAUUAUUGUUAUUAUUAUUAUUCAUUCAAAUUUUCAAAAUCUAUUUAUUAUUAUUAUUAUCAUCAUUAAUCCAAACUUCCAAAAAUCUCAUUAUUAUUAUUAUUAUUAACUCAAUUUUCAAAAAUCUAUUUAUUAUUAUUAUUAUCAUCAUUAAUCCAAACUUCCAAAAAUCUCAUUAUUAUUAUUAUUAUUAACUCAAUUUUCAAAAUCUAUUUGUUAUUAUUAUUAUCAUCAUUAAUCCAAACUUCCAAAAAUCUCAUUAUUAUUGUUAUUAUUACCUCAACUUUCAAAAUCUUAUUAUUAUUAUUAUUAUUAUCAUUAUCAUUAUCAUUGAUUAAAGCUUUCAAAACCAUAUUAUUAUUAAUUCAAACUUUCUAACUUCCAAUUUCCAAGCCCAAUUUAUAAAAAUUCAACCUUCAAAUAAUACUUCAAAAUUCCGAUCUUUAAAACUCAAUUUCGAUUUCCGAAAACACUCAUACUCACUUUAAUCUAUUUAAUUAUUGUUAUUUUGAUAAUUUAUUUCAAAACUCCAUUUUAAAUCGAAUUCUCUAAAACUUCUGAUUUUCCGAAUUAAAUUCCUAAUCCCAAAAAUUCUCAUGUUCCCACUAAAUUAUUUGAUCAUUGGUAUUUUAUUUAUUUCAAAACUCCGUUUUAAAUCAAAUUCUUUAAAAUUGUUGAUUUCCGAAUUAAACUCCUAAUCCCGAAAAUUCUCAUGUUCUCAUUAAUUUACUUAAUCAUUAGUAUUUUAUCUCCAUUUUAAAUCAAUUCUUUAAAACUUCAGAUUUACAAAUUAAAUCCCUAAUCUUGAAAAUUCUCAUAUUCACAUUAAUUUAAUCACUAAUAAUUUGUUUAUUUAUCUUAAAAUUCUAUUUUAAACAAUUCUUUAAACUUUCUGACUUCUAAAUCUAAUUUCCAAUUUCAAAAAUUUCAGCAUUCCCAUUCAUUUAUUUAAUCAUUAUUUUCGUCCUUAUUAUUAUUAGUUCAUUUAUUUAUUUCAAAAUUCCAUUUUUAAACAUUUUUUUUGAAUCCCAACUUUCGAACUUAAUUUCCGAUUUCUAAGAUUCUAAUUUCCUUCAAGUUUGACAUCCCAAAAUUCCAACUUUUAAAUUUAAUUCUCAAGACUCCAAUCUUCAAAUAAUUUUCGAGACUCCAAUUCCCAAAUAAAUUUCAAAAAUUCAAUUUUCUCUCUAACAGUUUUAAUUCUCUUCGGGUUUCAAAUAAUCUUCGAUUUCUCUUGGUUUUAUAUAAACAUGAAUGCUAUUUUCAUAAUUCCAGAAUAAUGGGAUUUGUGAUAUUAAUUCCUGCAAAAAUGAAUGGGCUUUGGUGGGGGCCCGCCAUACGUGCUUUUCUCAUGAUUGAUUGAUUUGAUUGAUUGAUUGAUUGAUUGACUUGGCUAUCAUACAUGAUUUAUUUAUCCUGCUCUCCGACAUGCAUGCUAUUAUUUCUUACUUGUGCACUAACCUCUCUCUUGAUAGCGCAUGGUGGCUCGUCGCCCAGGUACGCACCUACUUUCACUCUGGUAAUUGCCCAAGCAUAUUUUGAUUCUCACGUGUGCAUGAUUUAUUCUGGGUACUCAUUGAUCUACUCGUCCAUUGCCAUGAUUGCUUCAUUUUAUUAGUAGAGACCCGACUUUAGGGACUUAGAAGGUGCUACGGUCCUUACCGUACCUUCCCGAUAGUAACCUGACCCCCGAACCCGACCCGGUUUUCGCAGACCGCCUUUUCAAAUAAGGAGUCACACUNNNNNNNNNNNNNNNNNNNNNNNNNNNNNNNNNNNNNNNNNNNNNNNNNNNNNNNNNNNNNNNNNNNNNNNNNNNNNNNNNNNNNNNNNNNNNNNNNNNNGGCUGCGUUUAGGUUAUUCAGGUUGCUCUUUCUAUGGUUUUGGAUUCUACCUGUUCAUAAGUUCAGUGGUUUUCAUCAUGACAUGGGCAUUGGUUUAUAUCACCCGCCGAUUUGUGUUCCAUGUUGUGUUCUAUUUCUAAAGUUAUUUAUUUUUUUUCUUUCUUUCUUUGUUAUUAUUCUCCCCUGCUUCCAUUUCUUAUCUGGACGUGUGGCUUCUUUUGGGUGCAUUGUUUCAUCACGACAUUCCCACUCCAUUAACUUUCAUAUUCAACCUCAUGCUCUCUCUCUCUACCCUUUACUCACACCCACCGAACCCAUUCCUCCCCGCCACUUUCCAUCACCUGCCCCAAGCAUCACCCAUUCAAUCAUUUCAUUCCUUCUCCGUGUACAUGAAGCUCCAUGCAUGCGUGCAUGGGAGCCAUGCAAAGGUGGCACGCUCCUGUAAAGGCCACAGCUGCCGGCUCCGUCCUCGGACACAGACACUAGGCCGCAGCUACAGGUUCCACUCCCGAACGCCGACGCUGGAACGCGAUGGCGAAGGCGGCAUGGGUGGCGAUAAUCGAGGCGACGGCGUGGAAAUCGGGCAUCCUGGACAGAUUUCGAGGCCCUCCGGCGUUGCCUCUCUCACCUUCAUUUCCUCCGUCGCCGUCUUCGGAGGUGAGGAAGAAGAUGAAGUUGGCUUUUGGGCUUGCCCAUGGUGUUGGGUUUGGGCUUAAGUGGGAGCCCAGCCCAAGCAAGGUGAUGGAAGUCAAUGUCUUCUCAAUGAAUGGGUUGAGACAGGGAUGGGCUUGGGCUUGGGCUUUGCUAGUGGACUUGGAGGCUUGGAUUUGGGCUUGAGGCUUGCUGAUGGACUUGGACUGAAAUAGGGUUGAUAGGGUGAUAUUAUUAUUAUUAUUAUUAUUAUUAUUAUUAUUAUUGUUAACGAAUAUUAUUAUCAUUAUUAGCAAAAUAUUAUUAUUAUUAUUAUUAUUAUUAUUAACGGAUAUCAUCAUUAUUAAUUAUUAUUAUUUCUAUUAUUAUUAUUAAUUAUUAUUAUUAUUAUUAUUAUUAUUAUCAUUGUCAUUAUUAUUAUUUGCUCAGUUUUUUCAAAUCUUUUCAUCGUUAUUAUUUAUUAUUAUUAUUAUUAUUCAUUCAAAUUUUCAAAAUCUAUUUAUUAUUAUUAUUAUUAUUAUUAAUCCAAACUUCCAAAAAUCUCAUUAUUAUUAUUAUUAUUAUUCAUUCAAAUUUUCAAAAUCUAUUUAUUAUUAUUAUUAUCAUCAUUAAUCCAAACUUCCAAAAAUCUCAUUAUUAUUAUUAUUAUUAACUCAAUUUUCAAAAAUCUAUUUAUUAUUAUUAUUAUUAAUCCAAACUUCCAAAAAUCUCAUUAUUGUUAUUAUUAUUAUUCAUUCAAAUUUUCAAAAUCUAUUUAUUAUUAUUAUUAUCAUCAUUAAUCCAAACUUCCAAAAAUCUCAUUAUUAUUAUUAUUAUUAACUCAAUUUUCAAAAAUCUAUUUAUUAUUAUUAUUAUCAUCAUUAAUCCAAACUUCCAAAAAUCUCAUUAUUAUUAUUAUUAUUAACUCAAUUUUCAAAAUCUAUUUGUUAUUAUUAUUAUCAUCAUUAAUCCAAACUUCCAAAAAUCUCAUUAUUAUUGUUAUUAUUACCUCAACUUUCAAAAUCUUAUUAUUAUUAUUAUUAUUAUCAUUAUCAUUAUCAUUGAUUAAAGCUUUCAAAACCAUAUUAUUAUUAAUUCAAACUUUCUAACUUCCAAUUUCCAAGCCCAAUUUAUAAAAAUUCAACCUUCAAAUAAUACUUCAAAAUUCCGAUCUUUAAAACUCAAUUUCGAUUUCCGAAAACACUCAUACUCACUUUAAUCUAUUUAAUUAUUGUUAUUUUGAUUAUUUAUUUCAAAACUCCAUUUUAAAUCGAAUUCUCUAAAACUUCUGAUUUUCCGAAUUAAAUUCCUAAUCCCAAAAAUUCUCAUGUUCCCACUAAAUUAUUUGAUCAUUGGUAUUUUAUUUAUUUAUUUAUUUCAAAACUCCGUUUUAAAUCAAAUUCUUUAAAAUUGUUGAUUUCCGAAUUAAACUCCUAAUCCCGAAAAUUCUCAUGUUCUCAUUAAUUUACUUAAUCAUUAGUAUUUUAUCUCCAUUUUAAAUCAAUUCUUUAAAACUUCAGAUUUACAAAUUAAAUCCCUAAUCUUGAAAAUUCUCGUAUUCACAUUAAUUUAAUCAUUAAUAAUUUGUUUAUUUAUCUUAAAAUUCUAUUUUAAACAAUUCUUUAAACUUUCUGACUUCUAAAUCUAAUUUCCAAUUUCAAAAAUUCCAGCAUUCCCAUUCAUUUAUUUAAUCAUUAUUUUCGUCCUUAUUAUUAUUAGUUCAUUUAUUUAUUUCAAAAUUCCAUUUUUAAACAUUUUUUUUGAAUCCCAACUUUCGAACUUAAUUUCCGAUUUCUAAGAUUCUAAUUUCCUUCAAGUUUGACAUCCCAAAAUUCCAACUUUUAAAUUUAAUUCUCAAGACUCCAAUCUUCAAAUAAUUUUCGAGACUCCAAUUCCCAAAUAAAUUUCAAAAAUUCAAUUUUCUCUCUAACAGUUUUAAUUCUCUUCGGGUUUCAAAUAAUCUUCGAUUUCUCUUGGUUUUAUAUAAACAUGAAUGCUAUUUUCAUAAUUCCAGAAUAAUGGGAUUUGUGAUAUUAAUUCCUGCAAAAAUGAAUGGGCUUUGGUGGGGGCCCGCCAUACGUGCUUUCCUCAUGAUUGAUUGAUUUGAUUGAUUGAUUGACUUGGCUAUCAUACAUGAUUUAUUUAUCCUGCUCUCCGACAUGCAUGCUAUUAUUUCUUACUUGUGCACUAACCUCUCUCUUGAUAGCGCAUGGUGGCUCGUCGCCCAAGUACGCACCUACUUUCACUCUGGUAAUUGCCCAAGCAUAUUUUGAUUCUCACGUGUGCAUGAUUUAUUCUGGGUACUCAUUGAUCUACUCGUCCAUUGCCAUGAUUGCUUCAUUUUAUUAGUAGAGACCCGACUUUAGGGACUUAGAAGGGUGCUACGGUCCUUACCGUACCUUCCCGAUAAGUAACCUGACCCCCGAACCCGACCCGGUUUUUCGCAGACCGCCUUUUUCAAAAUAAGGAGUCACACUUAGGGUUUUUCUUUCUUAUUUUGUUUACCCUUUAAAAAUAAAACAAAAAUAAGUGGCGACUCCAAGUCAUUUUUUUUUUCUUAAUCAAAUAAAAUCAUUUUUCUAACAAAAAUCGAGUUCGUCAUCGAGUGGGAAACACAUGAGCCGAAAUGCGGGGUCCACAAGUGUAUAUGGUAGCACAAAUUUCCUACCACUUAUUAUUUUUUCCUUUCUUAAAAAAUCAUUUACUCUAUUAAAUAAACUAACCUUGGCUUAUCACUUAUAGCAAAAUAGGUUAAGUAGUUUUUAAAAUUUUAUAAUAUUAGAUUUACAUUUUUAUCCUUCAAAAUUUCAUUAAUGCUAGAUUCUUCUAUAUGCUUAACUAAUAAAUAAUUUUUAGCAUUUUUCUUUUCUUAUAAACAUAAAAAAAUAAAAAUAUUAUUAACUUAUUGGUAUAUUUUAAAUUUUUAAUUAGAUUUAAGCUUUUAUUUGUUUGGAUUACCAAUUAUACAUAUAAAUCCUUUAUUAUUAUUGUUAUUAUUGAAAGAAAGGGGUUGAAUAGGUAGUCCCUGAAUCCCCAAAUUAAAUUCUUUAUUGCCUACUUUUGGUUUAUUCCUUUACAUGAAUUCCUUGGUGAGAGUAAACAUUUCAUUAAUAGAUAAAUAAAAUUGAUUCCAUAUCAUAGGGUAUAAUGUGGAAAAAUCACCAGUCUCAUGUGUUCCUUAGUGGAUCCUUUGGAGCCCUUAUCAAAGUUUCAUGAUGAAACCAUUGACUUUUGUUUAACCCAAAUGUGCUUUCAAGACAAAUCUUGAAAGAUUUGAGAGAUGGAGGUUCAAGUCUUUUAUGAACGACCAUGUUCUCUUAGGGUUCAUGAAAAUUCACACCUUUUGAUAAAUAAAACUUAUCUAUUUAUACAUCUAAAACCCAGUAUUUAUUUAUUUAAUUAUAGAAAGUUUCUUAGUUUUAAAAACAUUACAAAAAUCAUUUUUAGAAUCAAAUAACAAUUUUAGAGAUAAACACAAUAUUAAAAUUUAACAAAAACAAAAUUUCGAAUUAAAAACACAAUAUAAACUAAAUUACAAAAUAUAAAGUAAUUUUUAUCCUAAUUUCUUGUUUCAAAACCAAAUGGAACACCUAGAAGGGGAGUGAAUGGGUGAUUUUAAAUUUUUUCAAUAAUGAUUUAUAAGUUAUACCCAAUUCUUUUACCUUGCGAGUUGUUAGGGACUAUCAAUUCUUUUCUUUUGGCAAUUCAAACAAUAUAUCAAAUAAUAAAAAGAUAUAAAUAAUGAGACAUAAAGAUUUUUAUGUGGAAAACCCCCCACACUAACCAUGGAGAUAAAAAGUCAUGGAGUCUAAGACCUAUUAAUCUAAAUUCACUUUACGAAAUCAAGUUACACAAAUUUAUUUGGCAACUUUACCUUAAAGACUUACUCUUCGGUACUGACAACUUGAUUCACGUCCACGACGUAGCAACCCUCGAUUACUCCAAUGGAUCACUUCAAGCUUACUAAAAGGAUGAAGGCCUUCAAACCAAGAUUCAAAAAUCAAUUCCUUGAAUGAGAGAUCAGGAAUGGUGUGCCACUUUAGGCUUUCUCUCUAAGAACUCUAAAAUGAUCUCCUCAAUGAAAACCUCUUAAACAAAAUGAGAUAUUUUCCCACAAUCUCUAAUCCUUAAGGGGUUAUAAUGAGAUAUUUAUAAGCAACUAAGUUGAAGAGUUUCAGUUUUGGAAGGUUUCUCAAUUGAAUUUGUGUGAAAAACUCGGCAGAAUCAACAUGACUGCUCGAGCCAACACACUUCCCACUUGAGCGUUUCGGGCACUUGAGCGGUAAGGCUCGCUUGAGUUGUCCCAAGCGCUUGAGCAUUCCAGGCUACUUGAGCAAUCUUGCUCUAUUUCAAAAGUUAAUUUUAAAUCAUUUUAAGUUCAAAACAAAAUUGAUUCCCUUUAUACCUCAAAGGAGCCUAACUUGCCACAAACCAAACCUUUUUAGAUAUACUUGUGACUUCCUGGUUGGACGAAUAACAACUCUUAAUCUUCAAUGGAAAGCAAGUCAUUAUCUAAAAAGAUUUAUAUGGUCAAAUAUAAAAAAACAAAAAAAUUUCCAACAUAACAACAAGACUCAAUGUCCUAACAAUCUCCCCCUUUGGCAAUUUUAUGACAAAAACAACGUUACAUAUACCCACCUGAACUCUCAUAAUGGAGUUUAAUAAUACACAUUAACGUUCAAUUAAAAAUAAACUAAGGGAAUACUUUGUAUCACUUUGUAGUAUUUGUCUUCCAACUUUGUAACCUACACACAUAUAGAAAACUAUGCCAAAGGUAAAGCAAUGUGCAAGAUAAGAUAUGAUCAAGAAAGCAAAAUAGGAUAAUUGGAAAUUUUGCUUGAUGCCUUGUGAAAGCAUGAAAAAAGAACAAAUUCAUAUAGUAAUACCAAGGGACAAAGCAAAACUCGAGAAGAAUAUAUAUGUAUGCAAAUCAACCAAACAUAAUUAAAGCUACAUAAGAUGCAAUAGAUCAAUAAUAAUGCCUAGGGGUCUAUCUCCAACCAGAAAAUAGGGAGUGAAGAUCAUAGGAAGAACCUUCUGUGACUUAGAAAGGUUCUAGAGAGAUAGUCAAUUCAAAUAUAAAUAUCUUGCUGGAAACAUCUAUGUUAUGUAUCUCUCUAAACCUUCUAAGUUAUGCUUUCAUCAGUUGAUUUGGUUUUUCUCCAAUGUCUUAGGUUUAAUUUCCUCUAAUAUUUCAAUUAGAAAGAAAUUGGUAGUCAAUUGACUUAGUGGGUGUUUGGUAAAACUUAAUACUUAUUAUUUAAUGAUUAACUUUAAGUUAAAUUGUUCUUAAGUUCUUAAUUUAAAAUUUAUUACUUAUUCUGUAUUUAAGUAUUAAGGUUAUUUGAAAAAAUCGACUUAAAAUUUAUUCUAAAUCAUCAAAUUGACACAUUUACCCUUAUUAAUUUUAAUUAUAUUUAUUUUCAUUAAUUUUAAACAAUAAAUUUAUUCAUAAAACAUCUAUAUUUUUGUAGAUACAUAAUAACCAUAAAAUAUUUACUAUAAAAAAUGAGUCAUGGAUGUAGAAUUAUAAUUCAAAAAUAUACACUUAUGAGUGUGGGUAAAUAAGGCAAAAAUGAUUUGAGAUUAAGAGUAAAGUUAAUUAUUUUGACUUAAGACUUCAAGUUAAAAAUAACUUUAAGUUGCAAUAUUAAGUUAUUUUAUCAAACAUGGUUAAUUUACUUAACGACUUAAAUUAAGUUAUUAAGUUGAUUUAUCAAACACCCCACUAGUAGUAUGUUGAAAAUGAAGAGCAUCCAUAGUAGAUAAUGUAUAUGUAUUUGUGUUUAGAGUAGAAGGGCACUACAACAAUGGACUUGCAUGUGAUUUGGUCGCGAUAUGAUUUUGGUGAGAAUAUUUUAUUGUCUUUAAAAUAUUGUUAUAUGAAAUGCCAGACUAUGUUAGUAAAUAAUAGUUAUGUUAGUAGAAAUGAAAGUUUGUUUUAUAAUGCAUUGACCAUCCUAACACAUGUACUUAAUUAUCAUUAGUAGUUAGACAUGUAUUCCCUUUUUUCAAUUUUUUUCUUCUUUUUAAAUACAUUCUAGUGGUACUUUGCCUUAUGACUUAAUUUUUGUUACACUUACUACUUUUGGUUUUAGUCAUAUUUCGUUUUAUUAGUAUUUUCAUUUUGUGUUACAAUUUUAUUUAGUUUCUCUAUAUUCUCUUUUGGAUGGUGAUUUCACUUCAAAAUUUAAUUCAAAUUAGGCUUAUUAUCCCCUUAGUAAGCCUUUUCUAGGCGAGUUGUUAUAGAAAAUUAAACAAACCUCUCCUAAGGUUGGCCUUGUUACGUAGACUUCUUUUCUAUUUUGAAAUAUUAUAUUGACCUCCCUUGUUAGAUAUUGGUUUUUACAAUUACUAAGAAUAAUGCUUCUUAAUCAUUAUUAACGACGUCUUCUUUCUCCAAUUUUCUUCUUCUUCCUCCAUACAUGCUAAUUUGCAAAAAUUUAUACCCAUUAUUUAAAUGAAAUUUUUUGAAAUAAAUUAAAACCUUCCUUAUUUGAUAUUAUAGAAACCUAAUUUAAAUAAAAUAUUUUGAAAUAAAUUAGAUAAAAAAAAAAAAAAAAAAACUUGUCAUCAUUCUAACCCAAAUCAAAUUUUAAAGAAUAAUUAAAUAUUUCAAGUCUCAUUUUGUCUCAAUAUCACCUUUGCUAAUCAACCUAUCCAAUCUUAGAUCAAACCCAAAUUGCAAUCAAAUUUUGACAAGAAAAAAUCAACUUAAGACUGAAUAAGAAAACUUGUGGAAAGAGUCUCAUCAAGAAGGUGCAUGAAACCCUCCGUUCAAAAACUUCUUCUAAAAUAAAAUUAAAAAAGAAAAGAAAAAGAAAAGAAAGAUAUUCAAUGUUAAAGGACUUUUAAGAUAAAUCAAAAUUUGAAAAUGAAUGUUAAUACUUGCAAUAGAUUCCACAUUCAUGAACAAAUUACCAUUGCACCACUUAUUUUCAAUUCACACUUUAAUUUACUAUCCAUAGAAACUUUCAUUAAAUUUUCCAUAAAACAAACAAAGAGCCUUAACCCCCAAAUAUUUUAAUUCUUAAAAAUACAUCAUUUCAUCAAUUUUUGAAACCCUCAUUUUAACACAAAUUAUUUUUUUUACAAAUAAUUAAAAGAAUAAAAAGAAAAUUAAGAAGAGGUUGUCAUUAUUAUUCUUGCAAAGUCACCACAAAAUAAAUUAUAACAAAUAUAGAAAAUAAAAUAAUAUGACGAUGAAGAUAAUGCUUAGAAAGUUAGAAUGAGGAAGAUAAUAUCAUUUAGAUGAUUUAGGUUAAGAUGAGGACUAGAUAAGGAAAGUGACAUCAAUUGCCUAAUUAUUUGGGGUUUUAGAGAUACAAAAUGAGGGAGAUGACUAAAAUUAUGGUUUAAUUAUUUUUGGUUAAGGAUUAUUAAGUUAUUUUAAGGAAUUAAUUAAUUUAUUUAUAAUAAAUUUAGAAAUUAAUUAAAAGUUAAUUAUAAUAAUUAUUGAUUCAUAGUUUAAUUUAAAGCUAAUUUGAAUAAAAGAUGAAAAACUGAAAGUCCAUUAGGGUUCCACCUAGAGAGGGGAGAGGAGGUGGAUGAUUUAAAAAAUUUCAAUAAAGAUCUAUAUGUUAUAUCCAAUUUUAUUUUACCCUGUGAGAUGUUAGGGAUAACCUUUUCUAUCAAUCUUAGGCAAUUCAAACAAAAUAUCAAAUAUAAAAGAUAAGAACAAUAAGGUAUGCGAUUUUUAUAUGGAAAAUCCUCACACUAACUGUGACGAUAAAAACCACGAGGUCUAAGACCUAUUAAUCUAAAUGCACUAGAUGAAAUCAAGUUACACAGAUUUACUUGACUGCUUUACCUUAAAGAUUUACUCUCCGGUAGGUACAACUUGAUUCAUAUCCACAACAUAGCAACCCUUGAUUGCUCCAGUGGAUCACUUCAGCUUCCUUGAAAGGAUGAAGGUCUUCAAAAUAAUAUUUAAAGAACAAAUCCUUGAAUGAGAAAUUGAGAAUGGUGUGGCAAUCUAGGUUUUGUCUCUAGGAGACCCUUUUUAGAGAAUAAAGUCUCUCAACAAUCUAUCUCGAAUCUCUUCAAGAUCUCUAACCCUCAAGAGGUUAUAAGGGAGGUAUUUAUAGACAAAAGUUUGAAGAGUUUCGAUUUUGGAAGGUUUCUUAAUUGAAAUUUCGUGAAAAACUUGGUAGAAUCAACAUGAUUGCUCAAGCGCCUCAAGCACUUGAGUGGUAUGGCUCACUUGAGCGGUCCUAAGCGCUUGAGUAGUCUUUAGUGCUUGAGCACUCUAGGCCACUUGAGCAGUCUUGCUCUAUUUCAAAAAUCAAUUUUAAAAUCUUUUUAAGUUCAAAACAAAAUUGAUCCUCUUUAAUACCUCAACAUAGCCUAAUUAACAUAAGUCAAACCUCUUUAAACAUGUGACUUCUCAAUUGGACAAACAACAACCCUUGAUCUUCAAUGAAGAGUAAGUCACUAACUAGAAAGACUUCUAUGACCAAACAUUACAAAGAACAAAAUUGCCAACAUAUAGGCAAGACUUACUGUCUUAACAAUCUCUCCCUUUGACAAUUUUGUGACAAAAAAUCGUUACAUAAACCCACUUGAACUCUCAUAACGGAGUUUACAUAACACACUUUAAUGCUCAAUUAAAACUAAAUUAAGGGAAAACUUUGUAUUAGUUUAUAGUACUUAUAUUUCAACCCUGUAACCUACACACAUACAAAAAACUAUACUAAAGGUAAAGUGUUACGACCGCCUCUACCACGGCUUCCAGCACGUUUGCCACGAGGAGCUAUGGUGAUUCUUUGUUGUAACAAACCUGAUCAAGAGAAUAAAUAUGGUUUUAAUUCGAGGAAAAACCAGACCUCCCAAUAGCAAACUGCUAUAUAAUAUUCUGAUUGUUCCCCAUUGAUAUGCCGUGAAGCUCUAUAAAUAGCUUUACAAAGUUAAACAACUCCAACAUCCCUAAACUACUCAUCACCUAGAUAAGGAUAAACACUAUUCCUAACCAAACUCCUAAUACUUUAAUCUGAUAACAAUUCAGAUUGCUAUUAUUAUCCUAAAACAAAUAAAAAUAAGAUAAUUAAAUAAAAAAUGAGAUAAUCCUAACACAAUCCUACUCAGCAACUCCUAUGCCUCAUGAAUACAGCAACUCCUCUUGCUAGUGGACAUAACAUUUCCUACCCCUUUAGAUUCGACCCUUGUCCUCAAGGGUGAUAUCAGGAAAACGAAGCCUCAUGAAUACAACAACUCCUCUUGCUAGUGGACAUAACAUUUUCUUCGAUAUCUCCAAUUCCGUCACCGUUAUCCUCCUCUGGCCAGCAUCCUUCAAUCAAAAAAAGCUUCUUACACCGAUGCCCAGGGGCAAACUUUUCGUCACAAUUGAAGCAAAGGCCCUUAUCUCUACGUUCUUUCAUCUCCGUUGGUGACAAUCUUCGAAUGGCGGGAGUAGAUGAAAGUGGGCGACUGGUGACUGUUGAGUUCGUUGAUACAGUCUUUUUUGGCUCAAGGUUGAAACUGGAUCGCUUAUGAUAUUUAACCUCAUAGAGCCGAGCCAAACCUAUUGCUGCAGACAACGUUGGUGGUUUCAUGGCUUGAACAUCUAUCCUCACAUCUUCGUUUAGACCACCAAUGAAACAAGCAACCUGUUGAGACUGAUUUAACUUCCCCACUCGGCUGAGGAGUUUCUCGAAUUGGCUUUGAUACUCCCGUACUGAACCAACCUGUUUGAGCCUUAUAAGAUCUCCAAAAAAAUCAUCAAAUUUCGUUGGCCCAUACCUGGAAUUCAGCCCUUCCUUGAGCGUGAGCCAUGCAACUUCCCCUUCUUCCUUCAGUAUUUGAUACCACAAUUGUGCCUCGCCUUCUAGAUGAUACGUCGCUAGCGGAACCUUCUCUUCCUCAGCAAUUUUCUGAAAUUCGAAGAAUUGCUCUACUCGACAAAUCCAACUCGUUGGAUCUUCACUGCCAUUAAAGCGAGGAAAAUCAAGUUUAGUGACCCUUGGAAUUACCGCACCAUAAGACUCAGUGGAGUCACGAGGGCCUCUAUAAUUGAAUCGCCGAGACCCCCCACCAUUGUGUGAACUCUCUCCUCGUUCCAAACUUUGGUUGCCCGAUAUUUGAUCUAAUCGGGUAUUCAUUGACGUUAUUACUUGCAUCAGUGUUUCUUGUAACUCCUGGAACUUCCUAUCUUGCUCUGCUGCUAUAGAGCCUAUCUCUGUCUCCAAACGAUCAAUGCGUGAUUCAUCCAUAACCUGCUCUGAUACCAAGUUGUUACGACCGCCUCUACCAUGGCUUCCAGCACGUUUGCCACGAGGAGCUAUGGUGAUUCUUUGUUGUAACAAACCUGAUCAAGAGAAUAAAUAUGGUUUUAAUUCGAGGAAAAACCAGACCUCCCAAUAGCAAACUGCUAUAUAAUAUUCUGAUUGUUCCCCAUUGAUAUGUCGUGAAGCUCUAUAAAUAGCUUUACAAAGUUAAACAACUCCAACAUCCCUAAACUACUCAUCACCUAGAUAAGGAUAAACACUAUUCCUAACCAAACUCCUAAUACUUUAAUCUGAUAACAAUUCAGAUUGCUAUUAUUAUCCUAAAACAAAUAAAAAUAAGAUAAUUAAAUAAAAAAUGAGAUAAUCCUAACACAAUCCUACUCAGCAACUCCUCUGCCUCCUCUUGCUAGUGGACAUAACAUAAAGUAGUGUGAGGGAUAAAGUAAUGUUGAGAAAGCAAAACAGGAUAGUUUGAGGUUUUGCUUGAUGACUUGUGAAAACAUGAAAAUGGAACAGAUUUUUGUAGAGACACUAAGGCACAAAGCAAAGCUUGAGAGGAAUAUAGAUACACACAAAUCAGGAAAACAUAAUAGAAGCUUGAUAAGACAUAAUAGAUCAAUAAUAAUGCUUAGAAGUCUAUCUCCAACCAGAUAAUGGGUAGUGAAAACCAUGGAAAGAAGCUUCUAUGACUCAGAAUAGUUCUAGAGUGAUAAAUAGUUCAAACAUAAAUAUCUUAUAAGAAACAUUCGUGUCAGGUAUCUCUUUAAACCAUCUAAGUUAUGCUUUCAUCAGUUGAUAUGGUUGUCUCCAAUUUCUCAAGUUUAAUUUCCUCUAAUAUUUCAAUAAUUUCCCUUAAUGGAUGAAUGAAUGAAUGAAUGAAUUGAAUUAAAGAAUUCAAAAUUUUUAACUCAUAGUAACUCCCCUUAAAUUACAAUCAAUACAAUAAUUCAAAUCAAGUAUACCAAAACAUAAAUAAUAGAACAUUUAUGCAUUAGGUGGCGGUAGAGGGAUAGAGCUUGAAGCGCCCUGAGAAUGGAUACAGGAAAAGAUGUAGUUAAGUUAUCCCUAAAUCUCUCAGAGUUGGAGAUCCUAAGAGUCCAUCUUCUGAUGAAGUCGAGCCAUGGAAUUUAGAGCCUCAUGGGCGUUGGGUCUACAGAAGUAAAAGCCUUGUGUGUAGCUCGGGAAGAACUAACACAACCUCAACUCUAGAGUGAGUCCUCGGAGCAGACUCUAAAUAGUCUGUCUCUAGAAUUCCACUCUACUCCAUAGCUCGAAGCUCAUCCUCCUGGACAACUGCCUCUGCAUGCUGGCCUACAUCAUGCAGUUCAUAAGCUGGAACAACCAUCAAACUGUAUACAUGAAUGUAGUGCUUGGCCCAGGAACUCCCAUCCAAAAAGGCAUGGGUAGCUUAGACCCCUAGUGUAGGAUCAAUCUUAAAUCCCACAUCCUCGAGUAUCCGCGUGAUGAGGAGGGUAAAGGGGAGAGUGCCUCCUCUAAAGGAUAAACCACGAAGGGGAAUGAUUGUAUCCAGGAUGACCUAGCCAAUGUCAAAUUGUUGGCUUGAGAGAAUGGCGUGAAUAAAGUGAGCAGAUGGUCAACGGAUUUGGGUGCAGUGUGUAAAUGGGUAGAAGGAGUAAGUGAAUAAUGUUGCAAACAACCAUGUUUGCUUGGAGAAGCCAACAAUCAGGAUAUAAGAAGGAAAGAGGCAAAGACUGCCAUAAAGAGAAGUCAGAAUGGUGUCAAGUUUCUCUCGGGUGAGAGCCUGAACCUCUGGGGAAAACAAAGGAAUGAGAGCCUUAAUUUGCGACUUGCUAAGGACACAUUGAAUGGAAUGAGAGGAAAUAAGGAAAAAUUGACCAUGCAUGGUCACCUGAAAGCUGACUCCGACCAUAAUAUAAUGCAUGUUCUCAUAGAACAUGUGAACAAGAUGGGGAUAGGAAGUCCCCUAGAGAGAAAACAGUCUCCUAACCCUACUCUUGAAUGAUGAUAGGGAAGACAGUGUCCUGAAAAGCUUAGAGGUUAAUGGCAUGCUCAGGCUCGACACACCGAUAUGUGAAAGAAGCGUAAUUAUGGUCCCGUGCCACCUGGCAGUGAAAGCGCUCAACCGGAAGUGCAUCUAGGUUAAAAAGACCCUGGAGUGGGAUGCCCUAGACGGUUUCAGUGACCUAGGAAAGGUCACCUCCCUUUGACAUCUAUGACUAGCCAUAUCUAAGGUAUAUAAUAUGAAAAAACAAAAGCUAAAGAAAAACUAAAGAAAAUCCAGAGAAAAGCUAAACCACUAAAAAUGUUAAACUCAAUGCGUCGAACAAUACUAUACAAAUGGAAAUGAAAAAUAUGAAGCGAACUGACCUCAGAAUACAAAAGGACAGUAACCCAGAGGGCUCGAAGAGGAAUAGGAAAGUUUGAAAUGAAUAUGGCGUCCUGGAUGACCUUUAUAUAGCUUAUAGGAGUGCUUGAUGCAGAUUAGCACUCGAGCGUCCUUACUAACUUAAAUCAAAUUAUUUAUUAAUAUGUAAAUAUUUUAAAAGUUUCAAAGGAAGUAUUCAAUUUAGAACCUUUUUAGAUUUUUUUUGAAAGAAACAAAAAUAAAGCGUGAAAUAUUAUGUGUUUAAGGUGUUAGAAGACAAUAUUGUCUAAUCCAAAGCCUUACACAUUCCCACAAAAAAAAAAAAAGGAAAAAGAGAGAUAUUAUAUAAGAUUUUGAUCACAUCUAAUAGAAACUCAUAUUUAGCAACAUAUCACCAAGCACUAUCUUAUCUGAAAGCUCUAACAUGUUGGAAAUUUAUUUAAGGUUCCAUAACAACUAACAACUUUUUCUGACGACUCAGUAGUGGACCAUUUGCACUUUAACUGCAUUAUUGAAUUUAAAUCAUAUUAGAAUAGUAAUUGACUUCUCUUUUGUGAGGCUACAUAUCUUGUAGGAUGGGAUAGGUGAUUCAUUUCAUAUAUGAAAUUUAGUUAAUUUAGUAAUGCAUCCAAGUUCAUUAUGAAUCUAAUGGUAUCACAACUCCUUGAAUAUUUGUAAUCUGUAAUCUUUGAUUCAACUUCUCAAGUCUAGUCAUUUUAUCGGCAUAACUAGUUUGCUUCAAUUAUCUCUCAACUUUAUUAUAAAACUAAGGGAAAAAAUUAUCACGGAUUUUAUAUUAACUUAACCAAACAUCUUUAUAUAUAUAUAUAUAUAUAUAUAUAUAUAUAUAUAUAUUGUAAAUUUAGGAAAAUUUCAUCCAUUAGCCAUAGUAAGUAAGAAUCAAAUAAGGGAUAUGUAAGCCAAUGGUGAUAUUGAUGGCGUCAAAUCAAUGACAUAGUAGAAAAGUGGAUUGUCUAUUUUCAAACCUUUAUAUUUUCAUCCAAUAGUAAAAAGGUUUAGGCAUCACUUGAAAAGUAGUUCGUUUUUUUACCUUGGACUAUGAUUUAUGAAUAAAGUUCUUCUAUUGUAUACCUUUUGUGAUGCCCCAAACCUAAUUUAUGGGUAAAAAAAAAUAAUUUAGAAAAAAAUAAAUAAAAAGUUAAAUAAAUUUAAUUAAGGUAAAAAUGUAUUUUCGUAUUUAAAAUUCCUAGGUAUCAAUUAUAUAUUUCUUGUCUUCUCUAUUCAAAAAACCCUAUUACACAAAAAUCAAAUAUUAGAGAACAUAGGACAACGCAGGGUUGAAGAUUUGGAGGUUUAGGGUUGAAGAUUAGUUUUCCGGGUAAGAUUCUAACCCUUAAAUUAGUAUUUUAGAUUCGUUAAUUAGUUUAAACACUUCAGAUAUUCUUUGAAAAUCUGAAUCUAUGUUAGGGUUUGUUAAUUUAAUUUUUAAAUAAAAAAGAUUGAAAAUUUAUGAACAUAAGUAGAGUUAUUAUUAAAGAUUGAAAUUUUUUGAAUAUUUGAAUUAAAAAUCUAGAAAAAAAGAAGAAAAUAAAUUAUAGCUUUGGAUGUGGAAAAAAAUUAAUAUUAAUAAAUAAAUAAAACCUAUGAGUAUGGAGGUAGAAAAAUAUGAGAGUUGAAAGCAAAGAAAAAAAAAAAGAAUAAGGUUUUGUGGUUGUACAUGCCUCCUUAGUGGAAAAAAAAUACAAGGUUGCUUGCAAUAGGAUAUGACAAAGAGAGAGAGAUAAAUGCUUAGAUGUUGAUUUUUGUGGGGAAAAAAAGAUUGGGUAAUGUAGGAGAGAAAUAGGUAGCACUUGUAGAGUUGGUGGAGUUGUUGUAAAAGCUCGUAGGGGUAAUUGUUAGGUAGUGUAGGGUAUGAGAUUAAUUGUUAGGAAACAUUAGGACUUGAAAUAAUAAUAAUUGCUUCUAGUAAAAGUUUUAAUUUAGUUUAAGUAUAUAAAAGAAAUAGAUGAUUAGAAUAAGAUUUGGAAGGAAUAUGAAUUCAUAAAAAUUUCGAGAUUUACUAAUUUAGAUUAUUAUUGUUUUGGAAGUUGAAUAUAAUAUAGGUGAUAAUAUUAUUAAUAUAGGAAAUGAUUCAGAUUCUCAAACCUACAAUUUUAGAUAAAUAGUUAAUAGUAAUAGAUGAUUUUUUAUUUUUAUUUUAUUUUUAUUUUUUAUGUUAUGUUAAGUGAAGAAUGGAUUCUUUGAGAUUAAUUCUCUAAGGUUUCUAAGUGUUUCUUUAAGGUAAGGGAUGUUAAUACUGAUUUUGUAAAUGAAAAUAUUUCUUUUUAUAAGUUAUUUUAAAUUAUGAAAAAUUUUAUUUUUAUUUAUGCAUGGAUCAAAUAUAUAUUUUUUCACGAGAAACAUGUUUGGGCAAUUUCUUUGUUUAUAAAUAAAUAAAUAAAUAAUGAAAACUUUGGAAAUAUAAUGUUUUGUUUUGUAAGUUUAAAAUAAUGAAAUAAAGUUUUUUGACUCUAGUUUAUAUGACCUUAGUUAAUGGGUUAUAAUUGUUGACAUUUUCAGCUCCAGUCAAUGAUUAUAAUUGUUGACAUUUUUGGUUCCAAUCAACGAUUAUAAUUGUUGAGAUUUUCAACCCUAGCCAACGGGUAUAAUAGUUGACCUUAUAGCCCUAGUCAACAGAUAUAAUUGUUAACCUUUGGUUUUGCCCAUCUUAAAAAGAACAAAUUUAAGGCUAGCCAUUUAUUUGUAAAGUCCCACUUAACUAAGUACCAUUUGUUAUUUAAUAACCAGAGUAAAGAUAUUUUGAAUGUAUUUGAUAUGAAAUUGUUUUGAUAUAAAUAUGAAAAUGUUUGGUUGAAAAGUUCAAAUGUUUAAUGCAUGUUGAAUUCAAAAGUUUUUAUGAAAAUGAUUAUAUGUUAUAUCCCCUAUUUGUAAGUUUGAUCCAUGAAACUGUAUUAAUAUUCCUUAUUGGACUUUGAGCUCAUUCCCCUUUGUUGAGAAUUUUUUUUGGUAUUCUCAGUUUGGGUAAGGAGUGAUGACUGGGUUGGGGAAUUUUCUUUGCUAUGAUUUUGGUUCAAUCUUUAUUUUGGACAUUGUUUAGAUGUUAAAAUUUAAUUGCCAUUUAAAUUAUUUGAGUUUGGAGUUAUUUGGACGAUAACACUUUGAUUGAUGUGUUAGUUUUAAAGUUGAGAAUUGAAAAUUAUAGAAUUUAUUUAUCUUACUACUUUGAACAGAAAUUUAGUAGUUGGAGAUCAUCCAGUUACAAGAUGAAUAUUUGUGUCGUUUCCACUUUGAGCGUUCAGGCUUAGGGUGUGAAAUGACCGUUAUGCCCUUGGAGUGGGUAUAUUGUUUAUUUGAAUUUAAUGGUCCCUGAACUCCUUAAUUACUCAUAACUUUAUAUCACCUUCUCAAAGUAAGUUGUUUUACAACUACUAUCUAGCUACUUAUCUCUACUAUGACAACUUUAUUACAUAGUGAUUAAUUGAAAGAAUCUACAUGUCUUAUUUCAUAGGAUAGUUGAUUUUUUCACUCAAUGAAUCUUGCUUUUAUUAUUGAAAUUUUCAAAUCAUUGUAGUCCAACAAUUUCCUAUCCAUUGGUAAUUUCAUAUUACAUUUCCAAAGUCUAAUCAUUUAAAAACACUUGUAGUUAAUAUAUUGGCAAUUGCAUUGUGGGAAGUUGUUCACUUGAUUUUAAUGUUGAAACUUUCAAAUUGUUGUAGUCCAACAAUUCCCUAUCCAUUGGUAAUUUCAUAUCACAUUUUCAAAGUAUAAUCAUUUACAAAUACUUGUAUAUAGUAUAUUUGGUGAUUGUAGAGUGGAAAGUUGAUCGUUUUUAUGAAGACCUCUAAAAUAGAAAUUUUUUUCAUUCCAUUUAAUAAAGAAUUUCAUUAAUUGAACAUAUAUGUUUUUUAACCGGAAAGUAAAGGCCACAUUAGGCCUUAGGUGACAAUACUAGGUGAGGGUUUUUCUUAAAAUUUAUUUAUUACGAAAUAUAAAUAAUAUUAUUUAUUUUAUAAUAAAGAUUAUUAUAAUAUAUUUUUUAUAGAUUUGAAAAAAAUAUUAAUUGAGUUUUAUUUAUUUUUAAAUAAUUGUUUUCAAUAAAUAACUUAUUUGUAAAAAUAAAACUAUUAAAUAUAUGCAUUUGAAAAAUAUUUAAUUUUUAUUUGAUUUAGUAUCAAUUAAUAUUUGUAAUAUUUUUUAAUAUUAUAGAAGUUAACAUACCCAAUUAAGAUAUUCAAGAUCAAGAGAAUAUUAUAGAAGUUAACAUACCCAAUUAAGAUAUUCAAGAUCAAGAGAAUAUUUGAGAUUGAAUUAAUUUCUUUAUUGUUUAUGUUUUAGUAAAUUUUUAUAUCCAUAACAAAAUUUUUAUUGUUUAUUUUUCAUUCAAUGUUUGCAUUUUGUAAUAGAUAUUAAAACAAAUUUUUUUCUUGCAUGUUAAAAAAAUAUUUCAAUGUCUUUAAAAAUAAAAUAUUGCAGUAAAAUCAAAAUUACAUUGUGAAACUUUAAGCAAAUGUUUUAUACUUAAGAAGUGCCAAUUAGAGUAAGCAUGCAUCUACAAUUGUGAUUUAGAUGUCAUAUUGAAACAAUAGUUCUCUUUGACUAUAUCAUAAAAUUUGGUUCGAAUUACUUUAAGUCAUCUUGUAGAUUUUCAAGUUCCAAUGAUAUGCAUCAAGUAUGUGCAACAUACUUGAUAUAACUAAUAUUUUCUUAAGUAAUUGGACACUUUUUUCUAUAAAUUUACUUGAUUAUCAAUGAAUACUUUUAUGUAGGGUAUUGAUAUAAUUCGAUAAAUAUUUUAAAAUAGUAUUAGAAUAGCUUUGCUCUUUCCCAAUUAACAAAUUUACUAAAUUAACUUAUAUAUAUUUGUUUAUUUGAAUUUACUGGUAUUUGACGCAAAUUGUUAUUAUUUUUAAAAUUAUAGGAAAACCAUUAUUUAUAGAGUUUAAUUAUAUUUGGUAAAUUAUCUUUUUAAGUUUGACUAAGAUUAGGAAACUAUUAAUUUAAUAUUAAUCCAUAAGGCUCUAUAAAUUUGUAGUUUUAUAUAGGAUUUAAAAAAAGAAAGAAAAAGUAAGAAAAAGUAAGAAAAAGUGAAGAGAGAUAGGCAAAGAGUGCAUUGGGUUUUAGAUAGAGAAAGGUUGAGAGAGUUUUGAUUACUACUCAAAAAGAACAUAUUUUAGAUAGUAAUUCUCAUGGGUUUCACAUCUUUUGAGCAUUAAUUAUGCCUAAAAAUGCUCAAUUAACAUGUUGUUGCCCUCGCAAGAGUUACUAACAAGUUUUAUAAAGUUUUGGAGUCAUUUCAAGUUAUGAUUUUAAUAAAUUGAUGACAAAAGAGAUGAACUGAUUUGAAGAAGGCAAAUAAUAUUGAUGAUGAUCCAAAUGUAAAAUGAAAGAAGCAAUAUAAUUAGAUUGAUCGGGAUUUGCUGCUAAUUUGGAGGUAGUUAAGGUGGAGUCAAAAGAAGAAAAUGGAAGAAAUGACAAAGAGGACCUUAAAAACCAAAUGUUGCAGAUUUGUAUGAUCAUGCAAAAAUUUUACAUGACUAUGCGAAAUGGAUUAGAGAAGGAAAAUUGACUAUGGUAUAAGGAGGAUGCUUAAGUUGAUUUCACAUGAACAUGAGAAAAUUUCGCAUGAACAUGUGAAAAUUUUGCACAAUCAUGUGAAAUGGUCCAAAAAGCUCUCUAAUGUUGUUGUUGCUCCACUAAUUUCUCACCACCAUGCGAAAUCGAUCUUUUCAUGCAAAAUGGUUGAAGCUCAUGUGAAAUCAUGAUUUUGAUGCUAAACUCUAGAUUUGUGAAUUUGGAAGGUUUUAGAAGACCAAUGAGAGGUUGCCAAGUGUCCACUUGACCUUGGUCUAUAAAUAGAAACUGGAAUUUCCCAUGUAAAGGGCUUUGAGAUACUUUUGAUUUUAGAUUUUUCUAGAAACUCUUUCUCUAAAUAGAAUUCUUUAUUUUCUUUAAUUUUCCCUCAUUUUCUCAUUAGCCAAACAUGCCUAGUGAGACCAAAUCUCCAAGUAUGAGUGGCUAAAUCUCGUUUUUCUCAGAGGAAUGAGGAUCUAGAGGUAAGAUCUAUGGUGAAUUAUAGAAAUGAGUUUUAAUUGCAAAUGUAAUUUGAUCCAAUUGAUUGAUUAAUUGAAAUUUGAGGAUUUUUCUCUUUAAAUUGUCCUGAAUGACUAUUACAUUGCAAACUAGGUAGAUUCAUUAAAUUCUUAAAGCUAGAUUUAAUGAGACUGAAUAGUUGCAUUUGUAUGAAUCAUUGGAAAAUGAUUUAAGAUGAAUUGAAUAUAUAAUUUAAAUUGAUCUCUUGGAUUAAAUAACCUAAUUUGAAGAGAAAUUAGGUUUAGACUUAAAGGUAAAUCUAAAAUUGGUUUAGAUAAGAAUUUAGGUUUUCAAUCUAACUUGAUGAAAAAUAAAUCUCAACAUCUAUUCGCCAUGGAAAUUUUUUUCUAAAAAAUAUUAACUCCAAGAAUUCCUUUUCCUUAUCAAUUUUCUUAUGUCAUCUAUAAUGUUCUGGUUUUGUCCUCUGUAAUGUUCUUUAUUGUAUUGUGGAAUUAUUCUCUCUCAUCUAUGUAGGCAAGUUGCUAAACCACGUUAAAACCUCAAAUACCAUUUGUGUUGAUUUUUUUUUAUCUUUGUGUUCUUGAUUAAUGAUGCUUGCAUCAAAGCUUCUACCAACGUAACAAUGUGCAACAUAUUUGAUAUAACUUAUAUUUUCUUAAGAAAUUGAACACUUUUUUCUAUAAAUUUACUUGAUAUCAAUGAAUACCUACAUAUACGGUAUUGACAUAGUUUGAUAAAUAUUUUAAAAUAGUAUUAGAAUGGCUUNNNNNNNNNNNNNNNNNNNNNNNNNNNNNNNNNNNNNNNNNNNNNNNNNNNNNNNNNNNNNNNNNNNNNNNNNNNNNNNNNNNNNNNNNNNNNNNNNNNNUUCUUUUUCCCAAUUAACAAAUUUAUCAAAUACACACACACACAUAAUACUCAUUAGUAUGUCUUUUAUGAAAAAACUAUAUUGUUUAUUUGAAUUUAGUAGCCAUUCAACUCCUUAGUUACUCAUAAACUUUAUAUUACCUUCUUAAAGUCAAGUCAUUUACAAUUAUUUCUAUCUAGCCGGCCUUCUCCAUUAUGACAACUUUAUAAGAUAGUGAUUGAUUGGAAGAAUCUACAUGCCUUUGUUGAUAGGAUAAUUGUUUUUCUUUUUUUCGUAUUCAAAGAAUCUUGCUUUUGUUAUUGAAACUUUCAAAUCCUUUAUGUCUGAGAUUUGAUGUAAAUUUGCUUAGUUACCAAUGAUUUCAAAUUUCAUUAAUUAGUACCCCUAUAGAUGUAAUUUGUGUACAAAAUUUAUUUUUUAAAAGAAUUUAGGGAAAAAUAUUUUAGGUAUAUGUCUUUAACAAUUCUCUAAAAUAAAUUUUACUUGCUAAAAAAUAACUUAUAUAGAUAGAAUACAUCUACAAGAGUUCUAACUAACGAAAUUUAAAACUAAUGGUGGUUUAGCGUAUUUAAACUAAACAUUAGGAAGGGUGACUGAAAUUAACCCUCUAGGUAUAUAUGUUUAACAAAAUUUUUAUUGUUUAUUUUUCAUUUAAUUUUUGCAUUUUUCAAUAAACAUUGAAAAGGAAUUGUUUUUCCAUAUGUUAACAAAAAGAAAUUUGAACACCUAUAAAAAUAAAAUCUUGUAGUAAAAUUGGAGUUACAUUAUCAGACUUUUAACGAGUGUUUAUGUUUAGAAAGGCCAAUUAAAGCAAGCAUGCAUCUAGAAAUUGUAACUUAGAUGCAUCAAACAUGAGCAACAUAUUUGAUAUAACUAAUAGUUUCUUAAGUAACUAAACACUUCUUUUUCUAUAAAUUUACUUGAUUAUCGUGAAUACUUACAUAUAUUUACAUAGUUUGAUAAAUAUUUUAAAAUAAUAUUAGAAUAACUUUGUUUUUUCUCAAAUAUUAGAAAAUAAUAUAAAGUUACUUAUAAACUUUAUAUCAUUUUCUCAAAGUCAAGUCAUUUACAAUUAUUUCUAUCUAGUCUUCUCCAUUUUGACAACUUUUAUAUGAUAGUCGUUGAUUGCAAGAAUCUACAUGUCUUUUUUGAUAGGAUAGUUGUUUUUAUUUUUUUUAUUUUUUUUAUUCCAAAAAUUUGCUUCUAUCAUUGAAACUUUCAAAUCUUUUAUGUAUAUUACCAAUCAUUUUACAAGUGAGUUAAUUUCACUUAGGGUAGAUAUACUUAGCCACACCCCUAUAGAUGUAAUUUGUGUUUAAAUUUUAUUUUUUAUUUAGGUAAAAAUAUCUUAGGUAUAUGUGUUCAACAAUUCUCUAAAAAAUAAAUUUUCUUAUCUAAAAGUUUAUAUAGAUAAAAUACAUUUAUAGAAGUCCUAACUAAUGAAAUUUAAAAUCAAUGGUUGUUUAGUGUAUUUACAUUAAACCUUAUCGGGUAUGAUUGAAAUUAACUCUUUUACAAGCACUUGUAGCUAAUAUGUUUGUAGUUGUAGUGUUGGAAAUUGAUCAUUUUCUUGAAGGCCUCUAAGAUAUUGGAAAUAUUGCCAUAGUUUUAGACUUUUUUUUAUUACACCUAAUAAAAAAUAUUAUUAAUUUAACAUAUAUAUUCUUAACUUAAAAGUAAAGUCUCUCCAUAUUGUAUGAGCCCUUAGGUGGCAAUAUUAGGUGAAGUUUUUCUUUCGUUUAUUACAAAAUAUAAAUAAUUUAUUAUUGUAUGAUAAAAUUUUAUAUAAUAUAUUUUUAUAGAUGUAAAAUUAUUAUUGGGUUUUAUUUUAUUUUUUUACUAAAUUGUCAUUUCAAUAUAUAAAACUUAUUUGUAAAAAGACAAUUAUAAACUAUAUGAAAUACAUUUAGUUUUUUUAUUUAAUUUAGAAUUUUAUUUGGAUUAAUAAUUGAUAUUUGUAAGAUUUUUUAAUAUUAAAAAAAGUUAGCAUACUUAAGAAAGAUAUUCAAGAUCGGGAGUGUUUGAUAUUGGAUUAAUUUCCUUAUUUUCCUAUUUUAAUAAAUUUUCAUGUCCAUUACAAAAUUUUUGUUGUUUAUUUUUCACUUCAAUAUUUUUAUUUUGUAAUAGACAUUUGAAAAGAUUUUUUCCUACAUGUGAAAAAAAAAAAGAUUUGAACACUCCUAAAAAAGAAAUAUUGCAAUAAAAUUAAAGUUUACAUUGUAGGACUAUUAGCAAGUGCUAUAUACUUAAAAUAGACCAAUUAAAGUAGAAAUACUUCUAAAAUUGUAAUUUAGGUAACAAUAAUAUAAAAAGAUAAUAUUUUUGAAACAAUAGUUCUCUGGAGUUUUGGGUACGAUGGACUAGACUUUAUGUAACAAUAGAUAUACGAACUUUCCAUUAACAUCUUGAGAGACAUGAUGAGGAGCAAAGUCAUCCAAGAAGGUACCAUAGAGGUACCUUAGCUCCAUUCAUCUAGACUACAUAAUGUUUAAAGAUCAAAUUCAAUGACUAGAUUUCAAAAAUCAAUAUAAGCUUUCUCAUAUUCUACUCUAUAUAAGACAAUGGUAUCAUUUUAACAUCAGUUUGAAACUUAGAAGUCACUUAGCACAUUCUAGUUAUUAAUUUAAGAGCAUUAAAAGAAAAUAUAAAAAAAGUUACUUUAUCCUUGUGAUUUUGAUCUAGGACUUUUAAUGAUAUUAAAAAAAAAAAAAACAGAAAAAUAAAUGGAAAUAAAAUCAACAAAUUAAACAAUUGAAUUAUGUUAGUUUAAUUUUUGCAUCGUUAAAUGGGUAAAUAAAGACUCUUAGAUUUGAUAUUAAUAUGAACAUCAUGACUUCAGUGAAUCUUACAAGAAAAUUUUAGUUUGAAAGACUUCAUUCAUUAAACGUGUGGCACAUAUUAAAGUAAAACUAAGUCUUCUCUAUAAUUUGUACCUAUCAUAGUUUCUUUCCUCAUAAAUAGCCUUUUUUGAAUAUAAUAUAGACUUCAACAUGCAUGGUGGGGCCGAUCAAACUACUAGUCAAGACAACUCAUGGGCAACAACGAUGUACCAACUACAUUUAAAUACUCUUCAUCUAUUUGCAUAUCAAGAGUAAUUUAGUAGUGUCUUUCUUAUGUACCUCAUAUCUAGAUUUUCAAUGGAGAGUUCUUCAUCUAAAAUUUUGACUUGGGUUUUCAUACUAGUUUUGGUUUAGACAUGUGGAUGCAAAGGUUGCAUCAAAGAAGAGAAGUGGGCUAAAUCAUCUUACAAAUUUUCAAGUUCAAAUUAGAUGCACCAAACAUAUGCAACAUAUUUGAUAUAAUUAAUAUUUUCUUAAGUAAUUGAAUACAAUUUUUUUUUUAAAUUUACUUGAUUAUUAAUGAAUAACUACAUGUAUGGUAUUGACACAACUUGAUAAAUCUUUUAAAAUAGUAUUAGAAUAACUUUGCUAAAAAAAAGUAAAAAUAAAAAUAAAAAUACAUCUAUAUAUAUAAAAUUAAAUAAAAUUAAAAAUUAAAAAAGAAUAUAUAUAUAUAUAUAUAUAUAUAUAUAUAUUCUGUGUGUGUGUGUGUGUGUGUGCAUGGUCCCACAACUCAUUAGCUACUCAUAAGCUUUAUAUCACUUUCUCAAAAUCAAGUCAUUUUGUAAUUAUUUCUAUCUAGCCUUCUCCAUUACGACAACUGUAUAGGAUAUUGAUUGGUUGGAAAAAUUUUCAUGUCUUUUUUUAUAAGAUAGUUUUUUAUUAUUAUUAUUAUUCAAAGAAUUUGCUUUUAUUAUUGAAACUUUCAAAUCCUUUAUGUCUAGUGGUCCUACAAUUCCCUAUUCAUUGGUAUUUCAUAUUACCAAUCAUUUUAAAAAUAAGUUUAUUUCACCCGGUAAAUAUACUUAACUACCAAUGGUUUCAAAAUUAAUUGAUUAACACACUUAUAGAUGUAAUUUGUUUUUAAAUUUUAUUUUUUUAGAAGAAUUGUAGGUAAAAAUAUUUUAGGAAUAUGUGUUCAAUAAUUCUCUAAAAACAAUUUAUAUAGAUGGAAUACAUUCAUGGAAGUUCCAACUAAUGAAAUUUAAAACCAAUGACGAUUUAAUGUAUUUGCACUAAAUCUUAGGGGAGGUGUACUAAAACUAGCCCUUAUACAAAUAUUUGUAGCUAUAAUAUUUGUAGUUAUGGUGUUGGAAGUUGAUCAUUUUCUUAAAGGCCUCUAUGAUAUUGGAAAUAUCGCCAAAGUUUUGAACUUUUUGUUUCACCUAAAAAAAAUAUCAUUAAUUUAAUAUAUAUACUCUUCGCUUGAAAGUAUAGUUUUUUCAUAUUGUAUGAAGUUGUAGCUAGGUGACAAUAUUAGGUGAAAUUUUUUUGGUUAACUACAAAAUAUAAAUAAUAUAUUUAUUAUAUGAUAAAAUUUUAUAAAAUAUAUUAUUAUAGAUGCAAAAUUAUUAAUGGAGUUUUAUUUUUUACUAAAUUAUCAUUUCAAUAAAUAAGAACUUAUUUGUUAAAAGAAAAUUAUAAAAUAUAUGCAGUUGAAAAAAAUUUAAUUUUUUUUAUUUAAUUUGGUAUUUUAUUUGAAUUAAUAAUUGAUAUUUGUAAGAUCUUUUAAUAUUAAAAGAAGUUAACAUACUUAAAAAAGACAUUCAAAAUCAAGAGAGUAUUUGAUAUGAAAUUAAUUUAUUUAUUUUUCUAUUUAAAUAAAUUUUUACAUCCAUUAAACAAAUUUUAUUGUUUAUUUUUCACUUCAAUAUUUUUAUUUUGUAAAAGAAAUAGAAAUAAAAUCAACAAAUUAAACAAUUGAAUUAAGUUAGUUUAAUUUUGUCACCGUUAAAUUGGUAAAUGAAGACUCUUAUAUUUGAUAUUAACAUGAACAUCAUGACUUCAUUGAAUCUCACAAGAAAAUUUUAGUUUGAAACAUUUUAUCCUUUAAACAUGUGGCACAUAUUAAAGUGAGACCAAGUCUUCCCUAUAAUUUGUAUCUAUCACAAUUUAUUUCCUAAUGAAUAGCCUUUUUGAAUAGAAUAUAGACUUUAGCAUGCAUGGUGGGGCCUAGCUAUCAAACUACUAGUCAAAACAACUCAUGGGCAAGAAUGAUGUGCCAACUAGAUUAAGUAUUCUCCAUCUAUUUGCAUAUCAAGAGUAAUUUAGUAGUAUCUUUCUUGUGUACCUCAUUUCUUGACUUUCAAUGGAGAGUUUUUUAUCUUAAAAUUUGACGUGGGUUUUCAUACUAGUCUUGGUUCAGAUAUGUGAAUGCAAAGGUUGCAUCGAAGAAGAGAAGUAGGCUGAGUCAUCUUACAAAUUUUCAAGUUCAAAUUAGAUGCAUCAAACAUGUGCAACAUAUUUGAUAUAACUAAUAUUUUACCAAGCAACUAAAUACUUUAUAUAUAUAUAUAUAUAUAUAUAUAUAUAUUAGUGGUCCCACAACUCAUUAGCUACUCAUAAGCUUUAUAUCAUUUUCUUAAAGUCAAGUCAUUUACAAUUAUUUCUACCUAGCCUUCUCCAUUGCAACAACUGUACAAUAUAUUAAUUGAUUGAAAAAAUCAUCAUGUCUUUUUUGAUAGGAUAGUUUUUUUUAAUUCAAAGAACUUUCAAAUUAUUUUUAUCUAGCCUUCUCCAUUAUGACAACUGUAUAAGAUAUUGAUUGAUAUGAUAGUUUUCUUGUAUUCAAAGACUUUGCUUUUAUUAUUGAAACUUUCAAAUCCUUUAUGUCUAGUGGUCCUACAAUUCCCUAUUAAUUGGUAAUUCAUAUUAUCAAUCAUUUUAUAAAUAAGUGAAUUUUUCACUCCGUAAAUAUACUUAACUACCAAUGGUUUCAAAUUUAGUUGGUUAGCACACUUAUAGAUGUAAUUUGUUUUUAAAUUUUAUUUUUUAGAAGAAUUUUACGUAAAAAUGUUUCAGUAUAUGUGUUCAAUAAUUCUCUAAAAUAUUUAUAUGGAUGGAAUACAUUCAUGAAAGUUCCAACUAAUAAAAUUUAAAACCAAUGACGAUUUAAUGUAUUUGCACUANNNNNNNNNNNNNNNNNNNNNNNNNNNNNNNNNNNNNNNNNNNNNNNNNNNNNNNNNNNNNNNNNNNNNNNNNNNNNNNNNNNNNNNNNNNNNNNNNNNNGGGGGGGGGGGGGGGGGUGUAUACUGAAAUUAGCUAGUAUAUUUGUAGUUGUGUUGUUAGAAGUUGAUCAUUUUCUUAAAGGCCUCUAAGAUAUUGGAAAUAUUGCCAAAGUUUUGAACUUUUUGUUUUACACCUAAAAAGAAUAUCAUUAAUUUAAUAUAUAUACUCUUCACUUGAAAGUAUAGUCUCUCCAUAUUGUAUGAAGUCGUAGCUAGGUGACAAUAUUAGGUAAAGUUUUUUUGGUUUACUACAAAAUAUAAAUAAUACAUUUAUUAUAUGAUAACAUUUUGUAAAAUAUAUUAUUAUAGAUACAAAAUUAUUAAUUGAGUUUUAUUUUUUACUAAAUUAUCAUUUCAAUAAAUAAGAACUUAUUUGUUAAAAGACAAUUAUAAAAUAUAUGCAGUUGAAAAAAAAUUUAGUUUUUUUAUUUAAUUUAGUAUUUUAUUUGAAUUAAUAAUUAAUAUUUGUAAGAUCUUUUAAUAUUAAAAGAAGUUAACAUACUUAAAAAGACAUUCAAAAUCAAGAGUCUUUGAUAUGAAAUUAAUUAAUUAAUUUUUCUAUUUAAAUAAAUUUUUACAUCCAUUAAAAAUUUUUUAUUGUUUAUUUUUCACUUCAAUAUUUUUAUUUUGUAAAGGAAAUAGAAAUAAAAUCACCAAAUUAAACAAUUGAAUUAAGUUAGUUUAAUUUUGCCACCGUUACAUUGAUAAAUGAAGACUCUUAGAUUUGAUAUUAACACGAACAUCAUGACUUCAUUGAAUUUCACAAGAAAAUUUUUGUUUGAAAGAUUUCAUCCUUUAAACAUGUGGCACAUAUUAAAGUGAGACCAAGUAUUCCCUAUAAUUUGUAUCUAUCACAAUUUAUUUCCUAAUGAAUAGCCUUUUUGAAUAGAAUAUAGACUUUAGCAUGCAUGGUGGGGCCUAUCAAACUAUUAGUCAAGACAACUCAUGGGCAAGAACGAUGUACCAACUACAUUAAAUACUCUUCAUCUAUUUGCAUAUCAAUGGUAAUUUAAUAGUGUCUUUCUUAUGUACCUCAUUUUUAGACUUUCAAUAGGGAGUUCUUUAUCUAAAAAUUUGACGUGGGUUUUCAGACCAGUCUUGGUUCAGAUAUGUGGAUGUAAAGGUUGCAUCAAAGAAGAGAAGUAGACUAAGUCAUCUUAUGAAUUUUCAAGUUCAAAUUAGAUGCAUCAAACAUGUGCAACAUAUUUGAUAUAACUAAUAUUUUAUUAAGCAAUUGAAUACUUUUUUUGAAAAAAAUUUACUUGAUUAUUAAUGAAUACCUACAUGUAGGUAUGGCAUUGACACAAUUUGAUAAAUCUUUUAAAAUAGUAUUAGAAUGACUUUUCUAGAAAAAAAAAAGUAAUAAUAAAAAUAAAAAUACACAUAUAUUAGUGGUCCCACAACUUAUUAGCUUCUCAUAAGCUUUAUAUCACUUUCUUAAAGUCAAGUCAUUUACAAUUAUUUCUAUCUAGCCUUCUCCAUUACGACAACUAUAUAAGAUAUUGAUUGAUUGCAAAAAUCAUCACGUCUUUUUUGAUAGGAUAUUUUCUUUUUUAAUUCAAAGAAUUUUCUUCUAUUAUUGAAACUUUCAAAUCCUUUAUGUCUAGUGGUCCUACAAUUCCCUAUUAAUUGGUAUUUCAUAUUACCAAUCAUUUUACAAAUAAGUUAAUUUUACUCGGUAAAUAUACUUGACCACCAAUGGUUUCAAAUUUGUAGCACCCUUAUAGAAGUAAUUUAUUUUUAAAUUUUAUUUUUAAGAAGAAUUGCAAGUAAAAAUAUUUUUGGUAUAUAUGUUCAACAAUUCUCUAAAAACAAUUUAUAUAGAUGGAAUACAUUCAUGGAAGUUCCAACUAAUAAAAUUUAAAACCAAUGUCGAUUUAAUGUAUUUGCACUAAAUCUUAGGGGGCGUAGACUAAAAUUAGUCCUUUUACAAAUAUUUAUAGGUAGUAUAUUUGUAGUUGUGGUGUUAGAAGUUGAUCAUUUUCGUAACGACCACUAAGAUAUUGGAAAUAUCGCCAAAGUUAAGAACUUUUUGUUUUACACCUAAAAAGAAUAUCAUUAAUAUAAUAUACAUAUAUAUAUAUAUAUAUAUAUAUAUAUAUAUAUAUAUAUACUCUUCACUUGAAAAUAUAUCUCUCCAUAUUGUAUGAGGUCUAAGGUGACAAUAUUUGGUGAAGGUUUCUUUUUUUGUUUAGUACAAAAUAUAAAUAAUUUAUUUAUUAUAUGAUAAAAUUUUGUAAAUAUAUUGUUAUAGAUGCAAAAUUAUUAAUUGAGUUUUAUUUUUUACUAAAUUAUCAUUUCAAUAAAUAAGAACUUAUUUGUUAAAAAACAAUUAUAAAAUAUAUGCAGUUGAAAAACAUUUAGUUUUUUUUUUUUAUUUAAUUUAGUAUUUUAUUCGAAUUAAUAAUUGAUAUUUGUAAGAUAUUUUAAUAUCAAAAGAAGUUAACAUACUUAAAAAGAUAUUCAAGAUCAAGAGUGUAUUUGAUAUGAAAUUAAUUUCUUUAUUUUUUUUUUCUAUUUUAAAAAAUGUUCACAUCCAUUAAAAAAAAUUUAUUGUUUAUUUUUCACUUCAUAUUUUUAUUUUGUAAAGGAAAUAGAAAUAAAAUCAAUAAAUUAAACAAUUGAAUUAAGUUAGUUUAACUUUACCACUAUUAAAUUGGUAAAUGAAGACUCUUAGAUUUGAUAUUAACAUGAACAUCAUGACUUCAUUGAAUCUCACAAGAAAAUAUUAGUUUGAAAGACUUCAUCCUUUAAACAUGUGGCACAUAUUAAAGUGAGACCAAGUCUUCCCUAUAAUUUGUAUCUAUCACAAUUUCUUUCUUCAUAAAUAGCCUUUUUGAAUUGAAUAUAGACUUUAGCAUGUAUGGUGGACCCUAUCAAACUACUAGUCAAGACAAUUCGUAAGCAAGAAUGAUGAACCAACUAGAUUAAAUACUCUUCAUCUAUUUGCAUAUCAAGAGCAAUUUAGUAGUGUCUUUCUUAUGUACUUCAUGUUUGAACUUUCAAUGGAGAGUUUGUCAUCUAAAUAUUUGAUGUGGGUUUUUAUACUACUCUUGGUUCAAAUAUGUGGAUGCAAAGGUUGCAUCGAAGAAGAGAAGAUGGGUUUGCUUGAAUUCAAGGCUUUUCUUAAAGUGAAUGAUGAGCACACAGAUUUUCUUCUUCCUUCGUGGAUAGAUAACAACACUAGUGAAUGUUGUAAUUGGGAGCGAGUUAUUUGCAAUCCCACCACAGGUCGAGUUAAGAAGCUUUCCCUCAAUGAUAUAAGGCAACAACAAAAUUGGUUGGAAGUCAGUUGGUACGGUUAUGAAAAUGUCAAAUUCUGGUUACUAAAUGUCUCUAUAUUCCUUCAUUUUGAAGAACUUCACCAUCUAAAUUUGUCUGGAAACUCAUUUGAUGGGUUUAUUGAGAAUGAAGGUAUGUUACCUCUCACCUUUCAAAUUUCUUUUCACUUAUACUCCAAACAUUCUAAAGGAACUACUAGCAUAUGUUCUUAAGAGUGUUCAAAUGGAGACCAAAUGGUCACUAAUAACUAUUGAAUUUAAUAUAAAUUACUAAUGAUUAAAAUUUAAAAUAUGAAUUAACAUUUAAAUAGAACAAUAAAAAAUUAUUAUUUUAAAAUAUUAUAGAUUACAUUAGCCUUAUAUAUAUAAGCAUACUUGUUAUUUAUUAAUUAACAGGAACACUUAGGCUCCCGUAUUCUUAUCCUUUUUGCUUAAUUGUCUUUCUUUAUCUUCCAUUCCUAAAAAGUUUGAUUUCUAUAUUCCAAAUUGAUAGAGAUUGGUUAAAGAAAGGUGAUCACAAAAAUUGACUAUUGCUUUCAAAUGAGGAAUCACCAUUUUUAGAAUUUCACAUUUACAAAAAAAAAAAAAAAAACUUAGCCUUGGGUAGGGCCCAGGCCUCAUUGUUUUAUUCUGAUGUUGGGUUGGUUUAACAAUGAACAGAGUAAAGCCCAACCCAUGACUACUACGCAUUUCCAAAUUCCACCCAUCCACAACCCAUUGAUAUGACAUUUUCAGGGACUUAAUUUAAUCAAUUAAACCUAUUAGAUGGAUUCUACAUACAAUGUUAAAAUGAAUAUAAAAACUUUAAUUCAGAAAAUAAUUUCCUUUAUUUAGUUAGGAUUCAGAUUAUAGGGGCACAAAGCAUGAAAAAUUUCAUUUUAAAUUCACAAAGAUCACAAAAUCUCUUUGAAGCUCUAUGGACUUUUUUAUUUCUAACAUUUAAACACAAAAAUCACAAAAUUGAAUUAAUAAUUUGGAUACAUAUUCUUAUAUUAAAGACAUGUAAGCUUACAGAUUUAAAUAUGAAGAUCUCAACUUGUAAUUACAUGCUUCUAAUUAAAGUUAUAUUACUCUAUUUUAUAGGAUUUAAAGGGUUAUCAAGUUUAAAGAAAUUGGAGAUCUUGGACAUAAGUGGUAACGAGUUUGACAAAAGUGCCUUAAAAUCUUUGAGCGCAAUAACAUCACUCAAGACAUUGGCUAUUUGCAGCAUGGGACUGGCUGGAUCUUUUCCCAUUCGAGGCAUGUUAUAUGUUCACAUUGUUUCUUCAAAAUUAAGUAUAAUAUAUUUCUAACUUUUAAUGUUCCUUAGUUAAUCUCUCUUUUGAUUCAUGUUUGUUGCAGAAUUAGCUAGUUUGAGAAAUUUGGAAGUGUUGGAUCUAAGCUAUAAUGAUUUGGAAAGCUUUCAACUAGUGCAAGGUACUUCAAUAACUUGCUAAAAAAAACUUAUGAUAUUUUGUUAUUAAAUUAACAAUAUUAGCCAACAAUUUCAUCUCUCUUUUGAUUUGUAUUUGAUGCAGAAUUAACUAGUUUGAGAAAUUUGAAAGUGCUAGAUCUAAGCUAUAAUAAUUUGGAAAGCUUUCAACUAGUGCAAGAUACUUUAUUAACUUGUUAAAAAAACUUAUGAUCUUUUGUUAUUAAAUUAAAUGUAAGAUUAACCAACAAUUUCUUCUCAUUAGUUAUUUUUCUUUUGUAAUAUCAUUAAAUUUGAUAUAAAGUAGUCUAAGUCAUCCUUUCAAUUUUUUUAGUUUUAAUAAAUGCAUCAAGCAUGCACAAGAUGUUUGAUAUAACUAAUAUUUUCAUAUGUAAUUGAAAACUUUUUUUUAUGAAUUAAUUAACUCGAUUAUCAAUAAAUACUUACAUGUAUAAUAUUAAUAUAGUUUCAUAAGUAUUUUAAAAUUGUCUUACAACACACACACACACACAUAACAUACUUUUAUGCUAUGUUUGGUUCUAAGAAAAUUUGAGGGAAAAUGAAAGGUGUGUGAUACUUUUAUGCUAUGUAUGGUUCCCAAAACAAUUGAGGGAAAAUGAAAGGAGAAAAAGUAGAGAGGAAAAUUAAAAGAAAAGAAGAGAGUGAAGAAAAAUAUAAAAUUGAUUACAGUGAAUAAAUUAUUUUUAUGUGUUACUUUAAACUUGUUUCACUUAUUUUAAUUCUUCAAUAUAAAGAUGAAAGAUUUGAAAAUGCAUAAGUUUCUAAUUAUUUUAUAUUAUAUUAUAUUUUAUUUAAUAUUUUUUACAAUACAACCAAACAUAAAAUCUUAAUACUUGAGUUAUGUUUGGUUUGCACAAAAUAUGAGGAAAAGAAAAUAUAGAAGAAAAUUAGAAGGAAAGGAAAAGUGAAGUAAAAUAAAAGUAAAUUUAAAAUUAAUAAAUUAUUUUUAUAUGCUACUUUAAACUUAUUUCACUUAUUUUAAAUUAUUUAAACUCAUUUCUAGCAAAUAAUAAUGGAAAUUACAGAGAAGUUUGUGUUAUUCAAGCUUUACAAUGACUUUUCAGGUGAAAGAAAAUAUUUUUGUUGAAACUAAAAAAUGAAAUACCUUCCUAAAUAGCCUAUUGACUGAAAGCACAUUACCCUAACACAUACAUGCACCCUUAUUAUUUAUACAAUCAUGUAAUAAUUAAUAUAGUUAGUAGGAUUCUGAUGGUCGUUUCUGUCUUGGUUUCCAAUAUUUCUGAUUGAUAGUGUUUCGUUAAUGAAAUAUCAUAAAUUUUGACUCUAACAAGGACCUCAAUUAGACCUAAUCCUUGUUAAAUGUAACUAGGUGGCCUAAGACUAAAUAUUAGACCCAACUAAUAAAAACCCAUCUAUUUAUUGGAGCCUAAAUAACCUGGCCUUGGUUAGGGCCCACGCUUUAUUAUUUUAAGAUGUAGUCCACCUGGUUUGACACUAGAUUAAGUAAAGCCCAACUUAUGAGCAUCUGUGCAUUUCCAUCCAUCCACAACCUAUCGACAUGGACAAACUUUGAUCAAUUAAACCUAUUAGAAAUGUAUACAAAAUUUUAAGUUCAAAAGAUAAUUUUCCUUAUUUAGUUAGGAUUCAUAUUAAAAGGGCACAAAGCAUGAAUUUUCAUGUUUAAAUUCACAAAGAUCACGAAAGCUCCUUCUUGCUCUAUGGACUAUUUUAUUUGUAACAUUAUAUUACUCUUAAUUAUCAAAUUAACCAACAAAUUCUUCUCAUUAGUUAUUUUUCUUUUGUAAUGUCAUAAAAUUUGAUAUAAAGUAGUCUUGGUCAUCAUUUCAACUUUCAAGUUCCAAUUAGAUGUAUCAAGCAUGUGCAACAUAUUUGAUAUAACUAAUAUUUUUUAUAAGUAAUUGAAGUUUUUUUCUACAAAUCAAUUAACUUGAUUAUCAAUGAAUACUUCCAUAUAUGAUAUUGAUGUAGUUUCAUAAAUAUUUUAAAAUAGUCAUAGAAGUCUUUUAUCUAAUUCACUAGAAAGAAAAAUAAACUAUUCUAAUGAAAAUACUUGAUGAUUUGAAGUGAUUGCUUUUGAUUUUAUUUGAUUGCUACCAUUAUUAAUUGUUAGAAAUUUGCAACAAAUACCCAUUUUGCAUCACUUCUAUAUGCAUUGGAAUGAAUUAUAUUUCAUAAAGCUAACAAGUCAAAAAUCAUACUUUUGGAAUUAUGGAAAAGACUGCUAUAAAGCUAAUUAACCAUUUGUAAUCUAAUUAAGACUAGUUGGUUUCGAAAUAAUUCAUAUGGAGAUUAAAACAACUAUGUAAUUUAGUUUAGUAGCUUGGGUGCUAUUGUAAUGAUUAAUGAUCUACAACUUGAAAACAUCCACUAGUGCUUCCUAAUUGUAUAGCUAAAUUCAUGUUACCACUUUGAACUAUAGUACUUACAUGAGAAGAAAGCUUUUCCUUAAUGAUAAUGCAAAAGAAAUUAAGUAUCAAUUUUUGUUGAACUAACAAGUGAUAGUUUAGAUAUGGUUUGAAUACACUUCCUUUCUUCUAUUUUUUUUUUUUUUAUUUUGAAAAAAAAAACUCUUUAAUGAAAUAUAAGAACUCUUAUAUGCAUAAAAAGUAAAGACUUAUAUAAAAAAAUUAUUUUCAAAAAUUUUUAAAGCAAAAGAAUUUAUCUUCUUCAAAUUUUAAAAAUUUUGAGAAGUGUUUUUAAGAAUUUGUACUUUUAGUAUAAUAAUUCCUAUAUUUUAUAUAAAAGUUUUUGUUUAAAAAAAAUAGAAAUGUAUCCAAAAUACAACUUAUUUGUUAAAUUAAGAAUGUUUGUCAAAUCAAGAGAUAAUGAAAGUUGCAGAGAGUUUGCAUUACUCAACAUUUGCAAUUACUUUUUGAAGGUGAAAGAAAACACCUUCUUGCAUAACAUACAAUGGCAGGUUCUGGUUUGUAAGAAAUUAAUAUCUAAAUAAAAAUAUGAAUAAGACUUCCUUUAUAAUAAAUAUGUAGAAAAGAAUAGUGGAUGAUAGGAGGUGAAAAUCUUGUAAUAAAAUAUAAAUGUCGGUUAUAAGAUAAUCAACAUUUUCUCUAUUUCUUGUACCUAUGUGAUUAAGAAUCUUGUAGCUCCUUUAUUGAAAUAUAAUAUAAAAAUAUAAAUAAACUAUUUAGAAGUAAGUGCAUGUAGUUUUCAACAUGAGGAAGUUCAAAAGCAAGUUAAUUAUGAUAAUUUUCUAUAGUCUAUAUUGAACACAAAUUAUUUUUGCUAAAGGUUCAAUCGUUCUAUGAAGGUUAAAAGUUUGAAUUGUUUACAUAUGCAAAUGUGAAAUUUGAAAUUUUAUAAUUUUUUAUAAUUUUCUUGUAGAUUCAAAAGGCUUGUCCAUAUUCAAAAAGCUCGAGACCUUGAACCUCGAUGACAAUAAGUUCAAAAACACCAGCCUACAACAAUUGAAUAUAUUGACAUCCCUUAAAAAUCUUUCUCUACGAUGGAACAAUUUUGAAGGAUUUUUUCCUUUCCAAGGUUUGUGUAAUUAUUAUUACUUUUAAUGGUAAAAUAUUAAAAUUAUCAACAUCUCUUAUCUUUUUUCCUCUCAAUGGUGCUACAGAAUUAUGCACUCUGGAAAACUUGGUGAUGUUGGACCUAAGUGGGAAUGGCCUUAUUGGCAUGCAAGGUAAAUACAAAGUGAAGUUUUGGUUAUGUAUAUAUCAUCUAAGAACAUAACUAAAAUCAACAUUCUUUGUCUAUCAAUCUGUCUAUCAACAUAAUUGAAGGAAUGUCUAGCUGUACAACAUUUAAGAAUUUUGCAUGGCACAAUGAAAAACAUGGUAAUCAAUGUAUGCAAUAAAAUUCUAAUAGUUGAAAAAGAAUUUUGUUGUAAUUUUAUGUUCAUGUAUAGGUUAGAACAAAGAGAAAAUCAUGAAAAUGAAUAUUAGUUAGACUUUAUAUAUCGAUAGACAAAAAAAAAAAAAAAAAAAAGAUUAGUUCCUUAACUUAUCCUAAAAUUUUCUAGAUAACAAGGAGUUUACAACCUGAAAAGUGAAGAUGGUUAAUAUUAGUAAUAUAAUUUUGAAAUAUAAAAAUUAAUGAAAUAAUGUUCUUUAUAACUAUAAUUGCAACUAUGAAUAAAAUAUAAUAAAAUUACUUUAGACUUUGAAUCCAUGGUUAGGUUUGCAAUUUUUUGAUGAUCAAUAAAGCUACAACUUGUGCUACAAAAGAUUACAAAAUGUAUUAGUAGCAUUGCUAAGCUCAUUUAUCAACAAAAGAAAUCCAAUAACACUUUAAUUGGAAAAAACCUAGAAUCUUGUUUGAUAUAUAUAAUAGGUGAAGAAACAAAAUAAUAAUUCCAUGGUAUUAGUUAGUUUGAUAUCUCUUUUGUUAUAUGGAAUAACUAUUCCAUUUUAAAACAAUUAUUUCAUCUUAUUGUUAGAACAAAAAGUUUCAAAUAGUUAUAUGGGCUUUUGAGUUUCUUAAGAAUUUAAGCAUUUAUGAGUCACACACACACACACACACACACACACACAUAUGUAUAUAUAUAGGAAAAAUAAAAAAAUAUUAUAUGGAGACAAGGGUAGACACCCAUAACUAUACAUAUAAUUAUUUAAAUAAAAAUAUCAAUAAGAAACAAUAUACAAUAAAAUAGAAAAUUUUAAUCUUCUUAAAAUUUAAAAAUAAAAACUUAAUGAAAACAAGAAUUUAAGAAGUAAAAAAAAAUAGUAAGAAGGUCAAGAGUACAAAUAGAGAUGUAAACAAAAUAAUAAAUAAAUAAAUAAAAAUAAAAAUUUAAAAGAAAAAAAAUACAUAGAUUAACAUGAACACUAAAUGAAGAUUUUUGAGAUAGACUUAGUUAAACUUGAACUGGAUGGAUAUUAAAAAAAAAAACAAAUUUCAAAGAAAUAAAAACUAAUUAGAUGCUAAAUAUUGGAUUAAAAUAGCCAAAUGAAUAAAGAGUAAUUAUUAUUUUUUAACAUUUUUUUAUUGCCUAGAAUUAUUAUUUUGUGUAUUAAAUGUAUUCUGAGUGUAGUGACAUAAAAAAUGUAGUUAAGAAAACUAUGAAGAAUAAUAAUGGUGAUGACACUUAAUACCUUUUAUUGUACAUUUAGAAAAAAUGAGGUCCUAGAUCUUUGUGGAGAUUAUCAUUACUCAUUCGCAAGCAUGUUGAUAGUUGAAACUACCCAAUUAUCAAAAAUUGAAUUUCUAAUCUUCAAUUUUUUUCUCUCAAAUGUAUAUGUGGGUGAGAAAGCAAUAGGAAGAUUAUAAGGUCUCACAUGUAUAUGAGUCAUAGGAUAAAAAAUAUAGAGGCAAUACUAGCAUUUAUUUGAUCUAGUGGCAAGUAGAGAAAUAUAACAUAACCAUAACCAUAAUGUUCUAACCUUAUAUAUACAAGAACCAUGUUUCCUUCAUUCAAUUUUGCAACUUUUUCUUUUCAAAUUAGAAUGUAACUCGUAGGAUCCAUUGCCCAUCGAAAUUUUGAAUCGAAUAUUAUAAGAUAUUUCACAUUUCUACAUACUAAAGCAUGAGCUUCAAUGUUUUGAUGCACUUUUUGCUACUAAGUUAAAGAACUCUUUGAGGAUCAAUGGAGGUUCUAUGAGUAGAAAAGCAUUAUAAUCACAAAUGGGCUGCACUUAUGGUCUUGUCAGUGAUAUGCAAUUUGACCAAGAACCUAUUCCCAACUAUUUUAUGACUUUUAUGACUUUUAUGACUUUUCUUGGCUACUUGUAGGCAAGCUAAAGAAAUUUUCUGGUUUGUUCAAGUCUAAAAAGUGGUUUCAAGUUUAGGACCAAGCUUGGGUUGCACCUAGGUCCUUGGGCCUUGUUCAGCUCCACGUUUAAACCAACCCUGAGCCCAUCUUUGUAAUUUUUCUCCCAAUUCAUUGAUUAAUGUUAGGGUUUUAUAGAGCCUAUAAAUUGACCAACUAAAUAAAGUAAGUUUAUAAACUUUUAGGUGAAAAUUUUCUCUCUAAUAAAUGUUAAUUCAAGAGUCUCCGUAAUCUUUUUAUAUUCAUAUUAAUUGGUAUUUAAACCAGCCUUAUUAUAUUAAAGUCAAAUACUAAAUAGUGAACACUAUAUCUGCUACUACCAUUAUGAUGGUCACAAACAUAGAAUGCUCAUUUUUUUUAGAGUCAAUUGAUACUUAUAAACAACAACUUUGUUUGAAAAUAAAAUACAUUGAGUGAUUGCAUCAAGAGAUAGAUGUAAUAAUUGCAUACUUGAUGUUGAUAAUGCUAAUAUGAGUUGAUUAAAUUAAUGAGUAUUUACUUAUAAGGUAGCCCAUAGAGCAUUAUUUGUGGAAAUAUUCAUGCACCUCUACAUAUGUUCAUGAUAACUUAGGUCGAUAAAUUUAAGAAGAACAAAUUCAUAACCUUGGACAUAGUUAGUAAGAAAUUUCACCAAUAUAGUUUGGUAUCAUGAUUCUAAUUGGUCAAAUUGUUUUAAAAGAAUAUUUUAAAUUGCAUGUUAAUUUGCUUCUAAUAAAUGGAGAGAAACCAAUUCAAGAAGAGAAUUGUACUCAAGCUAUGUAUAGCAUUCAUGAAGAUGUAGAAAAUAUUGAUGAACUUACUUUUGAGCAAGUUGAAAUCAUAAUUAAAUAAAAGAACAAAUCCAAGGGUUAAGAUUGUCAAGUAAAACUUUAACUAAAAUUUAUUGAUUUUUUAAAUGCCUAUUAGAUGAACAAUAGAAGUUCUAGAUAGAAAGUAAGAACUUUUCUAAGAAAUCACUUGUUAGAUUUUAACUGAUCAAUAAAUAUAAUGUCCAAUUUAAAACUUUUAUAAAAGCAAUGCUUCUAAAGAAUAACUUGAUUUGAAUUUAAAGUUAUUAUUGAUAUUUGUUUAUAAUGGAUGUAGUUAAUCAAUUGAACACAGUAAAAAACACAUAAUUUUUUCAAAAUACCUUCUAGUUGUUGGGUAUAUUUAAGUAGUUAUUCAUAUCUCAUUAUCUUUUUACUCACAUACUAAUCUCCUUAUUGAGAAUUUACCAAUUACAAGUAGGUUGAAAGUUACUUGAAUUUAAGUCACUAAUCAAUGUUAACUUGAUGAUAAAUAAGUCUCCCUUUGAAACUUGUUUUACAAGAUAGCGAAAUGUAGUCGGUCAAUCAUCGAAACAAUGUUUAAGCAUUAGGAUUUAGUUGUUAUUUUUUAUUUUUUAUUUUUUGUGCUUUAAACAAAGACAAAAAUGAUAAAAACUCCUAAAAAGUACAUAUUAAUUGAAUUUAAUUUAUACAUCAAACAAGAACAAACUAGUGUUGGAUUUAAAAUUCAAUAGGUUUUGUAAUUAUAAUUCCUAAAAAUUUGUAAGACAACAAAAUUAUUGGACACUAGGCUAUUGGGUGUGUAUGACUAAGAGGUGAAGGAGGGUUCAUCUUAUACAAAGGAUGAUUUGAUUAAUUUUAAAGAUUCGAUAAACAAUAAUUGCAUAAUAAAGUAAAAAUAACAUUUCUAAAAAGGAAAAUAAGUAUUUUAGUCCUCAAACCUAAAAUGGCUAAAAAUUUUAAUUAAUACAAUUACAACUUCACCUACAAAAAAAAAAAAAAAACCCAAAACUUUUCAAUAGCACAACUAAGUCCAUUUAUCAAAAGCUCUAUGAACAACAUCCACUUUCAAAUCACAUAAAUCAUGUUGUUUUCAAAGUGCCCUUGAUGUUUUAAAACUUAAUAUAUUACAUAAAAAUCAACCAAUAGUGUAUGGCAUUAUAAAAAAACAUAUCCAAAUCCAUUGUCGAACUUAAACUAAAUUCAACUUUAUAUGCAUAGUCACAAGUGGGUCUUUUUGUCUUUCAAUUUGGGUUAAAUUCAUAUGUUAGUUUUUUACACAACAAGGGAUUAUCAAGGUGAUAAUUCAUGCAUAUAAAUAGUAUUACUAAUAUAAAAAAAGAUGGUAAAUGUAAUUUUUUUGUAUUCACUCACCAUUUGGCAUAUCAAUAAGAAAAAAUGUAUAUAUAAUAGGUGUUAUCAAUAAUAUUACUCAUCACUAGAAAUUAUAAUUUUUCAUUCGUUGUCACUAUUUGUGCACUUUGGAAAGCUUGCUAGGUACAACAUAUUAGCUCAAUGAAGAAAUUGAUCAAUUCCUUCAUUUCUAAAUAAAUUUGCAUAUACACUAGAAUAAAAACAACUUUUUAACUUAACAAGUUGACUGAGUCUCAGAACUCAAUAGGUUGAAGGUAUAGACUUCCAUCCAAACUCAUUGACUGGCACCAUAUGUUGGAAAAAUAAAGAAAAAUCAAAACCCUUGAGUAUAGUUGCAGACAAAUCUAAAUAUAGAGUGAGAUCUACAUUUCUUUGAAAGUUUAGAACAAAUUUUUAUUUUUAUGAUAAGACUAUGCAGUACUUAUCAUUCUCUAACAAGUCUAUAAUCAGUCCAAAGCAUGGGAUAUUGCAUAAAUUCUUGAACUCAAUUAGUCUUUAAUCCAUGCAUUUCAAGUAAAUUUAAAACCUGGUGUACUUGUUCUUGAUUCACAUCCUUGUCACUAUUAUCAUUACUUGUUCUUGAAUAUAGAACCUUAUUGUCCAUUAACAAGCGGGCCUAUGUUCCUCCAUGAUUCAAGAGUAUUAUGUUUUGUUCAUCAUCAGUUGGUCUUGCUCUAAAGCUUCUUUUUUAUGACUAUCAAUAACCAGACUUAGAUACCAAAAUUUAUGCAAGAGAGCAUGUACUUUAUACAGUCAAGAACUUGUGAGUCUAGACUUUGUUAUCUAGGUAAAAGAAUAAAUUGGUUUGUCAAAAUAGCUAGCAUUAGGUAUCUAUUCAAUUCCUAUCUUAGACAAUAAAGAUAGAAAUGAUCAAAUACAUUCUUAUUAAGAAACAUUUGAUACCAAAAGUGAUGUAAGACAACACAGUUCCUCUAUUCAAUCAAGUUUAAGGCUUAGAUGAACCUAUGAAUUUAUAUUAAUUAAUUGGGAAAGAGAAUAAAUAGGCUAAGUAGAAGUGAUAGGAUUGUAAUAGCAUUAAGUUAAUGAUCUUGUUUAGGUCUUCUACUAAAUUAGAGAAGAAACAAACAAAAGUAAUCAAACGUGUUAGUGAUAAUUAUAUCUACUUAACAUUGAGACAAUAGUUGUACUAAUGGUAAUUAUAUUAUUUCUUGAGAGUUUAAACAAUAUAUAUUGAAAAUAUUUUUAAAGGUUUAGCAACUACCAAGGUUAUAAUCAACUACGAGCUUUUUAUUUUUAAAAAUAUGAAAUAUUAAUAUCUUUACUUUCUUUGAUCUUCUUGUAGGUUUUAAAAGUUUGUCUAAGCUGAAAAAGCUGGAAAUCUUAAACCUUGGUGAUAAUCAGUUCAACAAGACCAUUAUAAAACAGUUGAGUGGACUCACAUCCCUUAAAACACUAGUUGUAAGGUACAACUAUAUUGAGGGACUUUUUCCUUCCCAAGGUAUUGCUUAUUCUUUUAAUAUCCUUAGUAACCACUCUACCAUGAUUUUUUUUUUUUCAAUUUUAUUUUCUUUCUUGAACCAUACAGAAUUAUCUAUUUUUGGAAACUUGAUGACACUGGAUUUAAGCUGGAAUAGAUUCAAUGGCUCCCUAUCAAUCCAAGGUAAAUUCUAAUCAGAAUUAUCAUUAUAUUUAGGGCAUAUAAUAAAUUAAUUAAAUUAUUUUAUCUAUUAUCAUUACUUGGUUAUUUGGAUUUUCUUGAUAUUGUUUAGCAUUUUACAUAGGAAAAUGAAAUGGAAAAAUCAACCCAUGCUUAGUGUUUAAGCACUGGGCUAGAAGUAUAUUUGUCUUCCCAAUUUAAUCAAAGAGAAAAGUCAUAAAUAACAUAAUUUAACUUAUACCUUAUAUUGAUUGAAGAGGUUAGACUACUUUUGGAUUUAAUGGUCAAUAUUUGUUGAAGAUAGGGUUUCCUAAAUUUGAUAAAAAGAACUUCAAUUUAAAUUACCAUAACUACAUAAAGGUGUGACUAGCAUAAUUAAACUCUUUUAUUAAUAGAUGUUCAUAGACUAGUAUUAUAUUCCCACACACACAAAUAAUCAAAUUUUGAAAUUAGUCUUCAAAUAACUAUGUAAUAUACGAAACUACAAAAUGAAUGGUAGGUCAUAAUUAAUUAAAUUCGUACUAUAUUCAAUGUUGGUCAACACGUGUCAAGUAAAAGUUUUGGCCUAAGUGUAAGGGCUCACUUUCUCCUAUAUAGAUAUUAUUCACUUUGGGUUGAGGCCUACUUUAAAAUAUCUCUAUACAUUUAUGAGAAGUCUACUAAAUAUAAAGUCGUAGAAACUUUUCUUCUUAGGUGAUAUGGAAUUUCACAUUAGGACCAACAUUUUAUAUAUUUUGAAAACAUAAUUUAAUUAACAUUUUAGAACUAAUUAUUAGUUAUCCAUUUAUAAUCCUAGAGGAAAUUCCUUUUACCUAUGCAAAUUAUAUACCUCUAGUAAUUACCUUUAAUUUCUCAUUUACAACUUCCUAAAAUAAUAUGAAAAAUGACAAAGUGUACAAUAUCUACCAAUAUGGGUGGAAUAUGCAGUGAGACCCACAAUGCUCAAUAUAGUACUAGCAUCUAUGUCAUCUAAUAGCAAUGAAAGUACUAAGUAAUAAAAACAAUUGUUUUGGGCACUUUAUGCAAUUGGCCUUGUAAAAAAAGAAAUCUAAGGUAGUUGGACUCAUUUACUAGUAAUUUAACAUAUGACUAGAACCUAUUGAAUCAUUUGCAAUAGCACUUACUUUGGUCAUGUCCAAAUUUAGUGCACAUGGUGCAAAAAGGGGUGUUGCUAGAGGAUGCUUUGUUUUCCCACUUAUGAAAGUCUCAAUCUUGCUAAUAUAUUUUAUGCCAUGUUUAUCAUAUACAAAUUUAGCCUAAGUGUAAGGGCUCGCUUGCUCCUAUAUAGAUGUUAUUCACUUUGGGUCGAGGCCUACUUUAAAAUAUCUCUAUACGUUUAUGAGAAGUCUACUAAAUAUAAAGUCGUAGAAACUUUUCUCCUUAGGUGAUGUGGAAUUUCACAUUAGGACCAACAUUUUAUAUAUUUUGAAAACAUAAUUUAAUUAACAUUCUGGAACUAAUUAUUAGUUAUCCAUUUAUAAUCCUUGAGGAAAUUCCUUUUACCUAUGAAAAUUAUAUACCUCUAGUAAUUACUUUUAAUUUCUCAUUUACAACUUCCUAAAAUAAUAUGAAAAAUGACAAGGUGUAUAAUAUGAGCCAAUAUGGGUGGUAUAUGCAGUGAGACCCACAAUGCUCAAUAUAAUACUAGAAUCUAUGUCAUCUAAUAGCAAUGAAAGUACUAAGGAACAAUUUAACAUAUGUUUUGGGUACUUCAUGCAAUGGCCUUGUAAAAAAAGAAAUAUAAGGAAGUUGGACUCAUUUACUAGCAAUUUAACAUAUGACUAAAACCUAUUGAAGAAUUUGCAAUAGCACUUACUUUGGUCAUAUCCAAACUUAUUGCACAUGGUGCAAAAAGGGGUAGUGGUCGAGGAUGCUUCCACAUAAGAAAGACCCUACUUAACUAUUACAAAGGUUAUUUUCCCACUUGUGGGAAUGCUAACCUUGCUAAUAUAUUAUAUGCCAUGUUUAUCAUAUACAAAUUUUUCUUUACUAAAUAUUUCUUUAAUGAUCUUGAACCUAAAAUUAAAUAUUUCAUUAGUAUUGGUCAUGUCGUUCCUCAACUUUUCAACUUUUAGAGUUAAAUCUUUAUCUUUAUCAUUGAUAGUUUUAUGUUUAGUCCCUAGAAACUUCACCUUAUUAACAAUAUGUUCAUUUAAUAUAUUGAUAUUUUUAAUUUUCAAAGAAUCAUAGAGCUCAUUAAUUUUAAUGUCUUUUUAUUCACUUUUAUGCUUUCAACCUUUGUUUUUAGUUUUCCUAUAAUAAUGCAUCAUAGACCCCAUGUACAUCAUUAAAAUAAAACUCAUUUUUUUCAUUAGGAUUCAAUUAACCCAGUGGAUCAUAAUCAAAAUUAGUUGCAUAUGAACAAAAACAAUAAGAUUAUCAUUUUGUACAUCUUUACUUUCAUUUGAGUUCUUAGCCCUACAAUCAUGAAACAUGGAAUUACUCCAAGUCACCUACAUAGCCUUCAUACCUAAUGUUUUUAAGGCAAGGACAAUCAACAACCAUGUGUCCCAUUCCCCCAAUGGUUCACUACAAAAUCAAGGUACAUAUGUUAUGCUUUCUUUGUUUCAUAGAGAUUAGAGAGGAA
rnacentral:lncRNA from 1 species